AAUAUAACCACAAACAUUGCUGUUAGAAUAUGAGUGCCCAAAACUUGAGGGCCAUAUCAAGGGACAUGCCAAAUGAAGAGAUUUCAAUCAAAAUUCUGAAGCAAAAACCUAUACAUGUCCAGUGUAACGUAGAAACUUUUUCAAAGAAAGCUCAAUCUAGGUACUUAGAAAAGUUAUAACAUAAACAGAAAAGUUAUUGCAGAAAGAGAGAAGUUCUCAAUCACAUUAAGCUUUAAUUCAGGGUUUCUUUGAAGGAAAAGGAAAGGGUUUCAGUUUGGACCUAGUCGUGGGGUGUGGAGUUCAAGUUACAUGUUCAGCAUCUAAAACUGCCAGGAAGUUGCGAGACCUAAGAUUACAGAGCUGCAUCAAUUCAGGAAUCUCCAAAAGAAUAUCCAGUUUUGAAGGUAGACCAGUUUAAGGUAAAGUUUAUACAUAUCCAAGCACUAUCAAAUGUCUUCUUUGGUAGAAAGUACUCACCUUGAGCAAACUCCGAAUAUGCAUAAAUAGGAUAGCAAGAGAGUAAGAUUUCGCAAGGAAAGAUUGUCUCGUUUGGAGUACUCAUUCUGGAACAAAGUGAAAAAACUGAAUUCAGUUACUUUUAAAAUUUUUGCUCUACAAGCUAACAAAACCACUGAGAUUCCCGAAAAGCAGACAACUAUAUUAGGCACCAAAUUGGUUAUUUUAUCUUAACAAGCAAUACAAAUCAGAAGAAAACAUUUUCAAUGGUUAUAAAAAAAUUCUUUUCUAAUUUGCAAGGCAACCUCAAAAGAUUUAGCAAGCGAAGCCAUAAGCUUUGCACUGAAGUCAAUCCCAACCAUACAAGCCAUGCCUGCAACAAAAGCAGCAAAAACAGCGGCAUACCUACAGAAACGUGGAGAAUGUCAUUAUAUAUACAACUGCCUAGAUUUACAUCCAGCAAUGCAUCAAAACAAACGAACAACCCAAAUGUGCAUAAUUUGAUACAGCACUGGCUCAUGGAAUAAAAUAAAACAGAUUACCCUACUGUUUAGUGCGAGUAGCACCAAUAGAAAGAGUUUCGUAUUGAUAGUCAAAAUAACUAGAGUUGAUUCUGCAGAUUUGUUCCUUUGCCAAACAUAAUCCUAUUUAUUAUAAUCCUGCUCUUUGGAAAUUAUUAGCAGCACAAAUAAAAACCUAGAGGAUGAAAUUCAUCUGAUGAACGUCUUCAGUUUAAGAAAACAGCAAUAAGAGAAAACUAAAACAAAAUGGAAAAUAGUCUGCAGGUAGAAAAUUUGCAUUUGAAUCCACCAUUUAUAGCUUCCAAUUAGACAGAAGUGAGACAUUAAAUAAAAGCAAGGGAGAGGAGAUAUAAAAUAGUAAUAAUAAAAAACAAACUCUUAACUGUUCAUUGCCACGAGGGCCACUUGAACAAGAAGCCAACACCUCCUCACUGAUUAUCUGACAACUGACACUACGGCCAACAGACUGCAAUAUUUAAGAUUUAAGAGUUAAGUAAUAAUUCUAGAUCAACAAUAGCAUACCAAUUGCUCAGUCAAAGCAUGAUGACAAGAACAAACAACAUUUAAUCUACAGUCUUGAUGUACCCAUAAUACAACAAACGAAUUAUUUUACUCCAGUUCAACCAUAACCGGCCAUCAAAUAAUCAUGUUCUACACAGUUCUAAAAGGUCAAAAGCUUUUUCUUUUUACCUUUUUCUGAUAAGAAUUCUAAAAGGUCAAAGUUGGAGGAGAUAAUUAUAACAAUUUCAAAAACUUAAAUUCUUUUAAGCAGUAAUGGCAUGGACAGAGUAAGUAUGACACAAGAAUGGUAAAACAAUCUCCUGUCAAGAUUUCAAGACGACAUCAAAAGAAAAAUUUACAGAAUAAAAAAUGAAUAAUAGAAUACUGACAUACAAGAUAAAUUGAGGAGACUUCUCCGGUAAUUGAUUCUACAUUAGAUUCAGACAGCCGAUUCAAAAGACCUGGAACGUUCCAACCACACAGAGAAUGUCAAGUUUAAAUAUGUAGAAACAAGAUUCCUAAUUUCCACAUAGAAACUCAAUUUCCAUACCUCGAAUCCUUCUACGGAUUUGAGUAUGCUCUUCUGAUUCCUUUGUUGCACAAGGUCUCAAGUGAGGAGCAACAUACUUUACACUGCUUCCUGAACCAGGUGCUCUGGCAGGAGUUUCCAAUGGCACCACGACAUCAUGGGUUUCCUCUGGAUUGGCUACCCCAGGACCUAUCUCCUCGACGACAUUCUCUUCUCGUCCAUGCUCUACUGAUUUUCUCUUUCUCCGCUUCUUACGAGAAGGGGCCUUGGUGGGAGUUUCUUCCAUAGCAACAUCUAAACCAUUGGUUUCCUCUGACUCAGACCCUCCAACUUCUAAAUCACCUUCAAGAUCUUGAUCCAAUACCUUUUGCUUCUUGCGUUUUUUCUUUAGACAAAGUUCUUUAGCAUCGGGUACUUCUUCUUCUUCCUCUAAUGAAUCAAGAACAGAUGGAAUCCCAUUAAUCAACAAAUCGAGACCAUCAUCCUCUCUCCUUAAUUUACCCUUUUUCACUUUGAGUUUCUUUGCAAGUUUUCUCUCCAAUUCCAAAUCUUCCUCUGCACUUAUGAUGGCAUUUGGCCUAUCAAUUUCAAGAAAUUCUUCAAACUUUGUUUUUUGAGCUCUCUUAGCCUUCCUUCUUUGGACUGCCUUAUAAGAAGUAAGCUCAUCUUUUUCAAAAGAAUUCAACUUCACUUCAUCUUUCUCCGAUAAAAUUAAUUCCUCUGAGCUUUGAUUCACCCCCGAAUCCAUUUGAGGAGAUGAACCUUUUAAUUUAUUCGCACGUUUUGACUUAACAUCCCCAAAGGUUUUCUUCAAUUUCUGGGAUUUCUGUGAAAUUAGAUUAAAUUAUAUAUUUCGAAACGUCAACUACAUUUAACAAACGACAUAAAAGAUAAUAUUGAAGAGACAACAACAAUUUCUUCUACCUUGUGCUCAAUCCAAGCUUGAUGUUUUCUUUGAUUCUUUGCUAAUCGUGCUUCUUUUCUCUUAUCUCGGCGCCCCAAAUUUUUCUCUGCCAUCAACUGAUAAACUGCCAAUCAUUUUUUUUUUUUUAAAGUAACUUUCAUGUCAAACAAUCGCAAGAGAAUAAAUUACAAGUUCAUAAUUCAAAUAAAAUUUUAAUACAUUGACUUGACAAACAAAAGGCCUAAAUAUCAUACCGUGAAGAGCUGACGGCGAGCUGCAACAACCGGGAGGCGUUACGGUGGCCAAUGGGAGCUGCGAUUGCGAGGCUGCUGUUGUGCUGGCUGAUGCUGAUUCGCUGAGGCUAAGGCUAUCGUGAGGCGUGAGCUGCUGUGGUCGGCUGAGGCUGUCGGCGACUGCCGUUGCUGAUUUGAGAGGAGAGAUGAGGCUGUGCUGUCGUGGACUCGCGAGGCUGUGCUGGCUAUUAGGGUUUGUUUAAUUUGUUUUGUGGUUUUGCGAAAUUGCCAAUUGGGAUCGGGUGUGGACGCUUCACGGUUUCAGUUUGGGCCUUCCCCCUCAAUGUAACUUGUUAUGGCGGCGUCGAACUGUGCAUAAGGUACGACAAGUUUUAAUACAAUUGUCAUCCAGUUUUGUUAAAGUUCUACGACAAUCGUCUAAGGGGUGCAACUAUAAACGACUUGUCGUUUUUUAUCAUUUUUAAAUGUUGAAGUGGACGAUUAGUCGUCUAAUUAUCUGGUAUCGAACUACAGCUAGGCUAUGAAGAUCUUUAAAAAAUUAAAUAAAUAAAUAAAUUGAUUAAUUAAUUUGUUGCCUUCUUUUAUUAAUUAAAAUAUUACUCGAGUACAAUUAGUAUCUUUUGAGUUUGAGACUUGUACUAGUUUUGUCUUUCUGUUUAAUUUUCACGAAUUCUGUCCCUUCAAAAAGUUUCGUAUUCAAGAAAUCCAUAACAUGUUAUGAUGUUAAACAUCAGCUUAUGUUAUGAUGUUAAACAUCAGCUUACGUAUAUGACUGUACCUCAAACCUGUAACCUGUUUGUCUCAGCCUCUAUGAAGUCAGCCAUUCAACUCUCAAACAACCUAAGCUAGUUUCAAAGAUCAAGAAAUUAAAUCCAUAACUUAUUAAUGUUAAGCAAUUUUGCAGAAAUGUAUUCACAAAUGUCAUACUGAGGUUCGGUAAUGAGCUCAUCAAGAAUACCACAGCAAUGAAAUCAGAAAGCUAACAGUAUGAGAAUCAUAUCACUAGUUUGAUUGAGAUCCAUCCGUCCAUGCAACCCAUUGAUUGUCCCUAUGCAGCACUGAGCUUCCUUCAGGAAAUUUCAUGUUUGGCCUAUUAGGGCGAACUCUAAUUAUCUUGCAGGUGCGCCCAUCUGCUCUAACUGACUGAGCAAUAGGAUCCACACGGGGGUCAACAGUGCAUUCCAAAGGCAAAGAAGAUGAAGGCAUGCCUUUUUCAACCCCAGAGGAGGCAGAGAGGUCAGAUGAGGAUGAAAACUCUGGUUGUGGAAAUUGAGAGAGAUCAUAGCCAGCAACUUCAGUAUUCACUGUAGUCAAUUCUGAAAGAAAAGGAUAUUGUUGUAAGUGAAAAACAAUAUGUCUACCAAGGAAAAGAGACCACAAAUCAUAUGAUGAUAUAUCAUUUGUCUAGAACUACAGCAGACAGUUCUCAAGCGAAAAUCAAGGUCUCAUUGAAAAUAAAGCGAAAAUCAUGACGCUUGAAUAAUACUACAAAAUUCAGCCUCAUUCUAAUUUGUUAAAACAUAUUUACCUCAUUCUGUUGUGUAACUGACAAUGAAAUAUGAAGAUAUUGUAAACACAUGCCAUGUAAAUUAUGCAAUAUCUCACUCCAUACAAAAAAAGAGUUCAUCACAUGUAAAUUGAGCCAAAGUUAUUAUAGAUAAUACUAGUACCAUAUUACACUACAUCGAUGCACCCUGUAGACUAUGGAUAAAAUAGGAGCUUGUUUUACAAAUGAACAUAAAUUAUUUCCAAUAUCAAAUUGCGAUUGAAAAUGUAGAUUCAUUUUCACUGAUGACACGACAUACUUGAGAAGAUAAAAGGGAAGCAACUAGAGAGAAGGUUAUCAGCUUUCAAAUGUUAUUUGUAUUUGAACUAUAUAUGAAUAGAAAUAAUUAAUGAUCAAGUGUUUUAUACACACAUUGUAACUUUAAUUAUACUAGUUAAGACCUAAAAUUUGACCGAAAUGAUCCUUUGUUCAGCUCAUCUAUCACAAUUAGUAUACUUUAGAGAUUAAAGAAAAGUUCACCUCUGAUUUCUUCAGCUUGCACCUUGGGCAUUGAAUUGGGAUUGAAAACCAUGCGGCCUGCAGUUUGGACAUUGUGGUGCAGAUCUGCAGUGACAUUUGAUUGCAAGCUGGAUGAUGAGUAGUCAGCUUGUGCUUGGAUGGCAGGAGAAACCAAUGCAGGACCCUGACUUGGAUUGGCUGAACCCAAAAAAAAAAAAAAUUUAAUUAAUUAAAAAUAAUAAUAAUACACAUAUAUACAUACAUAUUUUCAUGAUUUCUAAAGUUCAAACUUCUCUUUUCCGUUCUUGGAAUUUGUUAAUAACUAAAGCAUCACUUAUAAACUGUUCUGUAAGGAAGACCUAGAAUAUUUGCACUCAAACAGUAGAUGGAAAGUACUUCAUCCAGGAUUUAGGAUAUGGGCUCCGAUUAAACCAAAUAUUCAAAUGGUACAUCAGAUGCUUCAGUACUUUGGACCGUCUUUCUCUAUUUAAAAAAUUAAUUCUUCAUUAACCUUAAUUAAAGUAGUCAUCUUUUUCCUCACAUAAAUCAUGAAAAUUCUGUUUAAAGUACAAGAUUUUUCCUCACUUAGUAGACAUAAUAUACAUUGACCAGCCAACAGCCCUUAGCAACUUUAACUUACAAUAUGCAGGCCACUUUGUUAUGAGCUCCAAGCUAGAUUCAUAUUCAGUUAAGAUGUGCUUCUUCAAUUAUAUGACGAAACAAGCUGUGCUCCUAGAAUUACAUGAAGAAACAAAUUAAAAUACAAUGCUUCAAUAUUUUGCCUUUAUAAGACUAAUGUCUUCACAUACUCAGGAAAAGGUACGUGACCGCAUUAAAAUUACUGAAAACAAAUUGUAGCAAAAAACAUUCAUCAUGAAAAGUUUAGGGAACUUCAACACGAGUACAAAAAUGAGAAGCCAAAAAAAAAAAAUUAAAUAAUGCUGUACCUAUGUGAGUAGGUUUUUUAAGUCUAAAGCACGUAGAAACCGUAAGUCCUAAAUAAAUUCAUUGAAAUUGAAAGGCUUACUAUUAUAUAAUUAUCAUAAAUAAAUAAGCCAGAUGGUAUUUCAGAAAAUAUACCAUUACUAGUUCAAUUGUGCACAUUUAAAAAUUGGGUCCAUAAUCACUCACAAAUAUGAGAAUUGAUGACUUUAACAAUUGACCAUCAGGGAACGUAAUCCUAUGUGCUCUCUGUAAAGUAACUAUUUAUCAAAAAUACAUUGAAAAUCCAAAUUAUUCCAGCGAUAAUUAGUAUACUUAAAAAAUGUGCAGCUAAAACCUACUAAGUCAAAAGUAAGGUAGCUCAGUAUGGGGUCAAUGUAGAGCGAAAAACAAAAUUCAUCAAAGAGUGAAUAUGGUGAUAAUAGGACACUACUUUCUUUUACUCAAGGAGUGAAGCAUACGUGAACGAUUUUAUGCAGGUGGCAUAUUUCUUUGUCUUCCAUGAAGGUUAAUUUAUAAUGCAUGUACAUACUUCAAAUAGAAGGAUAAAUUAGAAAAGAAUAAUUUCUAGAGUUGAGAUAAAGCACUUUAGAUGUAAUUGAGGGAAAGAUGAAAAAGGAAUCAUAUAUAGCACAUACGUUCUUUUAGCCUCAUGUAAGCAACUUUUGCUGCACUCAUCUCCGCUUGCUUCUUGGACUUUGCUUCUUGUCCAGAAAAAACUUGUCCUCCUACCUCAACAGUUGACACAAAAGUUGGUGCAUGAGAUUCACCAGAUUGCUUAGUAUUAUAAACUGGCAAAGCAUACGCUUCUUUCUGAGCCAAUUCUUGCAAAAGGUUCUUGUAAAGAACAGAAUCAUCCUGGAAAAAUAUGUUUAUUAACAAAAUAUGCGAAUAUGAAAGAAGAUAGAUCACUACUAAUACGAAAUUCAUAAGUUAUUCAUUAACAGUUAAUUAGAAGACUGGCCUGUUGAAAUUUAUCAAGUGACAAUGACAUUAAUGCAACUUUCGCCGCUUCAUGCUCGGCAUCUUUUAAAGUAGGAAAAAACUGAUGACUCUCAUAAGUUUGUCCAUCAAUUGUGACCUUACACUUGAAACGACUAGCAUGAGGAGGACCUUCCCUCUCACAUGAAUACAUAGGAAGAGGGAGAUUUUUCUUUUGAGUAUAGCUCUGCAGCUGGUUUUUGUAUAGGUGUUGCAUAUCUAUAAUUCAGAAAGAAAUUAUGAGUCACAUGACUUCUCAUCAUAAACAAUAGAAAUUCUUUCAUUUCCUUAUUUAUUGCCUAGAUAAAAACCAGAAGUCAAAUGUUCAGAAUGCAAGGAAAUAGGAUGUCAAUUCAAUGAAACAUCAGUAAACAUAGCAGUGAUGGCUGAAUCGCCUUGAGGAUAGAAAUACCCCGACCUUACCCUCCCCCGCUCCUUAAAAGAGUACCCUUCAUCCAUACCCCACUCUCACAUCAGGACUGCCAUCUUUAAUAGUUCUUACCACAGUAGGACUGGAACGCACACCCAUGAUCUGUGUCCCGCCAGUACAAUAUUUUAACUAAGUAGCAGCAGAACGCCAAAAAGCAUCAAUGUAAUUGAAUGGAUAAAAUAAGUACCAUCUAAGCUAAAUUCAUACCUUCAAACAAGAAACCAUCGAUGCGAUCAUCAAGCUAAAUGCCCAAGCAAUGUACUAAAGCAAUCAAAUCUAAGAAAUUGAACGUACAAAAUAAGUUCCAAUUAAGCUAAAUUCAUACCUUCAAGUCAGAUACCUCUUACUUGAAAUAAAUCAAGGUUACAGGAGAUGAGAGCACAAUCAGCUUAAUUGGUAGAGUUUAAAAAAUAUUAGGUCCUCUCUGGGGCAUACACAAUGAUGAAGAUGAAAAAGAUGAAGACUCAAAAAGUGAGAGAGAGAAAGGAGAAAGCUGAGAUUAGCUGCUUAGAGAAGGAGGCAGCAGAGAGGAAACCAAAUGGGAACAAAACCCUAACCUUGGGAAAGGAAAUAAUAUAAACAUAUACUAAGGUAUUUAUACGAGAAAAAAUACCUGGGAAAGGGCUGAAAAGAAAGAAGUUGUAUCUAUACCCCAACUGCACCCUAUUAGUUAUUUGAUUGACACAUUGCUUGACCCAAUUGGCUAGGUGUUUCCUCGUACGGGCACUGAAUAUGAAGCAGUGUGAACACUGAAAUUUCAAGUUUCCUUAUAUAUACUUUUUGAUUUCACUAUUUUACUUCUUUUCACUCACCUGAGGCUCAAUGUAAGAUCGUCAAAUAGACGGAAUACCUGAGGCUCAAUGUAAGAUCUUCAAAUAGAUGGAAUUGGAUUGAAAGAUUGAGUUCUCUCACUUGAUAUCAAAUUCAGAGUUAACUUAGAGAUCUAUUUCAUUAUAUGUUAUUAGUGCGUCUCAAAAAUGACAUGUAAUGGUCCACUCAAAUGUUUUAUUUAAAUAUCCGUCCAUAUAUUAUCCAAUAUUCCCUUUCAACAUUACCGUACCUAGCAUUAAUAAAUUUUAGGCACAUCACAGCAUAUCCAAAUUUACGUAUGUCCAGCAAUUUUCUAAUUGAAAAUGAUUUUGUACAUAAAAAUACAGAUAUGUGGACAAGAACAACAAUCAAGAUCAUCAAAUUUAGUAUGGAAGAAAAGAAUACAAAUGAAAAUAUGUGACAAUCCAACUUCAAUUGAAGUUGUUAAUUAGAACUUCACCAAGGCCAACAGAAGUAUGAGAAACAUGAAUCAUAAUUAUAAAAAAUAAUAAUAACAUAAAUCACUUAGAAGUUCUCUGAUGCGGUAAAUUGAAAUAGAGCUACAUUCAAGAAAUCAUGACUAUAGGCUUUGUCUUUAAUAGCCUCUUUAAUCCUCAAUCUUUUGACAUCACCAUAGCAGAAAAGUAAGUACACAAAAUUCAACAAUAUAUGCAUGAUCAAUCAAUAAAACCAAUAAACCAAAUAUCUAAAUCAAGAAAUUACAGAAAGGAAAAGAAAUUAUUACUAAAAUAAUUAUCUGACCUCUUGAUUUGUGAACAUCAUUGACAGUUGAGAUCGUUGCAUUGACCUGAGUAGUUCGAUCUGUUUCUCGAGCAUUUACUUGCACUGCACUUUCACUCGAAGAACCUACAAAAAUUAUUUAUAACCCAGUGUAAAGAAGAAGUAAAGUUUUCCGCACGAACAUGGUAAAGUAAAGUUUUCUGUAGGAAAAUGGUAACUUCAAAAUCCGUUUCAAACCUAUCAUACAUCCCCCACCCUCAUUUAAGACUAGUGCUUGCAAAAACUAGAAGUAAUUUAUCCAGAACAUAAAAGCAGAGAAAAUCCAGUCCAGUAUAAAUAUAAAAUUAGAUAAUACCUACCAUUUACCAUUUCAUUCAAGAACACCACACAGUUAACGAAACCAACAUAGGUAUGUUUCCAACUGUUGUACUUUCAAGUUAAUUUUGAAAGCGCGGAAGCUAAAGCCUAAACUGUUGUUUGAUAAAAGCCCAUCCACUGACUGAUACUUGGCGGGUAGCAAUUCCAUUCAAUAGCAGUCAUAGAAUAAAAGUACAAAACAAACCCCUGUUUAAAAAAUGCAAUGAAGCAGCCAUGAUUUCAAUUAUUUGCAUGUCUGGGAUUGCAGUUGAUUCCAAAUUGAGAAUAUACUUCGAGAAUAUGUUUGAUAAGCCCUUAUGUGAUGAUCGCUGGUUUAUUGAGUCUUAAAAGAACAACUCAAUCAACUAAUGUUUGAUUUGAAAAAAAAAAAUGGCAAAUCAAAAAAGUUUUGGAGUAGAUUCUCAAAAGAGUGAUUAUUUGAUAAUCCACCAUAAUCCCACAUAGUUAUCAGAAUGAAAUUAAAAUCCGAGGAAUGUUAUUUAAGGCAAACAGCACUUUUUUUAUUUUAACCAACACUUGCAAAUUGCAAUUCUUAAACUAAAAGCAUGCAAAAUAAAUGCAAAUUAAGAACGCACCUAACAGAAAAUAAUAAUAAUAAUAAUCUGAAUUGGCAAUAUUAAAAUUACCGUUAGAAGAGGAAGCGGCAGGAGUAGAGGAUGGUGGAGGAGGAGACGAGAAAUGUUGGAAAGCGAUUCUAGCGGCGUCGUUUUGGGCCUCUUUGGACGACUUGUAAAGAUCCGGAGUGGUGAAAGAUUGGUCGUUAACGGUAACGGUUGCUUGAAAGCGAGGGUUGUGGUCAAGGCCUUGUUUGGCUGUUGUGUAUACUGGCAAGUUCCACACUCUCUGGUGGCAUAGCUCCUGCAGCUUCGUUUUGUACAUCUUUUUUGCUUACAAUAUUUUCACUGAUUUUAAUUUUUUUUUUGGAAUGGGAAACUCAAGAGAAGAGAGAAAUGGAAUUUAGUUGCAAAAUUUGAAGUUUAAUUAUCAAAUAUUACGCCAAGAGAGUACGCUUCAGUUCCACGAACAGGUUCAGAAUAAAUGACGCUUGGGAAUGCUGAAAUGGAAUAAGGCCUUUUUAUAAACAAAUAAUAAUAGUAAACCGACGCCACGGUGUUUUAAAAAUAAGUUUUUUUUUUUUUAACCUUGAAAUUCCUUAUCACAGUGACGUUUUAAAAUAAUAUUUUUUUAAAAUGCAAAAAAAAAAUUUCUUUCUACCAUUUAUAAAAAAGAAAACUUAAAUAAUUUACUGUAUUAAACGUUAAAAUAAACUAAUAAAAAAUUAUCGAUAUUCUAAAAACCAAAUAAAUAAUACCUUUCCUUUAUCUUCUUCUCAAGGAAGGUGGCUAAAAACUUUCUUCUCCAAAGAGAUCUUGUUCUAUAAGGAGACAUGACAUGAAAGUUGAAGGAGAGGGUGAUCGAAGGGGGGAAUAAAAAAUCUUUUAUGGUUGGCUCGUGGACAUGGACUUCUUAUGAAAGGUGGUAACGCUGUCUCAACGUCAUAAUUAUACCGAAGCUAAGUCCAUUUCAAUCAAUAUAAAAUAUGAAUGCGGUAACGACUAACGAGAAGUUAAUAGUUUUGGAUCAAACGAAUAUACAACGUCGUUCGUGUGUUUAUCAAAUAAGAAUUCAAUUUAAACAAUGUAAAUGUGUUAACAAGAAAUUGAGAGUUAUUGAUAAGACGAGCAUAAAAUUAAAACGUCAUUCAUAUGUUCAUCAAACAAGAGUCCAUUUAUGUAUAUGUAUUAACAAGGAGUAGGGAGUUUUAGGUAAGACAAGCAUGUUGAGUUGUAAUCGGAAUAGACAGAAAUCAGAAUAGGAAAUGGAGAUCAGAAUAAAUUAUUUAUUUGAACUGUAGGAAUCGAAAUCGGAAUGAAUUGAAUUGUCAUAAAUGUGUUUACUUUGUCUUGGAAUCGGAAUCGAAAUGAAUUAAAUUAUAACAAAUUAUUAAAAAGUACUUAAUAAAUUAUUGUUAUAAUUAUUAUUUUAUAUUUUAAUUAUAGUGAUUAUUUAUUCAAAAAUUAUUAUUAUUAAUUAUUGUCAAUAAUAUAUUGAUAUAUUAAUUAAUUAUAAUUAUUAUUAUAAAUAUAUUAAUUACUAAUAUUAAUAUAUUUAUCUGCUGUACCGUACAUCCNNNNNNNNNNNNNNNNNNNNNNNNNNNNNNNNNNNNNNNNNNNNNNNNNNNNNNNNNNNNNNNNNNNNNNNNNNNNNNNNNNNNNNNNNNNNNNNNNNNNNNNNNNNNNNNNNNNNNNNNNNNNNNNNNNNNNNNNNNNNNNNNNNNNNNNNNNNNNNNNNNNNNNNNNNNNNNNNNNNNNNNNNNNNNNNNNNNNNNNNNNNNNNNNNNNNNNNNNNNNNNNNNNNNNNNNNNNNNNNNNNNNCAUCUGCUGUACGGCCAAGGCGGAUGUACGGUACAGCAGAUUUGACUUUUUAUUUUUUAUAUUUAUAUCUUUUAUUUAAAGAAGGGGCAUUUUAAGAAAUUUUGAAUGUCAACGGAAGCAAAAGAACUCUAGGUAAUGGGAGAUUGAUUCUCACCUCUCCCAAGGAAUCAAUCUCUCAUUCCUCAUUCUCAAAUAGUGGUGGGUUCCAUGAUUUCAAUUCUGAUUCUUACUCCAUUUUUUGGAAGUAAAUGCCGUUAAUCAUUUUGAUUCUCCAAUUUGGAAAAUAAAUGUACCAUAAUAUUUAAUCAAUUAUUAUGAUUAUUGGAUUUUUCAGAUACUUUUAUCUAUUUUGGUUGGAGGGACGAAGUUCACUUUCUAUUAAAAGAAACAUUAGAGGAGCUUUCAAAGUCUAGGCUAAGGUUGUUUCCCAUGGCCUUGAAGCAAUACCCAAAAAGAGCUUUCCGGCUGGCAAAAUAGGCUUGUGUUUCUGCGUCGCAAAAUGAUGUGAAUGAGCUUUCGGAGUGUUUCCUCUGAAAUUUUAGAUGCUGCAAAAUCAACAUUGUCCCGCUCGAAGUAACCCGGACAAUUUCAUUUCCUAAUUUCUUCUUAUUUAUUAUGGCAUUGAUUUUCAUUGCAAGCUCAUUGCUCUGCUAAGAAAAAGAAUAAAUGGGGGCCAAAAAAGGAAGAAAGAAAUAGAGGCAAAGGCAACAACAUUAAUGCACAAACCAGUAAAGGUAUUCCAUCGAUUUACGGCCACUGAUAGCAAGCCGGGGCCUUUAAAAACGGAAAAUACAAGCAAAGAAAAAUAGAAGCCAAUUGCUCAAUAGUGCAUAAUAUGCAUACGGAAAAUUUUCAUCACAUCACGACCCACAGUUAUUCGAAUAGGUAAUAAGACAGGAAUUUUCUUUCUUUGUUUAAAGUGAAAAAAAAAAAAAUCAAUGGCUCAGGAAGUAUCCCUCCAAUCUCCAGAACCACUCACUUGGCACUGGCAAGCUGGGUGCGGAGUAGCUUGGCAGCAGCGACCAUGUUUGAGAGGGCUGGCUUCACCUCAGUGUACUUGCGAGUCUUAAGACCACAGUCAGGGUUAACCCACAAAAUGUUGGUUUCUAGCACAGCAAGCAUCUUGUUGAUUCUGUCAGCAAUUUCUUCAGUUGAUGGUAUUCUUGGAGAGUGGAUGUCAUACACACCAGGGCCAAUUCCAGCACCAUACUUGACUCCCUCACGGAAGACAGACAGGAGCUUCUCAUCAGAACGAGAGUUCUCAAUGGUGAUCACAUCAGCAUCCAUGUCGAUAAUUGAGUGGAUAAUGUCGUUGAAGUUGGAGUAGCACAUGUGGGUGUGGAUCUGUCAAUCAAUAUACAAUAAGAUGAGACACAACAUCAACAGCUAAAUUAGAGAGAUGAGAUUGGAGAUUGAAAGGGCAACUGACCUGGGUAGUGUCCUGGACGCCACAGUUGGUGAUUCUGAAGGAGUGGACUGCCCAGUCCAAGUAGAAAGCAUGCUCAGAUUUCCUAAGAGGCAAUCCUUCCCUCAAGGCAGCCUCAUCAAUUUGAAUAACGUUAAUGCCUGCCUUCUCAAGAUCCUCGACUUCGUCCUUGAUGGCCAAAGCAAUCUGGUAGCAGGUUUCAUGUCUGCAAAAUUGGCAGCGAUUUAUGUUAAACAAUGUUUCCAUUUCAAAAGGUUAACCAAUAGUGAACCAGUUCUCAUUUAUAUACCUGGGCUGGUCAUUUCUAACAAAGGACCAGUUGAGAAUGGUGACAGGGCCAGUAAGCAUUCCUUUCAUUGGGCGAGCUGUCAUGCUCUGAGCCAAGGAGGACCAGAAGACGGUCAUAGCCUUGGGACGGCUCACAUCACCAUAGAUGAUGGGUGGCUUCACACAGCGAGAUCCAUAGGAUUGCACCCACCCAUUGGCAGUGAAGGCGAAACCUGAUAAUUGCUCUCCAAAGUACUCAACCAUGUCGUUCCUCUACAAAAACAAAUGUCCCAAUUCAAUAUGAGAUACAGCAUACUUCGUAUGCAAUUAGAAAUGCAGAAACAAAAAUGUAUAAAAUUUUAUCUAAUUCAAAACCAGGAGACAUUGCUUUGCUUCCAUUGGGCAUUGUGAAACUCACCUCAGGCUCUCCAUGGACAAGGACAUCAAUAUCAAGCUCUUCUUGGAGUUUGACAACCUUGUUGAUUUCCUCCUUGAUGGAAGCAACAUAUUCUUCCUCAGAAAUCCUAAAAAGGACAAAUAGUCACGGCACAGUUAAUACAGUAGUCGAAGUAAUUUCACACAUGGCAUUGAAUGAAGGAAAACCUCAGAUUGACUCACUUCUUAGCCUUGUAUUCACGGCGGACUCUCCUAAGUUCAAUGGUUUGUGGGAAGGAUCCAAUUGUGGUGGUUGGGAGGAUUGGAAGAUUGAGCUUCUUCUGUUGAGCAUCCAAUCUAGCACUAACGUUUGUAGCACGUCUGUGGUCUGAUCCCUUCAAAGCAGCAGCCUAAUUUACCAAGAGGAAGGAAUCACCGUUAGCAAAAAAAGGAAACUCUAAGGGGCAGCCACAUCAUAAAAAUGGAAAACAAAUCAAUCAUGCCACUUACAGCCUUUUGAACUCUCUCAUUGGUCACUCUCGGGGAGGACUUUCUUGAAGCCUGAGCUGCAGCAUUGGCAGAGAAGAAUCCCUGGAAACAAAUGAAAAGGAGAAACAAAGUUAGUCUCAUUCAUAUCAUUUCAAAAGGAAUAUACAUAUGCAAUUAGUGGGCUGAUUGUGAGAGAAAAUGUCCACAAAACUUUAACCAAACACCAAAUGCCCAAGUUGCCAAAUGAUGUUUAAUUCGGAAAAAUAUAUUUAGAAACAUUCAAAUAAAUAAUUUCCCCUUCUAAAUUUUCAUUUUCAACAACAUAUUUUACAAGCCAAGCUCAACUUCAGGCCAAGAUUUUCUGCUCCUAUAAUUAUAUUUUACCAUAAAACUAGGUCCUUGAAAGGCUAAGAUUUUCUGACUCUUGUGACUAGUCAAAGCCUAAGAUUCUUUCAAUUCAUCCGUAGCUAACAUUUUAGACUAAAAGUAUACCUCAUCCUUUUGGCCAGCCAAAGCCUUGGCCAAUGCAUUCACUUCAACAACUUUCUGGGCAGCAAAUGCCAGCCAUGACUUGAUUUCAUCGUCGAGUUUGUUCUCAUUAACAAGAUCAACAGCAGUGUGAAGAAGUGAGCAGGAGGUGGAGACCACAAGCUUGUCUGCAAAGAAAAAUAAUAAAUUAUACAACAAAUCCCAUAAAAGAAUAAGAAAUAUUUAUCACAAAGAAAAAUGCAGGCAAAGGAUGUAUACCUUUGCCAACAACACCCUCAAGCCCCCGGAGAACACUAAGAGAAGCAGCAAGAUCAUUGGCCCAAAUGUUCCUUCCAUCAACCACUCCAGCAAAGAGGUACUUGCCAGCAGGGAAUCCACUCUUGAUCAAUUCAAGGGUCUUCGUUCCACGAACCAAAUCAAAUCCAUAAGCGGUGACACCCUUCAAAGAAGUGAGGGUCUGGAAUGCCUCAGCUGGAACAUCAGCAAAGUAGGUCUCAACAAGAACAUUCAAGCCAGACAGAGUUGACUCUAGCUCGGCAUAAGCCUCACUGAAUGCAUGCAAUUUGUGUGAGUCAAGAUCCAUAACAAGCAAUGGCUCAUCAAACUGAAUCCAGGAAGCACCAGCAGCCUUAAGCUCAGAAAUAACUUCCCUGCAGAAGUGUUAAUUGGUACAACACAGAUUAAUGAUGUCACUCGAUAUAUACACACAGAGUUAUUUAGCACAUACACAUUUAUAAAUCAGUAAUAGGUGAUAAUUUCUUACUUGUAGAUUGGAAGGAUUUUCGGAAGAAGAGAAAGAAGAGAAAAGGUCUUCGCAACACCCUUGGCAGGCUUAGACAGCAACAAGUAUGACACAGGGCCAAUAAGCACUGGGACAGUUUCAACUCCAAGCUGCAGCAUUAGACAAGUGAUCGAUAUUAGCAUCUCACAAACUUGAUCUGAUUGAUAGAAAGUUACAAGCAAGUUCAGAAUUCGUUUAAUGAAAUCUCUAUGAAAAAUCUUCAGGGUCCACAAUGUGUUGAAAGUACCCUUUUCAAGUAAUUUAUCUUAAGACUAUUUUGCAAACAGUAUUGCUUUCCUUACAGAUCAAAUAAAUCAAACAACAUAUGAACACAUUUACUGAACCAAGUCUAAGUUCAAAGCUCUAUAAAUAAAUGUCAAUGAAUCUAUAGUAAAUUCUAUUGCAUCCUAAGCUAAAGAUGAGCAUAUCAUAUAAGAAUUUCAAGGUGAACGUAACCCAAUUUCAAUAUAUUGUAGAUUCAGAUAUCAAACGAAAUAAAAUUUGUAAAUAUAGACAGAACUGAGAAUAAACACUCACCCCCUUAGCCUCCUUGUACUCAGUCACAGCCUUGUGGGAAGCGUAGGAGAACUUAACAUCGGGUCCCAAUUCAGGAACAAUGAAAUGACUGCAUCAACACGAAGCCAAACACGCGUCAGCAUUCAGUACAAAACCAUUACACCAUAAAUAACUUGAAAUGCCGCUCUUCCAAGUAGUGAAUACUUACUAGUUGGUGUCGAACCACUUGGUCAUUUCCAUAGCGGGAACAGAGGCGUUUCCUCUGGCCAUGGAGAAGUAAACAUCAAAUCCAAUCUCGCCGCCGUUCCAGUUAUACCUCGGGGGCACGGCACCGAGCAUUGCGGUGGUGUCGAGCACUUGGUCGUAGUAGGAGAAAGUGUUGCUGGGAAUGUAUUUGAUCCCGGCCUGGGACAUCUGUUUCCAGAUGGAGGAUCUGAGAUCAGCGGACACCUUUUGCAAAUCCUCAGCGCUGCUCUUGCCAUCCCAGAAGGAUUCCAACGCGAACUUGAGCUCCCUCUUGGGGCCCAUGCGUGGGUAUCCAACGAUGUGAGAUGCCAUUUUACUGUCAUAAUCACGUCAUCAAUGAAUCGAAAAUCAGUCACUUUCAUUAAAUCAAGAAAAUAUUCAUUCAAAUGGAUGGGUCAUUGCUAUUACUGCUCAAAUCAAAUGAAAUCAAGAACACUUAUCAGAGCAUAAAAUCUUAAAUUAAUUUUUUUAUAAAAAAAUAAAAAACCAGUUGAAACAAGCUGAUAAUAAUCCAAGAGUUUGAGAUGAUUUUUUUCUUUCUGUAAUCACAUGAACAAUUAUGUACUUUCAGUCAUUUUUGAAGGAUUAAAACAAAAAAUUCUACAAAUAGAUUCUGAAAAGAAGAAUCUAAAAAUAGAUUCAAAAACAGUAACACAAGUAGAGUUCAAAUUGUUUUUCGGAAAAGAUUAAUUACAGAUCUGAUUGAUUCACGUUCAGAUCUAGCAAAAUCACGGCAGCCAAACACUAGAUCUAACACUAACAGUCACUCACCAGUCCAUUAGAAAAUGAAAUCAAGUUCAAAAUUCUUUUAAAGUUAAUUCUUUUUUAGAAAAUGACCAGAUUUUAGUUGAGUAUUAGUGAGUUUUUUACAAAAUAAUUUAUUUUUGUUUUUUAGAUCCAAAAGUUCGGAAAUCAAAACCAUGUUCAAUGCUUAUUCAUGAUUAACGGCGUAAAAACGCUACUGCAGAGAAGACAUAACGAAAAUGGGAACCGUACCAAACAGAGAAAGAAGAGCAGAGAAAUUGAGAGUCGAGAGGAGAGAGAGAAGAGAGCGGCGAGUUUGGGGGAGUGCCCUCUCCGUUAUUUAUAGCCAAAAAUCAAAUCUGGUUUGGUGGUUGCCUUUGGCGUGCCAACCUGUAGAUCUGAGAUUUUUCAUCUUAAUUUCUUUCUCUUAUUUAUUUAUUUAUUUAUUAUGAUUUUCAGUGCAGUUCAUAAAAUAUAGAGCUGACGCGCGCUUUUCUGAUGUGGCGCGUGAAUUGGAAAUGCGGUAGGUCUUUGUGGGCCCCACGGCACGGUCAGGACUGAAGGAAAAAUGUGAGAAGUUAUCAUAAUUUCAACAGUGCCAUAAUUAGCAAUUACACCACCAAAUAUUUCUUGAGUUUUUUUUUUUUGAUUGCUUUAAAUGCAGAGUUGUUAUGAAUUGUGUUAAUUGUAGAGUUGUUAUGAUUAGAUUACAUUAUAAUUCGUCACAAUUAUGAUAGGUAUGUACGUAUAUAAUAAUUUAUGAGUAAUGAUAUAACCACAAACUCUUAUACAAACUUAUUUUGUACAAAUUGAUGUGGCAUGAUAAAAUUAGUUGAAUUAAAUAUUACUUGAUCCACAUGAUUUGUUAUUAUUAUUUUAUAUUUUCAUUCAACCAAUGAAUUAAUGACACGUCAGUUUGUACAAGAUAAGUUUGUACAAGAGUUUAUGGUUGUAUCAUCACUCAUAAUUUAUAUAAGAUCUCGAAUAUUUAAAAAAUUUAUAAAUCAUUAUUUUCAUGUACAUUUACCUGGUAGCAAUGACAAUAACAUAAAAUAAACUCCAAACAAGAAUGGAUUAUAUUAUUUAUGUUAUUUUAUAGCUUUUUAAUUGAUUUUUAAAAGGAUUAAUUGUUAAUCAUUACUCUCCAACCGUAAUCACCAUUAAAUAUUUAUUUAAUUUAAUAGUCGGUAGAUCAUAAAUAAGAUUAGAAUAUUUAAUGGACAAUCUAAUUGCUACUACAAUUGUUAUCAUUUUUUUAAGGUAAGGGAUUAGACAAUACUCAAAUUUAUUUUUUAACCCCUUACUCCCUAAAGAUUCGAAUUUAACUAACUAAUUAAAUAAGACUGCUUAAAAACCACUCAACCACAUCUUUUGGGGACCAAUUAAUAUCGAUGUUUAAACUGAGGUUUAUUAUUAAAUUUUUUAAGUUUCAAGUUUCAACCGCUAACAACAUUAUCAUCGAUUAAUGAUAAAUAUAAUAAUAUUUCAUCAAAAAACCAUUUAACACAUCCAUCCAUAUUAAACAUAAGUAAAAAAUUUAUCAUGCAUUUCAAAUAUAUUUUUCAUCCUAAAAGUUAUGGAGAAAAUCUUGAUAUCAAAACUUACAAUGUAAUUAUGGGAUGUAAUUUUGCAUUUGAGGUCAGCACAACUUAAAAAUUACUAUGAAUGAAAAUUUAUAAUAAGCAGACACCACAAAAAAAAAUUAUUUAUAAGUAUUACAAUCAUGCAGUUUUAUUUAAGUAUUUAACCAAGUCAUUCAAUUUCUAAUUAAGACGGUAUAAAUUAGAUUUGGGCUGCCUAAGACCAAAAGUCAAAAAAAAAAAAAGAAUAUUCCUAAUAAGCAGCCUACCGCGGUCACGCGCCUUAAGAAACGCUUGGACUUAGCACACGAUUUUAAUCCAAAAUGUAUAAAAAAGGAAAAAUUUAUGAGGUGUAUAAUUAUCUUGAGUUGUUAUAUUUUGAAGAAACAAUGAAGAAAGUUGGUGGCCGAAGUUGAUCCGGGGCGAAUGGUGGUGGGCCCACGUUGUUGCAUUAUAAUUGGAGUUAUUGUAAUUUUUCUUAUAAUUAAUAAACUCCAUUUUUCAAAGAAAAUAAAUAAAUAAAUACACUCCCGAUUACGAAAAUAUCAUUUCAUGAGUGUCAAAGUUAGAGCUGGCAAAAUUUGACACGACCCGAUUACCUGACACGAACACGACAUAAAUAAAUAAGUAUGGAUCGUCAAAUUUAACACGAUUAUUAAAUGGGUCGGGUCUGGGUCAACACAAUUUUUUUCCGUGUCGGGUUUGGGUUAAAAUUCUUGACCCAUUUACCCGAUCAAUGACCCGAUUAUAUUUUCUAUUUUAAAAUAAUUUACAUAUUCUUAUAAUUAAAACUCAAAUAUUAGAGAUAUUUUUUUUAUUCUUUAAAAUGGUGAAUAUAAACACAGUGUUUUAUUUAUAAAAUUUUACAUACAUUUAGAGCUUCAAUAGUGUAAAUGUGUAAAAAUUGAUAGACAUGUAUAUUUUAUAAUAUUGAUAUAUAAUAUUAUAUAUAUAUAUAUAUAAUUAAAACCUCAAUAGUGUACAUGUGUAAUAUAUUGGUAGAUAUGUAUAUUUUAUAAUAUCGAUAAAUUAUGUAUGUAUGUAUUUAUGUACAUACGUAUGUAUGUAUUUAUGUAUAUACGUAUGUAUGUAUUUAUGUACAUACGUAUGUAUGAUAGUGUGUAAAUAUUUUAUGUAACUUUUGUUCAAUAUAUAGAUAUUAAACGGGUUAUUGGGUAACCCGAUUGUUUUUCCGUGUCGGGUUUGGGUCUCAAUAUUUUGACACGAUUAUUAAAUGGGUCGGGUUUGGGUCGACCUAAAUUUGACACGACACGACACGAACACGACCCGAUGACCCGUUUUGCCAGCUCUAGUCAAAGUGACCGUCACCUACGCAUCGCGUUUGUUGGGCGGGGUGGGUAAGGUGGGGCGAGGAGUUUGUUUGAUCGUCUGAUUACUUUGAUUUUGAUGAAACGUAUGGACGACGGCGAUGGCUUGCCAGCAAGUGGGUUUAUCAUGAUUUUGAUUGUAUUCGGGGAGAUGCUUAUGUAUAUCCUCAAAACUUCUUGGAAAUGAAAACCGCUGGGGUGGCAAAUCUUGACCAAUAAAGUGUGCGUGAUGUUGCGUUUAUAAAUUUCAAUAAUACUAUUGGCCGAUUGAGAUUAUUUUUAAAAAGUUUAAAAAUAAUUUUUAAAGGUUAAAUGUUAAUUUUAAUAUUGAAUAAAUUUUUAAAAAUUAUUUUUGAUAAAAUCAUUUUAUCCUCCAAUAAAUUUUAAAAAAUAGCGAUACAGUAAUUUUUUAAAAUCUAAUUUUAAUAAUCAAAACUAUUUUUUUAUAUAAUUUUAUAGAUAUCCGCAUAUAUAUAUUAUAAAAAUUCGAAAUCAUUAUUAUUAAUUAGGAAAUAAAAUCAUUAACUUUUAAGAAAUUAUUAUUAUUACCAAUUAUACUGACAUAACAAAAUAAAAAAUUAAUUAAUAUUAUAAAUAUUUAUUUCAGUUAUCAACUAUUAUAUAUACACAAUAAAAAAUAUUUUAUAUACAUAUUUAUAAAUGUAUAAAUAAUUUUUAUUCAAUAUUAUAUCGAAUUAAUCAUUUACAUUCUUGCAACAAGUUAACAAUAAAAUUUACCAAACACAUACGAUUGUUUUUAAAACUCAUAUUAUUUUUUUAAAAAAAAAUUACUAAACCUUUAACUGAUUCUCUUACAACUGAUUAUUUCUACAGUACAAUUAACAACAAUUAUUUUAAAAACUAUAACAUUUUCAAACUAGCCCCAUGACAAUAUUGUUAUUGUUGUUUUUCUUACUCUUAUCAAUAAAACUACGUUGCACAUAAGUGCAUAAAAAUUCACACAAAAUAAACUAUUUAACUUUAGGGUAUUAAUUGAAAAAAAAAAUCAGAUUAAGGUGAAUAAAUAUCAGAAAAUAACAAAUAGAUAAACUCUCACACUCUUUAAAAAAAUUAAUUUUAUAAUUUUAUUUAAAACCAACAGAUAUUACCAAACUUAACGGAUCAAUGUUCCAAUGUUUUCUUUUUAAUUUCAAAACCAACAGAUAUUCUUUGUUCAUUAUAUGACCUCCAAACAAAUAAUUUCAUUAAUAAAAUAAUAAUGAAAAGUAUCGUGGUGAGUACAGAGUAAUUCGGUGGCUAAUAAAAGUCUCUAUUUUUCGUCUCUGUUUUUCAUUUUAACUCUUGGGGUUGGUGCCACUUCGGCCUUGGUCGGAGUGGUGGGCUGCUGCCCUCACAAGUAUUGUGAGGACAGUGGUUCAAGCCCCCACAAAUAUUUUUGUGGGGGCUAACGUACUUAUUUAUUUAAUAUUUCAAAAAUUUCUUCUCCCUCGUGCAAUACGAGUGGAGUAUGGACAUCCCUCCUCUAUAAGGGAUUAUUUGUCUGGGCAUGUACUUCACAGAAUUCAAUGUAAUAAUAUAAGUCUCAAUCAUAUAUUUUUGAUUGUAAAUAUCAAUAUAAUAUAUCUGCUAUAAUAGCAGUUGUAAAUAUCUGUGUAAUGCAAUAAUAUGAUAAUUAAUCAUUAUUCAAAAAAAAAACUCUUGGGGUUGGUAGGCUCGUGAAUGGUCCACGUAACCUCUGGACGUAACACUCAAACAAAGACAGCACAAGGCACAUGAAAAAUGCCUAAAAACCGUAAAACCGUGACGUGUUCAACAUAUUAAUAAAUUUAUACUGUGUUUUCUUUUUUUUUUUAAUACUGUGUUGAUAAAGCACUUACGAUGGAACGACCAAUUCUAUUACUUGCAAAACUAAUUAAUAUUUCACUCUAUCAUCUAACUAAUGGAAGGCCAUCUUAAUUGAGGUUGCAAUAGUUAGAAAGUAGCGGGAAGGGUGGCCAAUGCUCCAUAUUAAUUUGCAUCAAUCCCUUUCUGGUGAAGAAGUACGGGUGAAGUAGAGGUCAAAGUUAGAAGAUGAAGGGUGUGUUUGGGAAUUGAGAGUGAGGUGCUGUAGUUUUUUAGCUGCAGUUGCUGUGAAAUAAAAGUUAUAACUGUGGAAUAGAAGUUGAGAAAAAAAAUUUGUUAAGCUGCCAAAGCCCAGUUACAAAUGUUACCAAACACCUUAGUAGCUAGGCUUUGGCAGCCCAUCUACCCCAUCACACUCCCAAACGGAUUAGAAGGGGACCGGGAUUGCUUUGUCAUAUUUGAAAAUGAUUUUGAAAAAAUAAAAAUUAAGUUCAGAAUUUGGUAAAUUCCUUUAAAAUUUCUUUUAGCAAAAUCACUCUCUCCUUUAGAUUUUGAAAAGUAUGGAAUGAGUAGUUUUUUAAAAUUUAAUUUUGAAAUUCGGAUUCAUAUUUAAUAUAAUACCAUAUAUCAUAACAUGUAUUAUAAAAAUCUAAAAUUAUCCUUAUUCAAUCAAUUAAGAAGUAAAAUCUUACAUUUAAAGAUAUUAUCAUUAUCAAUUAUAUUUAGAUAAUAAAAAAUACAAUUAAUAAAAUAAAAAUAUUUAUUUUAGUUAUCAAUUAUUAUAUAUAUACAUAAAAUGUAAUUAUAUAAACAUAUUUAUAAAUGUAUGUGUAAAUUAAAUUUGUAGAUUUAUGUUUAUAUAGAUCAUUUGCAUUCUUAUCACAUUUUAAAAGUGAGAUUUAUUAAAUAUAUAUAUGAUUAUUUUUAAAAUUUACAGCACUUUUUAAAACAAAAGUAUCAAAAGUUUAAUUGAUUCCUUAUUUUUACUGUACAACUAACAGUAAGAUGUGUUUGGUUCAAGUAUAAAAUGAUGGGAUUGGACAAUUUUAAGAUUAAAUAAUCCUAAUGCAAUGUUUGGUACCAAAAAUAAUUGUGGGAUAAAAAUAGUGGACCCCACCAUUUAAUCCAACACAAUGUCAAAAUUUUAUCACAAAGGGGGGUGUGGGAUAAGCUAAAACUUAAACGUAGGAUAACAAAAAAAAAGCCCAAAAUUUUAUACAACACAGUGAUUUUUUUUUUUUUUUGAGUAUGUCAUCAUCCAAUGAUAGUAUAUAUGCCAGAACACUCUUUUGACGUUAAUGAUAUGUAAUAUUUUCAUAUAUACAGCUAGUGACAUUGUUAUGUAAUUUCUUUUUCAUUUAUAGAUUUAUAUUAUUAUUAUAUUUGUUGAUGAUAUUCUUGUUAUGUUUAUAAUUAUAUUAUUUAGUAAUUUAUAAGUUUAAAAACUAUAACAUGUUAAAUAUAAGAAAAACUUUAAGCGAAGAUUUUGUAUUUUUUAACAAAUUUACCAAUAAUUUUUUAUUUAAGUUAGAUUAUAUUCCAUGUCAUUUUAAAAUAAAUCUAAGAUAAUUUUGAUAAAUUAAUAAAUAAGACAUAUUAUUAGUUACUAACCAAUUUCAUGGCAUACCAAACAUGAGAUAUGAUUAUUUACAGUCUAAUCCAACAUUGCACCAAACGUAAUAGAGUAUUAUAUAUAAUCCAAUGUUAUCAAAUCCAAUCAUAUCUUAUCCAAUCCGAUCCGAUCCAGUCUAAUCCAAUUUGACAUACCAAACAAGCCCUAAUUAUGUUAAAAACUACAUCAUUACCAAACUGACCCUUAAUACAAUCUCAUACAUACAUACAUAUAUAUAUAUAUAUUAAAAAUUAAAAAUUAUCUUUAUUUAGUUAGGAAAUAAAACCAUUAUAUUUAAAUAGAUUAAUAUUAUUACUAAUUAUAUUCAGAUAACAAAAUUAAUAAAAUAAAAAUAUUUGUUUGAUUUAUCAAUUAUUAUACACACAUAUUUAUAAAUGCAUGCGUAAAUAAAAUUUUAUAGAUUUAGGCCAAGGCGGAUGUACGGUACAGCAGUAUCUUUAUUUAGUUAGGAAAUAAAACCAUUAUAUUUAAAUAGAUUAAUAUUAUUACUAAUUAUAUUCAGAUAACAAAAUUAAUAAAAUAAAAAUAUUUGUUUGAUUUAUCAAUUAUUAUACACACAUAUUUAUAAAUGCAUGCGUAAAUAAAAUUUUAUAGAUUUAUGUCUAUUUAAAUCAUUUGCAUUCUUAUAACAUUUUAAAAAAAGAAAAGAAAAGUGAUUUACCAAAUACAUGUAAUUGUUCUUCAAACUUACAACACUUUUAAAAUAGAAUUUAAUAAAUGUUUAAUUAAUUUUUUCACAGCUGAUUAUUUUUAUGGUAUAACUAACAAUAAUCUAUAAACUUAUGGUAAAUAUUUGUGUGAAUGUUGGUCCAUGUAAAGAAGUAAAAACAACGCAUAUAUCAAGCAAUAAGAUAUCAAAACUCUUAGUAAAAUACAUAUACUAAUGAAAGAAUGACAGCAAUGCAAUAAAUAAGAUUAUAAUAUAAAUUAUUAAAAUUGUAUAUUAAAAAUUGAUGUAUGAAAUUCUUUUUAUUUUAGUGAUAGAUAAUGUGAUAUAUUUGAAUAAUUUGAUUAAAUGAAAAGAAAAAUAACAAGUAUGGUUGUGGAGGAAAUAAACCAUUGAACUGUGGAAUGUUAUUAAUUAUUGCUAUUUCAUUAUGUAACGUCCUGAUAAUAAGUACAGUGUUAUAGUAUAUUGAUGGGUGGUGAUAUUGUCACCCCUUAAAUUGUGUAAAGUCAACCUCAUUUACAAAUUUUUUGAUAUAAAUUAAAAAGUACAUUAGUUUUAAUAAAUUAUAUAUUUAUUGAAUAAACUAGAACCGUUAGGGAGCUGUAAUGUUAGCACUGUUUUAACUUAUUAUAAAAAAAAAAGUUAUGAUUUGAUCAUAACUCUAAUUUAGAAAAGAAAAAAGAGUUGAAUUGCUAACAUACUUAAAAAUAAAAUAAAAACAUUAUUAUUAGAUGAAAAAUUGUAAAACUUAAGGGGGCAUUUGCAAGUCCGCCACUACUCAAUAGAGCAUUAUUCAGUACUCGUUAAUAUAUCUCGAACUUUUAGGUUUUUUUAAUAUAUUUUUAAUACAUUUUCUAGAACAUUUAGAUAAAAAGAGUCAGUACUCCAAUUGAGUUGUGAAUAAACAUUUAGAUAAAAAGAGUCAAUACUCCAAUUGAGUUGUGAAUAAACUCAUGUUAAAAAAAAAAAAACUCAUUUUCACACUUGAAACGAUUAGUAAAUGGGUGAUACGAAUUUAACUUGGUCAAUAAUAUAUACCAUCUUAAGUUAACUUCAACUCAUUGAUCUUCUAUAGGGUUGAUCAGCCUGCCACAAGGCCCACAAAUUAUCACCUCUAAUGCUUUUGCAACAGUCGUUAUAAAUGCUGACAAAAUGAAACUUCUAUAUAUUUUGGUUUUUUUUUAUUUCUAUGAAAUAUAAGGCCCUUAUGGCAAAUUUCCAUCCAGCGUGAAAUUUGCUAGUUUGGCCUUGGUACUGUGGCACAUGCGUCAUGCAUGCGUGGCUGAGAUGCUUCUAAAACUAAUAAAUUAUGAAGAAUUCCAAAUUCGUACCAAAAAUAAGAGAAUAGGAGCUUGUCAUAGGUGUCCGCGGAUCGGAUUUUAUGGGUUAAACAUUAAUUCAUAUUUGAUUCGUGAUUUUGUAGAUUAUAAAUUUUUAAUUUAAUUCAAUUUAUGGAUUAGUGAAACUCAAUACAAAUUCAAUCCAUAUAUAUGCAAAUUAGAUGCGGAUUUAACCCAAUGCAUAUUCAAUCCAUCAUUUGGCGGAUUGAUUUGCAAAUUAAAAGUUUUUAAUUUUGUCCAAUCUAAAAAGUAAUUAAAUUAAAAAAAUCUAAUAUAUAAAUAAUUGAUUAAAUAAAAAAAUCUAAUGUAAAAAUAAUUUUACUACCAAUUAAAUUCAAAAUUGAACAAGAUUUAAAUAAAUUUAGAAUAAUACAUUCAAAAUUUUAAAAUAUAACACACCGAAAAAAAAAUUCAUUUAUUUAGAUCAAUACAUGAAAAUUAACUAAAAUUAUGAAUUUAAAUGUUGAAACUUGAAAGCUUGGAUGUAACAGGAAGAAUUUAAGAAACUUGAAGAGCUUGAAAAGAAAGUAAGAAAUUAAGUUUAAUUACCUCAAGUGGUGAAGUGAAACAGUGAUUGGCUUGUGCGUGCGGUGGGAUAGAGAUUUGGUGUUAUAUGUCAAAAUAUUUUGUUUGGCUUGGGGUUUUUGUUUUGCUUUAGAAAUUUUAAUGUUUAGGAAACUAUAUUUGCUUAUUUAAUUAUUUCUUAUUUUAUAUUGUUAUCGAAUAAAAUAUAAUAUUUUGUUAAUUUAGCUAUAAUUUUAUGCUGAAUAUAUUUAUUUAAAACGAUUUUAUUAAAUAAAUGUGCAUAUUUAACGAAGGUCUCUGAAAUUUCAACCUGCCUGCUAAUGAUAGCCAAUACGGCACGACCCACCAAAUGUCGGCCCACGCGGGCUUGUGGGCCAUGACGACUUUUUUUGUAAGGGCCCGGCACGGCCCACGGCACGAGUCCGUGCCCAAAAAAAGCCCACCUACCUUUUUUUUUUUUGUCCACAUGUUCAGCGUGCCUAAAAAAACCCACGUGCCUGACGUGCUUUUUUAAGCCCACCAGCCUAAUAGUAACAACAACAACAACAAUAAUAAUAAUUUCAUAGAAAUAAUUAAUGAAAAAUAAAAUAACAAUUCUAGAAUAACAAUUACAUCUAAUUUUAUUUGAACAACUAAUAUUAUAAUUGCACAUAAACUCUAUUGAAUGAAAAUGUAAUUUUUAAUUUAUUAUAAAAAUAUUUUGUUCAUAAUUUUAUUUUUUUGUGCGUAAAUAUGAAAAAUAUUUCAUUCACAAAUGAAACAUAUCUCCAUUAACUAUUAACUAAGUUAUGAUUUCAUAAAUGAAAUAUUAAUGUCGUAAAAUUUUUUAUUUAUCAUUUAUAAAAUCAUGAUAUUUAUUUAUCCAUUUAAUAAAUUAUAAACAUAAAAAAAUUAGAAUACUUAUUUAAACUAGGACUUAAAUUAAUUUUAAAAAGCCUAUACUAAAAAAAUAUAUUAAAAUUUUUAAUUUCAAGGUAUUUAUAAAAUCAUGAUAUUUUAUAUUUAUUUUUCAUUAAAAAAUUUUAUUUUGAUAUACUUUGGCCCACGUGCUAUUGGUGGCCCACGGGCCGCGUGCUUAGCCCACCAAUAAAGUGUGCUUAUUACAUGCCUUUUCGCGUGCCGUGUUUUGCCCCAUCUCUAAUCAUACCGUGCUUUUAAGGCCUGCGUGCCUAAAAUUCUAGGCCCGCCAGCCGUGCCGUGCCGUGCCGUGCCUCGUGCCGCCUGGCCCAUUGGCCAUCCCUACUGCCCGCCAACCACAUUUGUCCAAGAUCAAUUUGUAGGAAAAAAAUUUGAAAAUCAAUAAUUUAUUUAAUUAAUUGUUAAUGUAGGCAUUUGAAUCCCCACAAAAUCUGGGUGUCAGUUCUAGACUUCUGGUGAUAUAUUUUUCUAAUUAAGGAAUAAAAUAUUUUUGUCAUUUUUUUAAUAUUUUAAUUUACCAGGCAUAUCAACUAAUUAAUUUUUCUACUUAGACUAUUAAUUCAUUACGUGCGCAAUCUGUAGCCCGGCGCUCCAAUCCCAUGCAUGUUACACACAACUCAAUCAUUAUUUAUUUAUUUAUUUAUUUUGACCAACAACUCAAUGUUUUUUAUAGAGCUGUCAAAAUUUGACACGACCCGAUUACCCGACACGAACACGACAUAAAUAAAUGGGUAUGGGUCGUCAAAUUUAACACGAUUAUUAAAUGGGUCGGGUCCGGGUCAACACGAUUUUUUUCCGUGUCGGGUUUUGGGUUAAAAUUCUUGACCCAUUUACCCGAUCAAUGACCCGAUUAUAUUUUCUAUUUUAAAAUAAUUUACAUAUUCUUAUAAUUAAAACUCAAAUAUUAGAGAUGAUUUUCUUUUUUUUUAUUCUUUAAAAGGGUGAUAUAUUUUAUAAUAUCGAUAAAUUAUGUAUGUAUGUAUUUAUGUACAUACGUAUGUAUGAUAGUGUGGAAAUAUUUUAUGUAACUUUUGUUCAAUAUAUAGAUAUUAAACGGGUUAUUGGGUAACCCGAUUAUUUUUCCGUGUCGGGUUUGGGUCUCAAUAUUUUGACACGAUUAUUAAAUGGGUCGGGUUUGGGUCGACCUAAAUUUGACACGACACGAAACUGACACGACAUGAACACGACCCGAUGACCCGUUUUGCCAGCUCUAGUUUUUUAAUAUGAAAAGGUAUUGGUUAGCUUUGUCUUUAGUUUUUUCAACUUAUAAUAAGUUUGUAUUAAGGCUCCCUUUGGUACAGAUUUUCAAGUAAAACUUAUUUAGGGUUAUUUUUAGGGACCUCCCCUGAGGUUUGGUGUAUUAACAAUCUGAUAGAAAGUAUUCACGUAAUUACAAAGACCUCCCCUGACAUUUGUAUUAUGUUAAGUGGACUGUUAUUGACUAUUGAAAAUCCAAAAAUACCCUUCCUGCCAAAAUAUUUCUUUAUUCACUGAUGAACUGAUGGGUAAUUCGUGCCAAAAUCACAAAUUACUUAAGAAGAUGAAAAUAUCCAUUGGAUAAAAAAAAUGAAAUUGCUUAAUAAAAAAAUUGACAUUGCAUAAUAAUAAAAAAAAUUGAAAUAAUGUGCGGCGGCAUAGCUGCAUCUUGCAUGCAUAUUAUUAUUGUGAUUUUUUUAUUACAAACUCCAUCCUGCAUGCUUAUUAUUAUUGUGAUUUUUUUUAUUACAAACUACUUCAUAACUAAUACAUGCCACAAGAGCAGAGCUAUUAAAAGAAAUGAUUUUCAUAUUGUAAACUUGAUAGUACAGGUGUUGGCACCGACCAUAAAACCCUUAUGAUACCAAUCUUUGCUCCAUCCAUAUUUAAAUCCAGAUCAAGUAAAUAUUAAAUUGGAUUUCAGGUCCUGAAAAUCCCACUCUAUAAUUGAUAUCUUCGAGUUUUGUUGGUGCCUCAAACCUGGAUCUAGAGCAUCAUCUCUGUCAUACUCGGAACACCUAAACUAAUGGACUUGCUGCAGCUGCUUAUUCUUCUUCUGAAAUGAUGCACGCAGAUAGAUUACAGACUUUGAAAUAAGAAAUACAAUAAACAACAUGUAAUCGAACUUAAGAUUUCGGCAAACUUGUUUGAAAAUUAGAAUCAAACAAGGAAAAUGGCAAGUCAAUAUUUUUUAAUCUAGAAAAAGGGCAAUUUCAAAGUUUAUCACAUGCCAAAUUCAUAGUCUUGCAUCCACUAUUUUCUAGUUUGAAUAACAAACAAAAGCCUUAGACAAAAACACAGAGAACAUCUCACAUGGGAGCAAAAAUUGUGUGUAGAACAAUAUACUUAAGUUACAUGUGAUUACAAUCACAUUAUUUAGCAAAUACAAAAUUACCUUCUCAAAAAAAAAAAAAAAAAAAAAAACACCACCAAAUUAUUGAAGGUAUUACAACAAUAAGGCAAAAGAACACCAAAGGCAUGCACAAACCGAAACUAACACACAACUCAAUUAGUGUCAUGACCCCAAACUGAACAAUCAUAUAAACCAUUGUGGGCUCUCUAAAAGAUUAUCACAUUAUAAGCAAACAGAAACCUAUAUUUGAUGAACUACAUCUAGUACUUACACAACUCUUAAAUCAUUAGGAAAUUGCUCUUAUCAGUCAUUACCCAAUAGUUUUUUUCAACUCAACACUAACAACCCCAAAGAGAAACAACAUCCAGCACCAUUUUCAUUAAUUAAAACAGACCCAUUGUUAUUUUUAAUCAAUAAAAUAACAACAAUAUCGUGUAAGCCACUGAUUCAAGCAUUCAAGCUGUGUUUUCGAAGACUGACCUCUUCUUGCUAUCUAAUUCCAGUCACGAUAGACGCUAGAUGCCGGCAAUACUCGCUUCUUGGAAGCUCUGGACCACCGCACGACGUCAUCUUGUGCAGUAGAUGAAAAUAAAUCAAUGAUUUCAGAAAUUAUUUGUGAGUUGCAGACGCUUCUUCUCCAUGGAUGAAAAUGAUGGUGGGUUUUGUUCAAGUGUAAGCUGUGUUUACGAGGAGAAGUACACUUUGUGAAAAAAUCAUUUUCUUUCAUCUACUGGAUAAUGACUUUGGACUGGGUAAUGGUGUGUUUAAGUCUCUAUUUCACGGACAUUGAAGCAUAUUUUGCUUGAAUUUUGAUUUUGUUUAAAUUUCAAGUUUACUUUUACUUGUUUACCCUUUUAUACUGACGCUUAUGUAUUUUUAUACUAACGUUAAGGGAGGUCUUUGUAAUUAUAUGAAUACUUUCUAUCAGACUGUUAAUACAACAAACCUCAGGGGAGGUCCCUAAAAAUAACCCAACUUAUUUAAAUAGAACUUUUACAAAAAAAAAUUUAGUUAUUUGGUUGUCAAUAAACUUUUCAAGUAUACUUUGUUUGGUACAGCUUUUCAAGUAAAACUUAUUUAAGUAGAGCUUUUACAAAAAAAAAAAAAUUAGUUGUUUGGUUGUCAAUAAAAAUUUUUAUUAAAAAAAAUAUGAAAUUACUUUAUUAGUCAAGUUUUUUUAAAGUUAUGCUAUGAAAAGAAUAAAAUAAGAUUGUCAAAUAAAUAGAAAAUAUUUUAAAUAUUUUAACAUUUAAAAAAACUUUUUAACCUUUAUUUUCAAAAAUCUAAAAUUUAAACUUUUACUAGUAAAGGCAAAAUAAUUUAUUUAAACUUCAAAAGCUUUAUUAGAAAAAUAAUCAAACAAUAACAAAAAUUAUUAUAAAAGCUUAUCGAAUUAAAUAAGUACUUAUAGUUAUUAAAGAAGUUAUAUCUAACAGACACUAAUGCCGAAAGCCCCUUCUAAUUGUGGGUGUAAAAGUUUGAAUUAUGCAUACGGUUAAGGAGUUAAGGUGUGUUUGGCAACUGCAUUAAGUGGAAAUUUUUAUUUUGUUUCGAAUAAAAAUACAGCAAGCUCGUGUUCGGCUCAAAAUAAUGGAACGUUUAAUUUGCAACCGUCGGCGGACGAAGCACACCGUUCACGGCCCUUCGUAUAAAAUUGCAUAUGUAAACGUAAAUAGGUCCGGAUUCAGAUUCGUUGCUGUAGAGAGUGGCACGCACGAUCGGGCUGCUGUCGGUGGUAGGUUGGCAUUGGAAUUCUCAUCACGCGCUUCCCCAGGCGCCUACUUAUGGCAAAUUGACACGUGACGCGUGUGGAUUGAAUGGACAGAGUCCCGGGCAGUGUGUCCAAAGCUGCCAACCGUGCUCUGAUUUUUGUCAUCCAUAAUGGCUAACGACUAACGAGGGAGAUUUCCGGGCAGAAAGAAAUUGUUGUCGUUUCUGAAGGGGAAAAAAAAGUUAUUUAAUUUGUUGUUGAAGACAAAAUGAAGAUCUAAAUAAAUAAUGGCUAAUUUUGAGUGUAAAGCAACGGUAAAUGCAUUAUUAAAUUAGAUUUAGGGUCUGAUUGAGAUUAUUUUUAGAUUUAAAAUUAAUUUUGAAAAGUUAAAAUUAAUUUUGAUGUUUAUUAAUUUUUAUUAAAAAUUAUUUUUGUCAAAAUCUCUCAUCCUCCAGCAUAUUAUAAAAAAUAAGGAAGAAAUAAUUUUUUAAAAUUUAAUUUUAAGAAUCAGUUUUAUACUUAAUAUAAUCCACAUAUAUCCUCGUAAAUAUUAUAAAAAUUUAAAAUUAUUCUUAUUUAUUUAGGAUAUAAAAUUAUUAAAUUCAAACAUAUUAUUAUUAUUAUUAUUAUUGUUAUUAUUAUUAUUAUUAUUAUAAAUUCACACACGCACACACAUACUUAUAAAUUUAUAAAUAAACUUUAUUUAACAUUUUGUUCACUUAAAUCAUUUAUAUUCUUAUAGCAGUUUAACAUUAUGAUUUACCAAACACAGAUAAUUAUUUUUAAAAUCCAUAAUAUUUUUUAAAAUAAAUUUUAAUAAAUGUUUAACUUAUUAUUCUGACAACUGAUUUUUUUUGUAAGGUAUAACCAUUAAUAAUAAAUAUUUUAAAAGUUACAGUAUCCCCAAAUUGGCCCUUACUAAUACUCUGCGUUGCCAACUAAAUACUAAUUGUAACAUUAAACAUCUGGAAUAUUUUUCUCUAACGAAACAACACAAUUAAUUUCCCUCUAAAAAAGAAAAAGAAAAAGAAAAAAUAAACUACCAACCCCACCCCUUUAGACAGCAGAGUUUUAGCUGAGGCGGCUUGCUUGCAUAAGCAUUAAGGCUGCUCUUCACCAACCAUUGAACAUUCUUUCCAUUUGAUUGUUACACUUUACUUCGCCAUCUCAUGUCCAUGUACAUUGUUUUGAAAUGAAGACUUUGCGUACAACUAAUCUUUUUCAAUUCAUAAUAAAAACUCUUUUAAUUAGUUAAUAGCUAUAGCUUCCAAUUGAGACUAUAUAUAAAAAUCCAUAUUGACUGACCAAACCAAUAAUUUUUAAUUGGCUUGAGCAUUGUCUUACUUACUUCAAAAUCGUCACUCUCUUUGAAAAGAACAUGAGAGAGUUCACCUCCAUCUCAACCCUUAACCCUAUAUCUCAGUCAAGAGAUUAUUCAUGGAAAAUUCAGAAAAAAGAAAUGUUGCAAUAUUUACGAAACUCACGUCACGUGAGGUAAGAUAAAUUAUUCCUUUCUGCUUUAAUUCAUGUACAUAAUCAUGAGAAUAACUUUAAUUAUAGUUUAUUUCUCCGUUUUAAGAUUUUUCCUUUUUUUUUUUUAAUUAAUUAAUUAUAGUUCAUUCAUUAAUCCCAUAAGAAAUUAACACCUUUGCCGGUAAAGUCACACAUACAACAAUAUUUUAGAACAAAAGGGAAGAUCAUGCACGAUCAUGAUGUUUUAUUAUAUCUCUAGCAAUAUAAUUAUCUUAUAAUUAAUUAAAAACAAAACAGGUAAUUAAGCCAAAGUGGAUGGCAUGCAUCAAUCAUCAUGCAGAACACCUCCCCUUGUUUUAAAUAUAAAUAAAAGAAAUUUGUGCCCAGAAGACUUAAUUAAUACUUCUCGUUUCUGAAGUGCUCACAUGAUAUAUAGUCGGACGCAUUAUAUUUAAUUUCAUGAAUUAAUCGUACGGUUGUAUUUUGAGAGAGAGAGAGAGAGAGAGAGUGACUGAGUAAGAUAUGGCUUAAUUUAACCAAAUCUACGUAUAAAAUUUUAAAAUGAAUUUUUGAGUUUUAACUUAGGAAUUGUCUAUGAAUAAAAGUGUUAAUCAAAUAUUUCGUGUAAAAACAGUCAGCUGUAACAUUUUCGGUUGCUUUAACAAAACUGUAUAUUUCUGUAAUUUCCUAUAUGGGCCAAAAGGAACAUUUUUCUCAGAAAUUAAAAACUUAUGGUGAAAAAGAUAAGAAAACCAACAGGUUCAAAGGUGCGAGUAAACUGGGCUCUGGUGCGCCCAACUCCCUCUUUUGAUUUUGAGACUCUAUUGACCAUUGAGUUUGAGGCCCCAACGGCCCAGUUUAAAACUGUUAUGAAAAGAAAAAAAAUAUAACUAUAAAAUUAAAAUUAAUAAUGUUUGAUAAAUAUAAUUUUUAAAUAAUAAUUUGACAAAAAUAAUAUAGGGUCUUGUGUAUAUUUUUAUUUGGCAUUUCAAUUAAUCUGCUUAUAUAUAUAUAUAUAUAAGUUAAUCUAUAUUUCUUGCAAGAAGAUAGUAUUUCUUUAAUUAAAGUCAUAACUAAUAUAUAAAUUAUCAACUAACCAUCAAACAUUUAUCUCAUUUUAUCUCCACCACGAUCAUCACCAUUCAUCCUGUCACGAUCUUUAUGUAACUACAAUUAUUUUUUCUUUAAUAAUGUCAACCCACCAACCCCAUAACAAUAUCUCCAAACAUCUCAUCUCAAAAUUCCUAAUAACAUAAGUGUUUAUGUAUGAAAGAAAAUGUGAAAUAUAUAAUCAAAAAGUAGUUUAAUAAUAUAAUGUUUAAAAAUUAUGGUAAAAAUAAGUGAGAGUUUGGCAUGGCAAGUUAAUAAAAAGAUAAAAGCUCGGACACUUGAUGCAUCAAAGUAGCAAUGUCUGUCCAUCAUUAUCAUCAUGCGGGUUUAGGUGCUUCUCAUGAUAGCAUUAGCUGGUAAGACCAUCAUGCAUCGUACUUUCAUUGUUAUACAUUUUGAAGGUAAGAAUGGUUAUGUUACGUCCCUCCGAUUAGGUGUAUUUUUCUUCUUCUUCUUCUUCUUUUUCUUCUUCUUGUACGUAAUAAUUUCUCUUUCUUCCAUGAAGAUUUCUUUCUCUCUUUCUUUUUUUUUUUUUUAUUAUAAAUAAAAUGAUAAGAACUAAUUUCCUUACUAAUUGGUAGGGUCGUUUAAUGGUUCAGAUCCAUUAGAUUUUGUCAAAUUCAAGUCCAAUCCAUCAUAUAUUCCAUUUUAUAUUCCGGAUCCGAUCACUAAUAGAAAUCCAUUAUAAUUUAAAACAAUAAAACGUCGAAUCCAAUUUAAUUCGAUAUGAUCAAUCCAAUUAAAAUAAAAAUUUACAAAUAAAAAUCAUUAGUUGCUCUCUCCAGUUAUAAUUCUUAACAAUUAAAAAAAAUACAAAAUAUCAACUCCUUUAAUAUUUCAUGAUUCAUGUACUUUAUUAUCAUAUGGUUGGAAAAAAAAGUUGAAAUUUGAAUAUUAAAAGCAAAUGUUGGUUGCGACCUGCUGUUUGUAUUCUAUAUUGUUAUAGUAUAUUUAUAGUUAUUUUUUUAGCAAGUUAAAUAUAAAAGUGACAUAUAGUUUUUUUUUAUAAAAAAAAAUAAAUAAAGAAAAUAAAAAAUUAAUUGGUUGGAUUGGUUUAUAUUGGAUUUGAACAUAUAGAUCCAUAGACCAAUCUAAUAACAUUAUAUUUUUUAUUUUGCAAUCUUAUCCAAUCCAAUCAAAAUGUCAAUAUGACAAAAGUUGGAUUGGUUUUGAUCAGAUCGAUUGGUUUGAUUGGAUUGAAUUGAAUUAGAUCUUGAACAUCCUACCAAUUAGACUUUCCGUGAUUUUUUUUUUUCCAAAUUUAAUAAAGAGACUUCCCAUGAAUGUUAAAUGCAGUUUUAUUGAUGAAUUCUGCAAUUUUAAGAAAUGUUUGAUACACGAAUAAUGCAUCUCAUCAACCAAGUAACUGCGUCCCCUGCAGCAGCCGCGGCUUCAACUGGAAUACUGCAGCCACACCGGUCUUGAGACUCAACAUUCGGCCGAAACUCAAGCAAAAGUUGAACAAUAUCAGGCCUGCUUUGAGCUAUAGCAAUAUGAAGCAAUGUUUGUCCCUGCGCACCAGCAGAAUCAGCUGGGUGGGUUCCAAGCAGGGUCACUCUGUUCAAGAACCUCUCUUAUCUCAUCCAUUUCACCAUCCUUAACUAGCUGAACCACAACAUGGGACCCAACAAACAUGAUCUUGAUUCCUAUUGAUGAACGCUGGCUUCUUCCUUCUUGUGAACCAGUCACCAGGAACCGAAUCAAGCAUCAAUGUUGCAUCUUUAAUUGCAGCUGCAGGAACGACAACGCUAUGCAAGAGGAAGGAAUCAUCACAGUGAGGGAAAGUAUGAAGGAGAACUGAUCCUGGAGGAAGAUGAUACGCAAUCUCUAUGCUUACUGUUCCGAGUGGUUGCAUUGACCUGAAUAGUUCGAUCUAUUUCUCGUGUAUCUACUUGCGCUGCACUUUCACUCGAAGAACCUACAAAAUUAUUCAUAACCCGGCAUAAAAAAGACGUAAAGUUUUCAGCGCGAGCAUGGUAACUUCAAAACCCGUUUCAUACCUAUCAUAUUUCAUUCGUCCCGCACCCUCAUUUAAAAGACUAGAGCUUAUAAAAACUAGAAGUACCUUACCCAGAACAUAAAAGCAGACAAAACCCAGUCGAGUAUAAAUAUAACGUUGAAUAACACCUACCAUUUACCAUUUCAUUCAAGAACACCACACAAUUAACGAAACCAACAUCGGUAUGUUUUCAGCCGUUGUACUUUCAACUUAAUUUUGAAAGCGCGGCAGCUAAAGCCUAAACUGUUGUUUGAUAAAAGUCCACCCACUGACUGCUACCUGGCGGCUACCGAUUCCAUUCAAUAGCAGUCAUAAAAUAAAAAGUACAAAACAAACCUAUGUACAAAAAAGGCAAUGAAGCAGCCAUGGAUUCAGUUAUUUGCAUGUUUGGGAUUGUGGUUGAUUCCAAAUUGAGAAUAUACUGCGAAAUUAUGUUUGAUAAGCAUUUAUCUGAUGAUUGCUACUUUAUUGAGUGCCUGUUUGGUAUGGCUUAUUUAAAAGCCAUAAGUGCUUAUUUAAUCGUAUAAGCACUUUUUUAAAAUUUUUAUGGUGUUUGGUUAUUUUUUUAGUAGAGUUUUUUUAGCUUAAAUAAGCUAAUUUACCUCUACUAGCAAAAGCCCAAAAUUUGAGCUUUUGGGAGUAGAGGUUAAAGAGCUUAUCUAAAAAAUAUAUAAUAAAAAAAAUAUCAUACAGUUUAAUGAUUCAAAAGUGUUUUUUUUAUUGACAACCAAACACCCAAUGACUUUUUGUCCAAAAACUCUAUUGGUAUAAGCUCUACUGCUAUAAGCUCUAUUGUUAUAAGCUCUAUUUAAUAAGCUGUACCAAACGGAGCCUAAAGCAUUCAUUUUUUUUUUUCGCGUUUGGCCUCUUCACUUUUUAAAAAAUUUUAUGGUGUUUGGUUAUUUUUUUAGUAGAGUUUUUUUAGCUUAAAUAAGCUAAUUUACCUCUACUAGCAAAAGCCCAAAAUUUGAGCUUUUGGGAGUAGAGGUUAAAGAGCUUAUCUAAAAAAUAUAUAAUAAAAAAAAUAUCAUACAGUUUAAUGAUUCAAAAGUGUUUUUUUUAUUGACAACCAAACACCCAAUGACUUUUUGUCCAAAAACUCUAUUGGUAUAAGCUCUAUUGUUAUAAGCUCUAUUUAAUAAGCUGUACCAAACGGAGCCUGAGUCUUCAAAGAAAAACUCAAUCAACUAAUGCUCGAUUUUUUUUUUUAAAUGACAAAUCAAAAAGUAUUUUGGAGUAGAUUCUCAAAAGAGUGAUUAUUUGAUAAUCCACCAUAAUCCCACUUAGUUAUCAGAAAUAAAUUAAAAUCCGACGAAUGUUACUUAAGCCAAACAGCAUUAUUUUAUUUUGACCACAAGGACCACAACCCUCAAGCUGUCAAGCAACCGUUACCGUUAACGACCAAUCUUUCACCUCUCCGAAUCUUUGCAAGUCACUAUCAAGCAACCGUUACUAAUAUUUAAUCAAUUAUUAGGAUUAUUGGAUUUCUCAAAUACCUUAUGUACUUUGGUUCACUUUCUACUAAAAUAAAUAUUACAGGAGCUUUCAAAGUCUAGGCUAAGGUUGUUGUAAACAUAGAGAGAUUCAGAGAUAUAACAGCUUGUAAUUACAUACCACAAAGCAUAACUUUGUUCGAAUGAUAAUGAUCAUAAUCCAGAUUAUAGACGUAGAGAGAGGAGAAGUCGUACUUGAGGGGCAAAACGCGGCGUUUUGGCUCGUGGAUGAGGUGCUGCUCCUGAUCGUCGUAGAUUGAAGGGAGGAGAGGUCGGUCGAGGAAGUUUAGGAGACGGUGGAGGCUGAAUUGGUGAAUUUCGAUGAAGACUGACGAAUCCAAUGGGGCUUGAGGGUUUGAUUUGCAAAGAUGAAAGAUAAGAGCAUUGUUUUGGUUUCUGUGCAAAAAAAAAAAAAAAAAACAUGACAAGCGUUGUUUUGGUUUUGGUUCUAAAAAGAUGAAAAUUUGACUGCAAUGGAUCCAUACGCAGUCGGUGUCAAAUAAGAGGAGAAACAAAUAUGUUAAUCACUCGCUCAAUCACUCAUGCGAAGUGCCUUUUUUUUCGUUGCUUUGGCUUCUGAGAAAUAUAUGCAUCAGAUAUUACAACUCUCGAGGAUAAUGCAUUUUGUUCCGGUUUUGACUGAUAUUUAGUGGCAUUUGAUAAACUGAUACCUCAGAACCUGGUAGAGAGUUUAUUAAAUACAAAGAGAACAAAAAUAUAUGACUAUAUAAGCUUUUACACGGUUGAAGAUCCGGUCAAAUUGGCUUUAGUUAGCAAGAUCAUUUAAAACUUUCAAAAAACGAAUGGUAUCAAAAAGCUCUGAGAAAAAGCGGAAAAAAGGCACCACAAAGAUCUUGCAAUUAUUAUCACAGCUUGAUAAGACAUGGAAAUGUAUCUUACAAAUUGGCCUUCCAAGCAUCAAAGAAUUGGGUGGCGACAACUCCCAUUCCUAGCUGCUACCGUGGCCAGUCCCUUCUAACUAAAAUGGGACAGGACCAAAAGCAAGGUCUCUCCCACUCUCCUUAUGUAUAUAAAAUUCCCUACAUUCGAAUAAAACUACAGAAAAAGAUUUGCACAUCAUCUUCUUUCACCUUAUUUUGCAAUCUUCAAGAGUUUGGAAGAUUUCAAAGCACUUGUUAGAAUGUAGCACUCCAUUAAGCAUUCUCACCUUCCCCACACCCCAAUGGACCUCCUUAAUCCUAUCGGCAGACCUACAAAUUCUGCUGCAACUCCAAUCAAAUAAAGCAACACAAUUGUUGCCUGCCUAAGCCUUCCACUCACAGCCUGCAAUGACAAGUUCAUGAUACAAAAUCAGAAACAUUAAUAAACAAAAAGAUAUUACCAUUACUUGCAGAGGGGGAUUUGUUGCAAUUAGUAAAUGCCAUACUUAUCACUUUCAUUGCAGAUAUCAUCAUCAUCAUAAUACUAGCAAUCCAGCACUAAUAGUCAGAAUAAUAAUAAUAGUAGCAUGAAUAAAGAAUUUCUGCAGAGUAAGCUCUAAAGAUGCCGAAAGUGUCAUCUAUUAUGUUAAUAAUAAAAAAGUCUAUCAAGAAUUCAAGGAAAGAAAACUCAUUAACAAAGAACUAAACUUUUUAAUAAUGUUUAAUAAACUACGUACCUAUGAUUUUCUAUUAUUAACAUAAAUGACACUACGUACAACUGAUUUUCGCUUUCUAAUGUUUCAAAUCAUACCGAGAAAUAUAACAAUUACCAAGUCAGUAAGUAGCACAAUUACUUAAUAAGACUUUGACUUGUCUAACCCAAAAUUGUACCCAAUUCUAUACUCUACCAUGAAAAGCUUAUGAAGCCGAACUUACUUUGACCAAACAGUACUAUUAGCUCAGUUAAAGGAAACCACAAUUGAACAAAGUUCAGCUGAAAUAACUGAACUAAAAAAACUUGAUAAAAUUAAAAGUAACUUAUAACAGUUUAGUAAAGAAGCAUACAAAACAUGAAGAUAAAUAAACAUAGGUCUAUUUUCUUGACACUACCAGGUCCUUUCCUUUUUUUUUUUUCAGAUAAGAUCUCGAUACUACCAAGUUUUGGAUUCAAAAUCACCAUAUUACAAUAAUAGUUGUGAUUCAUGGGAUACAAUAUGUAGCAGCUUAUAUGUCGGCAAUUAUAGUCAAAGAUGGUUGUCAAACAUCAUCGCAAAUCAAGAAGCUAAUAAAGACCAUGUCACACUACAUUAACAUAUAUCAGUUCUUUGAUACAAAGAUAUUGAAUGUUAUACAUUUCUAAUCCCAAGUCCUGAAAUACAAAACAAAAGUUCACUUCACACAGUCAUAAAGCUAGACUGCUAGAUAAAUGGACAAUAGGCAUUGGAUAUGGGUCAAUAAACUAUUAAGCUAAUUAAUGCACACGAAGGAAUCCGUUAGAGCUAGUAAAAUAGCCCUUACCAGAGAACUCGCAGAAGCAUUCAAUUUCCUCAAAGGAGAUAACUUACAACAUAAACAUUUUGAUAAGCAGCAACACACAUAAAAUAGCUUCACUCACUAGCAACAGAGCAACUUCUUCAACACAUUAAUAAAUCCAUUUUCAUUUUUAAACAACAAAAUAAUGCCCAGUUUCUCCAGCACAAAUAGGGUAAGCAGUAAUAGAAAAACAUGAUACAUAGGAAUUACCGGCCUCAAGAAAUCUCCAAGCUUUCUGUCCUCUGCUUCAAUUGCUCAAUCAAGAAUGCCCCAGACGUUGCGCUAGCGUGGUGGUGGAGCGUCGCGAAGCGUGUGGCGGCGGUGUCGGCGAAGGCAGGUCAUGAAGAUAGUUGGUGUCGCGCAGCGAAGGCAGUGCAGCUGGUGUCAUGCGGCGAAGGCAAAUCGCGUGGUGGUGGAGUUGGGGUCGCGCGGCAGUGGCGGUGCGGUGCUGAGGCAUAAUAGUGGCGGUGGCGUUGUGCGACAGUGGCAGUGUGGAGGCAGAUUGCGUGGAGCUGGCGGUGUUGAGGCAGAUCGCGUGGAGGCAGAUGCCGCGGUGGUGGAGUUGCUGUCGCGAUCAACGCCUGUGAAAGGGAAUGAAAGUGAAGGAGAUACCUACAAAAGAAAGAACGAGUGAAAUUUUUUUUUUUGUUCAAGGGUUUCAAACCCACAUAAACCCGACUCUCACACGGGUUCAGUAAGUUUAUGCGGGUUUGACUGCAUUACAAAUUGGUAUGACCACAACAACAGUACAAUGAUUGGUAAUUACCAAACAUGCUAUUUAUGUUGGUAUUAAAUUAAUUUAAUACAAUGAGGAGUGGUAAUAUCAUACAAUGAGGACUGUUAAAUAUGGUGUGUUUAAUAUGUUGUAUUGUAUUAUAUUAUUUUAAUACAAAUAUAUUAUAUUAUCUUGUAUUAUAAUAUAAAAUAAUGAAAAAUAUCGAAUUUCAAUAUAUAAAAAAAAAAUAAAUAUAUUUUGUUAUAUUCGAUCUGCUGUACGGCCAAGGCGGAUGUACGGUACAGCAGAUAAGAAUUUAAAUACAUACACUUAUAAUACAACUUAGUUUUUCCACAUUGUCGAGGGAUCAAAACAACCCAUCAUUGGAGUCCAAUAAGUUAUGUGGCGACACAAAAAAGUAAUUCUAUAUUUUUUACGUCAUAAAUAUGUAAAAAAAAUUGUAUUAUAUCUUAUUAUUAUUAGUUUUUUUUCUUCAGUUUUGACAAGUAUAGUUUUCUUGUUGAGUGGCUCAACAAGGCUGGUUACAAUUUCGAAAUAAUGUUCCAUCUGUAUCUGUUUUCCUUUUGUUUUUGAUUUUGUAGUAUAGUUAAUUUGUACGAAUUUGUUGCCUGGUUGGUUUUUAUGCUGAAAAGUCAGUUCAUUGGAAAUGACAGAAAAUUGUUUUUCUUUUUCAUUUUUACAGAAAGAGAUUUGCAACGUUAUAAAAGUAAGAGAUCCUAAGAGAUCCCUGAAUCAUAUUAAAUAUUAAACUUAAGAUACAGUCAAGGCUUUUAUUAUGUUACUAAUCAUGUAACGAAUAUAAUUAUGUAGCAGUCGUUAAAUACAAAUUUAACAGUUAUAAAAAUAACAUGAUUUUAUUAUCUUAUAUUUCUAUAAUCGUUGAAUUUUUAUCUGCUGUACCGUACAUCCGCCUUGGCCGUACAGCAGUAUUGAAUUUUAAAAAUUUAAUAUUAUUUUUUUAAUAUAAAUAUUAAAAAAUAUCAUAAUUCUUCAUAGAAAUCGAAGUUCAUGGCAUUAAAUUUUUAACGCCGCAUACAUAAUAAAAAAUUUGAUUCUCUAGUGCCAAUAUAAUAGAAUACAUAAAAACGAGACUGAGAAACUACGAAUAAAGCUCAUCAUCAAGGACUCCACAACAUUAUAAGAAGUACUAUGUAACAUUUGCCAAAUUACAACACCACAUCAAGACAUAUCACAAUGUAAAAUUUUUCCUAGAGAUUUGGUAAUUGAAAAACACAAUUCAAGUUGAAAACUGAUAGUCGACUUGAAAAGUUUUAACAUAUCCCAUAAAAGAAAUGUGCCAUGCCAAAAAUCCUAACCCUUGGCUCUUUGACGAUAAGAAAAUAUUGAAAAUUCCAAAGUACAGUGCAAUGGGAGAAAGAAUGCCUAUAAAGCUAGUAAAGAUAUUCUUAAACUACUAUUGGGAUGUUGGGCUGGUUGGUAGCAAAACCCAAACCCUGCUGCUGAUUUCCGAUACCACCAUCUUGGAUAAGCCGCUCUCCCUCCUCUUCCUAACUCCUAAGCCCAAUAUCUUUCCAAAACCUUCACAACCCACUCAUAAAUCUCAUUGUUGUCGUGGAUAUGCAAAUUCUCAAUCUUUUCUACUCCAUCACACUCAUCAAUCAUUUGGGUAUAAACAUUAACCCAAUUAUCCAUUCCUAUUUCCUUGUUAACCUCACCCACCUUGAAAAUGUUCUCAAGACCCUAUAGACAAACUGUGACGAUCCUUUGGUCCAGACAAACCAGAAGAUCACAGAGCGGUUUGAUGCAACCUUGGCUCACCAGGAAUCUGCAGGACCAUGGUACCAUAAGUGAUUCUAUCACAUGAACAUCAUUAGAUUAAAAAAAGAAAAAAAAAAGAAACAUCUAUCGUAUGAACAUUGCUGAGUGAAUAAAAGAAACAUACUGAAUAUGUUCAUGAGAUCCUCCAUAUGUGGCAUUUAAGACAGGCCAUGCAGCCUCCUUGAUUUCAAGUUCUGCAUGUUGAAGAAGAGGUGCACAAAAGGAAGGAUAAGGAAGGAUGAUAUUGGCCUCCAUAACAGCCUGUUGAACAAAAAUUCGACAAAUUAUAAUUAUGAGUAUAUUUAAGUAGCAAUUUUGUCAGAAUUAACUAGACUUGACUAUUGAGGAAGUCACAUUCAAAAAUAGAAAAGACGAGCAAGCAAUUGUAUUCAUGCUAUCGGGACCAAAAUACUAUGAUGCAAGCAAGAAAGAAAAACAUACAUACAUAUAAAACACUAUCUUUGAGUUGGGUAUUUUCUUUCAAUUUUGAUAAUGGCAACUUUGGAUUCUUCUGCUGAAUUACCACCACCACCACACCAUUGUAGUUUCACAUACUAAGAAAAGGCAGGUUCAGCUCCCGUGCAUGCCCAUAAGAAUAUGAUGUAUUAAUUAGAAGUAAAAUUAAUCUGUUCAAUUAAGUUCUCUCAUAUAUUUGUGUGCGUGUGUGUGUUAAUUAGUUUGCUUUCAAAUCUUUUCUCCCUUCUUAAUGAUAUAUAUUUUAAGCAUGAUAUCAACCACGAUGAAUUUAUUAGCCGAUUUUUAAUUAUACAUUCAGCAUGAUAUCACAAACCAAGAGCUUAAGUUAGCCUAAUUCUUCAUAAAUCUAAUAAUUGCAAUCAAUAAUAAUGCUGAAAAUACGAGUUUGAAUUAAGCUAGCAACUGGUUCUUAAAUUAUGCAAUAUGUAAUCAUAGGUUUACUUAAAGAUUAAAGCAUUUCUGCAAUCCAUUGUGCAAAAAGAUUAAAAAAAAAAAAAAUAGUUGCCAAAUUUUAUCUAAAUAAAAAUUCCUUUAGUGGUUAGUACUUGUGAAUUAUAGAAAUUAUUAUUAGUACUUGCUCAGCGCUUUUUAGAUUUGUACAGGUAGAUUACGCCAUUUCAAACCCGACCAUCCAUUUAGACAUACAAAUCCCCCCAAUUCCCUGUCCUCCGCCUUUACGCGACUCUCCACUGUAUGUGCCAACUAAUUAAUUUUUUAAUUACUUGUUUAACUAAUUAAUUCAUUUUCUCAAAAGCAAGAUUAAUCUAUUUGUUCAAAUCUGAAGGAGAUUAAGUUAAUUGAUUUUAUUGUAUGUAAAAAUAUACAAAGAACUCAUGAAGCCAACUAGAAAAAAAAAAAAAGACAAAAAAAAAAUCAAACCCAGAAAUAAAAAGACAUGCUUCGACAGAAAAUUAAUGAAAAUUAUACUGAUUGUGGUUCAAUUUGAUCAAACCCAAAUAAUAACCGGUUUGAUUGAUGACUCAGCGGCAAAGUGCAGGCGCAUCAGUGGUUGCACAGAUGAGUGUUCUCGUGCGGCACGACAAAGCAAUUGUCGGCGAUUGUGAUUGGUGAUGACAUCGAGCGAUGGGGGUAAUGGCAUCGGUCGUGACUUUGUGAUGGAGAAACGAAUGUUAGAUUCGUUCGAAGAUUCGUGUUUUGAUUGAAUAACAAAGAGAGAUUUUAUGAGUUUUAAUUAUCUAAUACGAUACCGCAUAAACCCGACUCGUACGUGGGUUUAUUUUAUGCGGGUUUCGGUGUACUAAAGCAGUAAAUUUAUGUGGUGCAAUUCAAACUGAUUUCACCGCCAAAAGAUCGUGUAAAUUUAAUAUUAUACAGGGUUUUAAUACUAUGUAAUCCAAUACACCAAACAUGCCCUUAAAAACGGAUAGCAAUCCGGGGCCUUUAAAAACGGAAAAUACAAGCAGAGAAAAAGAAAAGCCAAUUGUUCAAAAGUGCCUAAUAUGCCCACGGAAAAUUUUCGUCACGACCCACAGUUACUCGAAUAGGUAAUAAGACAGGAAUGCCUUUGUUUGUUCGAAUAUAGAAGCACAAUGGCUCAGAAAGGAUCCCUCCAAUCUCCUUGGCACUGUCAGCUGGGUGCGGAGUAGCUUGGUGGCAGCAACCAUGUUUGAGAGGGCUGGCUUCACCUCAGUGUACUUGCGAGUCUUGAGACCACAGUCAGGGUUAACCCACAAAAUGUUGGUUUCUAGCACAGUACGCAUCUCGUAGAUUCUGUCAACAAUUUCUUCGGUUGAUGGUAUUCUUGGAGAGUGGAUGUCAUAGACGCCAGGGCCAAUUGCAGCAUCAUACUGGACUCCCUCACGGAAGACUGACAGGAGAUUCUCAUUAGAACGAGAGUUCUCAAUGGUGAUCACAUCAGCAUCCAUGUCGAUAAUUGAGUGGAUAAUGUCGUUGAAGUUGGAGUAGCACAUGUGGGUGUGGAUCUGUCAAUCAAUAAACAAUAGAAUGAGAUACAAAAUCAACAGCUAAAUUAAAGAGAUGAGAUUGGAGAUUAAAAGGGUAACUGACCUGGGUAGUGUCCUGGAUGCCACAGUUGGUGAUUCUGAAGGAGUGGACUGCCCAGUCCAAGUAGAAAGCAUGCUCAGAUUUCCUGAGAGGCAAUCCUUCCCUCAAGGCAGCCUCAUCAAUUUGAAUAACGUUAAUGCCUGCCUUCUCAAGAUCCUCGACUUCGUCCUUGAUGGCCAAAGCAAUCUGGUAGCAGGUUUCAUGUCUGCAAAAUUGGCAGCGAUUGAUGUUAAACAAUGUUUCCAUUCCAAAAGGUUAACCAAUAGUGAACCAGUUCUCAUUUAUAUACCUGGGCUGGUCAUUUCUGACAAAGGACCAGUUGAGAAUGGUGACAGGGCCAGUAAGCAUUCCCUUCAUUGGGCGAGCAGUCAUGCUCUGAGCCCAGGAGGACCAGAAGACGGUCAUAGCCUUGGGACGGCUCACAUCACCAUAGAUGAUGGGUGGCUUCACACAGCGAGAUCCAUAGGAUUGCACCCACCCAUUGGCAGUGAAGGCGAAACCUGAUAACUGCUCUCCAAAGUACUCAACCAUGUCGUUUCUCUACAAAAACAAAUGUCCGAAUUCAAUUUGAGAUCCAGCAUACUUCGUAUGCAAUUAGAAAUGCAGAAACAAAAAUGUAUAAAAUUUUAUGUAAUUCAAAACCAGGAGACAUUGCUUUGCUUCCAUUGGGCAUUGCGAGACUCACCUCAGGCUCUCCAUGGACAAGGACAUCAAUAUCAAGCUCUUCUUGGAGUUUGACAACCUUGUUGAUUUCCUCCUUGAUGGAAGCAACAUAUUCUUCCUCAGAAAUCCUAAAAAGGACAAAUAGUCACGGCACAGUUAAUACAGUAGUUGCAGUAAUUUCACACAUGGCAUUGAAUGAAGAAACACCUCAGAUUGACUCACUUCUUAGCCUUGUAUUCACGGCGGACUCUCCUAAGUUCAAUGGUUUGUGGGAAGGAUCCAAUUGUGGUGGUUGGGAGGAUUGGAAGAUUGAGCUUCUUCUGUUGAGCAUCUAAUCUAGCACUAACGUUUGUAGCACGUCUGUGGUCUGAUCCCCUCAAAGCAGCAGCCUAAUAGACCAAGAGGAAGGAAUCACUGUUAGCAAAAAAGGAAAUUCUAAGGGACAGCCACAUCAUAAAAAUGGAAAACAAAUCAAUCAUGCCACUUACAGCCUUUUGAACUGCCUCAUUGGUCACUCUCGGGGAGGACUUUCUUGAAGCCUGAGCUGCAGCAUUGGCAGAGAAGAAUCCCUGGAAACAAAUGAUAAGGAGAACCAAAGUUAGUCUCAUUCAUAUCAUUUUAAAAAGAAGAUACAUAUGCAAUUAGUGGGCUGAUUGUGAGAGAAAAAGUCCCCAAAACUUUAAUCAAACACCAAAUGCCCAAGUUGCCAAAUGAUGUUUAAUUCGGAAAAAUAUAUUUAAAAACAUUCAAAUAUAAUUUCCCCUUCUAAAUUUUCAUUUUCAACAACAUAUUUUACAAGCCAAGCUCAACGUCAGGCCAAGAUUUUGUGCUCCUAUAAUUAUAUUUUACCAUAAAACUAGGUCCUUGAAAGGCUAAGAUUUUCUGACUCUUGUGACUAGUCAAAGCCUAAGAUUCUUUCAAUUCAUCCGUAGUAAAAGUAUACCUCAUCCUUUUGGCCAGCCAAAGCCUUGGCCAAUGCAUUGACUUCAACAACUUUCUGGGCAGCAAAUGCCAGCCAUGACUUGAUUUCGUCGUCGAGUUUGUUCUCAUUAACAAGAUCAACAGCAGUGUGAAGAAGUGAGCAGGAGGUGGAGACCACAAGCUUGUCUGCAAAGAAAAGUAAUAAAUUAUACAACAAAUCCCAUAAUAGAAUAAGAAAUAUUUAUCACAAAGAAAAAUGCAAGCAAAGGAUGUAUACCUUUGCCAACAACACCCUCAAGCCCCCGGAGAACACUAAGAGAAGCAGCAAGAUCAUUGGCCCAAAUGUUCCUUCCAUCAACCACUCCAGCAAAGAGGUACUUGCCAGCAGGGAAUCCACUCUUGAUCAAUUCAAGGGUCUUGGUUCCACGAACCAAAUCAAAUCCAUAAGCGGUGACACCCUUCAAAGAAGUGAGGGUCUGGAAUGCCUCAGCUGGAACAUCAGCAAAGUAGGUCUCAACAAGAACAUUCAAGCCAGACAGAGUUGACUCUAGUUCCGCGUAAGCCUCACUGAAUGCUUGCAAUUUGUGUGAGUCAAGAUCCGUAACAAGCAAUGGCUCAUCAAACUGAAUCCAGGAAGCACCAGCAGCCUUAAGCUCAGAAACAACUUCCCUGCAGAAGUGUUAAUUGGUACGACACGGAUUAAUGAUGCCACACGAUACACACACACACACACACACACACACACACACACACACACACACACACACACACACACACACACACACACACACACACACACACACACACACACACACACACACACACACACACACACAGACAGAGUUAUUUAGCACAUACACGUUUAUAAAUCUGUAAAUAGGUGAUAAUUCUUACUUGUAGAUCGGAAGGAUUUUGGGAAGAAGAGAGAGAACAGAAAAGGUCUUCUCAACCCCCCAGGCAGGCUUAGACAGCAACAAGUAUGACACAGGGCCAAUAAGCACUGGGACAGUUUCAACUCCAUGCUGCAGCAUUAGACAAGUGGUAGAUAUUAGCAUCUCACAAACUUGAUCUGACUGAUAGAAAGUUACAAGCAAGUUAAGAAUAUGUUUGAUGAAAUUUCAAUGAAAAAUCUUCAGGGUCCACAACAUGUUGACUAUACCCUUUUUAAGUAAUUUAUCUUAAGACUAUUUUGCAAACAGUAUUGCUUCCCUUUACAGAUCAAAUAAAUCAUACAACAUCUGAACGCAUUUCCUGAGCCAAAUAUAAGUUCAAAGCUCUAUAAUAAAUGUCAAUGACUCUAUAGUAAAUUCCAUCACAUUCUGAGCUAUGGAUGAGCAUAUCAUAUGCCAAUUUCAAGUUGAACGUAACCCAAUUUCAACAUAUUGUAGAUUCAAGUAUCAAACGAAAAAAAAAAUAUUGUAAAUAUAGACAGAACUGAGAACAAACACUCACCCCCUUAGCCUCCUUGUACUCAGUCACAGCCUUGUGGGAAGCGUAGGAGAACUUAACAUCGGGUCCCAAUUCAGGAACAAUGAAAUGACUGCAUCAACACGAAGCCAAACACACGUCAGCAUUCAGUACAAAACCAUUACACCAUAACUAACUUGAAAUGCCGCUCUUCCAAGUAGUGAAUACUUACUAGUUGGUGUCGAACCACUUGGUCAUUUCCAUUGCGAGAACAGAGGCGUUUCCUCUGGCCAUGGAGAAGUAAACAUCGAAUCCAAUCUCGCCGCCGUUCCAGUUAAACCUCGGGGGCACGGCACCGAGCAUUGCGGUGGUGUCGAGCACUUGGUCGUAGUAGGAGAAAGUGUUGCUGGGAAUGUAUUUGAUCCCGGCCUCGGACAUCUGUUUCCAGAUGGAGGAUCUGAGAUCAGCGGACACCUUUUGCAAAUCCUCGGCGCUGCUCUUGCCAUCCCAGAAGGAUUCCAACGCGAACUUGAGCUCCCUCUUGGGGCCCAUGCGUGGGUAACCAACGAUGUGAGAUGCCAUUUUACUGUCAUAAUCACGUCAUCAAUGAAUCGAAAAUCAGUCCCUUCCAUUAAAUCAAGAAAUUAUUAAUUCAAAUGAAUGGAUCACAUUGUAUAUAUAUGGGAUAAAUAUAAUUAUGAACAAAAGCGUCUAAUCAAUCACAAAAAGCAAGCGACUGCAUCAAAUUUAGGGAUCCGACCCGACCCGACCCGAUCUGUAAAUUCCGGUUUCAAUCGGAUUAAGAUGAAACCUCUAACCCGAUAUAGUUGGAUUUUGGCCAACUCGAUCGGAUCAGAUCGGAUCGGAUUAAACUUAGUCCAAUCCGAAAAAUUCAAAAAAUCAAAACUACAAUAAGUAUAAAUCUAAAUUUUCAAUUCAAUUUGAUCUAAUCUGAAUAUAUUCGAAUCGGAUCAAAUACUAUGCUCUGCUUAAACUUGGAUUAUAUUUUUUUCAAUUUGAUUAACCUAAAAUUCGAUUGGAUAGAUCCAAAACUGAAUUUAUCUACCCCUCAGUCAUCAAUCAAUUACAAAACCUAAAAUCCGAUUGGAUAGAUCCGAAACUGAAUUUAUCCACCCUUAAGUCAUCAAUCAAUUACAAAGGCGACUGAUGUUUAUACAAUGGACAAUUAUUAAGUUACAGCUCUUGUAAUUUACAACUUAUACAAAAAUAUGUGAAAAAUUGUGAUAGGCAGUACAGUGUCAUGAUUUUAUACAAAAAUAUGUAAACAAUUGUGAUAGACGGUAGAACCUCAUGAUUUUAUAAAAAAUACGUAAAAAGUUGGGAUAAGUAAUGGAGCCCGCAUAAUUUUUUAUCAGCUGCAAGUUGCAAGUUACAGCAACUGUAACUUAGCGACCCCGACUUCAAUGUAAAAUGAGAAAGUACUCCUCCGCAUAGUACCUGAUGCUCAAAAGUCAAAUCACACGAAAUGCAAAUAGACUUAUCAGAGCAUAAAACCUUAUAUUACUUUUUGAAAAACGAUUUGAAACAAGGGCAAAAUUACAGUGUAACCGUACUUAGUCAUUGAAUUCAGCUCACAAUUAUCAUUAUAGUUAGAUCUAAUAACUAGAUCCAACUGUAUCCACAGUUAUAUUGUAGUUAGAUCUGAUAACUAAAUCCAGAUCCAGCUGUCCCCACAAUUGUCAUUAUAGUUAGAUCUAAUAAUUAGAUUCGGCUGAUUCAGCUGUGAUGUAGUACCCUGUAGUGCCAUAACUGGACAAAGAAACAAACUGAUAUAUUUUCUUUUUUGAAACAAACUGAUACUAAUCCAAGAGUUUCAGAUGAUCGGUUUUUUUUUUUUUUUCUAUAGUCACAUCAAUAAUUAAGUACUUUCAGUCAUUUUCGAAGGAUUAAAACGAAAACUCUAAAAAAAUUCUGAGAAUGAAGAAUCCGAAAAUAGAUUCAGAAAUAGUAACACAAGUAGAGGUCAGAUUGUUUUUUGGAAAAGAUUAAUUGCAGAUCUGAUGAACUCAAGUCUAGAUCUAGCAAAAUCACGGCAGCCAAACACUAGAUCUAAGACUAACAGUCACUCACCAGUCGAUCAGAAAGUGAAAUCAAGUUCAAAAUUCUUUUUUUUUAAUAGAUCCAAAAGCUAAUAUACAUAUAUAUAUGGCAAAAUAUAUAUACCGUACCCGAGAAGGACGAGCAGAGAAAUUAAGCUUUUUUCGAGAGAACGAGAAAGAAGAGAGACGAGACUGUUAGAAAUUGCUGUCAGUUUAAUUUUUAUUUAUAGCCAAAAACCUAACCUUGUUUAGUGGUUACUGGUUACCGUCUUCGGCGGUGUUGAUCUGAGAUUUAUCAUUUUAAUUUCUUUCUCUUACUUAUUUAUUUAAUUUGGGUCCAACUACGGUGAAACUGUAGUACCGUGCUACAGUUAUUUUCAACCGUUUGAUUCACUUGGAUGGUGGGAUCCAAUAAAAUCCAAUAACUGGGUGCAACCGUAGCACGGUGCCGCAGUUGCACCACAGUUUUUCCCAUUUAUUUAUUAUGCUUUCAGUGCAGUUGGCAAAAACAUGGAGCUUACGCGCGCUUUUCUGAUGUGGCGCGUGAAUUGGAAAUGUGGUAGAUCUUUGUGGAUCCGCCGGUGCAGUGAAGAGUGAAGGAAAAAAGAGAAAAGUUAUCAUGCCAGAUCAUUUGAAGAGAGCCGCAAUUAGUAAUUACACCACAAUAUAUUUCUGAUUAUUUGCUUACUUUGAUGAUGUUUUUACUGAUUAGUAAUUGGAAUAUGUUAGAAUCUAAAUAUAGUAGAAUCAUAAUAGAGUUGAAUCAAAAUAGACUAUAAUUAGAAUGGAUAAUGGGAAUUAGAAGAAUUAUUUGCUUUAGUUGUGAGAAUCCAAAUUGGAAUGAACUAUAUUGUCGUUGAUAUGUUUACUUUAUCAUAGAAUAUGAAUGAAUUAUUACAAGUUACUAAACAGACCUUAAGUUGAUUAUUGUCAUUAUUUAUUUAUUUAUUAUUAUUAUUAUUAUUAUCAUCAUCAUCAUCAUCAAAAUUAUUAAUCUUAUUAUUAAUGUUAAUUAUAAUAAUUAAUAAUUAUAAUAGUAUUAUAAUAAUAAUAAUAAUAAAAGCAAUCAUAAAAUGAGAAUUUCAAGAUUUAAGUAGAGAUAAUAUAAUUAUUUUAGAAAAUGAGAAUUUCCAUGAGAAUGUGAACUCUAUUAAUCAUUCCCAAUUUGAAGUGGGGCCUGCCAUUUUGAUUCAAUCUCUCAUUUAAGCAAGUAAAUACGACAUUUAUUCUCAUUCCCUCAUUCCCACUCUCAGGUAGCGUUUGUUUUUUAACUUAAUGACUUAAAGUGACUUAACUUAAUUAAUUAAGUUAAUUAGAGGUGUUUAUUUUUAUAACUUAAUGAGACUUUUUAGAUAAUUUUGACUUAAUAAAAUGAGCCAAUUUUUUUUGGCUUUUUACUUAAUGGAGAAAUUUGAAUUUAGUCAAUUACUUACUAAUGUCAAAAAUAUCUAUGUUUUAUAAUUUAUUUUUCAUGUCUAUCCCAAAACUCACCCAUAGACAUUUACCCCACAUAAAAAUAUCCCUAUUUUUUCUUUCUUAUAUUAUAUACGAUAAAAUUUGAAAUUUAUGGUAUUUUAUAUAUUAAAAUUCUAAAAUAAUUAUGUAUUCACUUGAAUAUAGUUUUACUUAUAACUGUUAAAAUAUUGUGGUAUUUAAUAUAUUAUUUAUUUGACAUUAAAAUUUAAUAAGGAUACAAAUGUAAAAGUACAUAUUUUCAGUUUUUUCAGUUAAAAAAAAAGCAACUUAAUACUUAUUUUUCGAGAUUCAGACGAAAAAAUAAACAUAUUAUUCAUAUUCAGACAUUUAGAUAUAUUCAGAAUUCAAACUAAUUCAGGUCUAUUCAGAUUUUAGACAAAAAAAACAAACGCCACCUCAAUCAAUAAACACACCAUAAAUGUAGAGUUGUUACUAUUAGAAUACAUUAUAAUUCAUCACAAUUAUGAUAGGUAUAUACGUGUGUAAUAAUUUAUAUAAGAUGCUAAAUUUUGAAAAUAAUAAAAAAUCAUUUAUACAUAUUUAAAAAAAUCAUUAAUACAUUAAAAUGUGCAUCACAUAUACAUUUACAUAAUAGCAAUGACCAUAGUAUAAAAAAAACUCCUAAAAGAGAACGACUUCGUUAUUUAUGUUAUUUUAUAUAUUUUUAAUUGAUUAUUAAAAGGAUCAAUUGUUAAUUAUUAUUCUCCAAACAUAAUCACCGUUAAACAUUUAUUCAAUUUAACAAUAGGUAGAUGUUAAAUAAUAUUGGAAUAUUUAAUGAACAAUAUAAUCACUAUUGCAGUUGUUUUUUUUUUUUAGUAAUGGAUUAUUCGAAACUCAAAUUCAUUUUUUAGCCCCCUUACCUCUCUUAAAAUUCAAAUUUAAGUGACUAAACAAAUAAAACUGCUUAAAAUCUAUACGACUACAUCUUUGGGGACCAAUUAAUAUGGAUGUUUAAAUCUUGAUUUAUUAUUAAAUCUUUGAGUUUCAACCACUAAUAACAUCAUCAUCGAUUAAUGACAAAUAAAAUAAUACAUCAUCAAAACCAUUAAACACGUCCAUCAAUAUCAAAAACAAGUAAAAAGUUUAGCAUGUAUUUCAAAUAUACUUUUCAUCCCAAAAGUUGUAGAGAAAGUCUCGAUAUCAAUGUCACUAUGAGACGUAAUUUUAUAUUUAAAGUCAGCGCAACUUAAAAAUUACUAUGAAUGAAUAAUACACCAUAAAAAAAUUAUUUAUAAGUAUUUUCAUCAUGUAUUUUUAUUUAACAAUGGUGACAUUUAUUUUUUAACUUAAUGACUUAAAGUGGCUUAACUUAAUUAAUUAAGUUAAUUUUAGGUGUUUGUUUUUAUAACUUAAUAGGACAUUUUAGAUAAUUUUGACUUAAUAAAAUAGGCCAAUUUUUUUUAACUUUUUACUUAAUAGAGAAAUUUGAAUUAAGUCAGUUACUUUCUAAUGUAAAAAAAUAUUCCUACUUUAUAAUUUAUUUUUCAUGCAUAUUCAAAAACUCACCCAUAGAUAUUUACCCCACAUAAUCUCAUCUUUAUUUUCUUCCAGCCGUCAUGGAAUCCCUCCUCACUUUGCUUCUCUCCUCUAGUUCUUGAAUCUCCCUUUAAUUUCUCGCUAGGCAAAGCACUUGAAUUGGGCUUUUUUUUUUUCCUUUUCAAUUACGUUUUCCAACAUUCACUUAUAUAAUAAUCAACUAGUUGCUACUCUUUUUAGUGAUAAAAUUUGAAAUAUGGUAUUUUAUAUAUUAAAUUUUCAAAAUUAUGUAUUCACUUAAAUGUAGUUUUACUUAUAAAUAUUAAAAUAUUAUGUUAUUUAAUAUAUUAUUUAUUUGACAUUCAAAUUUAAUAAGGAUAUAAAUGUAAAAGUACAUAUUUUUAAUUUUUUAAGUUGAAAAAAUAACUUAAUAUUUAUUUUCAGAUAUUCAAAUAAAAAAUAUAUUAUUUAAAUUCAAAAAUUUAAAUCUAUUCAAAAUUUAAAGUAAUUCAGGUCUAUGCAUAUUUCAAUCAUAAAAACAAAUGCCACAUGAGUCAUUCAAUUUCUAAUUAAGAGGAUAAAAAAUAGAUUUGGACUAUCCUAAGACAAAAACAAAAAAAAAAACAAAAAUAAGAUUUCCUAAUAAGUGUACUAACGUGGUCACGCGCCUUGAGAAACGCUUGGACCUAACACACUAUUUUAAUCCGAUAUGCAAAAAAAGAAAAAAAAAAAAAAGGAAAAAUUAUGAGAUGUAUAAGUUUCUAGAGACGUGUUAAAUUUUGAUGAAACAAUGAAGAAAGUCGGUGGCCGAAGUUGGUAUGGGGCAAUGCGAAUGGUGGUUGGCCCACGUUGCCCUGUAAUUGGAGUUGUUAUAAUUUUUCUUAUAAUUAAUAGGACUUGACACAGACUGCAGCAUCAGCCGUUGGAUGUGGAGGGAGAAACUAAACAAUAGAAAACCGUAUGGUGGGAUGACGGUAGAUGUUUGUUACAGAAACUGUACCAUAGACAGGUCCUAAUUAAUAAGCUCUACGUUUUGAAACAAUAAAUAAACUCCAGAUGACCAAAAUAUCAUUUCAUACUGCUACCUAGACAUCUUGGCGAGGGUGGGUAAUGUGGGGCCCGGAGCUUGUUUGAUCGUCAAUUAUUCUCUGGUUUGGUGAAACGAAUGGACGGACGAUGGUGAUGGCUUUUAGGAGAUUAGUAUUAUUAUUAUUAUUAUUAUUAUUACAUUGAGAUCGUAAAACAAAAAAUUCAAUUAAUAAUAUAAAAUAUUUAUUUAAUUUAUUAAUUAUUAUAUAUACACAAUAAAAAAAUUUAUAUACAUAUUUAUAAAUGUGUAAAUAAAUUUCAUUCAAUAUUAUAUCCAAUUAAUCAUUUAUAUUUUUCUGCUGUACCGUACAUCCGCCUUGGCCGUACAGCAGUAAAGCUGCUGAUGCUUUAUCGCGAAUUCAUGAGGAAAAUGUGAUUGAAGAACCCAAACCAACAACUCUUUGUUUGUCGUUAGACAUUUACCCCACAUAAAAAUAUCCCUAUUUUUUCUUUCUUAUAUUAUAUACGAUAAAAUUUGAAAUUUAUGGUAUUUUAUAUAUUAAAAUUCUAAAAUAAUUAUGUAUUCACUUGAAUAUAGUUUUACUUAUAACUGUUAAAAUAUUGUGGUAUUUAAUAUAUUAUUUAUUUGACAUUAAAAUUUAAUAAGGAUACAAAUGUAAAAGUACAUAUUUUCAGUUUUUUCAGUUAAAAAAAAAGCAACUUAAUACUUAUUUUUCGAGAUUCAGACGAAAAAAUAAACAUAUUAUUCAUAUUCAGACAUUUAGAUAUAUUCAGAAUUCAAACUAAUUCAGGUCUAUUCAGAUUUUAGACAAAAAAAACAAACGCCACCUCAAUCAAUAAACACACCAUAAAUGUAGAGUUGUUACUAUUAGAAUACAUUAUAAUUCAUCACAAUUAUGAUAGGUAUAUACGUGUGUAAUAAUUUAUAUAAGAUGCUAAAUUUUGAAAAUAAUAAAAAAUCAUUUAUACAUAUUUAAAAAAAUCAUUAAUACAUUAAAAUGUGCAUCACAUAUACAUUUACAUAAUAGCAAUGACCAUAGUAUAAAAAAAACUCCUAAAAGAGAACGACUUCGUUAUUUAUGUUAUUUUAUAUAUUUUUAAUUGAUUAUUAAAAGGAUCAAUUGUUAAUUAUUAUUCUCCAAACAUAAUCACCGUUAAACAUUUAUUCAAUUUAACAAUAGGUAGAUGUUAAAUAAUAUUGGAAUAUUUAAUGAACAAUAUAAUCACUAUUGCAGUUGUUUUUUUUUUUUAGUAAUGGAUUAUUCGAAACUCAAAUUCAUUUUUUAGCCCCCUUACCUCUCUUAAAAUUCAAAUUUAAGUGACUAAACAAAUAAAACUGCUUAAAAUCUAUACGACUACAUCUUUGGGGACCAAUUAAUAUGGAUGUUUAAAUCUUGAUUUAUUAUUAAAUCUUUGAGUUUCAACCACUAAUAACAUCAUCAUCGAUUAAUGACAAAUAAAAUAAUACAUCAUCAAAACCAUUAAACACGUCCAUCAAUAUCAAAAACAAGUAAAAAGUUUAGCAUGUAUUUCAAAUAUACUUUUCAUCCCAAAAGUUGUAGAGAAAGUCUCGAUAUCAAUGUCACUAUGAGACGUAAUUUUAUAUUUAAAGUCAGCGCAACUUAAAAAUUACUAUGAAUGAAUAAUACACCAUAAAAAAAUUAUUUAUAAGUAUUUUCAUCAUGUAUUUUUAUUUAACAAUGGUGACAUUUAUUUUUUAACUUAAUGACUUAAAGUGGCUUAACUUAAUUAAUUAAGUUAAUUUUAGGUGUUUGUUUUUAUAACUUAAUAGGACAUUUUAGAUAAUUUUGACUUAAUAAAAUAGGCCAAUUUUUUUUAACUUUUUACUUAAUAGAGAAAUUUGAAUUAAGUCAGUUACUUUCUAAUGUAAAAAAAUAUUCCUACUUUAUAAUUUAUUUUUCAUGCAUAUUCAAAAACUCACCCAUAGAUAUUUACCCCACAUAAUCUCAUCUUUAUUUUCUUCCAGCCGUCAUGGAAUCCCUCCUCACUUUGCUUCUCUCCUCUAGUUCUUGAAUCUCCCUUUAAUUUCUCGCUAGGCAAAGCACUUGAAUUGGGCUUUUUUUUUUUUCCUUUUCAAUUACGUUUUCCAACAUUCACUUAUAUAAUAAUCAACUAGUUGCUACUCUUUUUAGUGAUAAAAUUUGAAAUAUGGUAUUUUAUAUAUUAAAUUUUCAAAAUUAUGUAUUCACUUAAAUGUAGUUUUACUUAUAAAUAUUAAAAUAUUAUGUUAUUUAAUAUAUUAUUUAUUUGACAUUCAAAUUUAAUAAGGAUAUAAAUGUAAAAGUACAUAUUUUUAAUUUUUUAAGUUGAAAAAAUAACUUAAUAUUUAUUUUCAGAUAUUCAAAUAAAAAAUAUAUUAUUUAAAUUCAAAAAUUUAAAUCUAUUCAAAAUUUAAAGUAAUUCAGGUCUAUGCAUAUUUCAAUCAUAAAAACAAAUGCCACAUGAGUCAUUCAAUUUCUAAUUAAGAGGAUAAAAAAUAGAUUUGGACUAUCCUAAGACAAAAACAAAAAAAAAAACAAAAAUAAGAUUUCCUAAUAAGUGUACUAACGUGGUCACGCGCCUUGAGAAACGCUUGGACCUAACACACUAUUUUAAUCCGAUAUGCAAAAAAAGAAAAAAAAAAAAAAGGAAAAAUUAUGAGAUGUAUAAGUUUCUAGAGACGUGUUAAAUUUUGAUGAAACAAUGAAGAAAGUCGGUGGCCGAAGUUGGUAUGGGGCAAUGCGAAUGGUGGUUGGCCCACGUUGCCCUGUAAUUGGAGUUGUUAUAAUUUUUCUUAUAAUUAAUAGGACUUGACACAGACUGCAGCAUCAGCCGUUGGAUGUGGAGGGAGAAACUAAACAAUAGAAAACCGUAUGGUGGGAUGACGGUAGAUGUUUGUUACAGAAACUGUACCAUAGACAGGUCCUAAUUAAUAAGCUCUACGUUUUGAAACAAUAAAUAAACUCCAGAUGACCAAAAUAUCAUUUCAUACUGCUACCUAGACAUCUUGGCGAGGGUGGGUAAUGUGGGGCCCGGAGCUUGUUUGAUCGUCAAUUAUUCUCUGGUUUGGUGAAACGAAUGGACGGACGAUGGUGAUGGCUUUUAGGAGAUUAGUAUUAUUAUUAUUAUUAUUAUUAUUACAUUGAGAUCGUAAAACAAAAAAUUCAAUUAAUAAUAUAAAAUAUUUAUUUAAUUUAUUAAUUAUUAUAUAUACACAAUAAAAAAAUUUAUAUACAUAUUUAUAAAUGUGUAAAUAAAUUUCAUUCAAUAUUAUAUCCAAUUAAUCAUUUAUAUUUUUACAGCGGUUUAAUAAUAAUAUUUACUAAAUACAUAUGAUUAUUUUUAAAAUUCACAGUAUUUUUAAAAAUAAAUUUUAUAAAAUUUUUAACUAAUUUUCUUUACAACUAACUAUUGAACGGUUUAACUAAUAGUAAUUAUUUUUAAAAUUAUAGUAUUAUCAAAUUAGUCCUAUGUCAAAUUUGUUAUUGCUGUUUUUUUUUUAAUUAAAAAAUUACAUAGUGCAUACGUGCAUAAUAUGCCCAACUCAAAAAUUCACACAAAAUAUACUAUUUAACUUUAAGGCUUUAAUUGAAAAAAAAAAUUAAGAUUAAGAUGAAUAAAUACUAGAACAUAACAAAUAGAUAAACUCUCCCAUUCUUUAAAAAGAUUAAUUUUAUUUUAAACUUACACUUCGAAUUCAAAGUAGACAUUGAUUGAUAAAAUUAUACAAACGGAUCAAUAUUCCUACAUUUUCUUUUUAAUUUCAAAACCAACAGAUAUUGUUUGUUCAUUAUAUGACCUCCAAACAAAUAAUUUCAUUAAUAAAAUAAUAAUGAAAAGUGUCGUGAUGGGUAUAGAGUAAUUAGGUGGCUAAGUUUCUACUUUUCAUUCUAACUCUUGAGGUUGGUAGGCGCGUGGGUGGUCCACAAAACCCGUGGACGGUAGCAUUCAAACAAAGACUGGAGGCACCAGAAAAAUGUCCAAAAAGUGUGAAACCGUGACGUGUUCAACAUGUUAAUAAAUUUAGGCAAAUGUUAAAGUUACGGAGCUGGCUACGUUACAGAAACUGUACGUAACAGCCAUGCAUUUUUUAUUCGUUGGAUCUAGAGACUGAAAUUGGAUGGUUGGGAUUAAAGGCCAGAAUAGAAAUUAAUCACGGGCAACCGUUUUUAACAUUUAGAAGGGUUUAUUUUCAUGCACACCCAAAUAUUUUGACAAAUAUCAAUAUGCACCCAGUAACUUUUUAUGUAAAACCACAUAACCGACCCGUUAACUUUUCUACUAUUGAAUUAAAAAACUAUCAUGCCUCAAUUGAAUUAAAUUGAUCAGGUAAAAUAUCUUUUAUAACUUGUCAAUUUUUACAGUGAAAUAUACGAGUAUUUAGUAAAAUCAAAUUUAUUUUUUAUUCAGUAAUCAAAUUUUUUUAUUUAGUGAAAUCAAAAUUAUUUUUCUUUAGUUGUAAGAUUUUUUUAACAAAAAAAUUCUAAAAUCAGAUUUAACUCAUUUACUAUUUUAAAAAAUGAACUUUUUACUAACCAAACUAGAGUUUAUCUUUAGUCAACAUAUUUUUUUCUCUAAAAUAACCUUUGAUAGAAUUACUUAUAUAAACAUGUCAGUAUCAAAAUUACUUCAUAUUUUACCAUCCAUCAAUUUAAACUAGUGUGAAAUUUUUUUAGUUUGAUAUUGAAAAUAUGAUAGUUGAUGAGAGAAAUCUAAUUCAAAUUUACAGAUAGAAUAGUUUCUUAUAAUUGCGUACAUGGUAUAUCAAAAAUAUUUUUUUGUGAGUUUUUAAAAAAAUUGUGUCACAAGAUGAAAUUAUCUCUUGAUUUUUCAAUUCCUGGAAUUUAUGUAAAACAAUAAACACAAGUAAAUCUUUUGGUUUGUGACUUCUUGAAGGAAUGUUUGGGAACGCACAAGUUCCUCUCUCCUUCAAAAAGAAUGAUAAGUGCAAAUACCAACCUAGAAAAUUGAUUUAUAAUUCAAAGAAGAUUUGAUUGAAGAUGAUUAAUUGAAAUUUAUCUUUGCAUGAUGUCAAACAUUUUUCAAAAUGACUAAGUCAAGUCUCUUUGUUAAUUCAAAUCAAGAAAAAUUAGAAAAAUAUUAAUGCAUAGAAAUUCUACUAAGAGUUAUUUAUGAAAUUCUCAAACGAAUAGAAAUUAAAUUAACAUUUUUAAAUUUUAGUUAUGGGUUUAUUUUAAAAAUGGGUUUAGAAAGAAAUUUGAGGGGUUUAAAGAACCCCGCCCUUUCUUUAAUUAUUCGGUGAAUUUGAAAUAUAUUAAUAAGGUAUAAGAAUAUGUUAUUCUAAUCUUCUUAUGCAAAAUCUAUGCAAUUAAAAAAAAAUUCACCAAACGGUAUUUGUCUUUUUAUUGACAUUUAAUAAUAUUGAUGGCAAAUAUAUACAAUUAUCAAUCAAUUGUUAUCAACUAUUCAAGAUAACUGAAAAACUAAUUGCGUGAAGUUGGAGUAAUGAUUGUUUGAAUUGCCAAGAGUUUUUUUUUAAUAGAAACUAUUGCAAUUCAUAUCAUUAAAAAACUUAAAGACUACAAGUCGAAUAAAAAAUCUUUCCUUAUAAAAGAAUUUGACCAACUCAAAGUACAGUGUUAAAUCCUUGAGAUACAAUGAACCUAAAAAUCCUACUUUGACACACCACAAAUAAUGAAUCUAACUUAACAAUCAAUGGAGAUAAAUCAAUUUUACUAGCAAAAUAUAAGCCAAAACACAAGGCAACGUCUUCACCAAAAUCAAUAUCAUUCAAAUAAUUCCCCUUGUGAACGCCUGAAGCUAUCAUAAAAACAACAAAAAAUAAAAAAAUAAAAACAAGUAGACAAGCAAAAAAAUUCCCCAAUAACAAGUUACCCUACAAAACUUUUCCUUGUAGAACAUACACAGAAACCGCAGCUAUAGGGCUAUCGAAAGUAGGGAUGGCAAUGGGGAGGGGAGGGGAGGGGACCAAUCUCCCCAUACCCAUCCCCGAUAUUUUGCGUAUGUCCCCGUCCCCGUCAGAAUUGCUUGAGAGAAUCUCCAUCCCCUCCCCGAAUAAUAACAGGGGAUCCCCGAGGGUCCCCGGUCUUUGGAAAAGCUAGGAAAGAAAAGGGACGUGAAAAACAAAGGGGGUAGAUUUUUUGAAGGGGAAAGAAAAAGAAACCCUAGAUCUAAAUUUUUCUCUUCUCUCUAUGAAGAACUAAACCUAUUAUUCUGGUUGAAGAUUAAUAAAGCUUUGGUUCAUCAUUACUGUGAGAUCUUUCUUAUGCUUUAAUUGUUUUAUUGCUUUUUGGGUAUUUGUUUAUUCUCUAAAUUAUUGUCAUGAUUAUAUUUGUUAAUUAGAUAAUUGGCCACUAUUUAAUUAUCAACUUAAUCUAUUGUCAAUUAAAAGAUUCAUCGUAUGAAGAUUUUAAUAUUUGUGACAAAUAGCAUAGCAGUGCGUUGUGUUAUGAGAAUAAACAAUCUAAUUUAAAUGAACCAUCGUAUGCGUUUGUUGAUUAGGAUUUGGGUCUCUCUGAUUUUUCAGGUUGUCAAUUAAUUAAAUCCUAUGAUUGUAUCUAGGGUUAUCUAUUAAUUAGGGAAAUAACCAAUGGUCGUACCUUAGUUAUCGACUAGUUAAAGAGAGAUUGGCUAUUAAAGGGUCUCAGUAGCUAGGGAUGGCAAAAAUCCCCACGGGGACGGGCACCCUCGGGGAUUUUCCCCAUUCGGGGAGGGUACGGGGAUAAUUUUAUACCCAAUUUUUUUUUCGGGGAGGGGACGGGGAAAAUUUUUUACCCAAUUUUUUAUUCGGGGAGGGGACGGGGAUGAGGUGGAAUCCCCAUCCCCUACCCAUUUCCCCAUUUUAAUUUUUAUUUUUUAUUUUUAAAAUUACUAAUAAAUAUAUAACAAAAUUAUAAAUAUUGGCAAGAUAUGAGUGGAAUUUUGGGUGUGACAUGUAUAUUUGAUCCAAGGUAUAAAAAGAAGUUCAUUGAAUAAUACUUUUCUUUUUAUUUUUAAAAUUACUAAUAAAUAAAUAACAAAAUUAUAAAUAUUGUUAAAAAUAAUAAAUAUCAAAAUAGUUGUAUGUUGGGAAAGUGGUCACCCCUUACCAGGAAUUAGUGGAAGAGUAUCAAUUGAAGUUUUCACCAAUUGUUUAUUGCUUUGAUUAUACUGGUUGUAGUUCUUCUAUUAGAUCUACAGGGGAUUCUUAUAAGAAAGCAACCAAAUGGAUGACAUGUUUUGAUGAUUAUGUAAACAAUGGAGAUUGUGCAGUUGUUGCAGAUGAAUUAGAUUCAUAUUUGGAUGAAAAAGUUAUACCCCGGAUGGAAGAUUUUAAUAUUUUGAGUUGGUGGAAGACAAAUGCUAAUAGGUAUCCUACAUUAGCUCGAAUUGCUACAGGACGAGCAGGAGGUAAAUAGUUUUAUUAAAAAUAUUAAUUAAGUAUCUACAUUUAUUUCAUUUAUUUUAUUGCCGAUGUAAAAAAUAUUUUUUUUUUCUUUUUAUUGUAGGAUUAUGAAGAUUGAGACAUUGAUAAAGAUAAUUAUUUUAAUAAUUUAUAUUUUGAAUGUGACUUUGUAAUGGAUCAAUAUUAAUGUAAGAUAUAUUUUAAACUUUAUUUUUAUCUGAAUUUUUUAUUUUAAUAUGAUUAAUUUAAAAUCAAAAAUAAAAAAAUGUAUUAGACUAUUAAUUAUUCGGAGACCGGGGACCCUCGGGGAUCCCCUGUUAUUAUUCGGGGAGGGGAUGGGGAUUCUCUCAAGCAAUUCUAACGGGGACGGGGAGGGGACGGGGACAUACGCAAAAUAUCGGGGAUGGGUAUGGGGAGAUUAGUCCCCUCCCCUCUCCUCCCCAUUGCCAUCCCUAGAUUUUUGCCAUCCCUAUCGAAACCUCUACCCACCACUAUUAGAGUUAAAAAAAUCUCUGAUAUGAGUGUAUUCUUCUAAUUUGAACUCUAACGUGAUUUUUUGAGAGAUUCAUUGGAAAAAAACCUUAAGGAGUUAAAGAAGAAAUUUAAAAAAAAAAUCAUAAAAAGAGGAAUGAAAAGAAAAAGAUGCUUUACCAAGAGUUGAUUGACAGUAAUUGGUAAAUUUGAGCAUGCAAUAAAAUUUACCCAUAUAUUCAUAUGACAUAAAAUAUAAUUUUAUUCAUUAAUUACACUACUAAUUUGUCUAAAUUUUAGUUUUUAAAAAAAUAAAUUUCUAUAUAUUUACAUAAAUCUUAGUUUUUAUAAAAAUAAAUUGAAAAAUAAAUUUAUGUUUUUAUAAAAAUAAAUUUAUGUUUAUUUUUUUACAUUGACCUGAAGAAAAGACUAGUACUACUAAGCUGCUGUACGGCCAAGGCGGAUGUACGGUACAGCAGCAAUUUGACUGUUUGGGGGUGGGGUUGAUGGCUUACAUCAAAGUUAGUGUGUGCUAAGGAUUAACAAUAAUAAUGGGGUAAAUAUGAAAUUAAUCCUUGCCCAAGCAUUAGAAGUUCGUCGGUUUUCUUUUAACCGGAUAAUUACCGGUGAAUAUGUCACGCGUUCCUACACGUGGCAGCAUCUAAUUUAUUCGCUUGUCAUUUCAGUUUCUGUUAGUUACAGUUUCUGUAACGUAGCUAGCUCCGUCAGGUACAGGCAUGUUGUAACUUACGUUUCUCGUAAAAAUCAUAUAAGUUCUAUUUCUACCGCUAGGGUGAGCAUGGGUUGAUUUGGAUUAAAUUUUAAGUUAAUUUAAAUUAAAUUAUAAAAAUUUGGGUGUAAUCUAAAUUAAUUUAAAUAUUUUUAACAUAACUCAUGGGUUGGUUAAAUCAAACUAUAAAAAUUUGGUCCAACUCAAAUUAACUCAAAUAUUUUCAACACAACCCAAAGCAACUCAGUUGGAUUUUAUUAAAAUUAUAAUAAUUAUUAAUUGUUUUUAAACCAACCAUUUUGAGUUUGGUUUGGAUUUUAUUAUCAAAAUAUAUUUUUUAUUUUGAGAAAUUUAAUUUUAUCAAAAUUAUAAUAAUUAUUAAUUGUUAUUACUUAUUAAAUUGAUAAUAACAUAUAAAAAUUAUAAUUCAUAAAAAUUAUAAAUAACAAAUUUUACAAUAACUUAAUCCUUAAAUUAAAGAAUACUAGAAAAUUAAAAUAAAGUUUAAUCACAAAAAUCAUUAUUUAUCAAUAAAUAAGAAAAUUCUAAUAAAAAACUUCUACAAGCACGAUAUCGACAAGUAAAUUCAAAGAAAGAAAGAAAGAAAGAAAAGACUAGUACUACUAAGUAUUAACCCUAUUACAACACAAACUCUAACAAUGUCCAUACAAAUAAAAAAAAAUAAGACAUUCUAACUCAAGUGUCAAAGCAAUCCAUCAUAAUCAUUUCCAUCCGUAGUACUUUAAUCGAGAGAUUCCACGAUUAACUGACAAAAUGUAUGACAAUGAUAAUUUACAUUGAUUAUGACAUAAUAGAGAUGGAUUUGUCAAAGCCAAAUCAUUUGCUGGAAAGGAAUUUAGUUGAAGUAGGAACCAAAAUUCAACUUAGAUGGAUCUAUAAAAUUGGUCAUUCAAUACAUAAGUACUUUAUCAACAGAUUCAACACAUUAUAAAUUUAUGGAUUCAACUAAGUUACAACCAGCUGCAACUUAUUCCUCUCACAUAAACAAUAAUACAGCGGUAGGCUAUAUUAUUUACAAAAAGUACUUAUGUAUUGAAUGACCAAUUUUAUUACCUGCAAAAUUAAUUAAUCUUUCACUCUAUCAUCUAACUAAUGGAAGGCAAUCUUAUUUUAGGUUGUAAUGAUUAGAAACUAGCAGGAAGUGGGGGCGAUGCUCCAUAUUAAUUUGGAUAAAUCCCUUUCUAGUGAAGAAGUUAAAAUUAUAAAAUAGAGAUCAAGAUAGAAAUUUAAAGGCCCCGAUUGUUUUUUACAGACUUAAAAAUGAUAUUGAAAAAUUAAAAGCUAAUUUUAGUAUUUAAAAAUUACUUUAAGAAAAAUCACCCUAUCUUCCUGUAAAUUUUGAAAAGCAUGAAAAGAGCAGUUUUUCAAAAAUUGAUUUCGAAAAUUAGUUUCAUACUUAAUACAAUUCCAUAUAUCCUAACAUUUAUUAUAAAAAUUCAAAUUAUCCUUAUUAAAUUAGGAAAUAAAGUCAGUACAUUUAAAUAAGAGUGAUGAUAUAGACACAAACUCUUGUACCAACUGACGUAGCAUUAAUUUAUUAGUUGAAUGAAAAUAUAAAAUAAUAUAAAUAAAUCAUGUGGGCCAAGAAAUAUUUAAUUUAACCAAUUUUAUCAUGUCACAUUAUAAGCAACUUAUAAACUCAUUGGAUUCGACUCUUUACUAAAAUAAAAAUAAAUUAAUAUAUAUAUAUAUAUAUAUAUAUAUUUACAUACAUAAAAUGUGAUUAUAUACACAUAUUUAUAAUUGAAUAUGUACAUAAAUUCUGUAGAUUUAUGUCUAUCUAUACAUUUGCAUUCUUACCACAUUUUAAAAGUGUGAUUUACCAAAUACAUGGGACUUAUUUGAAAUUUAUAGCACUUUUAUAAAUAAAAUUUAUCAAACGUUAAACAGAUUCUCUAUUUUCGCGUAUAUAUCCUCAUGUAAAUUAUAAAAAUUCAAAAUUAUCUUUAUUCAAUUAGGAAAUUAAAUCAUUAUUUUUAAAGAGAUUCUUAUUAUUACUAAUUAGAUUCAAAUAACCAAAAAAAUACAAUCAAUAAAAUAAAAAUAUUUAUUUUAGUUAUCAUUUAUUAUAUACACAUAUUUAUAAAUGCAUGUGUAAAUAAAAUUUUAUAGAUUUAUGUCUAUUUAAGUUAUUUGCAUUCUUACAACAUUUAAAAAAUGAGAUUUACUAAACACAUGUGAUUGUUUUUAAAAAAGUUACAACACUUUUAAAAAUAAAAUUUAACAAAUGUUUAAUUGACUCUCUCCAAAGGUAAUUGUUUUUACAGUAUAGCUAAAGUAAUUUAUAAAUUUAUGAUAAGUAUUUGUGAAUAUUGGUCUAUGUAAAGAAGUAAAAACAACAUAUAUAUUAAGCAGCAUGAUAUUAAAACUCUUAGUAAAAUACAUAUACUAAUAAAAGAAAGACAACAAUGCAAUAAAUAAGCUUAUAAUAUAAAUUAUUAAAAUUGUAUAUUAAAAAAUUAUGCAUGAAAUUCUUUUUCUAUUUUGGUGAUAGAGAAUGCGAUAUAAUUGAAUUAUUUGAUUUAAUAAAAAAAAAAUAUGACUGUGAAGGAAAUUAACAAUUGAAUUGUGGAAUGUUAUUAAUUGUUAUUGUAUCAUUUUGCAACGUUCUAAUAAUAUGGACAAUGUUACAGUAUAUUGAUGGGCGGUAAUAUUUUCACCUCUUAAAUUGUGUAAAGUCAGCUCCAUUUAAAAAAAUUAUAUAUAAAAAGCCCAUUAGUUUUAAUAGUUUCAAAUUAAGAUUAAAUGCAAAUAAUUAACCAAUUAAAUCCUUAUUAAUAAGAUCAUUGAGCUUUAAUUAAACUAAUAAAAUGCAUUUGAUAAAUGAAAUUUACGAUAUUUAAUUACAUGAAAUUUAUUGACUACAUGAAUAAUAUAAUUGUUCAGCUGUUUAAACUUUUUCCCUAUUUAAAUUUUAAAAAACAAUGUGAAAUUUUGUAAAUAGUUCUUUGAAAUGGGGUGGAUUUACACCAUUUGUGCAGUGCAAAUAUCCUAAUUCUAACAUUUUUUUUAAAAAAAAAGACCAAAUCAUAACAUUUUUUGUAUACUAAGUUAAAGUAGUACUAACAUUAUAGCCCCCUAAUGAUUUCAAUUCAUUCAAUGAAUAUAUAAUUUAAGCAUGUUAUAAACUAAGUCUCUAAAUCGAAUUAAAAAAAGAAAAAAGAGCUUAAUUGCUGACAUAGUUGAAAAUAAAAUAAAAAAUUUUAUUAUUAGAUGAAAAAUUAUGAAACUUAAGGGGUAUAAGCGAGUCGGCAGCUGCUCACCAGGGCAUAUGUAAUAUUUGUUAAUACAUUUCAAAAUUUUAGGUUUUUUAAUAAUAUUUUCAAUACAUUUUCUAGAAGGUUUAGAAAAAAAAAAUGACUCAAUACUUUAAUCGAGCUAUGAAUAAACUCAUGUGUUAAAAAAUUUCAUAUUUACACCCAAUAAGAUUAAUUAAUGGGUGAUACAAAUUUAAGAUAGUUAAUAAUAAUAUAUAUCAUCUUAAGUUAACUUCAACUCAUUAACCUUGUAUAAGGUUUGAUGGGUCGUGCCGCAAAUUAUCACCUCUAAUCCUUUUUGCAACAGGCAUGAUGAAUGCUAACAAAAUGAAACUUCUAUAUAUUUAGUUGUUAUUCUUUUUAAUGAAAUAAUAAGGAGCUUUGCUGCAAAUUUCCAUCCAGCAUGGCAUGGACGCACGUGAAAUUUGCUAGUAUGGUCCUGGACAUGCGUGGCUGAGAUGCUUCUAAAGGCAAAGAAUUCCAAGUUCAUACCAAAUAUAACUUUCUGAUAUUUUUGUGGUAUCAAGUUUGUUUUUCACAAACUAAGGUGUCGGCGUAAAGUUGUUGUCCAUGCAAUGAAGUUUUAUACAUAAAUAUAUUAACCUAAAUUGUUACUAAAGUUCCAUAAUUAGCAGUUCCUGAGAGUUUUUACUAUAUAUUUUUUUGUUUUAAUUCAACAUAUGUUUAUUUAAUACGAUUUUAUUAAAUAAAUGUGCAUAUUUACCAUAUUUGUCUACGAUCAAUUAGUUGGAAAAAAAAAAGAAAAUUAAUAAAUUUAUUUAUUUGAUUGUUAAUGGUUUAGGCAUUUGAAUUCCCACAAAGUCAGGGUGUCAGCUCUGGACUUCUGGUGAUGUAUUUUUCUAAUAAAGAAAUAAAAUAUUGUUGUCAUUUUUUUAAUAUUCUAAUUUACCAAGCCUACCAACCAAUUAAUUUUUCUAAUUAGAUCAUUAAUUCAUUACACGUGCAUUCGCUGGCCCAGUGCUCCAAUCCCAUGCAUGCUGCACAACUCAAUGUGUUUUAAUAAGAAAAGGUUUGGUUAGCCUGUGCUGAUGCCAGAAGCCCCUUAAGGAGUUCAGGUAAACGUAAAUAUGUCCAGAUUUAGAUUUGAAUAUGUAAACGUAAAUAGGUCCAGAUUCAGAUUCGUUGCGCUAGAGAGGGGCACGCACGAUCGGGCUGCUGUCAGGUGGUACGUUGGCGUGGCAAUUCUCAACACGCGCUUCUCCUGGUGCAUACUUACGGCAAGUUGACACGUGACCCGUGUGGAUUGAGUGGACAGAGUCACGGGCACUGAUUUUUGUCAUCCAUAACGACUAACGUCGGAGACUUCGAGAAGAAAGAAAUUGUUGUCGUUUCUAAGGGGAAAAAAAUAUUUAAUUUGUUGAAGACAAAUUAACGUCGGAGAUUUUUUUUAUUUUUUAUUUUUAAUUUUGCAAUCUAAACCAGUCUAAUCAAAAUGUCAAUUUGACAAAAGUUGGACUGAUUUAGAUUAGUUCUAUUAGUUUGAUUGGAUUAAAUUGAAUUAGAUCUUGAACAUCCUAACACUUUUCAUGAAUGUUUUCCUUUUUUUUUGAAAAAAAUUAAUAAGGAGAAUUCCCAUGAAUGUUAAUUUUAUUGAUAAACUUGGCAAUUUUAAGAAAUGUUUUGACGCACGAAUAAUGCAAUUCAUCAACCCACAUAGAUAUGGAUAUAGGAAGCAGAGACCAGAUCGAUCUUGACAUAACGAAAACUUGUAUGUGUAUAUGUAUGUUACAGACCAGAUCGAUCUGUAGCAUAGACUUCUCCUAUAUGUAGGUUAUAUUCAAAUUACAAAAUGAACACAUGUUAAGGAUCUACAACUUCUUCUUUAAUCUAAUAAGCUCCCUCAACUUUAUUCCAAAACAAAAAAGAAUCAAAUUUUUGUUGGAAAUAUUUAUGAAUGAAGAAGCAAAAAGCGCUUGUAUCAAGGAUCUAAUUAAAGAACUGCCAGAGGCAUAGAUCUAUCAAAGCUCCCUCGCAUGACUCUUGGUCUCGGUGGCUUCUUCUUCUUCAUUCCGAAUUUUCCCUCCAUCUGAUCUCUUCCAACCUUUCCAUUUCCAAAUUGAAUUGAAACUUGCCUCAUAUUCGUUUGUUGAAUCCCAUCUUUUGUUGCACCACCAUGCAUCAAAAUCCUUGAAAUCCCAGCAUAAUGCAAGGACUCAGCUAUUUGCAAUGGGGUCACGUUCUUACUUGUCCUUGCCUCAACAUCAGCUCCCUUCUUCACAAGCAAUUCAGUCACAUCUGUGUGGCCAGAUUCCACCGCACAAUGCAAAGCUGUGUACCCAUCUUCAUCUUUAGCAUCAACAUCAAUCCCUUUAUCAAUCAGAAUCCUCACAACCUCAAUCUUUCCCUUAAACGAAGCCCUAUGCAAAGCAGUCCAUCCAUGUAGGUCUUUCCCAUUGAUCGCGGCGCCUGCUUCGAUCAACCUCUGCAUUGUCCUCACUUCCCCUUUCCUAGCGGCAAUACACAGGCUGUCACCAAGCUUCAACGCGUCAAAGAGACGGGAGUGACCGCACUCAGCAGCAACAUCAUAAGCGGUCUUUCCGCUCUUGUUUCUAAUAUAUUUAUUAGCACCCUUCUGCAAUAACAGCUUCACCAUUUGCUCAUAUCCCAAGCUUGCGGCGAUAUGCAAAGGCGUGUCACCGUCUCUAGCGUUGCGUAUAUCAGGCCUUGCUCCGUUUGCUAACAGAAGUCUCGCGCAAUCUCUUCUUCUGUCUUCAACCGCGAGAUGCAGAGCUGUGUUACCAUCUUUUGUUAAAGCAUUGACAUUAGCACCUUUGAUUAAGAGAAGCUUUAGUACUUCCAAAUGGCCGCCUCGUAAGGCCAAGUGUAUGGGCCCCCAUGUUGAUGUUCCUGAUCUUUCUGUGCUGGCUUUCCUCGCCAACAAGAGCUCAACAAUAAGUGCUUCCCCUGCAGCCGCCGCGGCUUCAAGUGGAGUACUGCAGCCACACCUGCCUUGAGACUCAACAUCCGGCCCAAACUCAAGCAAAAGUUGAACAAUAUCAGGCCUCCUUUGAGCUAUAGCAAUAUGAAGCAACGUUUGUCCCUGCGCAUCGGCAGAAUCAGCCGGGUUCCAAGCCGGGUCACUCCGCUCAAGAACCUCUCUUAAAUCAUCCAUUUCACCAUCCUUAACAAGCAGAACCAAAACAGGAGACCCAACGAACAUGAUCUUGAUUCCGCUGUCGAUGAACACUUGCUUCUUCCUCGUUGUGAACCAGUCACUGGGGACGGAAUCAAGCGUCGACGUUGCAUCUUUAAUUCCAGCUCCAGGAACAACAACGCUGUGCAAGAGGAAGGAAUCAUCACAGUGAGGGAAAGAAUCAGGAAGAACCGAUCCUGGAGGGAGAUGAUACGCAAUCUCUACGCUUAGUGUUGCGAGUGGUGAUAUGAUUCCUGAUUGCGGCUUCACAGUAUAACGAGCCUUGUUUGUAGGCUGAAUCCUGAAAGCAACAGGCAUCGUGUGCAUGACAUUGCGGAGAGUCAGCUCCCCGGAACAUUUCUGCCCUGGUUCAAUUCUGAUAGCUACAAGGUUCGACGGCUCCAAGCUUACAAGCCUAUCCAUUGAUUAAUUUUCUCUCCGUUUCCCAAGGACUGCUGAAAGGGGUUCUUUGAACUUUUUGAUUCAGGCUUAUUUUCUUCACUUUUGGUGGCAUGGGGAGGAAUUAGAGGAGUAACUGUAAGAGCUGCAAGUGUUGGUGUAAUCAACUGUAAUAUAAGGAGAAGAGAGGGCCGGCUCUAAUGGGAGACUGCCACGUGGUGGUGUUAAAAACAAUGAGACUUGUUCUGUUCGGCGUCCGGAGUGUAUAUACAGUUGUGUUAGUGGUGAAAGUUAAAGAAAUCCUGAAGUUAUUUUCGGAGUGGCUUCUGCAAAGUCACUUUCAGGAUUGUAUUGUAUCAUUAAAAAACAAAGCCAGUUUUUGUUGUUCUAGUAAAAGGCGAAUCAUUGGACAAACUCGUAAGAAUAUGUUGCCAAAUGUAUAAAAUAUGAAAUUCAAACAAUGAUUACAAUGUGAAAUUGGACAAUGGACAUGGCCUGUGUGAAUUGUUUUGUGGGCUUACUAAUUAAAUUAAUUCACUAAAAAUAAUGUCACUUUUGUGUCUGUGAAGAAGCCGAAAUGGCACAGUCAUUUACGUGGCCAACUACGGUGACUACUUCGUCAGUAGCUGCUCGAGCACUUGGUCAGCACAAGUUGCUUUCUUUCUUGGCGGGAUUAGUUUUUCUUCAUUGCUUUAAGUGGUGCAUUUCUGCAGUUUCAUUUUGCUUUGCUUAUGCCAUUGGAUUUGUGCCCCAUAAAUAAAUAUAUAAUUAAGCGGAAAAGUAUCAAAUUUUGAAAAAGCUUAGGUUUUGUGUGUGUGUGUGUGUGUGUGUGUGUGUGUGUUUUAAGCCGAAUUACUCGGCUAAAAAUUAAUCCGAUUAUUAUUGUUUUGGUGCUUAAGAUGUGACUCUAACCUAAAGCUCAUUUGAACUCUCUUGAUGCUCAUAUGGUAUUUUUUGUGUUGUGUCGUGCUGGCCCUUACACAUCUCGGCUCAUAUUUUUCAUGUUACUAAGUUCUAAUAUGUACAAAAGAAAUAGAGCAAUGUCCGGUGGUAGAUCCAAACACUCAAUUUGGGGUGCUUAUUUUUCAGUCUCAAAUUCGAUUAUUUUCUUUUAAAAUAUUAAAAUAAUAGUAAUAAAAUACUUAUUUUAAAUACUGAGCUCAUUACAACCACAUAUGUAAAAGUAUCAUUUAUAUUUUUUUUCUAAAUAAUCUUCACAAAAUAUUUUAAAAAAUAAAAUUAUGUGACUAUGGGGAUUUGAACCAAGUCUCUCAAACUACUAAAUAACACUUUUACCACUAAAUUACAAAUCUUUUAACAUAUUAAAAGUGCAUCCAAAUUAUUAUUAUUAUUUAAUUAUUUCAUAAGAGAUUUGGGGCACAUUUAAAAGAAAAAAAAUUAAUGGUGCAUAAAGGACUAAAGCCUCUCUUGAGUCCUUGACCUUAACUAGGUCCACCCAUGGUAAUGUCAGUGAUACCCAACUUGAAAAAUAUACAAGAAACUUGGAAAUUUAAAUUAAUGAAUAAAUAAAUAAAUAAAAGGAAACUUAGUGAUUGUAGCUGUUGUAUUGUAUUGUGGAUCAAAGAAUUACAAGUUCUUGGUUUCUCGGUAUUGGCUAAUUUUGAAGUUAAAUGAAGUUCGAAAAUAUUUACAAGCAAUAAAAUUAUCAACUGAAUGAGACAAGGAAAGAGUAUAAAGACCUUAGCAAAUUAGCAAUCCUUCUUUAAUUUAGUAACAGUGACGCUUAUAAAGUUAGAAGACGUAUCAAAUCUAAUUUAGAUUUUGCCCCAUAAAACUAACUUAACUUAUAGUGCGUCUUUGUUUAAUUAGUAAAUAUUCCACAAAAACUGAUCAGCACUUUAUAGGAAAUUCCAAACACGUUUAUAUUCACAAGGAAUAUGUCAAGGAGAAAUGAGAAUAAAAAAAUGUAAAAACUAAUAAAGCUUCAUUAAUUAGAAUUUAUAACCAUAUGUGCUCCUAUACUACUUUUAUUAUUAAGAAUUUGAAGUAGAAGGUAGUUGAUUAUCAUGAAAUUACAAAAUUGUAAACGGAUUUGUUCUUUUGGAAAAAGAAAAAAAAAAAAAAAGGAAGGAUAGUUGAUUACUUGAUUAGUGAGAAAUCAUACGUAUAAAGGACAAAUUGAAAAAUGGGACCUGAAUUGCAACAAAGCUUCAUUGGAAUUAACUGCCGAUAAAAUUAAAUUAGUAUCACCCUACCCUUUCAUCUUAAUAUAUUCGAAAUUUCACCGAUCAAAGUUUCUAGCUUCGAUUUUUACGAUCUCUCAUCCUAAUAACACCAAAAGCAUAUUCAUUCGUUUGUAAGAUUAUGUAACAAAAUAUAGUAAAUAGCCUAUAAUUUUUUUGUUUUACUACUAACCUGUUAUCAUUCUUUUCUAAUAAUACAUGUUAAAAUAUUCACAGAAAAAAUUUAUCCCUAUUACACCCAACCACCUUUUUUUGUGUUUUUUUUGUUCAAAUUUUAGCAUUAAAGGGACAAUAAUGUCCUAUGAAAUAUGCAGAAAGACAGUUAAUAAUAUUCAAAAAUGUAAGUGGAGGUAUCUUACGCCACACACACAAAUUACACGACUCUCAUUAAUGUGUUGUUGUUGUUAUGUGUGGCGUAAGUUACAGUUGAAUGUCAUAUUCAAAAAAGUAAGUGGAGGUAUCAAUCUCCCUAAAUAAAUAAUUUAUGGAAGGUUGUUAGCUGUUGUACUUUUAGUUAAUUUUAAAAUCACAAUAAUAUGGUUAAUGUUAAGUUACAUGCAUGUAACUUAGGAGGAUCCCAAUAAUAUACCAUAUUUUAUUAAUAUGUACAGUAUUUAUAAUAUUUAAAAAUUAAGGAAUUAAUGUACGCAUGUAAAAGCUGCAUUGGAGCCAGUUGGAAAUCUUACUGUCUUGAUAUAUGCAACGAUUGUAGCAGCUAAAAAGGCAUGAUAUUUACUUAAUAUUAUUUCAAACAAUAAUUAUUUAUUUAAAGCAAAUAAUAAUAAUGAGGGCAGAAGGACUAUUCUAGGAUCAAUAUGGUGACAGUAUAAAUAAAUAAUAUUAAUUAUUAAUGCAUUGAUGAGUAUUGUUAAAAUGACAUAAUAGGUUUGUUUCAUUGAAUUGAACCUUUUCUCUUAAAAUAGCUAUAAUUUGUUCUCUCUCUCUCUGUGUUUUUGUUUUUGUUUUUCACUUUAGUUUUACUUCUCUUAAAAAACCAAAAAAAAAAAAACAAAAUUAAUGGAAACUGAUGAUGGGAAGACGGACAAUUUUCUAUAUUGUUAAAUAGAAAUGGGCACAAAUGUGAGUUUUUUGGGGCAAAAAAAUAUAGUCAAUGUACGUAGCGUUUGUCUAUUUGAAAACCCGUCAAUAUAAAAACAGGACGUAAAGCUUUCAGACAAAGUACUCUUAUGGCCGUACUUUCCAUAAACCAAAUCAAAAGAAGGAAAAUAUUUGUGUCUGGCUUCGAUGCGACUGUUAACAUUCACAAAUAAACACCUUUGCAUGGUCAGAAAAAUUAACAAGAAAUUAGAAGGCGAUGUUGCGUUCUACUUAGUUCUCUAGGAUUUGUGUCAUUUGUUUAUGCUACGGUUCGUUCCCAUUUGCAUUGCGUGGAAUAAUUGGCCGAAUAUUAUUAAUCUCAAUCUUAAUCUCUCAACUCUUGUCCCUUUAAUUUUUGUUUGUAUCUUUUUCUUUUUUUUUUUAAAUAUCACAUACAAUGCUUUUAAUAAAUAACUUCAUAGAAAUAUUUAAUAAAAUCCAACAUAUAUAAGUUCAAGAAACUCAAAAAAUAAAAGAAAAUAAACUCACGUUGUCACUGGAGAGACUCAAACAUGCUACCUUAAAAUUAAGUAGAGGGUGCAACUACUUGCACUUUAAAAAAAGAAAAGAAAAAAAAAGGGGCUUUGAACGCUCGUGAUAAUUUGCAAGUUAUGGAGGAUAAUCAUUGUACAAUGGGGAGAACUCUUAUGGAACAAUAUUCAAACUGAUAUUGAAAGCAUAUAAGAAUUUGGCUUGGGUGUUUUGGUGCCAUGAAUGAGUGCAGAAACAAAGAGGAAGCUUUGUCCCUUUAAUUUGAUCUGCUGUAUUAUAAUUAUUGAGAUUAAUCAAAUAAAUAACCGAAACAUGGUUACAGUUUUAUAGUGUAUUGCAAGUCUUUGGAGAUACUAUGUACCUCAAAAAAAAAUAUCGUAUAAAAGAGUGUUUUGUUUCACAGGGGUUCAAUGAGAUUUGAGAUGGCUGUAAUGAAAGUGAUGUAAAUUUUUUGGACUCUAAUGAGGUGUUUUUAGAUGGAGGGGGAUUUACAAGUAUUUUAUAGGGGUGAUAAAUGACUGUAUACCCACCAAAAAGGCCCAUUGUUCGAGUCCAUGAGCAUUACAGUUUUUUUUUUUUUUUUUUUUGAAAUUCAGAACAUGCAGUUUGUUUGAUUCAACUUCCGAAUUACAAAAUUAGAAUAAGAAAAAAAAAUGUGGAUGUUUUUUCUUUAAUUUACAUAAUAAUACAUGGUGUGGACGAUGUCUAUUGAGGGAUAAAAGAGGAAUGGGGGCACUGUGAAGUUUGUGUUUUUGUUUUUUUUAAAUUAUCAUAUUCAUACUGUCUAUAAAAAUAUGCAAGUUAAAAAAUUACUCAUGAUAUUGUUGUUUUUGUUUCAUAUAAUACUACUUAUGCACAUCGCCUCAUGCAAACAUUUCUUAGUUAUGCUUAAAAAAAUGAGAUUCUCACCAUGGGUCACUGUAAAAAUCCACAGAAGCCGUGGAUCACAGUAGGAAGCCCACUUGAACAGAAGAAGCUACCGAAAGCUUCGACAUUGUAUUUAUGAAAUGCUUAGUAAAUUUUGUUUUAUUUUGAAUUUAUAUUAUAAAUGGUGUGUUGCUAAAUUAAAAAAUAAAAAAGAAAUGCAAUGUGUCAAAAUACAAGAAUCUUACGGACAUUUUUGUCACAAUAUAUGUAAAUAAUUCAUAUCUUAUUCAUAUCCUAUGUAAGCUUCACUUGUUUAACACAAUGGUGGUUGAAUCUUCAAAAAUUCAUAAUCUUAAACAACCAAAUUUGGAAUUAAUUAAGCAAAUUGCCUCUAUAAAUUGAUUACAACAACCAACGACGUGUGAAGCCACAUGUCAAUUUCCCUAGACAGCCCAAAUAUUGAGGCGCUGUGAGGGAGCAAGGUGCAAUCGGAUGGGGGAAAGAGAGAGAGCCAAUGGUGAGAAUGGAUCGUGGUGAGGGAGAACCAACUGGUGGUGAGAUUUGUGGCUUCAAUGAGGUGAGUUUCGUGGCGCUGUGAGUGAAGUGAGAUUUGGCAUGAGUGUGAGGGAGAAUGCGUGUGUUGUGUGAGUGAGGUAAGCUGUGUCUGUUGUGUGCAUGGAGACUCUCACCACAAUUAGAAUUUAUAGUUAGCACAGAACGAAACACAAUAUUCUACGCUAACUGUGGAGUUAACCAUGGUGAGAAUAUCAUUAUUGUUUAUUAUAACACUUUUUUUUUUAAUUUGUUUUGACAAUAAAAUAAAGAACCUUGUAAGAAAACCUCAAUAACUCAAUUAAAAAACCAACUCAACCGAUGAUAGGUAAAUUGAGAAAUUUUCAACUAAAAAUUAUUAAGAUUGGUUUUAACUUCAAAUCAUAGUCACAUAGUUUUGUCCUUAUAAAGAUCAAAAUAAUGAAUUCUAACUCCGAAGUUUUUAGAUUUAUGUGACGAACUGACGAUAGUAUAUUGAAAUCGAUUGAAAUGAAAAAUUUAAUUAAAUGCAAUUCAAGAUGUAGUAUCAAAUUCAAACGAUUCGGAUUGUUUUAAAAAUUUCAAUGCUUUAAUCUAAAUCGAUUAAUCAAUUACACUCUUGCAAUUAUAUACCGUUAAAACUAAAAUAUGUAAAAUUUAGGGUGCAUUUAUUACCAUUUUCAAUUUGUUGUUUUUCGUUUUAUGAAAAGGAAAAUACAGAAAACUUGUUUGGUGAGCUCAUAUUGGUGGAAAACUGUACAGUGAUUAAAAACAAAAAAAAAUUCAUUUUUCAAUGUUUACAAAGGAAACAAGAAAACGCUAUUACACUGGGUUCUCUAUUUUAUUUCACUUUUACUCUCUGCCAAGGCCCUACCAUCUUAACUUUUAUAACAUGGUGUAAUAAAUUACGUGGGCCCAUUUAAUAAAGAAAUAAUCUAAUAAAUAAAUUAUUAUAACAAAUAUUUAAAAAUAAUAGCAUUCCAUACCUUACAGCUUAAUUACUUAAUAUAUUACCCAAAUUAUUUUAAAUAAAAAGUGAUAUCAUAUAAUUAUUAUACUAAAUUAUUACAUUGUUCGACCAAUAUGCAGUUAUUUAAAAAUUACUACAAACUUUCUUACAUAUAUUAAUGAAAAUAUAUCAAUAAUAAAGUUACAUCUUGACAGUUAAUAUAAAUAAAUAUAUGAUAAUUAUGAAAUAAUUAAAGAUUUUCUCAAUUAAUAUUAUCUUAUAACUACAAUUUAUUUACAUAAUUAAAAGUUUUUAAGAAAUUAUUAAAAUAUCUUCAAACCUAUAUGCAUUUAUAAUAAUAUAUAAUACAUCAUAAUAUAAUAACUAAAUAGAUAAAUUAUUUAUUAAUAUAAAAUAUAUGUUUAUAUUCAUUAUAUAAUAUUAUUCUUUCAUAGUAGUUUCAUUAAAUAAUUCUCUACUCUCUCUCUUUUUAUCUUUAUUUUUUCGGACAGACAAGUAACCAAACACCGCUUCACCUUUUUUUUAUUUUCAAAUACUAUUCUUAAAAUAAACUACCAAACAUAUUUUUAUUUUUAACAAAAACUAAUCAUUUUUAUUUUAUAAAACAAAUUGAAAAGUACUAUUUAAAAUAUAAUACCAAACUUACCCUUAAUAAUUUUAUAUUUGUCAAAAAGAUGAGAAGCUAAGUGGCACUAUCGUUUACCUAUUCAAACUAAACGUGGAGUCACAAUAUUGAAGACACUUUGGUGGCCACAACACUCUUUUCUUUAGUACGGAACAAUCUGGCUUACAUGACACUACAUAAAAAUAAAUAAUAAAAAAUCACCGAUUCCAACUGCCCCGGACAAAAAACAGGCCACACGUAAAAAGGCUUCUAUUUUUAUUUUUAUUUCUCCCCAUUUUAAAGAUGACGUCAUGGUGAUUAUGAAACCAGAAAAUAACAAAUUUUAGUUGUCUGAUUUUGUAGUUAUCCAGCGAAAACUAAAAAAACAGUGAACGCAGCAGCAGAUCUCCGUGUUUGUCGUCGUUCGAUGAGAGAUUCCGAUUCGUGAGCAUCGCAAGUGUUGAAAUGGAAUCAGACGAAAUGAGGAGUUAGCCUCUUAUUAUAUAAUAAUAAUAAUGAUAAUAAUAAUAAUAACUAAUCUCUUUUAUCAUAUAAUUGAUAAUGGAAAUUCACAUUGACAAAAGGCAAAUUACACACUGACUGGGCAGAAUAAAAAACAGUCUCUCUCAAAAGCAAUAAUUUAAACACUAACACCACCUUAAGGAGACACCCCAAAAAUAAAGCAGCAAGCUCUUACUGUGACCACACACACACACACACACCAAACUUUUAUUAUAGAAUAAAUCUAAGAUGAUGGAUGAUGGAUGCGUCACAUAAAAGUUAAUUAAUUUAAUCGCUGUCACUGCUGCUGCUGCUCUCGUGUCCGUCCUCGUGCUUCUUCUUCUUCUCCUUCUUUUUCUUCUUCUCUUCACCGUGGGCGGCGCCCUCGCCGCCGCCGACACCGGGGAUCUUCUGCUUGAUCUUGUCCACCAAGCCCUCCUUGUGUUCGCCCUCCUUGUGUUCCCCGCCGUGAUGCUGCUGCUGAUGGUGAACAUCAGUAGUGCCGACACCGGGGAUCUGCUGCUUGAUCUUGUCCACCAAGCCCUCCUUGUGUUCGCCGCCGUGAUACUGCUGCUGAUGGUGGACAUCAGUAGUGUGGUGGUCCCCACUAUGGUGCUCUCCCUUGUGCUUGUCCUCCUCCUUUUGCCCUCCUCCCAUGUGAAGGGCUUCUCCGAUCUUGUGAAUAACUCCUGACAUUUUCCCUUAAAAUGACUCUGUUCCUCUUCUUUUCUUUUCAAUGAAAAAUAGUUGUUUGCGAUCUUCUUCUGGUUGUUGUUGUUCUUGUUGGGUGAUCUUGGCUUGGUAUUUAUAGGCUCCAAAAGGAGGGACUAGAAUUAGGAUUAGAUUAUAGAUUAUUUUAAUACAUUUUAUGGCAAAUUCUGAUUUGGAAAGAUAAGAUUAUCCUUUUGGUUUUCCUUAUUUACCCUUUUGCACCCAUUACGUGUACGCGUCUUCGUGGGCUUUUUGGGUAUUUCAAUUAUAUCGCCAAUGCUAAAUCGACACGUUGCAUAUCAGCCGCGGUACUGCCGUAUGUAGUUGUCCAGAAAUCGAGUCGAUUCUCGAUCGUACAAUAAUUAAAUAAUAUUUCAUACGAAAUGAGUUUAGAUAUAUUUUGAAAAUUUAUUUUUAAUUUAAUUAUACGUGUUAUAUAUUUGUUAAUCGAAUAGAGGUCCCACGUAACAGAGUGUUUCUCUAAUCUUUCAUUGCUUUUAAUUAAUUUUACCCAAAUAAAAAAAAAAAGGAAAAUUUAGAGAGAGAGAGAGAGAUAGCGAAUUAGAAGUUGAUUGUAAUAUCGACACCUGUCAGACAAUCAAAUAUCGUUAGUUAAAAAUCAGUUGUCCAUAGUCAUGGUCAUAGAUGGCGAAAUUGAUACUUAUUUUAAAAAACAAAACAAAACAAAACGAAACGAAACUAAACUAACAGAUGUUGAAAUGCAGUUCCGUGUUAACAGUCUGUGAUGAAUCUUUAUCUUUGAGUAUACCAUUCAAGAAAUUAUCAUUCAAAAAUUUAUUUAAAGCAGCAGCAAAUCACCUUCUAAUUCCUGAAUCAAAUUAAUUCGAUUUUUUUCGAGUCGAUCAAUUCAUUAGAGAAUUAACGGGCUAAGUUAAAGUUUUGUUAGUUAUUUUUUUUUAUAUUCCUUUAGAUGAUAUGAUUGUCAUUGUCUUUCUUUCUCUGGGCAACAAUAAAUACAAGAUGUGCAAAAGCGUAGUGGAACAUAAUUCGAUUAUGGGUAAAGGGAUCAGUCCGCAUAAUGAGGAUAAAGUUUUUCUCUUUAAAAAAAUUUAACCCAAAGAAAAGGUCGUAGUUUGUAAUAGCCGACACGCAGAUAGAUCACAAAGCAUGGCGGUCCUGAUGGCAAUAACUAACUGAUAUCUUCUGCGAUGAGAGGAGAUCACGUGGUUCUGACACGUAUCGCCCCAUCAACUGAUGUUGUGGCUGCAAUCGCGGCCCAGUCUUUAGAGAGAAGAAAGAUCUGUUAUAACGGGACCUACUUUAGCAUCUAUUUACGACAAAGCCCCUAUUUACUCUACUUAGUAGUAAUAAUAGCAAGUGUCGGGCUUGGAUUCCGUGUUGCUUUAAAUAAAUAUCCGCGUAAAAAGAAAAUGCUUCUUUAAUCCCUUCCUUGUAAUUUUUCGACACGUGGAUGGUUGAAAUUAGCGUGCCGACAUCUUAGGAAUUUUAUCUUGGAGACGGGAACACUGCAGUAGGCAAUGCCAUUUUCUUCGGAUGGUGUGUGGUGACAACGCCUUGGAUUUUGACGUGCAAAGAAUUUAAAUUGAAAAAGAAAAAAAGAAAUUACCAGAAUAAGCAUAGAAGAGAUAUUUUUCUUUUUGUCCUUUUUGGAAUGGAAAAAGAGAUCAAGAGAUUGUUCCAGUAAGUAUUACACAUGUCACAGGCUUAUUCAUGCCCCAUUAUGGCAACUUUUAUGCCUCGCGGUGCCCUCGGUUCCAGCAUAAUAGCUAAGACUUCAAUUUUUCUAACAUAUUUUUGUUACAAAUAUGAACGGAGUAAAUGUAUAACUUUAAUCCUUUGAAUAAAGAAAUGGCGGUUCUCCUGCUCGUUAAUCUCACUUGAAUCCCACCCAGGCAAAAUUUCUUUAUUUUAUUUAACAACAAUUUAAAGAAAGAAACUUUUGCCAGGUUGAAUUUCAAGUGAGAUUCAUUCGUGGGAGAAGUGCCAUUUCUUUAUUCAAAAGAUUAUGGUAAUUACAACUUUCAAUUUCGACAUAAAUUAAAAUUAUAGGCUAUACAAUAAAAUUGCCCUAAAUUAGUCCUAAUCAAUUCAGAUUAUAAAUUUAGGUAUAUUUAUUAUUUUAAUAUAUUAAUGUUCUAUAUAUAUAUAUAUAUAUAUAUAUAUAUGUGUGUGUGUGUGUGUAUNNNNNNNNNNNNNNNNNNNNNNNNNNNNNNNNNNNNNNNNNNNNNNNNNNNNNNNNNNNNNNNNNNNNNNNNNNNNNNNNNNNNNNNNNNNNNNNNNNNNNNNNNNNNACAGCAGAAAAUAUUUGCUAUGGAUAAGGAGACAUGGUCCCACGUCCCACCGUCCCAAUGCAUAUUUUGUAUGUUUCCAUCUUUUCUGAAAUUUUAAUAAAUAAAGUUUUUUGACCACUUGGCCAAAGAACCUUACCCUUACACAACUUUGUGGUUGGAGUCCUGUGAUACAUGUAAGAACUUAUUUUUUUUCUUAAUUAUAAUAUUUUAGAAUAUAAUUAAGUGAAGUAGGUUUUUUUUUUAAAUAUGAGUAAAAUAGAUAUUUUUUAAAUAUUAAAGAGAGUAAAAUUUGAAUAAUAAUAUAUUAAAAUUAAUACAAACUAAUUUUAAUAAUUAUUUAAUUAUAAAUAUCAAUUAUAACAUCAUAUAAUAUCAAUUAUAAUAUCGUACAUCUCAAUUAAUUCAAUAAUAAUAAUAAUAAAUGUUUUUUGGGAUAAGUAAACAGUCGCAUGGCGACAAUAGUGGAUCUGGAUUAGAGUGAAGUGGUCCCAAGAGGCUGAGGCUGUGGCUGUGGAGUUCUAAAAGUCAAAAGCUCCACGCACUUUGUUUCAGUACCAUACACACUGAAAAAAUUUGCAUUUGCAAUGACGAAAACUUUUCACGAAAUCAAAACACCUCUAAACUAUUUUGUUAUCGAUAUUUAAUGGAGGGGUUUCCUACCUUUUUAACACUCGAUUCACGCCUUGACGCAUCUCACAGAAAACCUCAUGAUCCCAUUAAUCUUGCGUAACAUAUCUCAAAGCCAAUGCAAGUGAUCUUGUUGCCUACUUCCCUUUGACGAUUCAAAAUUGUUGAAAAUAAUUCUUUUUUUUUUUAACCUCAAGGAAGUGACAAAAUAUAAAAGAAUAUUUUCUACACAUUAAACAUCUAGAUUUUUUUUUCUUUUCUUUUUAGAGUACUUGCACAAACCGUUUCCAAGAGAGACCUUUUUUUUUUUUUUUUUUUUCCGGGCUUGGUUACUAAUUUGGUGUGAAUACUCUAUGGUGAAAAAGGAAUCACAAAGCUGUAAUCAAUUUUUUUGCAUCAUUUAGUUGUAACUUGAACAUUGGGAGGUUUAUAAAGAAUUAAAUUAAUUAUAAUGCCUCUACUAGGAAAAGUUCAGAGUAGCCCUUCACAACUUUUUAAAGGCUUAAUAAUUUUCGCUUUCUUCCUCUCAUAACAUAACAAAAAAUUAAGAGCUUUACUCGUACACGUCCUAUGGCUAUAUAGUAUUGGGUUCUCUACUUCAAUCGGCUAUCUCAAACCGAAGGUUAUUUGGACACACCAGCAGUCACGUUUGGAAACUCUCAAAUGCUUGGAUUGUAAUUCUUGUGGAUGAGAUCAUCUAAAUCUUGGGCCCAAGCCGGACAAUGGGUGGACAAAGAACCCUAAAAUACAGUAAAGCUUCUAACACCCCACUAAAACUCUUAAGAAAUCCUACCUUUUAUUUUUAUAUCUCUUUCUUUUAGAAAUUAUAGAGAAGACAUAGCAUUUUAAUUAUUUUCCCUGCCAUUGAAAAUAAAUUCUGUAAACAUAUUUUUUCAUAAUAAAAUUAUUGUUAUUAGAUAAUUUAUUUCUUCAUUGUUUCAAAAUUAUUAUAAUUUUAUCAACAAAAUUAGUUAUGUCAUAUAUUAGGAUUAAAAUUAAUUAGGAUCCAUAACUUGUAAAGACAUUUUAGUUUAAUUGAAUUCAUAUUUGUCAUUUUAUGUAAUUUUCAAUAAAAAUACGACUAUGAGUGCAAAAGUGGGAUGACAUAAUAUUAAAAGAGUGUGAAAUAAUCGGUAAUUGAAAUGGAUUGAAAUCAUAAUAGAGUAUGAAAAUCAGAAUAAAUUGUUUACUUUAGUUGUAGAAAUCAAAAUUAAAAUAAACCAUAUUAUCAUUGAUGUAUAUAUGUUUUCUUGUAAUCGAAAUGAAUUCUUAUAAGUUACUAUAAGACCCUUAUGGUGUGUUUACUAAUCAGAAAUCAGAAUGGAGUGGAAUUUGAAUAUAGAAUGGUAGGGGUAUUCGCGGAUCGGAUUUUACGGAUUGGACAUUAAUUCAUAUCCGAUCCAUAAUUUUACGGAUUAUAAAUUCUCAACACAAUCCAAAUCCAAUCUAUAUGUUUGCAGAUCGGAUGCGGAUUUGACUCAAUUCAUAUCCAAUCCACUAUUUGACGGAUUGAUUUUGGAAUUAAAAAUUUUUAAUUUUGUCCAAUCUAUGAGGUAAUUAAAUUUAAAAAUCUAAUAUAAAAAUAAUUUAUUAAAUAAAAAAUUAACGUAAAAAUAAUUUUACUACCAAUUAAAUUCAAAAUUGAACAAGAUUUAAAUAAAUUAAUUAUUUAAAUAAAACUAGAAUAAUUUAUUUAAAAUUUUUAAAUAUAACAUAUCGAAAAAAAAUUCAUUUGUUUAGAUUAAUAUAUGAAAAUUAACUAAAAUUAUGAAUUUAAAUGUUGAAAUUUGAGAGCUUGGAUGUAACAGGAAGAAAUUAAGAAACUUGAAGAACUUGAAAAGAAAGUAACAAAUUAAGCUUAACUACCUCUAAUGGUGAAGUGAAACAGUGAUGGUUUGUGCGUGCAAUGGGGUACAAAUUUGGCAUUAUAUGCCAAAAUAUUUUGUUUGGCUUUAGAAUUUUUAAUGUUUAGGAAGCUAUAUUUGUUUAUUUAAUUACUCAAAUAUUUAAUUAUUUUUUAUUUUAUGUUAUUAUUGAAUAAGAUAUAAUAUUGUGUUAAUUUAGCUAUACUUUAAUUAAUUAAUUAAUUUAUUAGUAAGUAGCAUUGCUACAUUUAUAAGUUUUAUUUUUUAUUAAAUAAAUACUUUUUUUUUUCAGAUUCACGAAUUUUUACGGAUUUACAGAAAUAAAUCCAUAUCUAAUCCAUCGACUGUGGUUUUUUAAAUUUUCAUUCCAAUCCGAUCUACCAAUCCACAAAUUAUAUUUUUACGGAUCGGACGAAUUGAGCGGAUCAAAUUGGGUUCUGAACACCCCUAGAGAAUGAGAAUCAAAAUAAAUUAUUUACUUUAGUUGUGUGAAUCGGAAUUGGAAUAAAUUGUACUGUCAUUGAUGUGUUUACUUUAUCUUGGAAUCAGAAUGAAUAAUUUCAAAUUACUAAACUGACCUUAAUUUUUUAUUGUAAUAAUAAUAGUAGUAGUAGUAGUAAUAGUAGUAAUUUUCUAUUAUUAUUAUUAUUUUCUCUCUCUUUUGUUUUUAUUUUUUUAUUUUUCUCUUCUUCUUCUCUUCCUCUUUUUUUAUUUUUCUCUAAUUCAUCGAUACUUCUUCUUCUUCUUUUUUCUUUCGUUUUUAUUUUUAAUUUUUCCCUUCUUUAUCGUUCCUUCUUCUCCGUCCAUUCUCUAUCUUCAAACUCUUUUUACUUUUUCUCUUAUUCUUCAUUACUUCUUCUCCCUUUUUUUUUUUUUUCUCUUCUUUAUUAAUUCUUCUUCUUCUGCGUCUAUUCUUCAUCUUCAAAUUAUCAAGUGAAAAAUACCCACGGUGCCUUACAAGAAGAAUUGGUUUUGUUUGCUUCAAUUAUUUUUUGUAUUUUGUACUUUUGAUUGUUUCAAAAGAGGAUAAACUUGUAAUAAUGCAAUUUAAGUAGGGAUGUUUUAGACAAUUUUGGGUAUGAGAGUCUAAUUCCCAACCCCCCACUCCCUCGUAGCAGACUCCCAUUCUUCAUUCCUAACUUGGUGUUGGACCUACUAAAAUAAAUCCCAUUCCCCUUCUUAUUUCAAGAAGCAAACACGAUUUUGAUUUCAAUUCCCCAAUCCGAAAGUAAACGCACAAAAAUUGUACCCAUAUGAGAUUGCUUAUCCUCGAGUUUUUAGAUUGAAAAAAAAAAAGGAAAAAAGAAUGGCCCCAUUAGGAAGGGAUUUUAAGUGUUAGAUAAAGCCGGUGUUAACCAUUAGAAGGUCUCCGACCUUCAACUGUAAUAUAUUAAACCCAGAUAAAUUUACAUAUAAAUCACACAAACCAACAUGCCAAUCAAAUAAAUUACAUCAACUAACAACAAUUGACACAUUAAUUUUCAUAAUACAGAGGAUGCAGAAAAUUAAAAUGUUUUAUCUUUUCUCCUUAUUUGUGAAUUGGAAAAUGAAAAUGUUAAACAUACAGAAGAGUGAAACAGGAUGGAUAUAUAUACACACACACACACACACAGCUUUGGAGUUCAAUGUCAUCGUAUUGCUCCAAGAAGAUUGGCGCCAUCAAGCUUUGCACCUUCCAGAUGCUGUUUAAUCAUCACCAUAACACCUUCAGUAGACAUUAAUACAUAAUAGAAACACAAAAUUCACAUGAUCUGAAUGUCUGGUCUAUUUUACUUACCGUAUCUCGAAGAUUUACGUGCCGUAAAUAAGCUCUUUGAAGGUUGGCACCCUUUAAAUUGGCAUUACGUAGCUUUGCACCCUGCCGCAUAAAUGUUCGAAGUUUCAACAAAUUAAAGUCUCCUGAGAAAUACAUGUCACGAAAAAGUAGGGCUGAAACUUGCAUCUAAUGUACAAGAUUCAAUCAGGGGUGCUUGUCCCACAGUGAAAGUGUAUGGGGGAAAGUGCACUUUCACAAACCAAAGGGGCAAGAUGUGAUUAUCACACGAUUACAAAAGGACUGUAGUCAAGAGAGAGAACUGAACAUGCAGCUUGUAUUGAGGCCAUGAAAAUUGAUGAAAAGCAGUAACAAGCAACCAUUUUGAAAACACUUCAUAUGGUCGAAUCAAUAAAUCAAAGCUAAAAUGAUGUUGACGAUCGAUAGCUUUUAGGUGAUAAGAGUCUUGGCACUACAGUUAAAAUUAUUAUCUAGGAGUGCACACAUUAAUAAAAAAAAACACAACCAAUAAGCAUGCACUCUUAAUCAGCAUAUAAAUUAACAAGUUAGUUGCACCUUAUGUUGUUCCACAAACAGAUUGCUCGAACAAUUCACAAUCUUACCUUCAAAUUAGCUCCUUCCAAAUUAGCUCCCUCUAGGUUGGCAUUAGUAAGAUCAGCAGUCUGAAAAGUCAAGAGGACAAACAGAUUGCAAUUUGAUUAAAAUCUCAAAGUAGCAACAUUCUGCAUGAAAGAAGAGCAGCACAAUUGGCAACAUACAUUUUAGAUUAAGAGGAUGGGAUAAAAGCAAAAUUACAAGGACAUGAAGCAAAUGAGCCAUGUUUAGUAUGGCAAUUUUGACCCAAUAAUUGUGGCAGGUCUUGGAGAUAACAUAGGCAUACACAUAAGGCAGAAGCAAAUACUGUCGCAAACUCCUAGCUAACUACAAAUGUUCCAUAUAGAAAAAAACACCUGCAAAAGUAAGGGAAAAAGCAACAGAUAAAGAACUCAAGAUGCUAGACCUGUAAGUGUGCAGAUCGCAGGUCUGCUCCACAGAAGCUGCAGUCUAUCAAGCAAGCAUCUGCAAUGAUUUAAGAUAAAUUUGAAUCCAAAUGACAUUUUACCGCAAGUAGUUCCAGCCAUUUUGGGAACAAACAAGAAAUGCUAUUUUGUAUUCAUUGUAAUUCCUUAAGCUAAAUAACAAUCAUGUGCUAUCUUAACCAAGGUACAGUUGCAAAUUCUGAAAUUGUGAUGCCAUAGGUUGUUCUUAAUCUUUUUGAACUGAAUAUUGAAAAAAUAUUCCUUCAAUCAUAAAUGUUAAAUAAUUAAAAGAACUGUGAGGGGGGNNNNNNNNNNNNNNNNNNNNNNNNNNNNNNNNNNNNNNNNNNNNNNNNNNNNNNNNNNNNNNNNNNNNNNNNNNNNNNNNNNNNNNNNNNNNNNNNNNNNNNNNNNNNNNNNNNGGGGGGGGGGGGGGGGGAAUGAAUAAGCGGAUGCAUACAGAAAAUUAUGGAAAAUCUGUUAUGGAAAUAAUAUGAAAAUGGGUAUGCAUAACUACAUACUGAAUCUUGACUAAUUUCAAUUUAAUUCAGAUAAGAAAUUCCAGUAUGGGAAUUGCCUUGUAAAUUUGCACUCUGAAGAUUUGCACCAGCUAGUAAAGCUCCACGAAGGUUUGCCCCAGCAAAUUCACAUCUUCCCUAGGCAAGAUAAAACCCUUAAAAGGCAAUUUUGAAAAAUACAUAUAAUUGGGAGAAUAUCCAGUAUUGCUUUGACUCUCUUACUCACGCAAAGUUGCAUUGUGAAAAAUGGAACCCUCAGCAUCCACAUCCUGUAUCAAGAACAGACAGAUUCAGUAUGAUUAAUAUAACUGGUUGCUGGAAGACAGGACAAAAUCGCAUCUUGUCACUGUCAACUUGCAUGUUAAGAAUUAAACACGAAAACUGCAUGCUGUCCAAUUAUAAGAAACCUAUAAAAUUCAAAUCAACAUCAAUACUGGCUUAAGGAAGAUAUAAAAAUAAAAAUUAUACCAACCCGAAAUUUCGCAGAUUGAAGAUUUGCACGUGAGAAGAAAACAUUUCUAAGACACGCAUAGCUGAAGUCCACAAGUGAAAGAUCCUGGCCAUUUUAAUAAGAUAGCAUCAGAGGAAACAAUAUCUAAUGAAUAUAUAAUGUUCUUUCUUGCUUAUCUGAGAAUACUAAUGAGAUUAUCAAAAAAACUCUAAGCUACUGCUAAGAAGUCUUGUGUUACAUGAGUAUGAAUUGAGGAGGUAAAGAAGACCCUUCUCCAAUAAGUUACCAUAGAAGCCACAUAAAACCCUAAAGCAGUUACAAACUUACAAUGACCAGAAUAAACCACCCCAACUAUCUAUUGGCAAGUAAAAUCACUUCUCUGGAUUUCUGAAAACUAGCAAAACAAAUGCAUAAAUUGGCAAAUUCGAUGAUUUCCUCUGAAAACCAAAUUAUAGCAGACAUAAAACUUGGAAGUAUUCAUAGAAUAAAAAUCUUUCAAGCACCUCAAUUCAGUAAUUAUUACCAGCUUAGAAAGAUCAAGGCCAGAAAGAUUAAGUCCUCGAAAUCUGACUUUUUCAGACUGUAUACACUUGAUGAUAUCAAUGCGUGUUAGCUCAGUAUCUAACUCAUUAUCUUCCUUUCUCUUAUUUAUGACAGCAUGGAUUCUCUCAAUUAGUCCCUGAAAUGAAACACAUUAGAUGCAAACUAUUAUUUGAAAAAAGAAAUACAUUUUAUCCACUAACACACAUGGAUUUCAACAGCAAUCAUACAAUAAUUGAGGAAGGACGGUCAUAUCAGACUCAUCUGCCAAGAUUCAAUAAGCACAUCAAACUUGUUUACAUGUAAUUUCCACAUUCCACGUGAAUUUAUAAGGUCUGCCUAAGCAAACCAAAGAAGGCUACACUCAGUACUGUGUGUAUACUGCCUUACCUUUGCUGUUCCCCAGAUACCGUCCUGCAAUCCAGAUACUUAGCUGUGAAGUUUCAAGCCAGCGAAACCAUUUUAAAAGUACACAUGGACACAGAUACCAUUAUCUGAAUCAUCUUCGAUAACAAAUUAAAAUGCCCUAGCGUUCAAAAAACUUAGGAUCUCUUUAAGUGAAGUUCCUUUAAAAAAGUAGAAAAAAACUGAACAACAAUGUCAUGCUAAUAAAAGGUAAAAAAAAUAAAAUAAAAUAAAGCAUAAGGACAGAAGUUCACCAGGAGCAUGCCAGUAUAAACCAAAACGACCACAAAUCUCAACCAUAAAAUUUAAAGUAGUAAAGUAAAUAAUCAAGGGCAUGCAGUUGGCACAGGUGCUUCCAAAUAAAAUGAUGAUUCUUUUCAAACAGAAAAAAGAAAUGGAUGUUAAUAAACUAGAAGAAACCAUGUCUUACAAGUAAUUGAUAAUAUUCUGCUUCCCGUAGAAGCUCUAAAAACUCUGACUCUGUUAAUGUGGGGACAGCCCCAUCCCUUAACCAAUUCAGAAUAUGCCGAAAAUGUUUUCCGUCCCUAUCAACAAAGAUAUAGCCCUGCAAUAAUUCAAUAUGCUCAAAGAUAAGAAUCUGAAUAAUAUACCCAAGAGAAGUGCUUUUCCCUGGAAUAAUAAAAAGAAAAUAAGUCAAAACGUUUUUCUUAAUGGAAGAACACAAAGGAACAGCUCUAUGACUAACAUGAAAACCAUAAAUCAGAAUAAGAACCCAAAACUGGUCAUUUGGAGUUUCACCAGAUCAAAAAGAUCACAUGGAAAUAAAAUUGUGAAAAUGGGAUUAUUUAUGCCGAGGUCAUGGCUAAACUGCAAUCAUUACUCCAUUUUUGGUAGAAGGAGAAGAAGAAAGAAGAGUAGGUGAGUCAUCAUUCUUUCAGGUGAGUCAUCAUUCUUUCUCUGUGAUUAAUUGAUAUGAUGGAAGUGUUGUAGAUAUUAAUUUGAUAGUGAUUCCUCCCUUCAAAAGAAUUCAUUCCUUUUUUUAUUAUUUCACAAAGUUUAACUAAGACUGAGUUUUCUCAAUUUGAAGGCAUCGUGCACUCUACCCCUUUCUUUUCCUCACAUUGCUUCUUCCCAAUCCCAAAGGGAAGAAAUCAAGAAACAAUUACAAUUUUUAACUAUUCACCAGCAAAAACAAGGCAAAGAAAGAUGCUGAGUGUAAGCAAAAAUAAGAGAGUUAUACACCUCAGAGUCUUGGCACACAGUAUGGCGACCGCUGAACAUAGCUGCAAGCAUAGAUUCAGGCUCACGACGAGUCAGAGUAUCAAUUGUUGUAUAAAAUUUCUUUCCCCCUGGAUAUUAAUACAUAAAAUAUAAAUUUGUUCACUUAAAAGCAUGAAUUGUGCAAAUUUGUCAAUAAUGUCAUUCUUUCACAAACGUUCACCGAAAUGUAUAACAAUAAGUGCAUCAUAACAUAACUAAACGGCUUAAGAACUGCGCAGAUAUUACAUACAGUAGAGAAACAAGAAAUAGAAAAUGAGAUUUGCCCUUUUUAAACAGAAAGCAAUCAAAGAGUAAACUAAAGAGCUAAUAAUUCACAAAAUUCAGUUGAUUAAACUCAUUUACAAGUAAUUAGCAACAAAAUCCAAGCUAAAUAAAAAUAAUGAAAAUUAGGUUCUUAUAACAUCCGUCAAUUCUAUGAAAGUUUACCACGAUCAGCAACAAAUAGAUAAAUCGCAAUAAAGAAAAACCGACGACAUGUCGGUUGUGUAGUGCAUAAGUAAAGGAAUUUGCAGAUGAUGUAAAGAGAAUGAGGGAUAGUAACUGACCGAUGUUGAGACGAACCAUUGAAGACGAAUCGGAGUCCUUCGCCAUUGUCGAGUGUAAUGACUUGUCGUCUUACUUGCGCUCAUAGGUAUUUAUAUCAUAGCUGACACUGUUCGAAGGACAGCAAGGAUUUGGUGGGCACAAAUGCAUUUUGGAAAUUGGGCUUCGGCCCAAGAAAUCGAAAAUCAGAGGCUUUUUUUUAAAAAAAAUUUAAAAGGAUUAGAAUGUCUAUAAAUUAAUAGGGCUGAGACCAUCUUAAAUCUAUUAAGUAAAAGAGAUAUUAAAUAUUUUAUUAAUUAAUAAUUUAUUAAUUUACAGAAUUAUUUAUAAUUCAAUUAACAUACAUUUAAUAACUAAACAUUCAAUGUACAUAAUUUCUGAUUACAAUUCAAAGCACUAACAAUACUUCAUAAUUUCUUAUUACAAUUCAAGAAUUCAACCUCAUAGCUUUUAGAUGCAAUAAGAAAAAUAAGAAAUAAGAUUCAGUUAUAUUUAAAUUUUAAGAAAAAAACAAUAAAAUCAUAUUUUAUGUAAUUAAAAUAUCAUAGUCAACUACAUUUGUAAUUUCAACAAAUUAUUACUCUAUGAUUUAAAUGAGACCACAAAGUUAUAUAAGAUUUUAUCGAAAUUAUUAAUUUAAUCCAUUAGUCCAUGUCAAGACCUUGAAAAUUUAAUAAUUAUAUAAUAGAGAUUAUUAAUUUAUCGAGUAUUAAUUUAUAGAAGUUCUGAUUGUAUAUUAUUUUAUAUUAAUAAAGAAUAAAGUAGCAUUCUUUUUUAAUUCCGAAGUAAUAAAAUUAUGGCUAAAUUAAGAGAGUAGAUAUAUUUUAUAACUUGGUUUAAUAACAUCACGCGCCUCCCUUGUAGUUUUGCAGCUUUGAAGCUUUAUAAUGAAUCCUAUUAGCUUUGGCUGGAAAGUUAUAUUGUUAAAGAGAGUUUAUAUAUUAAACAAGGUGAUCUAAUAUUUCCAAAACUAAAUUUGGGAUCAAAAAUAGAAAACAUUUGCAUGUUUUUACCUUUUGGAAGAAUUACUUGAUAAGUGCUUCACAGAAAAAUGCUUGCUAUUAUAGAGCACCCUAAAAAAAAUCCUUAAUAAUUGAGGGAUCAUAAUAAAGUUCAAUUCUAAAUCUGUCAGAUAGAUCGAAAGUAACAAACCAUAUAUAUUUAAAUCUAUUUAGUAAUCCAGGGUUACAAGCCAAGCGUGCAAUAGCCAAUUCUGAAAAUCAAAGCUCAGCCUAUGCUCUCUGAGCACAAAUAAGAUCUGAUAUAUACAUAUCGAAUCCUCCAUUAUGUGGAGUGAAAUUUCCAUCGUGUACGGUGUACCUAACAAUGAGAAAGCAUGGCAGCAUAAAUUCAUCUUCCAUGUUAUUCUACUUAUUAGUACUGGUUCCCUCAUAACUUCUCCAAAUCGGGGAGGUCUGCAAUGUGUAAAGCACGUAAUCAGAUAAAAGAAAGAGAGCCAAAAAAAAAAAAAAAGGUAACAGCCAAAAGAUUAAAUUUCUUUGAGAAAUAGAAAAUGGGAGCUUUUGGCAUAGGCACAGAAUAGAAAGUAACAGAGUCAUUUACAGUUGUUCAGAAUAUGCAAGCUGAAAACAACUUUGAAUGCAAUGGACAAUUCCUCCAACAAACAAUCGAAUUGGAUUGUGGAAGAGACAAAAGCUUAAUGAGGUUAUGGUUUUGGCUAGGUGAACUCAAAAUUCUUUUAUAGACCAAGUAGGUAAAAACAAAUCCCAUAUAGAUGGAUGAACCUCAUACCAUGAACAGUUAAUCGCGAACACUUGCAGGCUUAUGCACACGACUAUGAAGAUACUAAGGGUUUCACCGAUGGUAAGUGAAAAAUAUAUGAUGUAUAAUUUAAAUGGAAGCACAUAGUUUCGGAUUGAAUUCAAGGUUAAAGUUCCACAGACAGACAGAAGAGAUGAAGCUUAAAAACUUACAGAGCAUUCCUUCAUCAUCACUGCUUUCAUCAUUUUGGCCAACAUGCUGAAAAAAGAAUAUGAUUCAAGUUAAAUGAUUGAGCAACAAUAAAAAACGUGCAAAAUUAAUGCUCUCUCCACAAAAAUUUCAGUCUAUAUUGGUAAGAAGAAACAGGAAGAAAAAAUUACCUCAGCAUCAUCGUCAUUGGAAGCCAAAUCAGCUGUAAAGACCACAAAAUGUUUGGUUAGAACCAGUGGAAGUCUUACUCUAAAAUUUUUAAUUUUUGAAUUUCGAAAGAUCUCGUAAUGACAAAGAUUUUCAUAUCCAGUGACCAAGUUUUGAAAAUUAGAAUACGGAAUGACAUCAACUAAAUUCACUAAUAUAAGCUAGAGGAAUCCCUAGUAGAUAUAGCGCACAUGCACACAUGAUAUGCAUCCGAAUACACAAUAAUAAAUUAUCUCAAAGUCAAUAAGAAGCCAAAAUUAGAGAUAAACUUUUAGCCACUAUAAGGAAGACUGAUAUUUGCAGUGUGAUUACAAUAAACAAACAGAAACUUCACUACCCAUAAGUAAAACAAAAUAAAUAAAGGAUAAUAACUAACCAAGAAAUGGAAAAGCUCACAUUCUCUGAACACGCACCCCAAAAAGAAAGAAAGAAAUAAAUGUUCUCAUUGGAUCUGAAGCACAAGCAAUCCACUGACAUCCUUCUAUAAUUAGGUAAUUUAAAGGGGUUAAGCUCACAUCUUUUACGGAAGUAAGAAGAGAAUUAACAACCUUCCAGAGGAUUUAGGGAAAUACCACGAGGCAAGAAAAAAGAAAUAUCCUUCUUCAAUCUAGAUAUCCUGAUACUGCUCACCAUCUACAACAGUCUGUGGCUUAAAAAGCAGGUCACUGAUCUCUCCCUCCCUCUGGCACCAUUUUCUCUCAUGUCUCAUUUUUCCCUUCCUGCCAACUCCCACUACAGUAUUGAAACCUAUUCUAUCAACUCUUCCCCCUCCAAUAACAAGACCAAAACCAAUUUUACUCGCCGGUUAGCUAGGUAGUAAAUGGAAAUUUGUGAAUCUGUCAUUCAUCCGUAGAAACAAACCAGAACUGCAUAAAUUCUCUUCUCUCCCAACAGCUUCUUUUCUCCAGAAAUAGGCACAAGUAUUUGACAUGGAAACAGUUUAUCUAACAUGGCCACCUUUAAAGACAAAGACAUACUAAGGACGUGGUUUUAGAUACGGAUACAAGAAACAAUCACAAAAUGUAAAAUCUAUACAUAUGAUAUUAAUUUCCAAUGGAUACAGCAAUUCAUUCUUUGACAUAACUUCAUCAGAUUACUAGGUUUGAUUAGGUUAUACACACAUUUAUUCAUUUAUUGAAUCUACAUGCACUUAGAAUGAGAGGUACCUAUAAAAACAAGUUACCAGAAAACAAUACAGCUAGAAAACAUUAAUCUAAGUAGUUCUAUAGGUUUAACUAACUGCAGGAAAAAACCAUUGAUUUUGUCCGCCAGAUUAUCGAGAUCCUAAUUCUGGUAAAAAGAAAAUGAGAUAAUAGAAAAUCAAAAAUUAAAUAGACACAAAAUGAGAAAUCAAGAUCAUAUGGCAACUAAUAUAUAGCAUGGGCUGCAGCUAACAAGCAAUAUAAGCCAUGAUAUUAUGCCAGAUACAAAUUUUGAGAUCCAAGAGAGAUCAAGAAGCAUGAAUACCACUAAAAUAUCGAAAGAAGUGAGUGCAGAAGGAUAAGAAAUCAGGUUGAUAUUCUUCAUACUUUGGAUCAACACGUAGUGAUGCAAUAAACUUGUAAUUAGCUUCAAAUGUAUAGGCUACCAUGUCAACAUUUCCGAAAACACACAAGAUUGUGCUGGAUUCAUACAUAGUACAUAUAUAAAAAAACAAUCUGCUUCUAAACUUCAUGAGAACAUCGAAUAAUGAACUUACAAUUUGAUCCCUCAUCAUCUUCAUCGCACCAUUUGUUCCAAUCAACCUUAAUGUAAGGUGCUGGUUUCUCUUCUGACUUGAGUAGCCUUUUCCACCAACCUUUCUCUUCUUUUUGGACCGAGCAUAUUAUGUUCCUUAAGCCAACUUUAGUCUUACAUUUCUGCACCACCAGCAACAAAACUCAAAGCAUUACAAAAGAGGUAUAUUUAGCCGCUCUUGACUCGAGUGAGAGAACAGGAUAAAUAGCCUAGGUAUAUCCACAUCCAUGUUAUGAGAUUGAUUAUGCAACAGCUAACUUUAAUAUAAAGCUUUUGCUUCAACAAAGACUAAAAUGUUUGUAAUUGUUAUGCUUUUGGAGCUAAAAUGUUUGGCAAACACCCACUUUUACUCUGCACCUAAUAUCUACCACCCACCCACACACUAAGUCUCUCGUUUGGUACAGCUAUUUAUCAGUAGUGGCUUUAAGCCACAACAUUUAAAGCGAAUUUACCCUAAAAUUUUACAAUGAAAAACCUAUACUACCUUUAACAUUGUUGUCAAAAUUAUUAUUAUAAGUAAUAUUUACCAAACACUAUCAACUUCCAAUUCAUAUCAAAGAGCUUUCACUCCACAAUAGCCGUGUCUUCUUAAGCCAGAACAACACAAUACCAAAGGCCUUAAGCUAGUGAUUUGAUUUCACAACAACUGCAGAUCAAGCCUCAAUCCCAAACAUACAUAAAUCAAAUGCAGAAAGCAAAAAUUUAACAAUAUGUUUGGUAUACUAAAUGUCUUUCAUAGUUUCAUUUCACAGGGUAUUUAGACAUGCAAUGAUAAAUUGGAGCAAUUUCAAGAACCGAAUUGACCUCAGGUAAAAUUUUGCCAAAAAGUUCCAAGCUGAAGUCGUAAAGCUCGCCUUGGACUCCGACGGCCGAGAAGCCAAAAAUCCCCUGAGGCUCGCAUUUCACAGAAAUGUCUUUCGCAUCGGGUAAUGAAAUGGUAAGGUAUACUUUAUCGGAGCGCUGAGCCCAAAGAACCUCCGGAUGGCGACUGAACAUAAAAGAAAUAAUAAUAAUAAUAAUAUUAUUAUUUUUUAUUGUGACAAUUUUGAACUAAUAAUUAGAGACAUUUAACAACAAUAUUGAUUAAUAUUGGAGAAGAAAAAUAAGGUUACAAGAGAGAAUCAGAAAGAUUACCUCAUUCUGGUGGAUGAUUGAAAACGGUGGGUCGAUUGAUGAACAGAAGUGUAACUGUCUGGGAGUGAGAGUGACUCUGCUGUUUACUGGGUAGAGUGUGCUUACUCGAAGAAAUUGAAAGUGAUAAUCUCGGGCAAGCCAACACGUCGAUUUGGUCAACAGUGGUCCAACAAACCAGGAACUAGGUUUUUUUUUUUAAAUGAUUUUUUUUUUCAGUAUUAUAUUGCCCCGCCCGUGGGCUAUUACAUUUUGGCCCUUUUGGGGACCCCUCGUUCUCUUACAAGAAGGGAAUAUUCUUUUCCAUCCACCGGUUUGUAGGCAGAGUACAUAUACUCUUCGAAAUUAAGGACAAAUUUCUGAAUCGUGCCGCAUUAGAAUUAAAUUGAGUCUCAAAAGAAUUUUGGUUAUAAGUAUAUCGUUCAAACGGUAAUAUAUUAAAAAAAAUAAUAUUUACUACAAUGUAGACCUAUCGGGACUUUGAAGCCCAGACCAAUUCUUGAGUCUAGCCUAAUAACACCUCAACAGAUCAAAAUUGAAAUCCAACUUAAAUUUCAAUAUUGUGUAGGGAUCUGCCUUAAUUUAGAUAUGUCAAGACCUGCCUUAGGCAUCAAAGUGAUCUAUCUUAACAUAACUAAGACUUUCUUUAAACAUCACAAUGAUUUAUCUUAACGUAGUCAAAUCUAGCCUAAAAAAAUCUAAAGAAGGAAAAAAGAAAUUAUUUUCACGUAUUGAGAGACUUAAAUUCUUAACCUUAUUCAUAAGAAAAAAAAGUGUAUUACUUAACUAAAUCGUGACUAAAAAUUAUAAUUAUUAUUUUUUGUACAUUUAGCUUUAAAAAAUCAUUAUAUAUAUAUAUUCAUAUAAGUUUUGACAUAAUAUACAUACCACUUAUUUGUUUUUUAAAUUAUACGAGAAUGAAAAAACUCAAGCAUUAAACACCAACUUUUGUUUCAUGCUAUCAAUCAACUUGAGAAAUUUUAUAAUAUAUCGGAAGUUCUACGUCACAAUUUAAUACGAAGCCUUCGAUUAAUAAUAAUUAGACACAUGACAAUAGAUGCUAGAGAAAUUUUAAAUUCCCUCUUUUCAUUAUCCCUCCAAAUUUAGAAUUUCAAAAAAUUAGAGAAUAAAUGUUGCUUGCUCUCUUUGUUAUCUAAUUCUAAUUAUUAUUUUUUUCUCUCUCUCUCCAAUCAAGUUGCUAGCAUUUUUUAAAUCUAUUGAAGAAUAAGAAGAAGGUUUUUGUCGAUGAAAUGAUUUUGGCAGCCUUUUUUACCCAAAGCUAACAUGAUUGCUGCGACUACCAAUGAAGAAAAAGAUGUGUUUUGCUGGCGAAGAAGAUGAUUUUUGAAGCAUGAGUGGCUGCCGUUUAUUUUUUUCCUUCAUAUUUUUCGAUGUAGUGGCUGUCCUCAAGUUUUAUUCAUUUACUUUUCAGUUGGCCUACUAUUUAUUGGCAUAAUGAAAAAUUUUAUUUUAAUAAGCAUUUAUAGAUUAAUUUGAGGAGGUUUCUUUUGCAAUAUUAGUGUGGUUUCUGCAUUGGUAUGAUUUAAAUUACGAACUUGCUACAAUCUUUAAUUAAACUGUCAAAAGUAAUUUAAAAAAUCUUUAAUUAAACCGUCAAAAGUAAUUUAAAAACUGACAGUAGAUAGAUUAGAGAUAGGCUUGACAAUUUAGCCCGACUCUAUUUUUAGUCUGAUUGAUCCGAUCCUAAUUUUUAAGACUUUGGCCUGAAUUUUUUGAUUUCGGGUCGGGUUCGGGUCAAAAUUUUAAGGCCCGAACAAAUUUAGGGUCAGGGUCGGACUUAAAACCAACCCGACCCGACCCUAUUUAAAAAAAAAAAAACUAACACACGCACACAACACAUGACAGUUCACUCUCUCUAAAUCGUAAAUCACACACACAAAAUACACUUACACAAAUUCACAAAAACCCUAAGCCAGCCACCCAGCCUGCUGCCGUCCUAUCAGCCAACAUCGUGACCGUCCGCCGCACGCCAGCCAAUCAGCCGUCGUCUCGUCGUCGCAUGUCUCACCAAUCAGCCAUCGUGACCGUCUGCGACGCUGCGACAUGAACUUGAACCAGCCGCCCUUUGUCGCCGUCCUGCCGCAUCCGCCUGCCAGCCAACGAUCAAUGCACACAGUUGAAUUGUGGGGUGGGAAAUGGUUUCGAUAGGGUCGGGCUCGACCCGACCCUAACUAUAAAGAGGUAGGGCUUUUUUAGGGUCGGGUUUUAAUUUUUUGUUGAUCGGGUCGGGUCGGGUUUGGCCAAACCCGAGCCCGACCCGACGUUUUGCCAUCCCUAAUUAGAGAUGAAGAUUGGAGAGAGAGAAAAAUAUAAUUUGAAUGAGAUAAUAAAGAGAGAAGAAAUUCUAUAAUACAUCAUAAGUAAUAUAACUCAUUGAUGUAUGCAUGAUAUAUGUAAUUAACCUUAAUAUAACUAACACUUGUAUGGUGAUAUUUCAAAAUAAAUAUACAUAUGUUAUAAAAUCAUUUACUUAUUGUAUGACUGACAUUUUAUUUUUGAUGUAUUGUACAAUUUCUCAGAAGAGAGUAGUAUUUAUUAUCUCUAAUUUUUUGAAAUUCUAAAUUUUGGAAGGAUAAUAGAAAGAGAAAUUUUAAAAAUUUUUCAACGUAUAAUGCCAUGUAUCUAAUUAUUAUUAGUCGGUGUUCCACGUUAAAACGUAAUAUAGAACCUCUGGACCUUACUGUAUAAUGUACUGUAGAAUUUCCUGAUCACACACUUUCUCAGUUGCAAAAGAGGUGGGCAUAUGAGUUCCUUACGGGGAUUUAGUGUGAAUCCACGCAAAGCCCAUAUAGAUUUUUCCGGUUAACCGCUAUGGCAUCCUAGUUUUAAACUCAGUACUAAAUUUACAGAUCCAUUUAAACCCCCCAAAUCAGUCUCUCACCGUCUCAAGUCUCAAACAAAAAACCUGACCGGAACCCAAACCGCCAAAUCCGAUUCGAUGGUGGACUGUGCUAAAACCCCUAAAAUUCCAAGACUGACAUGCGGUAAAGGAGAUGGUGAUAGACUUAGCAAUCUUCCGGAGCACAUCAUUUAUCACAUAUUCUCGUUCAUGGAAACAGUUGAUGUUGUUAGAGCAAGCACUGUUUCGCGAAGAUGGAGGUACUUGUGGCUUUCCGUUCCUUAUUUGAACUUCGACUAUCACACAAUUUGGUCAGACCCGGAAAGUAGAUGGUCUCGUAGGAAAAUCAAUGAUAAGUUCAAAGAUUUUGUCAACUGGGUAAUAUUUUCUCAAAAUGGGUCUGUUAAUAUUCAAAGAUUUCGUCUUUGCUGCUGGGAUUAUUUAGCAAGUUACGAUAACGAUAGAACGAUUUACAGAUGGGUUUCUGCUAUGGCACGUCGAAACGUGCAAGUGCUUGAUCUGGCUAUAGCUUCACUAUACCCAUUUGAGUUUGACUUGCCACAUAGUCUUGUAACUUGUGAUUCAUUGGUGGAACUGAAGUUGAGUUUGAGCUUUCAUGUUCACCGAUGUUUUUUAAAGCUGCCUACUGCUGCUGGUUUUAUUGGGCUCAAGUCUCUUGAUUUACAAAGUGUUGCGUUGGAUGAUAAUUUGUUUCCUGAAUUUAUUUCAAAUCUUCCCCUGCUUGAGAAUUUGUGUAUGUUGUCAUGUGUUUUUCCUGAAUUGAAGGUUCUUGACAUUUCUUCCACUAAUUUGAAGAAUUUGGCUCUGGAAUCCAUUGUUGGCAAUGAUAAUGCUGGCAAUGAUGAUGCUGGCAAUGAUGAUGCUGGCAACUACAAGCUUAAGAUUGCUUGUCCAAAUCUUGUGUCUUUUAAUUAUAUAGCUUUAGCUCCAUGGUUACCUCACUUUGCUUUUGAGAGCUUAAACUCCUUGCAAAAUGCAUUCAUUGACCUGGAUGAUUAUAACGAGGAUGACAUGGAGAACGAAAGAUGUCAUGUUUUAUCUACAAUCUUCAAUGACUUUCGUGAAGUUAAAGUUUUGAAAUUAUCAGAAGCCAUUCUUCUCGAGGUAUGAUUUCAAAUACAUUCAUUGCACCAAAUCAUGAUUCUGCCAGAACUUGUCUACACUUUUUUAUUUUGACAUUAGAAAUGAAGCUUAAGUAAACUGAAUCUACUUUCUUUGUUUGGUAAAAUAAGAAUUCUAUUGAUUAUGGAACCUUCCUAAAUGCUAAUUUGUUCUUUAGACUGUGUAUAAGUCAUUGUGACAUUGUAUGAAGUCUCAUUUAUCUGAGUAAUCAAUUGUUAUUGAUGUCAAAGACUAGAACUCAUUGGUGACUUGAGUUUAUGUAUAUUAUCGUUUGUUAGAUUUUUUGUGUGAUUAUUGCACUUAACUUGACUAAUGUAUUCUCUUUCUUUUUGCCAUUGUUCCUCCAGGUUCUUGAUCCUGAUCCUGCUCACGAAGAACCAGCAUUUUUUUCCACUUCAUUCAAUAAUUUGAAGUCCUUAAUACUUUCUGCAGGUCCGGGUGUAUGUCUCAUGCCAUCAAUGCUUAGGUUGCUCAACUGCUCUCCAAAUCUAGAAGCUCUUGCAAUAUAUUCUCCUAAGGUAAUCUUAACACCAAAAACUAUUCCAUUUGUUAGAUACCGUCGCUUCUAUCCAUUUUUUUUAAAAAUCAUAUCUCCCAUUUAUGUGCUAAAAUUUUAAUUUUGUUAAAGUGCAACUGGGCUUUGCUUAAAUUAUCGCAAUAGAGUUGAAACCUGAAAGUAUUUGUGAUAUAUUAUGUUUACCGCUUAGAGCUUAAAGUAAAUGUUAAUCUUGUGGCCUCUUGGUUGUUCCCAUGCUAUUGCUUGUUGAGCAGAUGGUUGAAUUUAGAGUCAAUCAAUCGGUUGUGUUCUUCUGAGGUUUGUGCAAGUUUUGUAAAAGAGCAAAGUUUAGUAUUUGUUUAGUUUGUGAAAAUGAUAUAGCUUUUUCUAAUUCAUCUUACUCUAUUCUUUGCUUAAAAAUGAAUUCUCCUUUUGAUUUGAUUCCUUGACUGCAUUUCGGUCUGUUUUCUCUUGGCAGCAUCGGCGUGGAUAUAAUGCUUAUAGGAAAACACCGAACAAGGCUGCUAUUUCAUGUUUGACAAAUCAUCUCAAGACAGUUGAAAUAAAACAUUUUAGCGGUGAUAUGAAUCAACUUGAAAUUGUGAGGUUUCUUCUAAGGAAUGGACAUGUAUUGCAGAGAAUGAGUAUUAGAUGGGUGGCAGAUGUUAAGAAUCAAGGGAAGAUUAUCUCAAGGAUAAUGAAGUUUCGGAGAUCAUCUUCAAGUGUUGUGCUGAAAUUCCUAGAUCCUAAGCCAGCUGAUGAUUUUUCAGAUUAUUUAUUUGAUGAUGAGCAAAAGAACUAAAAUUAUGUUUAAAUUAAAAAAAAAAAAAGUGGUUUAAGUGUAUGUUCGAAUUAAAUAGUCUUUUGGAUUUGUAGAAACUGAAAGGAGUACAGUGCCAGUCACUGUGGCAGCCUUAUGUUUUGUUUGAAAAAAUUCGGAAGCUUCUAAAUUGUUAUAUACCUCAAUUCUGAAGUCGUUAGUAUGUAUAUUAUAAGCAAUACAUAUGUUCCAUUUGUCAUAUUUUAUUUUGGCAUUACGAUUGUUUUGUCUUGAUUAAUAUUGAUUAUAAUUUGUUUAACAUUUAUCUGGCAUAUGUAGAAUUAUACUUUAUCUGAGUAGAUGACGCUGCUGCGUACAUCUUCAGGACUCGGUCAUAAACUGUUUAUCUCUGCGUCUGUCUAGCAUCCAUCCACGUAUGACCUGUCGGCUUUUUGCCCGCAAGCAUACAGUUAGGGGUGGUAAAAAUAUCUGUCCGGUCUGGAUUCGGUUCGCACCCGGAUGUUUUAUCCGGCCCGGUCUUGGGCAUCAUUUGAUAAAUUCGGAACCCGAGUUUUAUUAAGCGCCUUGGCCGUACAGCAGUAUAUUAUUUUAAAUAUUUAUAUUUAUUUGACUCAUUUAUUACAUAUAUAUAAAGUUUUAGACACUUAAAGUUUAUAUUUUCAUGUCAAAUUUCAUUAAAAUAAAUUUAAAACUUAUAAAAUUACCAAAAAAUAAAAAAUAUAUACAUAUAUAAUAUUAAAAAAUAUAAAAUCUGGGUACCCAAAUUAAAACCCGGCACAAUCCGACCCAGGCAUCUAUGCAUCCGGGUCGGGUCCGGUCAUUACGAUACCCCGACCCAGCCCAGGGUUUUGCCAUCCCUACAUGCAGUGUAUAUGAAUUGCAGUUCUUGUACGGACAACAUGUCAUCCAUAAAACUCGAGUUAUGUUCUUUUUAAUCUUUAGUUUAGAUUACAUUUUGCAAAACUAAUAAACGAUAGAGCUCCUAGCAAGGUCAAUAGUUAACUGCGAAUCCAGAAGAUCGGAAUGCUAUACCUUUCAAACAUGCAUUUCAAAGCCAUCUGCGGAAAUGGAAAACAAGCAUUUCAAACUCGUUGUUAAAACAAUGAUAAAAGUAAUUUUAAUCCUAAUUUUUAAUUCCAGGCAUGAAGCUAACUCAUAUACAAAGAGAUAUCAAGUAAGCAGAGGCGAAAGCUAAAAGCUUUGGUUACAGGGGUCGGUGUGAAUAAUGUAUAUAUCGUUUAGACAUAUUUUUGAAUAUCUAUUUUAAUUUAGGGGAUAUUAUAUAUAUUUAAAAAAAAUUAAAAUUUUUACGGGAGCCAUGGCUUACUAUAGUCUCCAUUAAGAUUCACCCUCCCUACUUUUCGUACUUCAUUAAAGUAUAGGAUAAAUAUUUACAAUAUUAUAAAUAGAUUUUAUAAAAGCAGUCCAUAUAUGAAAGUCCUUCUGCACUCUGAAUUAAAUAAAAAUAACGUGAGACUAACAAUUUAAGAGUCUUUUUUGCAACGUAUAUCGUGCAGUGAUGUACUCUAUCGACGGAGGACUCUCUUCAUAUGCUUUUUAUUUUUCCAUGCCUGAUUAUAAAUAGGAUCACUCUAUGUUACAUUAAACGUAACGUACACACACUCACAACAACAGUAACAAGUCCCAUCAUUAGAACUGUUGCUGUGAGUGCGUGUAUGUUACGUUUAACGUAACAUAUCACUAGCCUUAUAAAUAACAUCACUUUUAAGGAUUUUUACAAAUUUUUAUUACAACCGUAACUUUUGUCCUCAUACAAUAACGGUGUCCAUUGUCCACAUAUAAAAAGUUCAUCAAUAAACAUAUAACCUAAUUAAAAUUCGUGACAAAAUCCAAAGGAAAGAAAGCGUGGAGUAAUAUAUAUAACAAAGGCAUUGAGCAUACACCAGGUGUAAUUUGCAUUGCAUGGCCACCCUUACGUGGCAGUUCCGCCGAUUAACACAUCUUUAAAAGUUAAAGCCCCCCUCUCUCCUUGUUAAGGGCGUUUCAACACAACACUCAUCAAUGCAAGCAAAGAGACAGUGAAGGAAAAAUUAAGAAACCAAUAUUGUCACUUGGAAGAAAGAAACAAUCAUUACAUAUAUAAUACGAUGGAUACUAAGAACAACAGGAAGCAUUUGUCCUGCAUUGCCAACGACGUCGUUCACAGAUGUGCACUGUACGUAUCUCUCUCUCUCUCUCUCUCUCCUUUUCUUUUUCUCCCCGAUCACUUUGUUUUCUUUAUAUAUACGAAUGUAUGUAGAACGUAGUAGGUUUUGUAUAAAUAUCUGUUGCACACAUUAUUUGAUGUGCAUUUAAAUAUAAUUAAUGGUAAUUGAGAUGACACACAAAGACAAUGCAAAAAAAGAAAAAAAAAGAGAGAGUAAAUUAAUGAAUUUGCCUUGAUCCAGUUAAUUUGUGUGCAUUUAGCUGACUGUAAGGUGGUUUCGAGUGUGUUUUUGUUUGGCAACUUUUCACACAAAAGCACUUUUGGGAAGCACUUUAUGUAAUGUAAGUGCCUCUAAAAACUGUUUUAUGUAUUACUGCCAAAUGCAGUGCAGAGGUUACAAUGGGAGGGUCGGUUUUAUACCUGUUCUUCGAGACUUAAUUUCAAUAGGAGAUUGAAAUAUUUAUGAGAAUUAUGUUGUUAGCAGACUUAAUUCUUUUGGAGGAAUUCAUUCCAUCGUAGACCACUCAAUGAAUUUGGUCGAUUGAGAUUAUUUGAGUGCAUGCUUCAAAACUGGAGCAUUAAUUCUUUGACAUAAAUGGGCUUUAACAUAAGGCGCGUUCGCUUAUUCCAUUUAUUCAAGAAGUUGGCACUCAAUUUUUUAUUACUAGCCUUUAGAUGGCCAGCAGCCUUUUGUAGCCCUUUCUAGUUUCUACUAAAGUGGUUAUGUGCAAUAGUUCUAUUCUGGGUUGCAAAAUUAUUGUGUCAGUAGAAUCCACAUACAUUAUGUACUUUUCUGUAUUUAAUUUCAAGAGGCUUAGUUAUAUCAUAGUUUUAGGAUUAUAAUAAGUCUGUCCGUUACCAUGUUAUUGGAAUUUUUUUUUUUUUCUAAAUUAGUUGGACACAUUAUUGGAUUGGUCAAUAAAGGAAAGCAUUUGGCAAGUACUUGGUUUGAUAUUAACAUAUAGUUGCAGUAAAGCACAUUAACUUGUGCAUCCUGAAAUUCUUGCAGGCAAGUAAAGGCUUCUGAGGAUUCAUUGGUGGAGGGGUUUGAAGCUGAAUGGAAGCCUGAAAUCGGACAGUAUUCGAAGAAAUUUGUGGAAUAUUGCAGCAUAAAGGCUCUUACUAACAUGUGCCAGAGCAUAGAAGAAAAGAUUAGUGAUGGAUCAUUUAGUCGACUCACAUUUGAUAUGAUGCUUGCCUGGGAAAUGCCUAGUGCCGCCGAUGAGGAGUCUCAUACUGUAAGCAAUCAUCAUAAUACUCAUAUCCUAUAUUUAUUUCAUGGUCCACCAAAUCAUUAUGAUAUUAUCCCAAUUUUGGUGUGCCUAUCUUCUCUUCAAGUUGCUUCUUCUAUUUCUUUUUCAUUAUACAUUCUCUGGUUCUCAUCAGUUUUCGCUCCAAUUAAAAGAAGCAUGAAUUCUUUCACUUAUCUGCUGAAUCUGUUCUAAUGAUUGGGCAAUAGAUUUUUAUUCCUCUCUGUGGUUACUACUAUUUUGAUCUUGUGCAGGAGUGCAUGGGAAAGGAGAAUGAGGAUAGAAAGGCUGUAAAAGUCACUUCAGAUCAUGAUGAAAUUCCUCUCUUCUAUACAGACAUCAUGCCUCUUCUAGUAAGAGCGUCUCUUUCUGAUCAUUUGAGUGCUAAUGUACCGACCAAGCAUUAGCCUUCACUGAAACUCGUAUAUGAUUUCAUGAACAUUGAUUAAUUGUUAUUUUUGCUAACUACUCUAUGAGAUCUGAUCAAAUUAGAUAUAUAAAUGUUGCGAUUGAUCUUGGAUUUGCUUUAUAUUUGGCCAUCAAUUAUAUUUUACUCUUCAUUUUUAUAUUUGUUUGGUUUGAUAAUUUACCCUCUGGCCCAUAUAUAUGAUGGUAGGUUAAUAAUGAACCGAGUGUUGGAGAAGAUGCAUUUGUAUGGAUGGGAUCCUUAGUUCCUCUAGUUUCAGAUGUUAUUAAUGGGAGAUUUACAUAUGAAAUUCUGACAGCGCCAACAGGAAACCGGCUCCAUUCUCCAGCAUAUGAUAUAUUUCUAAAGGAGAUGGACAAGUAAUUCUUCCAAUUCUUCCAUGCAGCAAUUUUACCACUCAGAAACUUUAAGUGCCGUUUGGUUUUGUGACAUGCAAAUUAUCAUGGAACACUCAAAAUGAGUUGUUCUUAACAAUUUCUAGAAUUUGCAAACUCACUAACCAUAUCUGAAAAUGCAGAAGCAUUAUUACCACUUAUUGAUAACAAUAUCUCUGCUCGACUUGUUUGGGUGCUUUCAGCCGUUUUUCAUUUUCUUUUGGAAAUCUUGAUUUCAUAGAUGCAUAAAACAUUUGCAAAAACAAGCAACUCCAAAGGGUGUUGAGCUGGCUGACGAUGAAUUUAUACUGCAUGUGGAGGGAACUGCAAGCACACAGAGAGUAGUGCGCCAUAUUGGGAAAACAAGUUGGCCUGGUAUGUCUUUAGUUUGAUGUCUUACAUCUUUUUAACUGCUGUAGAAAUUGUUACUUGGAUUUUACUAAUCAUAAUUGUUGUCUCUAGGUAGGCUCACACUGACAAAUUAUGCGCUCUACUUCGAGGCUUCGGGAGUAAUAACAUAUGAAGAUGCUCUAAAGAUUGACCUCUCAAAAGAUGCUGAACUAUCUGUUAAACCAACUGCCACAGGUCCAUGGGGUGCUCCGCUUUUUGACAAGGCAAUUGUAGUCGAGUCCCCUGAACAGUAAGCAUAGUUGCACUUAUAUGAAAUUACUGGAGCUAUUAGCAUCGUUAUUCUUAUUUUAAAAAUUGUUAAAUGCUUGGUAGUUAUCCCAUAAGCUAGAUUUUAAAUGCAUAACAUACAAGGCAGACAUCAGAAAGCAUUCUGAUUCGUUUAUUAAAGUUUGUCUUUUAUUAAGCUAAAGAUAUUAAUGCUGCUAGAUUUUUCUAAUUUGGUUGUAGAUAUUGGUUAGUUACACUGUCAAAUGAGCAAAUCUCGUGGAUAUUUCAUAGUGUGGUUAUGCAAUUGUUUUUUGCCCUUCACUUUUCUAGAUCUGAGGGAAUUGUCCUGGAGUUUCCAGAGAUAACUAGCUCGACAAGGCGUGAUCAUUGGCUGGCCCUCACAAAGGAGAUAAUGUUAAUGCACAAAUUCCUGUCAAAAUUCAAGGUGGAAUGUCCAAUACAAGCAUGGGAGAUGAAUGCAAGGACAAUACUUUGCAUCAUAAGACUCCAUGCAGCAAGAGAAAUGCUGAGGAUAUUGCCUCCAGAUCCCACAAAAUUCUUGAUUUUUGCUUUGUAUGAUGAGUUGCCAAAGGGAGACUACGUGCUAGAAGAGCUUGCUGAGAGUCUGAAGAAAGUUAAUUGUGGACAUCCUUCCAGUGCUAGCUCAAUUCUGAGAUGUAUGAACCUGUCAAUUGCCGCAAGUGGAGAAGUAAAAGAAGGAAAAGAACUGGAGGAACAUAAACAUAUAAGUGAUGAAAGCUGUUCAUCACUGGAAACUGCCAUCAAUCAAUCUAAAGAGCAAGCAAAGGCAAUUGAAAUUGCUAAGUCUACCACUGAGGGCCUGAAAGAUGAAGGGAUCAGUGAUAGUAUCCUUGUUCUCUUGGUAUGUUUUUACUUCCAAAUUGUUGUUUAUGCUGCUGAUUUUAUAUUGACAGAAUAAGUAAUGACAUCUCAACAAAUCAUGGUAUUGAGAGCUUGUUUGACAUUUAUCAAACACAGCAAAGAAAUUGAAUUUUAUGAAAUUCCUAUAGCACCCUAUAAUUUGUACCAAAAAAUCUCUGCACCUUUGGCAUGCUGUAUGGUAUGGAAGUAUAGCUGUCUCAGAGAGGUUACUGUUAUUUACUUUAUUUGGUUUUGUAGUAUUGAUGUUAAGUUUGAUUUAAUAAUGUAGGAGCUACUAAAGCCACUUAAAAGUGUUUUACCCUGGAUUCGAGAAGUUGUUUCAUGGGAAAAACCAGCAACCACCCUCACUGUGAUUGCAACAACUCUACUAAUAGUGUACAAGUAAGUCAGUGCUCCCUCGUAAUUUUCUUAUAUACGGAAAUUUUUUUGAAAGUGCAUGUUGAUCAAGAACCACUUCAUUACUUGGCCUAUUAAUGUGUAAACUUUGCAAAUGACUAGUAAACUAUAUAAUGGCAAUGUAGGGAGUGGGUAGGCCAGGCUAUAGCUGCUUGUUUGCUCACCAUCGUGGUGAAGAUGCUUCAGGCAAGAAAAAAAAGGUUGACAGACAAAUGCAAUGAGAUAGUAGUAUGCACUGCUUCAGAUCAGAGCACCGUGGAGAGCAUUGUGUCGGCUCAAUACAGUUUGAUAACUAUUCAUGAGAUGUUGCAGGCAGCAAACAUUAUGAUUUUGAAGAUAUGGUCGAUAUUAAUUUCAAAGGCCCGCAAGGUACUCAUUUUGAUAACCUAUGCUUUCAGCUUAGCAAUUAAAUAUCGUUUUCAAUCAAUAUUGCUUAUUCGUCGUUAGCUGAAGUUCGUUUACCUACUACAUUUGUUGGAUGUCUUCAAUUAUUGAGGAGUCUUAGUUGCAUUUCCAAAUUGUUCUAAAUCCUCGUUUCAUUUAAUGGGUUGCAGCAUGCGGACACGGUUAUGGUGGCAUUGACUGGGUUAGCAAUAGUAUUAGCAGUUGUUCCAUUCAAGUAUAUUGUCAUGGGAGGUGUGCUGUACGGCUUCAUUAUGAACUCGAAGCCAAUGAAGUACCUGGGAAACAACUCAAACGACCAAAGCGGCAACAGACGUCUAAAAGAAUGGUGGGAGUCAAUCCCUAUUAUUCCUGUUCGCGUCGUGGACAAGCUUCCUGAGUGCCCAAAAUAAUGUGUCGGCUCCUGCACAAUCACAGUUGCCUAAAUCCUCUGUUUCUGAACUUUUGUUAUCAACUUACUGCACGAUAUACACUUCUGAGUUUGCUUUUGCCAUCAGAGUAGAACUGUAUCUGAAACACAGCAUACACUUAAAUGCUCAUUACAAAUUUGGAGAAAAGCACAAGUAGAAAAGGAUUGAAGACAUUCAGUAACGUUGAAAUUCUGCAUUUUCUUUAAUUUUUGUUAUGAACAAGUUUCUUAAUUAUUUGUUCUCUUGAUGUAAAAUAGCAUAUUGCUGGGAGUAAUGAAGAUGUGACUGUGCUUUUCCUAUUAGCAUGUUAAUAAAAGCAAAAUGGAAAAUUAUUAGUUACGUCCUCUCGUUUUGCGGCUUAUUGAGCUAACAAGUAACUUCUUCAUUACUAGCGUGCAAGUUUGCAACUAGUGAAUCUCAAAUAUAACUCUACCCAAUGGAUGGAUGUACGAUGGAUGUACCUACCCAAUCAUUUAUUUCUCAUUAAAUCUGUUAAAACAGAAAAAGUCCCGACGUCAUAUUCUUCGCGCCUUUUAAAAAACGACACGUGUCGUAUCCCACUACUCGCGUGCUGGAAACUUUAACCCACUCUGACUGCGUGACAGCAGAUCAUUCCCAAUUCAUUUCAGUUUCACUGUCACUUUCACUCCUCCUCAGGCGCCUUCCGACAAACAGGAAGAAUGCAAACUUGAAAACCCCCAAAAACCCUAACGUUCCCCCGGAGACCCUAACCCACCAUAAACCCUGGCUCUUAAUCCUAGCCACUAUGAGCGACCAAGACGAGCAAUCGCGAGCUCAGAAAGCCGCCCAGUUAACAAGUCCGCUCUCAUCCUCUCUCUCGAACCUUUCUUCUUCUUCAAGAAGCAUCCCCUCUAAUCAAGAUUUCCAUUUCUUCUACAAUUUCCCUGAAUUCAAUCAACCCGUCCAAGAAAUCGCGAACCAAUCGCAGCUCCUCCUACAAUCCAUCGGCUCAUCGGAGAUUUUUAACCAACCGAUCAAUUUUCCUGAUGAGGUUGACAUCUCGGACGCCUACGACUGGCUUGUCGACGUAAACGACAACGUUUUCGAGCGUAUGGAUGUUUCUUUCGACGAAUUUAGUAAAGUAAGAGGGGAAAAUGGGGAAGGAGAUGGAAAUGAAGGUGGCUUUCAGUUGGUUUAUGGGAAGAACAAGAAGAAGGGCGACAUUGUGGGUGGCUCUGCCCCGGCCAGUGUGAAAGUGAAGGACAGGAAAGAGAAAAGCAAGGUGCCGUUUCAUAUAUCGACUAUAACAAAACCGCAAGAGGAGUACAAGAUAGUUGUGAACAAUGCGAACCAGCCGUUUCAGCAUGUUUGGUUGCAGAAGAUUGAGGACAGUGGACGGUUUAUCCAUCCUCUUGUAAGUUUGUUAUUUUUUGAAUAUUUUGAUAUUGGAUUUGACUUACUGGGUUUGUUAAAUUUGUAAUCUGAAAAUAGUACCUUUCUUAGGGACUUUUUAGUGAUCAAUUAUUUCUUUCAUUUUCUUUUUGGGUGGUUUGUGGUAUAUGUUUACGCUUAUCUUGUUUGGAAUUUGUGUGCAAUUCUUAUUAUUCAUGCGAGAAUUUUAACACUAUCAUGUGGUUCAUGCUUGCCAAAAAUAUACCAAAACACUUUUGCUUAUUGCUAUUGCUUUAUUUGUACAGGACAAUCUUUCUGUUUUGGAUUUUGUUGAUAAAGAUAUAGGGGAUGUGGAACCUGUAAAACCUCCCUCGUUGGAGCAGACACCAUUCAAGCUUGUGGAAGAAGUUAAAGAUUUAAAGGAGCUAGCUGCUAAAUUGAAGAGCGUAGAUGAGUUUGCGGUAAAGUCUGACUUCUGUGAUUAUGUUUUAUUGAUAAAUAAUGCCGUGGUUCAGCCUUACUGCAGUAGUUUCUUUUUUUCAGCCUUUUGAUUUCUCUUUUCUGAUGGGGCAUUUCAUAUACAGAACUGAACACUGUCCUAUGUAGAGGAUAUAGUGUAGUUAAGGCACAUGUCACCGAUGUCAGCUACUUCAAAAUUAUAUAGUGCUGGAUGUGGUUUAAGCCAAUAAGACAAGAAAGGGGUGUGGCCGCCUAUGAAGAUACAUACAAAUAUGUUAAUAUUCGAAACAUAUACAAAGAAAUGUGCCUGUAAUAGUUUUCCUGUCUACGUAAAGUAGUAAACCAGCUGUCUAUUUAAUCUUGAUACAAGUUUUGCAUGUUUAAAAAAUUAUCUUUCAUCUUUAACAGUGAGUCCAUUUUUAGCUGUAAUCCUUUUCUCAAGCAUGACUUGGUUUUGCUUUCGUUUUCAUCUCAACAGUAAACCUGUUUGCAACUAGAAAACAUUGUAAUUUUUUUGUAACUUUUCUCUAGGUCGACUUGGAACAUAAUCAAUAUCGAUCUUUCCUAGGAUUGACUUGCCUGAUGCAAAUUUCCACCAGAACCGAAGAUUUUGUGGUAGAUACGUUAAAGCUUCGCGUUCAAGUUGGGCCAUAUCUUAGGGAAGUUUUUAAAGAUCCUACCAAGAAAAAGGUUGGUCCCUUCAACAUGCUCUCGCGUAGCUUUGUGAUAAAUCUUAUUUUUUCCCCCCCAAAUUAUGUUAACUUUUACUUUACUAGGUGAUGCAUGGAGCAGAUCGAGAUAUUGUGUGGCUUCAACGGGACUUUGGCAUAUAUUUGUGCAAUAUGUUUGACACAGGACAGGUUUUAUCCCUUGAAACUCUCUUUGAAAUUUGAGACUUUAUUGAUGAUCUUGUCUGGUUUUUUGUACAAUGGUUAAAUUUAUCUUAUCUUAUCUGCUUUUUUGUGGUCUAAUUUAUGAGUGUUGAUGCAAGCCUUUAUUCUACUAAAUUAGUUAAAUUGAGUUAUCUUUUGAUACUGUAUUUUCAAUUUUGUAAUUCAUCUUAUGUGUUUGAGUCAAGGUUUGGCUUCAAAAAGCCUUGUCAGUUACAUGUCAUCUCUCCCUUAAUUUUUUCAAAGUAGCUUCGCUUGUCAUUUGAACUAUUUGUAUCAUUAUUUUCAAUUUUGAUGUGGAACUUCCCCCAUUUAUUAAUGUUCUUUUGGUUGUUUUUGUGUAAUGCUCUUUUGUAAAUUUUACCGUGGCAUUUAUUUUGUUUUGCAUUUCAAAUAAUAGUGAGAAUUGCUUUUUUCAGUCCUAAGUUUAUUGGUUUAUUGUAAAUAUACUGUAUAUUUAUUUUGGUUUGCAUUGGGAGAUGAUCGUGGGAAUUUGUUUCUGUCUUUUCAUAAGGCCUCAAGAGUCUUGAAAUUGGAGAGAAAUAGUUUGGAGUAUCUUCUACAUCACUUUUGUGGAGUUAAUGCCAACAAAGAGUGAGUCCUUUUGUAAAGUACCUGAUCUGUUUCUCCUUAUAGUUUCCGCCCUUCAUCAUCCUAAGUCAACUCAUUGCAGAUACCAGAACGCAGAUUGGAGAGUACGUCCUCUUCCCGACGAGAUGCUGAGGUACCUUUGGUUCUCUUUUUAUCUUCUUUGUAACCUACUUUUCUAAUGAGUUCUCCAAAAAAAAAAAAAUUAUGAUCUGUUUGGCAUGAAAAUAAUUACUACUAUUUUAAAGUUCUUGUAUUCUUUGGAAAAGCAGAAAUCAUAUAUCAUCAUUUAAGUGUUUGGGGUUUCAUCUUUGCCUGUAUUUUUGUAGAAACUAAUAAUAUUUUUUUUUCUGUGGCUUAGGAUUUGAAUUGUGGGAAUAUCUAUGUUGGAAAUUAAUAAUGAGUGCACAUUGACUCUUGAUAGUGGACAAAUAUUUGGACAGCCAGGAAGGGGAAGGCCAACAAAAGUUUUGGGUUUUUAUAAGUUGAAGUUAUGAAUGGUUUUAUAAUUAAUUAGGUAUAGGUUUCCUCAUUUGGGUAUUUCUGGGAGAUCUGGGUUAUAAGAUUGAGAUAUUCCAGCCUGUAUAGAUAAUUGUAGGGUUGCCUGUGUUUGUGAUAUUCCAGCGCGUUUAUUAUUACUACUUCUUAUAUAUAUAAAAUUUUAGACUCUUUCCAUGUCUAACAAGAAGUUUUCAUGAUAUCACUUGGAUCCUACUCAUGCAGACUUGUAAGGCAUCCUUAGGUGCGGUUAUGUGAUCUGGUUUUUAUAAAUAUUUUUAAAUUUUUUGUCAGAGACAAUGCCUGUAGUGACAAUGUACUGACUUAUCUUUUGGUUAUUACCAAGCUGAAUCAGGUUGCCUGUGGUUUAUGACCAUACCAUUUGGUCUUAUAAAAUGUUCUUCCCUUCACCUCAUGUUCUCAUACUUUAAAGCAUGAAUAAUAUCUAAGGGCCUGAGAUUAUUUCAUUAAUUUUUCCCAAGUCUAGAUCCUUCCCAGAGAAAUGGAUGGAUUACCCACACACUCACCAGUAACAUGUCGUACUUUAUGACGGUUUUGCAUUACUGCUGUAUGUCAUUUAAUUUGCCCUUUUGAGGAUUCUUUAUUUUCUCUGGGCUGAUGUUACUUUGUGGUGCUUUUUUUUCCUAUUUAGUCAAAAUAUAUAUUCAUCAUAGAGUUUCUCUGUUAGAAUUUUCUUAGCUUUGAGGAUUCGUUAGUGGCAUAUCAUCCAAUUGAUUAUACUUGUGAUGACAGAUACGCUAGAGAAGAUACACACUAUCUGUUGUAUAUAUAUGAUAUAAUGAAAAUCAAGUUGUCCUCAAUGCCCAAGGAGUCUGAGAAUUCUGAUACUCCCCUGACAGAGGUAUGAUUUUUGCUUAACUGUUGGUGUUGUUUUGUAAAACUGUUGGGCAUCUCUAUGAUUAUAGAGAAUCCAUUUUUAAAUGCUUUUUUCAGAUCUUGUUGUGCCAUGUAUGACAGACCAUUGCGUCUGGAGAUUGGCAUGGAGCUUAAUAAUUACAAUGUUAAAAAUAGAACAUAAAAUAUUGGGAAGUAUCUAUCAUGACUAAUUCUUCAACUGUUUAAGGAAGAUAGUUUAAAUCCGAAUAUCCUUUUUUGGAUUGUGGACUAAAGAAAAUUGUCAACUCUUGAUUUCUCUUCCCAAGGAUGAAGACGUAUCAGUCUGUUGGCAAACACAUUUUUUGAAUUUUACUUUAGUUAUCUAUAAUUUUACCAUAUUGAGCAAACAUUUUGUUGCAAACAGGUCUACAAGCGCAGUUAUGACGUAUGCAGGCAGCUGUAUGAGAAGGAGCUUCUGUCAGAAAAUUCUUAUCUCCACAUUUAUGGGUUUGUCUUUGUCCCUAUUCAUCUCAGUUUAAGUUUUCAUUUAGUGGCCUCGCCUGUUUAAAAUCUUCUCUCAUACAGUUUUUGUUUGUUUCAUUCUUUACUUAGCAUUACUUCUCUUGUUUAAUUUUAGUUCUAUUUUGGACUUCGUAUUUAUGUGAUUUGACAGAACUUAAUCAGUGGAGCUUAUUUCUCUAUGUUGAAAUAGGUUGCAGGGGGCUGGUCUCAAUGCUCAGCAGCUUGCUGUUGUUGCGGUAUGUCAGUUCUUCAUGUGUUUUUCAAACUUUGCCACUUUUCUAUCUGGAUAUUAUAUGCAUGAGGAUGCUACUGAAAAUGUAUUAUCCGCAUGUUUUGUUUACUAGUUGCAUCUUCAAAUGAAACAAAGUCUUGACCCAGAAGAAUCCGUAACGCACCAAUAGUCACUAAUAGGAUUGUCUUGAGAAAUUUACUUCUAAAUUUUUGAGUGGAUGAUAGAAGGGUGGAUUUUAAGUAGCUGACACAUCAUUGCCAACUGCUGAUAGAGUCUGUUGCAUACUUGAGUAUUCUUGCUAGUUCUGGCCCCAUUGAUCCCACUUCAAUGAUUUGCAGGGUCUUUGUGAAUGGCGAGAUGUUAUUGCUCGUGCAGAUGAUGAAAGUACUGGCUAUGUAUUGCCAAACAGAACUCUGAUUGAAAUUGGUAGAAACCUGUCUGAAUUUCCUCCAACUCUCUCUUCUAUAUGUAUAUAAUCCAUUUGGUGAGUUAUGAGUUAAUCAUAUUUUCCUUUUGUGGUAAAAGCCAAACAGUUGCCUACUACUGCUGCCAAGUUACGUCGAUUGUUGAAAUCAAAGCACUCAUAUAUUGAACGCUAUAUGGGUCCGGUACUUAGCAUCAUAAAAAAUUCUAUGCAAAAUGCUGCUAAUUUUGAAGUCAUUGCUCAAAAAUUGAAAGAGGAACGUAUGGAAGUGGUAAGACCUGCAUGCUCAUGUUUGAUUGUUUUGUUAUAUCAGUGAUCCAAAUUGAUUAUUUUUCUUUGAGAAUUUGAUGUUAAUGCCUUCAAUGGAUUGCCAACAUACAUUGAUUUUCUUUUUCUUUUCCUUGGAUUUCGUUAGAAUCAGACCAACCAUCUUUUAAACGAGGAUGAUGGUCCAAAACCUUAAGGUCUACUACGAUGAAUUGCUACUUUUUGUGCAAGUUCUUGUAAUUCACUCAGCUGGUUGUCUUCGGCAAAUGAAAGGAAAAAGGAAAUUCAUCCAAUCCAGUUCUAUUGAAGAAAAAGAAUCCUAGUUGAUCUUACAAAAUUAAGCUUUCAUAAUUUGUUAACCCAUGGAAUGUGAUUAAAACUCAUGGACAAAGGAUGUUCCAGUUGAGAAAGGGAUUUGAGUGAUUUUUAGCAAUUAUCAGUGAUGUCUUCAUUAGAAGUAAGUUUAUGGUUUAUAGCAGUAAAUGCUCAAUAAUUAGGUACUCCUUGUAUAUUGGCUGACCGGGUCCCAUGUUUGUAGUAGGUUUUGUGAGCUACAGAGGAUUAACUUCAGUCAGUUUUCCAUGUUAUGGCUGUUAAGAGCUAUGUCACCAUUUUUCUUUGUUUACAUCAAACUAAUCUUUUUUUUUCCCCCCAUUUUUCCUUAUUUGUGUAGGCAUCAGAAGAAACUGAAGUUUUAGUUCUUGAUACUUCCUCAAACUUGAAAAUUCCGAAUGUUGGAAGGGAGAGUGUUGAUGGUGUUGAUGCAUUAGUUGGUACCACGAUGCCUCACCCACCAGCUUACACCCAGCUGAAACAAGAGCCUCCAAAGGUUGGAAGCAGUGUCGCAGAACUUGACAGAAAUGGACUAGGGUCUUUUGCGCAUCCUGGAGAAGCAAUUGCUUCAGAAAAUAAAGAAGCUACUCAUAUUUCAACACUUUCCAGCUCUGGUCAAAGUAGAGACUUGAAUGCUUGCAAGUCACCUUCACCAAGGGUUGUGAAUUUGAUGCCUUAAUGUGGAUUUUUUUUUUUUUUGGUUAAGAGGUUUAGCAUUCAAUUUCUUUUUCUUUGGUUGUGAAUUUGAUGCCUUAAUGUGGAUUGGAUUUUUUUUUUUUUUGGUUAAGAGGUUUAGCAUUCAAUUUCUUUUUCUUUAUAGGUUACUGAAGCUGCUGUUCAGGCUCUAAAGAAGCCGAACCGUGGUUUUGGAGCACUGCUGGGUAACCCAAAGAGAAAGUUUGAUGGCGAGAAAAAGGUGAGUUAAUCAUUUGCUAGUAAUGGUUGUUAAACAUCUGCUAUGUCAUUGUCACAUAGCAAAAUAACUAUUUCUGAGGCCUGCCAGUCACCCAGUUUGUGCAUGUGUGGUUGGGAAGAAGGCAACAAAGGAAGAAUAUAGUUAAACAUUUGCUAUGUUAUUCUUACAUAGCAAAAUAACUACUACUGAGGCCUGCCAGUCAGCCAGUCUCUGCAUGUUGGUUGCAAAGAAGGCAACAAAAGAAGAAUGUUUUUUUUUUUUGAAUCUUCAUUCCAUGAUUCACUUUCUUUUCAAUUUUUCUUGUCAACUAGCAUGUACAUUUGCCUUCUUGUUGCCUUUUUCGUUGCGUGAGUCAUUAUGAAUUAUGAUUUAUAUUAUACGGAAAUUGUGAGUGGGCAACUGUUGGGCUAUAAUCAAACAUGCAAAAUUUCGGGUCCCAUGACUAAGCGCUGCUAUCAUCUGGAUUUGUGUGUUGUUGCAUUUUAUAUUUGGUUAACACCCUUCUUAUUAUCCUCCUUUUGAUUGUUUGUUUGUCUUAAUUAGGACAAGGAAGCUAUGAAACUAGAGCAGAUUAAAUCCUCAGUCAAUCUUCCAUUCCACUCAAUUUUUGCAAGAGAUGAACAGUUAAAACCAGUUGAUGUGAUGAAGUCUGAACCAAAUAAGCCUGACAUUCCAUUUCCUUCAUCUUUUGGUAGUGGGCAACAAACGAAACCAAUCAUAGAGGAAUCCAAUAGAGUUACAGUAGUUUCCCAAUCAGAAGAACCCGCUCCGGCUGCUAGGUCUGAUACAGAAGAUAUUAUUACGUUGGAAGAUGAUAUAGAUGAAGAGGAACAAAACCUUGGUAAUUUGGAAACUGCAAGUGCGCCCGGAGAGGACGGUUCUGCAGGGUCUGCUUUGGAAAUGGGUAAACAAGAUGAGACCAUGUCUCUCUCUGAUUUAUCAACUAGUUUCCAGGAGUGCUUCCACUCUGCUAACAACAAUAGAAAACCUGGAAAGCCUGAGAGAUCUGAAGAACCUAGUGGUUUUUUGCAGCUUAAGCCGUUUGACUUCGAAGCAGCUAGGAAACAGAUCGAGUUUGGAGAAGAUGCCAAAGAAAAAUCAGCUGGGGUUGAUGGAAACAAAAGAAAACCAGUGAACUCUGGAGAUAAGAAAAAAGUUUCAGCUGUAGAUCAAGCUCAAAAAGAUGAUGGAACAAAAGAACUGUCACAAGGUAGACGACGUUCUGCUUUUCCUGCAACUGGAAAUCGAAGUGCAACAUUUCGCUGAGUCUCUGGUAUCAAUCAUGCUGCUCUGUGUAGCAGAAAUUAGUUGAAUUUUGGAUUUUCACAAUCAUGUUCUUGAUUUAAAUGGAAAUUAAUGCUGGUGGACAAAUUCGCAAUGGUUGUACGUAUAUUUCCAUUGCUUGAGGUCUUGUCUGAUACAGCAUGAGCUAACCUGAUCAUCUUUUGAUAUUCAGUAACAGGAGAGAUGUAUGGUCUGCAGGAGCCAAUGAUGGGCAAGUGAUACCUGAGGCCGGUGUCUAUUUGAAGGUAAAAUGGGCGAUGGUUCUAGGUUUCAUAUUAGGUUUUUGAUAGUCUUGAGUAAUUGCCCUACUAUCUUCAUAUUUAAAAAACAGGAUGGUUUCAAACCAAAGUGCGGUUUGUAAUCAAAAGCAUUUGAUCUUUUUGUUUUUGUAACUUUACGGGUUUUAUUUUUAGAAAAAUGGUUCUGUACUAUGGUUUAUUUCUGCCUUAUUUGAUAUUGUGGUCAUCUUAGGCUUUAUUUAGUGUAAUUUUUCAGUUAUAUGUUCGUUUGGGAAGAGGAAAUGAAGUUAAUUUUAUUUCACACUUGCAUAAGAAAAAAUUGUAAUGUUUAUAUUAUUUUUGUUAAAAUUAUUAUUUAAAAAUUAUAUUUGAUAUCUAUUAAUAAUUUUUAUUAUAAUUAUAAUUUUCUUUUUCCUCCAUCAUCUCAAUUGCUUAUAACUGCUGUUGAGGAUGGUUGGUGCGAUGUUAAUAAUUUGUAAAGGGCUUAGUAACAUCUGGUUCCGUGAUGUCGGCCAAACCAUAUCGAAGGGCUUAAUUUGACGGUCAUCGGGGCCUCCUGCCCAGCUGCCCUCCUUUACGGAUUCCGCUUCCGCAAAUUAUUUUAUAUAAACUGUUGUUACAUGAUAGUGGUGGCCGGAUGAAAAUACUACAUGACCAUAUAAUGCUUUCGGUGCAAUGAGUGAAAAAGAGAAAUUUUUAUGUAUUCUCGGAUUGAAGGAGAAAUUUUAAGAUUAAGAUUGUGGAGUGGUAGCAGGAGUAAAUUAUUUACUUACAUCACUAUGAGAGUGUGGAACGAAAAUUAGAAAUUAUGUAUUUUCUUUGUCUUAGAUUGAGAGUGAAUCAUUUUAAAUUAUAAUUUUAUCCUUAUUUAAAGAAUUGUAGUUUUUAAUUAUAAAGUAAAUAAAAAAAUAUAUUUGCACAAUAAAUUAUUUAUUUUGUUAUUAAUUUUAAUUAUAUAAAUUAAUAAUAAUUAUUAUUAUUCUUAAUCAUGUGAAUCAUGAUUUUUUUGUUAAUUUUNNNNNCGUACAGCAGAAAUAAAUAUGAUAUUUUUAUUUUUAAAUAAAUGUGAUAUUAUUUUUAUUUUUAUCAAUAUAAUUAUAUUAUAUUCAAUAAGGAAAUGAUAAAAAGAAAGAAGUGGGAGUAGAUUUCUACUUUUUAUUCAAAAACAAAAAUGAGACCCACAGAGUAGAAGCCUAACUCUCCUCCUUAGAUGAGUACUAAAACGUUUAAGUAGGAGAAAUUCAUAUUUUUGACUCCCACUCUACAAAGUAAACAUAAUAAUAAUAUCAUAAUAACAUUUGAUAAUUCUAUAUAUUUGUGACGUCAUAUCUCAUCAAUUGAUUAAUAAAAUUAAAUGGUGAUUAUUUAUGAAAGAACAAAAUUAAUUCAUGUGAGUUAUGGUUAAUAAAUAAAUAAAAUAUAAAAUGUUAAAUUUUGACUAUAAACUAAUUUCAAUAUCUAAUAAUUUAAAAGCUCAAUAGAGCUAUGAUAAAAACUAAAGGGAGGAUUCUUAAUCCGAUCCGGGAUCUUAAUCAGUUCAGGACCGAUCCACUUCCAGCUAUUACGCGUCAAACAUCCAUUUGACGAUUGACGUGUCACGCCAUCUCACUGUCCUCACAAGAAAACCCGUUACCUUCAAAAUGCUCCAAACCCAUCAACGCCGAAUUCAAAUCAAGCCCCAAGACCAAAUACAAAGCAAAAACAAAUAAACAAACGUCUGUUCAUUCAGUCUGAAAAAAUCAAAAGAAGUAAAAGGAUUGGCGAUGGCGAUGGCGGUUGAAGGAGGAGGGACAUUAUCGGAGAUAUAUCAAAGUGCGAAGAAGUUGCUGUUGAGAGCGAGAGACGGAGUUGAGAAACUGGAGAGACUGGAGAGCUCGACGUCGACUGGGGGAUACGAUUCGCCGGAGCUCUCCUUCGCUGUCAAGAAAGAUAUUUCUCAGAUCCAGUCACUCUGCGUCGAGAUGGAUCGCCUAUGGCGCUCCAUCGCCGACAAGUCUCAGCGCGAUCUCUGGAAGAGGUACCUAUUCAUUUACUGUUUUGCCACGUGGCACCGAAUCAACCUUGUGUCGUGUCCUAAUUGCUCUACGCCAGUUCGGUUGCAAUUCUGUGCAUGAACCGCAAUUUUUAUACUGAAUAUUACAUUAUUGAUUUUGUCUGAGCGACAAGGCAUGCUUCCACGUUUACUUGUUGCUUAGUUUUAUUGUUUUGCCUUCUAUGUUAACAGUCUAUAUAAGUUUUAUAUGUGUUACAGGCAUGUGUAUAUAUGGAAGUACAUUAAUAGCUGUUCAUGCUGUUGCUUGCUUGAGGUCGUUGGUAUAUUUGCAUUUGGAACUAAAUGUGCUUGGUGUGGGUUCGCUAUGUGUGUGUGUGUGUGUGUGUUUGUUUGCGUUUGAUGUUAAAUGGAAUUACCUUCUAUCGAGUCAGUGCCGCAAUUUGAUUGCUUGGUUUUUCAGAGGUGUGUUUUUAUGUUAUGUCAUGCAGAAAAGUUGAACAAGUAGCAGAAGAGGCUGAAUCAUUGAAAGAGAGUCUCGAUAAGUACUUUUUAAGAAAUCAGAGACGGAUAAAUGAAGCUAGAGAGAGGGCGGAAUUGCUUGGAAGAGCUGUAUGUUUAUUCAGUUUUCGUUAGAAGUUUUGAACGGAUUCUGUAGUGUUUUUCUUGUCUGGAAACGAGAAUUAGCUUUCCAAUCUGAUGAAUUUCUUUUAUGUUAUAGAAUGGAGAGUCGUCUCAUAUUUUGAGAAUUUUUGACGAGGAGGCGCAAGCAAUGCAGUCAGUACGCAAUUCAUCGAGGAUGUUGCAAGAAUCGUUUGCAACUGGGACAGCCAUUCUUGCCAAAUAUGCAGAACAAAGGGAGCAUCUAAAGGUAUUGACACUUAAGCUCCUUGUUUACAUGCACAGUUGCACACUAGAAAUUUUUGCCAAGCUCACUCAAACUGUGUGCAAACAAAGUUCACUAAACAGGGUCAAAUGAGAAAUUUACAUUCUUGUCAUGGUUGUAUUCUUAACAUGAUUAAAUAUUUAAAUGAGAACAAUGUUAGAUCCUCAAAGCAAUUAUCUUUAAUAUUGAUUUAUACUACUGCUAUAGAAAUUAUAAGUGUUUGCAGCACCUGCACAAAUGGCUGCAGAGAAUUUAGUCUGUCUAUGGUAAUAAUUUUAAAAGCUGGUAACUCCAAAUAUUCAACAGUGGCUGACAAAAACAAUCCUCAAGUUUUAAAGUAAAAGCAAACUUUGCUUUGAAAUAAUCAGUGACAACAAUGACGUGAAAGUGUCACCAACUGUUUAUAUAUAAUAUCUCCAAUAUUCCAGAAUUUAGUUUCAUAAUGGCUGGCAAAGACUUGGUUUUUUUAAGGUUUAAAGUAAAAACGAUCUCUGCUUUGAAAUGUUCAGUGGCAACAGUGAUGUAAAAUGAUCAGCAACUGUUCAUAUCUAGUAUCUCCAAUGUUUAGAAUUUUGUUUAAAAGAUCCGUUCCAUCCAUAAAAAAAUUUCAUUCUGAAUAAGCAACUCAAGAUUACACUUCGCAAGAACACACCAUCUACCAUUUCUCACAAAUUUAAAUGUCACAACCUAUGAUCCAUUACCAAUUGUGAGAAACGGCAGAUUAUUUGUUCUAAUGAAGUGUAAUUUGAGUUGCUUAUUUAAAAUGAAAUUCUUUUAUGGGUAGAAGGGAACUUCUAAACGAAGUUCUAGGAAUCAAAUUAGCUGUUUAGAUUUGAAUAGUUGGUGAUGCUUUGAUGUCACUGUUGCCACUGAUUCUUCUCGAAAAGAAACAGAUUUUUAAAUGGUAUUAUAGAGGUCACAGAAAAAAAAUAGUCAUGCUAUCAUUGAUAGCACUUGCCACUGAUGUUGAUAAUGAGUUUAACUGAUUAACUUCCAUCUUUGGUUCAGAAAGCACAAAGGAAAGCUCUGGAUGUUCUCAACACUGUGGGUCUGUCCAAUUCAGUAUUGAGGCUCAUUGAGAGGAGGAACCGUGUCGAUACAUGGAUCAAAUACGUAGGAAUGGUUUCUACAGUGGUCAUCUUAUAUUUCUUCUGGAGGUGGACUAGGUGAUCCGAUCUUCAUACUUAGCCACGCAUAGAUCAUUAAUCCGCAUACUUUGGAAUGAUUAAGUUUUGUUCUUGAUAUUUGCCCCAUAAGAGGGUUAAUGAGGAUGUACAAGGCAUUCUUUGAUGAGAGACUAUCCUCUUAUGAGGAUGUAUAAAGCAUUCUUUGUUAAGAGACUAACUCGUAUAGGACGGACUCCCAAAGAAGGUUCUUUGCAAUUCUUGAACAUUUAGAGCGAAGUUGACGAAACGUGCUAGUUGUUUUUGUAUUUUGGCAAAAGGGGAAUUACAGAGUUCGAAGAUUCUAAGAAAUGCGCCAAUUUUGUUUUGUUGUCAGAACGCAAAAACGGCCUGAUUGUGGACGGUUAAAUCCGGAAUUAUGUAGUGGAUUUGCAGUUAUUGAAGGGCAUGCUUGGGAAAAUAAUAUGGUCAAAUAAAAUCAAGAACAAUUAUAUUGUAUCUGCUGUUUAUGCGUCCGUACUUGAAGGUGUCCACGUGGCUGGUGUGUGUUUGUUAAACCAGUAAAAUUAAGUAGUGCGAAGUUCUGAUCGCCGCUCAUUGAUUGUUUUUUUUUUUAACUUUAAAUAAACUAUGAGAAAAGGCUUUGAAUGAGUCGCAGAUAAAUUAAAGUUUUUUUUUUCUUCUUCUAAAUUUAUAUCCAAUGGUUCGGCACAUGUUAUUUUCUUUAUUUUUAGUGCACACGGUAAACUAUUGAUAGUAUUUGGUGUAAACUCACUUUCAAAUCGAUGCUUCACGAAAAGUCCAAAUGACGCGCUAUGAAAGUAAUAUAGAUAACUAGGAUAAGUGGAAAUGAUAAACGAAUAAAAUGAAGUAAAAAGAAUUUUUCAUUUUUAAGGGUUACAAAAUAAGAAUAGUUAAUUACUUAAUUAGUUGACUUGCUAAAAAUUUUUCAUGCAAACAAAUGGUCUGGACUGGAAUCCGUUUAAAUGGAUAGGAAGAAAAUUAGAGUGUCGUAAAAGUACUGGAGUUUCAAAUCCCCUCACGUAGUCACAAGGAUUAGAAGAAAAUUGAAUUGUUAGGCAAAAUGAAAAAAAAGAAAAAAGCUUAACAUUUUUAUUUUCUAAAAAAAUGUUUUUCUUAGUUGUUUUGUUUUUUAAUUUUAAAUAUAUUUAAAAUUUUGAAAUUAAUAAAUGACUUUGAAAACUUGAGUGUGCUCGAGCCUCGAGAUCUACUCAAAUUCUUUUACAUUAUUACAUUAUGAAAAAUUGUAUGAUGUCGUGAUUAAACUAUUGUAUCAAUACUAUGAUAAACAUAAAUUUUAGAAAUUAUAUAUAAGACUAGUAAGUGAAAUGUAAAAUAAAUUAAUUAAUAUAAGAGUGGUAAAUAAUGUUUUAAAAUUAUAAACAAAACAAACACUUAUAAAAAUAACAUAAAAAUUAUAAAUCAACAUUAAAUUUUAAUGUAAAAAUAGUUUAUUUAUUUAAUUUAUUCAAGCAAAGAAAAACUUUACUCAUCAAUUGAAAACAAAAAUUUUGUAUUGAAAACAAUGGGAAUAAGUUUUAUUAAUUGAUUUAACCAUGAAUUUUAUAUUCAUGUCAGGAUAUUUAUAAACUGUUUUUUUUUUUCAUUUUCUAUCAUAGUAUUUGUUUACUAUACAAGUUGAUUAAGUAAACUUAUUAUUAUUAUUAGUAUUAUUAUUAUUAUUUAUGUGGAUCAAGCCAAAACAAAAUAAAAAUACAUUUGAAUAUUACUAGACAUAUAUGGAAUAUUAAUACAAUUGAAUCUAACUUUCAGUUUUAUACAUAAUUCAUCUAGUUUCAAAUUUUACUUCUUAUACUAAAAGAUCAUUUGAGGUUGCUAUCGAGGAGGUUUAAAAUGAUGCAAAAUCACUUAUAUCACAAAUAAAAUAUGAAAAAAAAUUUCUAAAAUUUGAUUUUGAGAGUAAGUUUUAUCCUUAAUAAAAUUCCACAUAUAUUAUCACGUCUAUUACAUAACCACAGAAUUAUCAUUAUUUGAUUUAGAAAUAAAAAUAGUAAAUAUAUAAUGUAAUCAUUAUUAUAGUGAGUUUUUAUUUAUUUUUUCAAUAACUCUUAUAAUAUUUACUUAUUUUACAUUCAUUUACAACUCUUCUAUUUUACUUUUAUAAUUUAUAUGUUAUUUUACACUUAAUGUUGAUGUACAAGUUUUAUAUCACAUUUGUAAACAAGUUUUACUUUAUAUUUACAUGUAUUAUGUUUUAUUUACUUAAUUCAUGUUUUAUUUUAUACUUAAUGUUGAUUUACAAGUUUUAUAUUAUAUUGAUAUAAGUUUUUAUUUUAUUUACUAAUGAUAUAUCAACUUACCACUGUUAAUUUACUUAUUUUACCUUCAAUUUGCAAGUCUUGUGUUUCAUUUACAUAAUUUAUUAUGUUUUAUUUUACGUUUAAUGUUGAUUUACAAGUUUUAUGUUAAAUUUACACCUCUUAUAUUUUAUUUACACAAUUUAUGUUCAAUUAUAGUAUAUUAUAGAAUGACUCAUUUGACAUUACAAUACAAAAUUAUAAACAUAAAUAGAUGUAUCAAAAAGUCUUGUCGAAAAAUGAAUCCACCUUAAUACGGACCUGUCUCAUUGUUUUAUAAUUAAAGUUGCACACUCUUACAAUGAACUUGAAGAAAUUGAAUUCUCAACAUCAAUAAUGAGGUGUCUAUUACUAAUAAUAGUUUAUAAAAAAAAUAAAAAAAAUAAAGAAAUAUGAUUAAAUUGAUCAAUGUAAUUUUAUUAAAAAAAAGAAGCAUUUUUAUUACAAAAGCAAUCUCAAAAUAUAUAUUUUUUGUAGUUACAAAAAAUCAUGACCUAGUGGCGACCUAGUGGCGACCUGGUGGGCGUAUAUACAAAAAUCAUAAUAUUUUUAUACUGAUUACAUAAAUUCGGUGAUCACAGACCACAGUAAAACCCUGAAACCGCCCAACGGGGUUCUUUACCAGAGGAAAAAAGGGAGGAAAGAAAAUGACUUUUUAAUAUAACGGCACGGGUUUAAGCCAAAAACGGUGGAAUCAAAUCAUUGACACGUUCGUGCGAUGCCUUCACUCCUCAGGCAAACCAGACUCCCGCAUGUGAAUGCCACGUGAACGUAGCUUCUUCACAUAAUUUUUACCCCAAUGUCCAAAUUACCCCUUAUCUUUUACUCCUUUUUUUUUCUUUUUAACUUUGCCCGAUUUUGAAGUCUAUUACGUAUUGCGGACUGCUGCCCUCGCUUGACGUGUUUUUUCUCCUUUUUUUUUUUUUUCCCUCUCCAAACUAUUCUUUUCAAUUUUAACUAAAUAAUUUUUUUUUUUAUUACGAACAUCAACUUAAAAUUUAGGUUAGUUAGACACUUCCCCACUUCAUCCUUAAAGUCAAGUAUUCAUAUCUAUCUGUCUAUGGUGAAUAAUUUUUUUUAUUUUUUAAACUACGAACAAGUUAUCUUUUUUUUUUUUCUUUUCCAAUAUCACUAUUUAUCCACUUUUAGUUUAAUUCUUUCUGCCUAAGAUGAUCAAUUUAAAUUAAAAAUGGGAUUUUGAAAUUAUUUACUAAAAAUCAUGAUUGUUCUUUUGACGUAUUUGAAUAAAGUUUAUUUGGAAAAAUUAAUGUAAAAAAAAAAAAUGUUGGAAGAUUACGACAAUGGAAAUGUAGUCUCUGGUGAAAUGCUCUGAUUCAAUCAAUCAUCAGCAAAUGCGGUUCGCACGUUGGCAAUGGAACUCGUGAUAGCACAACCGUGAAAUGUCCUUCAUUUGGGAGUCCACGUUAAUCACAUGUGGGUCCAUCUUGAGUGCUUUUGUGCUUUACAAUUAAAAUAGACAGACAGGCUGAUGACCUGACAAUUUCGAGCCUGAUAAAGCCCCUUCAUCAACUUGAUCAGAAGGACAGGACAGCUAUUAAUAGAAAAAAGCAGCAGACUAGUACUAAUCGAGAAGUCAAACAGAUAAAAACUAAAACUAAAUAAUCUAAUCUCCUCCUAAUUCACUAAAUUAUUUUAUUUCUAUUGGUAUAAUUAAUUAAUUGAUUGAUUAAUCAAACAUGCCUUCACAAUUAAAUAGUUUCAACAGUGUAAGUUGAACCACGUGUCAAGCAAAAGCAACCAUCAUUUAUUAUAAUUUUUUUUUAUUUUUUUCGAAAAAGGAAAAAUCAAAAAACAAGGCAAGUUGAUGCCAACAGGAUCUGAUCCGGAAGGGUAACCGAGUCAUUUCGCCGUCAUGCAUGCCUCAAUCCGGAUUGCCUGCCCGCCCCCACGUUGGAAAACCAGGGACGCAUCGAUAAGCAGUUUCAACACCCAAAACACAAACUUGGGGGCGGGAAUUGCAAAACGAAAUAACAGCUUUUGCUUUUGCUUUAAUUUUUUUCCGUUUGUUUUCUUAAAAAGAAAGAAAAAAAAAAAUACUCCCAGUUCCACAAUAGAGCCCCUGGUUUUGCCUAUUUCUUUAAUCCUUUUACGCAGACUCAUGAUAAAUAUCUCCAUCUAUCAGUCAGUCCAUACGGUUUCCUUUCAUCACCAACCCCACCAACGAAAACAAAAAAAACAAAACAAACCCCCUCUUCAGAAAUAUAAUUAUAAUUUUCUUUUUCUAUUGAAUUAAGCUUGUUGGGUAUAAUUUGCUAAUUAAUCAAAGAUCGAUCUAUGACGACGGAAGCGGUCAGCAAGGUUGGAUAUGCGCAUAGUAAGGUUGCUAUGAAGAAGAAGAGCGGUUAUCGAGGUCGAUGCAGGAGAAGAAAUCACGACAGAUAUGCACCCGAUAAUAAAACGGUGCCGAUGGCGCUGCAGCGUCUGUUUCUUUCUUGCAAAGACGUCUUCAGAGGCCCUGGAACCGUUCCCGCUCCUUCUCAUGUCCAAAUGUUGUGCUCUAUUCUUGGUAAGUGUUUUUUUUCUUACACUUCAUCAUUUCUGGUCCAAUUUUCUUGUUUUUCAUUUGGCCGCUGCACUCGCAUGACGUGUAUGUUGUGAAAUCUGAACCCAUCAUCAUCCUUCAUCCAUGCACAUAUAUAUUAUCAGUCAUGAGAAAUUUUGAAUCAGCCAUUAAAAAAAGAAAAAAAAAAAGAAAAGGAAAGAUUCAAUAUUAUCAAAUCAAUACCAUUUUGUUUCAUGAGAUGAUCUAUGAAAGAUGGGAAAGGAGCACUGCUCCUUAUUUCAUUUCCUGUCACGUCUGUGUUUCAAUCAAUUGUAAUAAUACAUAUAGCCACGUAAAAAGCAAGGGGCAAUACUCUUUACAGCACGAAAACCUUCUCAAAAAAGGGGCUUUACUUUAUUGGCAGUAAUGAAUUGUUUUGAGCAAUUCAAUUCAUCAGUGCACUUAUCAUGUUUACGUAGUUUGUCAAUUUGGUUCCAGUUUUUGGUUCUUUUUAUUGGAUUCAGUGCCGAAAUGUCAUGUGUGUUCAUAGGACGUACUGGGAAAAGGAUUAGAAAUCUGUACUGAAUUUUUUUAAAUUUUGGGGGGGGGUUUUUUUUUGGGGUGGAUGGGGUUAUGGAUCUAAGUGGAUGGUACCAAUUUUCAAAAAUGUAGUUUAAUUAACUUUCCAGUUGAAAUUACAAAACCAAACCAUCCGAAAUGGAUUCUUCGAGAAAAGGUGGGUUCAGAAAACAAAGUGGUUGCUUCUAGGUGAAUCCAGAUUUUUUUCACGCGGACACAUGGUACCUUUUGGUUGAUUACCCAGCCACAGUGUUGCUUGAGGGGACAAAAAUAUCAUAUUUGUUUUUUUUUUUUUUUCCAAAUUCCUUUUUAAUUCGUAACUCAAUCUCAUGGGAUCCUACUCAGCAGCCAUUGUGAUUAUUUUUUUUACCUGACGACGCAAAAAUCUUUGCAUUAGAAAGGAUACAUAAGCACAUUUGCCUACUGUUGCUACGUGUACAUGUGCAAUGGUUUGGUUGCAAAACUGGAAGCAUUGGCACAUUAUAUAUAUGUGUGUUUUUUUUUUUUUAAUAUGUAUAAAUGCAUGGAUCAUGACACUUGGCUAAGUUAAAAUUUCCAUUUUCUCGUUAUCAUAAAGAUUGCCAGUGACUCAAACAAGCUUUUCUUUUUAAAUUUAUGAUGCUACAGAUGAAAUGAAGCCAGAGGAUGUUGGGCUUAGCAGUAAGUUACAGUUACUUAGUGCCAAAGAUGCAAUGAAAGGGACGCCAAUUGUCACAUCCACUACAAUAUACAAAUGCCAGAACUUUUCGGUAAAGACAUAAGCUAUUCAUAUUGGGCUAAAUUAAAUUCUUUUAUUAUCGUAUACUAAUUUGUAAACCAUACUAAUUAAUAGUGCAAAUUUGAUUUAGAACUUGAUAGAUUACCUUUUGGAUUCUCUUUUGUGCAGUUGUGUCUUUUCUUUCUUCCUCCAACUGCUGUGAUCCCCUUGCACAACCAUCCGGGAAUGACUGUUUUUAGCAAGCUUUUGCUCGGGACAAUGCACAUAAAAUCGUACGAUUGGGUCGAUCCUGUUGACGCAAACGAUUCUGCAGCCCCCACAAAACGUGAGUACCGCUUACCUUAUACAUAUAUGUCCAUGUAUAAUGCACACACGAACACACACACACACACACUCACAUAUCAAAACAACACGAUAACUUGAAUGUGCUAGCUCGGACUAGGAUGAUCAUUUGUGACUGAAAGUGAUGAUUUAAUUAAUUUGCAGCGCGAUUGGCGAAGUUGAUAGCCGACAGUGAUUUCACAGCACCUUGCAACACUUCUGUGCUAUAUCCAACAACAGGAGGCAAUAUCCAUGAAUUCACAGCCAUUACGACAUGUGCCGUGCUCGAUGUGCUUGGACCUCCCUACUCUAAGGACGAUGGUCGGGACUGCUCAUAUUACAAGGAGUUGCCACUUCCCGCGGUUCCAAGUAAGCGAAACAAAACCACUUGUUACUGAUUAAAAACAACCUCGUUUAAACCUCCUCGAGUAGCGCUUUCAGAGGUCUUACCAAUUAAACCCACCGAUUUUGUUAAUGCAGAUGGAGAGAAUCAGGAGGCAAAAGAGGAUGAUGGUGGUGAGAGUUGUAGGUGGUUGGAAGAGAUUGGGGUGCCAGAGAACUCACACAUGGAUGAAAUUGAGUACUUGGGACCGCAGAUAAUUGAGUAGUAGCUGUAACUAGCUUCAGCCCACAGUCGCGUGAUAAAAAAAAAUUUCAACGCAUUAUCUUCUUUUGUUUCAUAGCUAGUCAAUGGUUUUGUAUUUAUAUAUACACAUAUAUUACGUUGUUUCCUGACCUGAGUUUUCACUAUGUUAAUAGCAAAAUUUCAUUUCUUUUUCUUUUUUCUCUUUAAUCCCGGUAUCUUCUUUAAUAACUUGAUUACUUGAGUACACUGUACCAUUGAAAUCAUGGUUCAUGCCAUAGUUCCCUUAGAGGAAGGUCCAAACCCGGCUUAGGAGAAAUGGAGGUUUGGGCUGUCGAGGGCCUUGGUGUUGCUAUGUUCCCAAGAGAUGUUUACUUGGGCUGUCGAGCGCGCCGAGAAGUGCUUAAUAUUACAUCAAUGGGCCGGGCUUGUAACCGACUACUACACAUUCCCAUGGCGGCAAUCCUGAUCAGUAAUUAACUUGGGAUUUUGCAUUCAAUGAUUGCCACAAUAAUAUCAGCAAACUUUUCAGAAGAACCUUAAUUGAUAAUUGUCAUUUUGCAAUCAUAGGUUAGUUGAUGGAUAUACCAUGGGCCCUGAAAAUUAAUUAAAAUAUCAAACAUUGUAUGCUCCUAGGUUGGAAAUUUUUCAAAAUUUUCAAUAGAAAAAUAACCUCAAAAUCAAUAUUUUACAUGUGAAGAUCUGUUUCAUUAACAAGCGCGAUGGGCCAAACGGAGGGAGCCAGGAAUUUUAAGCUGUUCAUAUUUGACGCCCUAAUUUGGGAUUUGCUAAUACGGAAAAACUUUGAGCUGCUCACUAAUUUAUAUCUUGACUUCGAGAAUCUGCGCAAUUACUAAUUAGUAGCCAUCAAUAAUUGUCAAAAAUCAAUUUUGAAUUUCGAUAUUUUUGAAUGCAUUGGUGUUACGUGUUUCUCCAUACGCGUUAGUAAAUUUGAGAUGGUGUAAAUUUGUAAUAAACUAAUAAUAUCUUCUUUUUUUUAUAAUUUGAAAAUCAACCCAAUCUGAUUCUCUAAAUUAACAAGAUCAAAUUGACUAUCCAAUGUUCAUUCACUAGGAAAGUCCUAAAGGUCCCUCUAAACUAGAAAGUUACUCAAAUCUAUGGCCAAAAUAAAGUCUUCUUAUAAUUAAAGAAACAACCCAUCUUUUUUUAAGAUCUUCUGACAAUGAAUUUUCAAUUAUGAUGGGGUUUGAAGUUUUGAAAUUUUCUAAGAAUUAUUAACAACUGAAAAGAGAAAGCAAAAGAAAAAGGACGAUGUGAUAUGGCAUGGGACAUGGACUUCCCACCACCUUUACAUUGCCAUCAUGCAAAAAAAAAGCUCUCAAUUUUAUGCUUAGCUUGUUCUUGUUUUCUUUCUUUUAUCACUUCUUUAUUACGUGGGUCUUGAAUUCUCAAUAGUUUCUAAUUGUUAAAAAACUCCAUGAAAAUUGCUUUCCCUAUUGUAAUACCUCCAUUAAGGAGAAUGAAGGGUUAAAAAUGUACCGACAGAUACUGGAAAAUUAUUGAAUGAAGUAAUCAACAUGAUUGUUCACUGACAAUAUUAUAUUCGGAAUAAUGAUAGCUGGUUGUUUUGGAUUGUUUUAGAUGUUGUAUUAGCCAAUUAGGCAUAUUGGUAUAUAUUAUUAUUAUAUGAAAUACUAUUGCCUUUUUUAUUAGCAAAAGACUUUCGGUUAAGAUUUUGCUUAAUUACACGAUUGCAUCGUGAUUGUUUUUAAGCUUCAUCAUUCAAUUCCAAAACUUAACGUAACAAAAGAUCUUACUAACAAUACUAUUUUAAUACCCAUUUUUUUCCCAGUCACGUGAGUGUAUAUGAUCUCCAUAUCUUUGGUACUAUAUCUAAAAAAUUUUUCCAAUCAAAUUAAUUAACACCCGCAGCUACAUUUAAGCAAAUUGUUCUAAGCCGCUAGGGUUUAAUCUAGUAGUUAAAACACAACCCUUACAAUUGUGAGAUUAUGCGUUCGAACCCUCACAACAAUACAUUGUGGGGGUUUAAUUUUCUUCUCUAAUUUGAGUGAAAGCAGUCUCAUAAAAAUAUGGAUUGUGCUUGUCCCAAAAUUAUUUAAUUAUAAAUAUCAGUAUACUAAUCUCAUAAAAUAUAAGUAAAUACGAGUUGGAAUAUGAUCAAUAAUGUCAUAUAAUUUUUUUUAUUUAAAAAAAAAAAAGCAAAGUGCUAUGCAAUCCACUUGAUAUUACGACAAUAACUGGCACACUAAUGAACAACUAGUAAAUUCAUUUUAAAAGAAAUAACACCCCAAAUCAUUAAUAUUUAAAAAGAAUCAUUUGAAAAAAUCUUAAAAAGUGUUCGGCAAUCCACUUGUCAUUGUAACAAUCACUCACACGCCACUGAUCAACUUUAGUUUCAUUCAGUAUGCCGAGAAAUAGAAUUUAAAAAUAACAACACCUCAAAAUCAUACAUAUUUGAGAAGAAUCACAUGAAAAUUGAGCAGGUCAAAUAGUUGUGUAUAGAACAAAUUUUUUCAUGAGACAGGCUGGAUAGCAAGAAAUGGAAGCCAACUGUGAGUUUCGGUCUUUCAUAGAAUUUGGCCUAACGUUGUCACAUUCACUAUUCACGUACCCAUAUUAUCAUCAUCCCAGUGGGCACUGGCACUGCUGAGUGCUGACCCAAUAGAACAAAAUAAUAAUAAUAAUAAUAAUUCCCACUUGCUCAAUAUUUUAUUCUUUUCAUUUUAAUUGUCAUUUUCCCAAGUAAAUAAAAACCUUUUAUGCAAUUAAUUCUGCUUGUCGGGUGGAUGAGGUGGUUCAUCACGUUCAAAUGUUCAAUCAAUGACAAUUUUAUCGCAAAUUCCAUUGCUUAUAAUUGUUGUAACCAAACAAAUCCCUGGUGCCUGCACUAACACCUUAGCUUCAUUUUCAAUUAAGGCGGUUUUCAACAACUUAUUAACUUUAUUUUUAAAGAAAAAGAAAUCCCAAGUGUUUUUCUCACUAAUUGAUUGCUUAAAAAUACUUAAGAAAAUUACCCACAAAUAAAUUAACGAUAAACAUUUAGUACUAGCUUAUGAUUUUUUUGGGGGGGGGGGGGUUUCUAAUAAAAUUUGGAUUAUUUGGGUUUUAUAUUUGAGAAAAGUUAAGUUACGACGAUCGAUAAUUAUAUACCCUUAAAUAAUUAUUAUCUAAUUUGGAUAUUUUUAUAUCUUAAUGAGUUCGUGUUGAUUUGCCAAUCUUACAAGUCUUUAUUUUACAAAAUAUAGAUAUUUAGAUUGAAAAAAACAUAUAUAUAUAUGUAUGACAGUAUGAGUAGUGUAUAUGUUACAAGAUAUUUUAAAAUUUAAUACUUUAGUUGAGAAAUGCCAUCACCCUCAACUACUCGGUUACAAGAAUAUUAUUGCGUUAUUUAAUAUUCUGUUAUCGAUUGCUUUAUUAGGAAGAAAUAAUGAAAAAUGGGACAUCCAUUGCUAAAGUACAACACAACAUUGUUGACAAGUGAGUCCCCCUUGAAGUGACAACUAUUUUUUUUCUUCCUUAAUAAAGGACGAGCUAUGUGUAUGUGGUUUUGCCGUGCAACCCAAGUUUCAAUGUCUGUAUCAUUUAUAGGGGGAAACCUUAGGUGCAACCCACACACGCCACUCGGCUUUUGGCAGCCUGGUUGAGAGGGCAGCAGUUAUUUUUGUGGGGGCUAAAACAUUCAUUCUUUUUUUCUUUUGUAAUUUUUCAUCUGUGAGGAUUAUUUGUCAAUAUAGAAAUUUGAUACUGUAAUCAAUAUUAAAAAAAAAAAAAAAAGUACCCACACAUACACACAUAUAUCUAAGAAAAUAAAUGAUGAAUACUAUGUAAGAGAAAAUUUGGUAGUUACAGGGUGAACACUUUCUUAUCAAAAUAAUAAUAAUAUAAUAAAUUAGAGACCCUCCUGAAUAUUUCCAACAUGCUUCUCAAAUUGCAUGAGUGUUGGAUUCAUCAACUUAUUAUUAUUAUUAUUAUUAUUAUUAUUAUUAUUUUAUCAUCAAUUGAUGUGCAAAAGGGUGAUGUUAUCAGUUAUCACGGCCUCCUGAGAAAAAAAAAAACUUUAAAUUCAACGUGAAAUGAAAAAUGUAAGGAAUCAAAUCGAAUUGUCAAAAUGAAAUGAGAGGCGAACAAUUUAACUGUUCAGAAAAGAAGCAAAGGCGCCAAAAGCAACGGACGGAACAUAAAAGUGGGUCCCACGUUUCAAAGGGACAAAACCAGAGAAAGCCAAAGCCCACCCCGCAACGAAAGUGAUGCCAAAGCUUACAAUUUGUAUUACCUUAAAAAUUCUGUUCGGUUCAUUUAAAUUUUAUUAUAAAAUCAUUUUCAAAAUUCCAAAUUUUAUAACCAAAAAAUUCGCUGCAUGCAGCGAGAAAGCAGCAAGUGAAGAAUAAAGGGUUCCCCCCGUCAGCAAGAAUCUUUUCUUUUUUUUUUUCGCUUUUUUUUUUCCCUUUGUUUUUUAAGAAAGCAAAAAUUAAGAGAGCAUUAGUUUUGCUGUCAUGAUAAGUAUGGUGUUCAAGAGAGUGUCGGCUAGUGGGAAGUGUUUUGUCAUUCAGUCAUUGUGUUUGCAAUUUUCUUAUGAACCCGUGUCAAUAAAAUGUCUUGGCUUGUGAACAGAAACUGAAAUUGAGCUUCUUUGUGUGUCAGUGAGAUUUACAGUGUCUGUGCAUUGAAUGUAUGGUUGCUAAAUUUUUGCUUUUUUCUUCUUCUUCUUUUCUUUUUUCCCCCCGAAGUGGAUAGUCAAGAAAUAUGAAGAGAUUAUGACUUGAGAUUUUUUUUUAUUUUAUUUGAAGUGAUGAUCUGAAUUAACUGGGCUUUGGUUUCUAUGGUAGAAGUUUUGUUCUAUUUUGUGAGGGGAUUUCUUCAUGAGUUAGGCAAGGAAUUAAUUCGUUUUGAAGUUAGAAUUUAUGUGUUCAAAGUUAGUUUCAAGUGACCUUUCUAAAGUCUUUAAGGUAUAUUGUUGGAAAUUAGCUGGCUUUUUUGUUCAAUCAGUCUCUCAAGAGGUAAGCUCCUUAUGAUCCUUUAGAAGUUUUUAGUUAUGAUAAUGUCGAUUGAUAAAUUAUCUGUAAUUUGUAUAAUAUUUGCAGAGUUUCUGUUGAUCUUGGGAGCUGGCGCUUCUGUAAUUGAGAAGCUAGAGGCAUCACUCUGUUAUCCCAGCGGAUUUUUAAAAGCUCUAGAAUCCCUUUGUGAUUUUCUCUAGUGUUCCUUUUUGUAUGCAUUGAUGGCAAGAGCAUCCAGAUUCAGUCAGUGUGCACUUCUGGUGCUUGCUUACAUUUUGCUUCAGGUCAAUCAUUCGGAGCAACUGCAGUCUUCUCAGGCUCAGACCCUUUUGAGGAUUCAAGGGCUUUUAAACAAUCCAACUGUUUUAAGCAGCUGGAAUAUCACCACUGAGUUCUGCAAUACAGAACCAACCUCGUCUUUAACUGUAGUAUGCUACGAAGAGAGCAUAACCCAGCUGCAUAUAGUCGGCAACAAGAGAGCUCCUACGUUGCCUCUAAGCUUUUCCAUGGAUUCCUUUGUGACGACUCUUGUUAAGCUUCCGGACUUGAAAGUCCUCAGGCUGGUUUCUCUAGGUCUAUGGGGUCCCUUGUCUGGUAAAAUUUCACGUUUAUCGUCACUGGAAAUACUUAAUAUGAGCUCAAAUUUCCUGAAUGGUUCUGUACCUCAGGAGCUUUCAAUUUUAACUAGCCUUCAAACACUCAUACUUGAUGAAAACAUGCUUGCUGGUCGGGUUCCAGAUUGGUUGGGUUCAUUACCGAUUUUGGCUGUUUUGAGCUUGAGGAAUAAUAUGUUCAAUGGGACUUUGCCUGAUUCGUUUAGUUACUUGGAGAAUCUUAGAGUUCUUGCGCUUUCAAACAAUCACUUUUACGGAGAAGUUCCUGACUUCAGUGGUUUGACUUACCUUCAAGUACUUGACUUGGAAAAUAAUGCUUUGGGACCUCAGUUUCCUAAAGUUGGCAAAAAGUUGGUUACAAUGAUACUGAGCAAAAACAAGUUCAGGUCUGCCAUUCCUGCUGAAGUGAGUUCCUAUUAUCAGCUUCAGCGGCUAGAUCUCUCAUCUAAUAGAUUUGUUGGACCAUUCCCUCAAGCACUUUUAUCCUUACCUUCUAUUACUUAUUUGAAUAUUGCUGAUAACAAACUCACGGGGAAGCUUUUCGAUGAUCUUUCUUGCAAUCCCGAACUUGGAUUUGUGGACUUGUCAUCAAAUCUGCUGACUGGACAGUUGCCGGAUUGUCUACUUGCAGGUUCUAAAAACAGGGUUGUCCUGUAUGCUAGAAAUUGUCUAGCAGCUGGAAAUGAAAAUCAACACCCGCUUUCCUUUUGUCAGAAUGAGGCUUUGGCAGUGGGAAUUUUACCUCUGCAAAAGAAGCAGAAACAAGUUUCCAAAGCAGUUCUUGCGUUGAGUAUAAUAGGAGGAAUUAUUGGGGGAAUCUCACUUUUUGUGAUUGCUUUCUUGCUUGUUAGGAGAACUAAGUCCAAGCAAACAAUGAAGAAGACUCCAACAAGAGUAAUUCAAGAAAAUGCUUCAACUGGGUACACCUCGAAGUUCCUCUCAGAUGCAAGUAAGGCUUCAUCUCCCCUUAAUCCCCCUGCCAAGUAAUUCCCAUUCUGUGUUUCUGUUGAAAUCAAGCAUGAAUCUGGGCACACCUCAAAGCUGCUACUGGAGUCAUGCAUUGUGCAAGCUUUAAUGUAUUUAUGCAUGUGUCCACACACAAUGUAGUGUUGCAUUUUUAGGACAUAGGACCGUAAGUUUUAAUUGAAAGGUUGUCUUUGAAUACUCUAUUUUGAUCAUCCAACUUGAAGCCCUCACAUAGAAAUUAUUGACCAGUCAGUUGCAAGAAAUCGAGUGAUGAUUGUGUUCUUGUCUUAAAGCCAGUUAAUAAUAUUCUUGAACUGUUAAAUUGUUGUCCAAGUUUUAAGCUAUAUUAAAAUUGACCAUAUGAUCGUUUGUGCCCCCUGAAGGGUAUAUUUCUCAAACAAUGAAGUUGGGAGCACUUGGUCUUCCAGCUUAUCGAACCUUUUCCUUGGAAGAGCUUGAGGAAGCUACAAACAACUUCGACACCUCUGCUUUCAUGGGUGAAGGUUCUAAAGGGCAGGUAUGCUACUCUGGUACAAUAUAUAUAUGAUGCCUACUUUCAUGUCGCAAUGAUGCACAGUAUGACAGUUCUGACAAUUUGUAUUUUCCCUUUGCGUGAUCCGUUCAAAGAACGGAAAAGGAAAAGUUGGUCCAGCAUUUCUCUACACCUCACAUAUUUCAUGCUUGCAGAUGUACAGGGGUCGCCUGAAGAAUGGUACCUUCAUUGCCAUUAGGUGCCUUAAAAUGAAAAAAAGCCACAGCACUCGAAACUUCAUGCACCAUAUAGAGCUGAUAUCAAAACUCAGACAUUGUCAUUUAGUCAGUGCUCUUGGACACUGCUUUGAAUGCUACUUUGAUGAUUCAAGUGUUAGCAGAAUAUUUCUCAUCUUCGAAUACGUUCCAAACGGCACACUAAGGAGCUGGAUAUCUGGUAAUUCAUGAAAAUCUUUAAUUCGUUUCUCAGGGUGGAGGAUAUAAAGUAAUUAAAGCCACUCUUUUGUACUCCUCUGCUCUAUAAGCCGGCUUUAUGGGGUCUUCAAAAGUAGCUGUGAAUUUUUUAACCUUGAUCCUGCGUGUAGUCAUUGAAUAAAGUAAUCAAUCAGUCUAGAUAGUUCAGUUUCCUGCAAGUAAUUAAUUUACUUAAAGAGAAUAAUUCGUGGUUUUUAAAAUAUAUUGUUCAAAGUCAUCAAGAAAAGACCGAAUCGGAAUCAUGUUCCAUAGUAAUCACAAGAAAUUACUAUUUUAUGUCCUCCAUCCUGACUUGUUGUUAUAUCCAGUUAAUCAAAUUAUGCCUUUAUGUUCUGGCUGGUUUCAAAGUCUUAGAUACUUUUAUGCAGAAGGGCAUGCCUGGCAAUCACUUACUUGGACACAACGUAUAUCAGCUGCAAUAGGGGUGGCAAGGGGCAUACAAUUUUUACAUACAGGGAUUGUGCCUGGUGUAUUUUCAAAUAAUUUGAAAAUAACAGACAUUCUACUAGAUCAGAACCUUGUUGCAAAAAUUAGCAGUUAUAACCUGCCUUUAUUAGCAGAAAAUGCCGAGAAGGUAAAAAGGAGAGAAUCUUCCUUUUCAUCAUUCUGUCCAUCUUUUCCAGUGCCAUGCACUUUUCAGUUGAUUUGUAGCUUGCUUCAUCUGUGCAGGUUGGUCAUGUAACCCCUUAUUCUGGAUCCAUAAAUCCUACAAAUAGUGCAAGGUAGGUAAUUGCUUCAAUAGUCUGACAAAUGUUGUUGCAGUUCAUUAGAAAUAUUAAAAAAUAGGGAUAUUAUCAUUUUUCCACCAAAGGUAUUCUGACACAUCAUGUCAGUACCACGGUUUAGUAAAACUAUCAAUUUACCACCAAACAUUUAAACUGUUAGCAUUUUCUCACCAUUCCGUUAAAACUCAGUUAAUAUGUAAUGAAAAUUUUCUAAAAGGUCAAUUUUACCCCUGGAGCAUAAAAGACCAUGUAAUUAACUUUUUAUGAAUUUUGUAAUUAAAUCAUCAUUUAUUGUUCUUCCUUCUUAAAGGACAAAAAUUACCCUUUAUGAAUUUUGUAAAAUUGACCGUGUGGUGUUAGGUAAUUCAUAAAUUGAUUUAAUUUAUUUAAUUUUUAAAGGGCAAAUUUAUUUAUUUAAUUUUUUGUGUAAAAUUAUUAUCAUCAUAUCAAAGAUUAAAUUGCUUCUUUUGCACUUUUUUUUUUUUUUGCCCUUUCAUAAAUUGAGUUUUAGUAGUAUAAUAAAUUGUCUUUAGCUCGUCAAUUUAAUAAAUAAAUUUGCCCUUUAAAAAUUAAAUCAAUUUAUGAAGUACCUAGCACCACACGGUCAAUUUUACAAAAUUUAUAAAGGGUAAUUUUUGUCCUUUAAGAAGGAAGAACAACAAAUGAUGAUUUAAUUAUAAAAUUCAUAAAAGGUUAAUUACAUAGUCUUUUACGCUCCAGGGUAAAAUUGACAUUUUAUAAAUUUUCUGUUACAUAUUAAUUGAGUUUUAACGGAAUGGUGGGAAAAUGCUAACAGUUUAAACGUUUGAUGGUAAAUUGAUAGUUUUACCAAACCAUGGUACUGACAUGAUGUGUCAGAAUACCUUUAGUGGGAAAAUGAUAAUAUCCCUAAAAAAUAAAAGGAAAAACUAAAAAGGAAGCCUUAACGGGCAACUAAAAUUGCUAAAAAGAAUAUGUUGGGUAUAAACGUAUAAGAUCAUGCACUAAUAAAUCAUGCUGCAUGAAUAUCUACUGCUAUGAGAAAAUAAGUGAUGACAAUCUUCAAAUUUCCUCUAGUUUCUGCUCUUAGAAUUUUCUAGUCAUACAAUUCUACCAAAACAAAUUCAUUCUGAUUUAAAUUGAUGUAAGAACUGUUCUCUCUACACUCUCUUAUUUGGCAGGGGGAAACUUGAAGAUAAGAUUGACAUUUAUGACUUUGGAUUAAUUUUACUAGAAAUUAUUGUUGGGAGGCCAUUAAAAUCCAGGAAAGAAGUGGAUCUUCUGAAAAAUCAGGUAAUGGUUCUGCUUGUUUACAUUACUUUCUUUCAAAAAUCUUUCAUAUCCAUUCUUCUUUCUCAGUCAUCAUGUGAAGAGUUCAGAAUGCCGUGGAAAUUUGAUCACUCUUUGGUGCACAGCUAACACAGUAACACCCUAGGAUUUGUGUUCUAAAAUUGCAUCUACUCGGGCUCUUCUAGAUUUAUGCCAACUCUACUGCUAAAACUUGAAUGUUUCUCUUCUUUGCAUCCUUAAUCUGGUGGCUUACAACUAUGUCAUGUUAACAUAGACCGAAACCUCUUCAUGAUUACUAGCUGGUUACUCAUGACAGCAUACCUUUGACUUUCUGUAGUUACAAGCUGUCAUUACUGCUGAUGAAUCAGCACGACGGAGCAUGGUUGAUCCAGCAGUUAACAAGGCAUGUUUGGAUGAGUCACUGAAGACAAUGAUGGAAGUCUGUGUCAGGUGUCUGCUUAAGAACCCAGCAGAGAGACCUUCAGUUGAGGACGUGCUAUGGAAUUUGCAGUUUGCUGCUCAAGUUCAGGAUGCAUGGCAUUCUCAGAGCAGUGAAGGGUCUCCAAUCUCACCUCCAUGGCCAUCACACCAACACCUUUCCUUUCAUUAGUUGCAACAUUCAGGUCCUUACACUGCUAAAUAUAAACCUGUUAACAAAUCUUUUGAUAUAAAUACACAUCUUAUUUCCUACAAACUCUCCAGUAAAUGUUGAGUUUCUGGUCUUCGAUCUUCGCUUUACAUUGUGCCUACUGAUUUGAAACAAAAAAUUUGAAAUGCAGGACAUGCUGUACGUGGCUUGAUGACAAUUGUGCCUGAACAUUUUCUAUCACUCCUACCUCUUUCCUUCCAUGUAAUUUUUGCGACAAACAACUCUAAAGUUACAGUUGAAGAUGACAUUUUUCAGAGAGACCAAAAGCUAGCUGUCUCUUGUUAUGCUAAACAUCUUGUUUCCAGUUCUCCAUGGUUGGAUCCUAGCACAUAUCCUGGAUUAUAGAUCAAUGGUUGCAGGUCCCGUAUCCCAGUCAAAUCAUCUAUGCAUUUGUUUAAUAUUUUUCCACAAUGAUGAUCAAAGGGGAUAUGUUGUCUGCGUCCAUUACUCUUUCUUUACUAUUGUAAGGUGCAGCUAAAAGUAAUGAUGUACAAGCUUUUUCUAUGUUAUUGUAUACACAUAUCUAAGCCCAAUGUUUUGGCAGGAGAUGGUUGUUCACUUUCGAACGUUUUGCUUCUUUCUGGGAUCCGGGUUGAAUCUCAAAUUUUUACAAUUUACAACCUCAAAAUCGUUUAGCCGUAGGUGUGGCCUGUCAAAAUUCAAGUUUCAAGAUCAGUCUCUAUUUGAAUAACAUUCAGUAAAACCCUACAGGUUUAGUAAGAUAUCGUCAACCUAACGGAAUUCAGAGAUCCAUCUUCAGCCAUUAAUAUUCCAUCCAACUUACAAUGCAAUGAGCGUAUCAGAUAUUGCCAGAACAAGAAGUCUCCAUUCACUAAUUAGAUUAAGACAGGAUUUUAUCCCAAGUCUUAAUCGCAUCUGUUCAAUUUUUCUAUGCAAUCGCUUUCCUAGCUCAUGGCCCCCAUAAUUCGUGGUCCUCUAUGUCAGUUGUCAUCCUCUUGAUCACCUUUAUAUUUCAUUUUUCCUCUUCAAAUAAUAAUGUUUCGAGGUUUCAUGUCCAUGGAUGUCGACAUGCUCAAGCUCGAGGAAACUCCAAAAGGGAGGUAAAAGGAAAAUGAGGUUGUAAUGGAGAAAGGGAAUUUGGUGAAAAAAUAAUCACCAUAAAACACAAUGCAAAAUAAGAGUUACUAAAAGACGGCCAUUCACAACAUUCAAAAAUCCCACAAAAUAAUUCCAGUGAGUAAGAGCUCCUCUGUUUUCCUCUUUUGAGAGUUGAAGAUUGUCUUUAAGACAUCAUUGUACUCCUAUACAAAUGCUACAAAUAAAUUACAGUUAGAUGAAAAAUGUUUCAAAAGUAUAAUUUAAAAAAAAAAUUGAGAAAUUAGCAAGAGGUUCAACCAGAGCUGUCUACAAAUCAUCCAAAGAAAUCCUCUAACUCUGAUAACAAUGCACCUGAAAUCACAUUUAUGAAGGACACCACUAUUGGACAAAUCCAGGGAACAUCGUCACUUCAGAACCAGAGUGCUUUUAUUAGGCUUUUAGUCUGCUGUCCAGCUCUGCUCCACUAUUUCCCGCACUCUUCGGUUGUACUCUCUCUUAUUCUCACUGAACAGCCGAGCUGCUUCAGAGUUUGCAGGAGAGUUUGGAUUUGGAUCACAAAGCAGAGACUGAUAAAGACAUAAGUAGCAUCGGGUUAGCAUCAUCUUGUACAUCCACUGACAACCCCCCAAGCUCAUUUAUUUUAGGAUCAACCAUAACUCACAUGAAAUCUCAUGCAAAAACCAAAUUGUCAAGUGCAAACAUAGCAUAUUUGAAAGCUAUAUUAUUAACCAAUUAUUUUAAAGAACACAUUAUAACCAAACUAUAAAUGUUUGAAAUAUUGAUGAAGAAGCUGAUGCAAGAUUCCAUCAUGUUGUGAGUGAGUGAGUGAGUCAGGGGGGGGGAGGGGAAGAAAAGUCAGUCACAACCUGGUAACAAGGAUAAUUUCAGUUUGAAUAAGCAUGUAUUCUGAUUACCAGCUACCAUCAACAAAGAUCAAAAAGAUAAAAGAAAAUGCCAAAAUCAUAACAAAUACUCCACAAUGCCAUCAUUGUUAUGAGAAAGACAAAUUUGAAAACUUUUCAUUUGCAUUUUAAGUCAAAAGACAAAUUUGAAAACUUUCCAUUGCAUUUUAAGUCAAGUUAAAUAUGGUAAGUACAAUAUCAUGUCUUCUCCCACCAAAAACAAAAAAAAAAAAAAGACAAUAUCAUGUCUUCUCCCACCAAAAACAUAUGGUAAGUACAAUAUCAUGUCUUCUCCCACCAAAAACAAAAAAAAAAAAAAGAUUCCAGAUUAAGAGUGCCAACAGUAAUACUACCUGGGAUACUUGUCAUUGUACGAUUUUGACCCCAUGCACAUGAGUUUAGGAAUGAGCAUGAAAUUUUACAGGUUCGUCUAUGUACAGUAAAAAGUGCUCUAUAUCACAGUUUUAUGUUAGCUUUCGCGUGGAUUAAAAAUUAGAUAACUAGAAUUCCAGCCUUGUUUUGUCUAGUCCAUAGAAACACUUGAAAACAGCCGCAUGUUUGAUACUAAAUCUCAAAAAUCAGUUUGUUUACAGCAUUUUUCAGAUGAGACAACUGACUAUAGAUUCCUCAAAUUUCUUUAAUGGAAAAUACUUAAAAUCAUUCAUAUCAAUGCAUCAAACAGUAAUAUUUAUGUGUCGUAUUUCAGACCAUAAACUUAAACAUCAAAUAAUAAAGUGACCAGGUCAUAAAAUCACAGAUAAAAGAGAAGCAAGAUAUGUUGGGAAGAAAACAAAAGAGAAACACCGUGCAAUUAGUCUUUCUUAUGCACAUAAAAGAUACAAAGGAACACAGUAGGCAAACCAAAUAAUAUGAAGUCAUCAUUUGAUGAAACAGGGACUUUGGUCUAUGCAAACCAGCAGAUUUUCUAUUUCGAAGAUUGUCUUAAAACAUGGAAGAUUCACAUUUAUGUUCAGUUAAUAUAUGAAAACAUAUAUAAUGAUGCAAAAAAAAUGCCUUCACAGUGCAGGCUUGUUGACCUCAUAAGCACUUGGAAUUGCGUCAGGGUAAGACAAUCUGAAAAGCUUUUAGCCACUAAUAUCAUGGGUGUGAUUCAGUUGCCAAUUCAAACUAUCUCCACAUUUCAAUUAAGUAGAAGGACUUAUAAAAAGAAGAAAGGGGGAAACAGGAAACAUAACAAAAAUACGGAAAAGGGGGAAACAGGAAACAUUUAACAGGGGAAACCUUAAAAAAUGUGUUAGUCAUAUUGUCUAUUCUCUUUUCUUUUUCCCCCUUCAAAGCAAAAAAGCAAUUUUCUUUCAAUAACCAACAUUAAUUAUAAGAAAUUACGCAGGCAGAAAACAUCCAAUAUCAAUCAAUGAUUAACAAGAAAUAGAAUCCUUUUCCCACAAUCAAGAAAAAUGAAAGAAAAGUCAAACAAAUUUGCACCUGAAUAGAGGUCAGUAUAGCUGCAACAUCAUAUAUAGGACUCCACUGAUUUUGUAAAAUAUCCAAACAAAUACUUCCAUCUGCAUAGACUGAACAAACCAUAGGCACAAGUCAGAAAUCAGAGUCAAUCAUUACGAAGACCAUGUGCAAUAUAAUAACAAGCAACAUAUCAUUUAUCACCAAAAUUCAAAGAGAACAAUAACAAGAAAAAUAUAAUUAAUAAAUAAAUAGAAAAAUAAUUUACAAAUAACAUACUAUUUGGAUGAAACAUCCGUGAGACGAAACGAACUGUUGGGGGUUUAUUUGGAUAAUCCUCUGUGAAUUGUAGAGUCAACUUGAACGUACCUGAAGAAAUUCAAGAAAAUGCUUAGAUGACAAAUGCAAAAACCUAAAUAUUUCAACUGUAAAGACAAAGGAUAAGGCAUAAGCAAUCAUUUUUGUUAAGUAGGAGUAUUUAGGCCUCAAAUGCGACUGAAAGCAAGGAUAGCACGAUAUAGAAACAGAGGUAUAAUUAUUUACUAAAGCAGAUUGUCCACCAUCAUGCAGCAAUCGAUCUAAAGCCACUUCGGCAAUUAAAAUUCCAUCAAAAACACCAUUUACAUAAUUGGAACGUGAAAGCAUCGUUUACAAGAUAGCUCAUUCUGCUCAUAUUGACAGUCCUUCUGAUCAAAGAUGAUGACAAAAAAAAAAGAAAAAAAAAAGAAAAAAAAAAGAGGUGAUCGAAUUUUCUCAACAUCAAACCGGAAAAAAAAAAAAAAAAAACCACUAACACAAACAUGGACAAGGUAAUUAAAUUGUAACAAUAUAUACAAGUUAUGACCCACAACAGCAAAUACAACACAAGCCAAGAACCAUAGGAAUUCAACCAUGUUCUAUACACAGAAUCAGCUUAGUUACAGGCAAAAUAAAAAAGUCAGCUCAUCAAAGCUUUCGCUUAAUUAUACAUUAAAACUAAUGAACGAAACCUAACAAGCAAAAGCUGAGUGAAAAAUGAAAUCAAAAGCAUAAAAUUAUUUCUAUAAAGUAAAAAGACAAUAAAAUUCCCACCUCCGUCCCAGGGAGUAUCAUCGGGCCUGCAAAACACCACGAAAAAGGAAAAAAAAAUCAAAACAAAAACCAAAAGAAGUACAAAAAAGAAGAAAAGGAAGAAAAGAAAGUGUACCCAAAAAUAACGGCGUUCCACAACAUGAUGUUGUUGUCUUGAGGGGCACCGCUGAUGCCGGCGGGUGGAUCUUGCUGGAGGCGCUUGAAGUCCCGCAUCAGCCGCUUCUUCGCCGGUGUUGACAUGGCGACGUCGUGUUCUACAGAGAGAGAACGAGAGAGGAAAGUUCUAGAGAAAAGAGGGAUCUGAGCAAAAAUCUAAUCUAAAGAAGACUUUGUUGCUGCAUACGAGUUGCCAUGACAUAGCAAUAGGCCCAGGCAAUAGGCAUAACCUGUGCAACACCGCCAGCUAGUUUUGGUUUGUGAAUUGUGAUUGUGAUUUGUGAGUCCCACGCACACACUCUAGUCACAGCCGCCUUCUACUUUUUAUUUAUUACGCGUCGUGGGAUCUGAGCUGUUCAAACUUCAAAUUGUUUUAUGUCAUUUACCGCAAGGGCCACGUAAUUUUGUUAUGUAUUUCGAAAGAAAUUAACCGCCGCCACCACCACCAAAUUACUUUAUUUUUUAAGAAUCAUCCAUUUUACCAGUAAUUGUUUGUAAUGCUGAAAUAUCUUGCAUGGGAGUGGAGAGGAUAAAGUAUCUGAAACUCUUCAAUUUAAUUUAAUCCGAAUUGGGGUUCGCAUCCAGUUCGGAAACUUUUCUCACCCUUCACUGGCCCCAACGUUCAGAUUCUUAUGCUACUAAAUUUUAAUUCUAUAAUAUUAUCCCUCUCCUCUCGACGACCCAUAAAUAAAUACACACCUUAUUUUGAAAAUUUCUUUCCCAUAUUAACCCUCGAAUAAAUGCAGAAUUUUCUGGUCUUUCAUUUUGGCUUGACAUCAUCUAUAAUGGUCUGAUGGGGGCAGUUACAGUACAUGCAUGUAUCUCAUACAUGCAUGCAUAAAAAAUUAUCGUUAGAUUAAAUGGAGUAGAUCCAAUGGUUGAGAUUCAUCUUAGUGUUAAAUAAUAAAAAAAUUUACAAGAAAUGAAAACAUGUAAAACUGGCAACUUGAAACUUUGAACUAAUAAAUAUGAAACAACUACCAUUAAUAUUGAUAUUAUAACCAUUAAACUUGAAACCAAAAUAACUUGAAACUUUAGACAACGAAUAUGAAACUUGUGAUCAUAAACUUGCAAUCUCAAGAAUCAUACAAAUCAUGUACCAAUAAUAUAUGAAACAACUACGAUUAAUCUUGAUAUUAUGACCAUUAAACUUAAAAAUAAAGUAACUUGAAACAUAGGGUAAUGAACAUAAAACUUGAGAUCCUAAAAAUCAUACACAUCAUGAACCAAUAAAUAUAAAACAACUACCAUUAAUAUUGAUAUUAGGAUCAUUAAACUUGAAACUAAAGUAACUUGAAGCUGAGAGCAAUGAACAUGAAAUUUGGGAUCAUUAACUUACAACCCUGAAAAUCAUGCAAUUAAUAGACCAAUAAACAUGAAACACCUACCGUUAACUUGAUAUUGUGACCAUUAAACUUGAAACCACAAAGAAUUUGAAACUGAGGGCAAUACACAUGAAACUCAAGAUCAUAAACUUGCAACCCUGAAAAUCAUGUAAUUAAUGAGUCAAUAAACAUGAAACACUAUUAUUAACUUGAUAUUAGAACCAUUAAAUUUGAAACUAAAAAAACUUGAAACUGAGGGUAAUGAACAUUAAAUUAGGGAUCAUUAACUUGCAACACUGACAAUUAUACAAUUAAAUAGACCAAUAAAUAUGAAACAUCUAUUGUUAACUUGUUAUGGGAACCAUUAAACUUGAAAUCGAGGGUAAUAAAUAUAAAAUUUGAGAUCAUUAACAACCCUAAGAAUCAUAUAAUUAAUGAAUUAAUAAAUACAAAACACCUACCGUUAACAUGAUACCGAUAUUAUUAAACUUAAAACUAUUUUUUUAUUGUUAUCUGACCUAUAUUAGUAAAAUAAGUAUUAUUUUAUUUCAUAAUUUUUUAAUCGUUUAAGGAGCUCCAAGUUCUUUUUCUUUUUUUCCAACUGUUUGGCUGCCAAGUGGCAAUGUUUUUUAAUUUUUUUAUUCCUUGCAUGUAUGUAUGCAUGUAUUAAUUUAUUAUAGCACAGGCCUGAUUGCAAGCAAAAACACUUUAGGGUCCUACGCUCAUCCUGUUCGCUCAUAGCCUAGCAACAACCGAUUCGCGCCUCAAAACAUUUUCUAUCACUCUUCUCUUGCCCCGCCUACGUAAAUUUGGUGACAAUCAUCACCACAAGGUUAACAGUUGAAGAGGAGAGACAAAAAGCUAGCUGCCUAACUGCCAAUGCCUGUUAAGUUACGUCCUGCAUCCCAUCAAGUAUGGUCCUGUAGCCACCUCCUAACUUAAUUGCCUCCCUUCAUCCCUAUUUCAGAGAAUAUAAUUACAAGGUUUCACCUCCAGCAAUGCGGACAUUGUCAAGCUCAAGCAUAUUGAAAAACAUAGAUAAAAAAGAGGGAGGUUAUAAUACAUUCCAACAGUAAUGGAGAAAAAAGGGCUUCAACAGAAUAAGCAAUCACCAUAAAAAUACAAUGCAAGAUGGCCGUUCACAACAUCCAAAAAUCCGACUAAAUAAUUCCAAUGAAAAAGAGCUCCUCUGAGGUUGUCUUAAGACAUACAUCACUGAUUCACUGCAGCAAUAAUACCCCUAUACAAAUGCUACAGAUAAAUUACAGUUACAUGAAAGAUGUUGAAAAGAAGAAGAUGGAAAUGUUGAGAAAUUAACAAGAGGUUCAACCAGAGCUAUCUGGGAGGAAGAAUCUGAAGAGAUUCUCUAAUAACAAUGCACCUGAAAUCAGAUUGAUUACGGAGUACACGACUAUUGAACAAACCAGCCACACCAGCCCCAGUUUUCAUCUUUUAUUUCUACAGCAUAACCGGCCGGUGCUUUCAUUGGACUUUUAGUCGGCUGUCCAGCUUUGCUCCACUAUUUCACGCACUCUUCGGUUGUACUCUCGUUUAUUCUCACUAAACAGCCGAGCUGCUUCAGAAUUUGCAGGGGAGUUUGGAUUUGGAUCACAAAGCAGCGACUGGUAAAGACAUAUAAGUAGUGUCAUGUUAGAAUCAUAAAUACAACCACUGCGAAUCUCACAAGCUCAUUUGCUUCAAGAUCAACCAUCAUUUGUACUAAAUAUCAUUUGAAAACCAAGUUGGCAAGUGCAUACAUAACAUAUUUGAAAGCAAUUGACUAACCAAUUACACCAAAAAAAAUAAAGUUUUGAAAUAAUGGGGAAGAUAAUACAGGGGGCCAACAUAUGGUGACAGAAUCAAUGAAACCUGGUACUAAGGAACAUUUCAAUUUAAUGAAAACAUGUGUACUAACUAACAUCGACAUAGCAAAACAGGAUAAAAUAUCCUGAAAACCAAACAAUGCAAUCCUUGUCAUCACAAGGCAAAUAUGGAAAUGUUCCAAUGCAUUUUAGUAAGUAUUAGAUAUGGUACGUACAACAACACUUUUUUGAAAAUUGGAUAUUGAUGAUCGUCUCAAACAUGGAAGAUUCACUUUUUAACUUUGUUUAAUAUAACAAAAAAAUAUACAUAAUGAUGCAAAAAGGCCUUCACGGUACAGAAAUGUAAGCCGACAGAUGCUUUCGGACGUCAUGAGCACUAAGAUCUUAUUAGGUUCAGAUACUCUUAGAUAUAUUUAGCCAAUAAUAUCAUAUGUUUGACUUAGUUGAGUAUACCAUUCAAACUAUCUCCUCAUUUCCUUAAAAUGGGAGGAAUUACAUAUACACGAAACAAAAGGACAAAACAAGUUACCAGUCAUAUCAUUAGUAUCUUCUUUCUUUGAUGCAAAAGCACAAUUUUCUUGCAAGUUCUCGAUAAUCAGGCAUUAAUUAUAAGAAAUUAAGCACAGUGAAAACAUCCAAUUUCAAUCAAUGAUAAACAAGAAACAGAAUCUCUUUCCAAUAGACAGGAAUGAACAAGAAAAGUCAAAACGAAGUUUCACCUGGAUGGAGGUCAGUAUAGCUGCAACAUCAUAUAUAGGACUCCACUGAUUUUGUAAUAUAUCCAGGCAGAUACUUCCAUCCGCAUAGACUGAUCAAACCAUAGGUAAAGAGUCAGAAAUCAAAAUCAAUCGUUAUCAAGACCAUGAGCCAUAGAAUCCCUAUAGCACAAUAAUCAGCAAAAUUCAAAGAAAGAAUAAUAGCAAGAAACUUAUCAUCAAUAAAACAUUAGCAACAAAAUUUAAAAAUAAGAUAAUGACGUACUAUUUGGAUGAAACAUCCGUGAAACGAACCGAACUGUUGGAGGUUUAUUCGGAUAAUCCUCUGUAAACUGAAGAGUCAACUUGAACGUACCUAGAAAAGUUCAAGAAAUAGCUAAAACAACACUUGCAAAAACCUAUAACUUUCAAGAAAAAGAGACGCUAUAACGAAAUAUGAUAAGUCAUAGGCAAUCAUGUUACUUAAUGGUGGUUCAGGUUUAGUGGGAGUCUUUAUUUUAAGCCUACAAUGUAAAUCAAAGCAAGUAUACCAUAACAUACAACCUAACAUAUAAUUAAUUACAGAAGCAGAUUGUCCACGAUUAGGUAACAAAAAUUCAACAAAAAUAAGCUACAAUCAAAUAUUAGGCAAAACCAAUAAUUCAGCUUAACAAAAGUUUUACAUUUUUACAGCUGAAUGAAAGUAAAAUUAAAAGCAUAAAUAUUUUGUAAAAAUCAAAGAUAAUCAAAUACCCACCUCCGUCCCAGGGAGUAUCAUCAGGCCUACGAAACAUCACCAAAUGAAAAACAAACAAGAAAAUCAAAACAUAAACCAGAAAAGUUACAAGACAAAAACAAAGGUUAAUUAAAACAAAUACCCAAAAAUAACGGCGUUCCAUAACAUGAUGUUGUUGUCUUGAGGGGCCCCGCUGAUUCCGGCGGGUGGAUCUUGCUGGAGGCGCUUGAAGUCCCGCAUCAGCCGCUUCUUCGCCGGUGUUGACAUAGUGGCGUUUUAGAGAGCAAAACUGAGAAGCGGCUUUUGCAGAGGGGGGGAGGGGGGAGAAUGAGAGAAGAAGCUUCUAGAGAAAGAAGAGAUCUGGGCAAAACCUUGUGAGGAUGCUGCAUGCGAGUUAACAUGACAAUAAUGGGCCGGGGCCGGGGUUGGCUGAGCAGUGAGCACCAAUUUUUCUUUUUUUAAUUUUAAUGUUUAACGAUAAAGUUACAAAUUUUUCCACGCAUUUUUAUUUUAUUUUAUAUUGAUAUUAAUUCAAUUCGUUUUAGUCAGUGGGCUGAGGAAAAAUAUACAUAUGGUCCCCACGCCACACACAAGUAGGACACCUAUGUAUUUAUCGAAAUUGACCUUGGCCAAAACUCCUUUCCAAAAUCGUCUUGCAUCCUUCACAUGUUCUCUCAUUGGAAAGCAUGUAGUGCAGCAAUAUGUCAAACACCAGUACACCACCCGCAAAAUUCUACAGAGAGUAUGAGUAUAUUGAGGAAUUUGAUAUUAUGGAUGCAUUUUUGUCCAUAUUUGCAAAUUCCUCAUUUUCUCAAAUGCUUAGCUCAGCACUCCUGUCAUUUAAUGAAAACCAUCAGGGACGAUAAUGAUAUUCGCAAACCCGUAAAUCCAUUCACACCAGUCCGUUGCGGGUUGUGAGCGGGUUUGAUAUUAGGAAUUGAAAUUCGCACUAUGUUGUAGGUGGAUUUAGUAUUAGGUACAUAUCCGAUGGAUACUCACAUGAAUAUCUGCCAAAUCUAUAAUUUUUUUAAUACAAUUUUAAUUAAAAAAAUAAUUAAAUCUAAAAGUAUAUAAAUAAAAUAAAUAUAGAGUGCAAACAUGUCAUGUGUGGUGUGUGCAAGUUGCAACUCAUAACCUAACCUAAAGGAAACCUAACUUAAAGGAAACCCAAACUAUUUCUUUUUCAUCUGUGAGCAGCAGUCGCAAAAUCUAACCUUCUAAACUAUUUCUCUUUCACCCAUGGGCAGUAGCCGCACACCCAUUUUCCUUUCACCCGUGAGCCGCAGCCGCACACCCAUGAAAUUUUCAUGGCAUUUGUGGUUAUUUUUUAUGGAUUUAUAUAUUUCAUACUUAAAAUCGAGAAUUUGUAUAGAAUUGAUGUUGAAAUUUUAAUUUUAUAUUUACAUUGAUUAAAUUUAAAAUUCAGUAUAUUAUGUGGAAUUUUAGCUUAAUAAUAUAAAUUUACAUAUUGAUUUUUAUUAAUAUAACCUUUCGACAGUCAAAUCAGUCACCAGACUUUUGGAAAUAUAAAUUUAGAAGGAGAAAGAUUAGAGAGAGAAAGUUAGACUUUUUACUUUUUGAGUCUAUUUUUUUUCUUACAUUUUAGUGAGAAUGAAAGACAUAUUUGUCGACCAAACGGAUUUGACUUAAGUCUUAGCUAUUUUGAUGACAAAUGUCAUUGCUCUUGUGACAUUUGACAACACUUAUUUUUUAGUACGCAUGUUGAUUGACAUAUGGAUAUACAAACUUAUCUAUAGAUUAAAGGAAAAAAACGUUUUAUCUUUAGGUUAUUUUUACUAAGACCUUGAGAUUAUAGGAGCCUUUAAAUUUAAGAGGUUUGUCCUACGAUAAGAGCCUAGAACCUCAACAUCUUUUGGGCUUUGAAGUCUUAUUACUUAGGAGAAUCAUUCUAGGUGAUUUGUCCACCACUUCGUGGGCUUAAUUGAGAGAAAAUUUAUUAAAUGGGCCUUAUUGAGAUUAAAUUUCUUUGGGCUUUAUUAAAUCUAUUUUAUUUUUGAUCCAACACCAACUUGGAUUUAAGAUUCAACACUGCCUCCUUUAGUUGGAAAGAGUUCAACUUCCCUUCUUAGUUUGUAUAAAAUGUAAAUUUCUUCAUAAUUUAUUAUAUCUAAAUUCUUCACCUUUUGGGGUCAAUUUAGCUACGCUAAUCAGAGUUGACCCCGAUAAAUUUGUAAUCUUUUUUGUUUCAUUGUAUGUUGUUGUGUGUUUAGUCCUCUAUCUAAUACAUCCGUAUCACAAUUGCUUGUACGCUAAUUUCCUACUGUGUAAUUUUUUUAUGUUAUUUCGUUAAUUUCCUCCAACAUGACUCGGGGACAGGCUGCUGCGAGUGGGACUGUGAGGUCUUGCAAUCCAAUUAAUUGGGCAUAGUGAUGGACCAGGACUGUAUAUAAAAGAACUGCUUAAAGAUCGUACAAUCUAGCAUCGGCAAGGCCAGUGCUUUCUAUGUAUUUGAUUACUAUGACUCCAUAAAAAGUAUAUAACAUGUACUGUAAAAUCACUUAAACUGUUAAUUAUUAAGAGAAAACUAAAGAAAAAUCAAGAAACCCUGAACAUAAAACGGAAGUUAAUUUGUUCUCCUGUGAUUGUGAAGUAUCUGAUGAUGAUCAUUAGUAAACAUGAUUGGAAUCUGACUCUCUUCUUCAUCAUCUUCGUCGUCGUGGGCAGGCCUUGAAAGUUCAUGAAGAGGCUCCAUGCUGUGGCAAGAUAGCACUGUCUCAGCUGCAAAGUCGAAGUUGGAAGUAAGGUUGCUCAUGUUGAUGAAGUUUGUGGAGGCCGAGGAGCUGUUUGAGUAAGCAGGCUGCUGUUGCUGUUGAUGCAGUAAUGCAACAUGUUGCGGCUGUUGCGGUUGCUGUGAUGUUUGGAGAGCGUUUGCCAUCGCAAACCUGCUGUUUAAAAGUUGAUUUUGCACCAUUGUUAGCUCUGCUUGCAGGGAGGCCACCUGCAAUUUAAUAUUUAUAAUAUCAAUUGCUUUUCUUAUUGCAGUUUUUGGUUCAAUGGGGGCUAGAAGAAUAAAUUACAGACUUUAAAGGGCUAAAAUAAAAUAAAAGAAAAUCUGUAAUGCUAAAAUGUAAAAUGUUCAAAGUAAUUGAUCAAAUUUCAAUUAACGCCCUUAUUUUUACCAGAAUUUUGUCACCUUUUAUGUGACAUUUCUCAUGAAGCGGUACGCGCAAGAAUUGGUAGUUAAUCUACUCUUAUAUAAAUAAAAUAAUAGUAAUAAUUAAUUAAUUUUUGUAACUGAAACGAGCAUUUGGCUUAGAAACAAAAUUAAUUACUAUCGGCAAAUUAAAACCUGUUGCUGCAGAGCAAGAAUGGUGGAAACACAACCGUAAACCGGGUCGGAGAGGCGGGCCUGGGCCUCGUAAGAUAUAGUAACCACAGCAUCUUGCCGCCGGUUCACCGGAAUGUGUAGCAAGAGCUUGGAUACAUUGCUAGCACCAAAGACUUUGUGCACGGCAGCGAACCGGGCGGCUCCCUGGUCUGAGCCAAAGUGGGGUGCAAAGAUGCACCCACUAACGCACUUUCUCCUCAAGAACUUGCAUGCCCCACAUGGAGCUGCUGGUGCAGGUGCUGACAUGGGCUCGGCCUCUGGCGAGGGCGCGGUGGUGGCACGUUUUCCAGCGCCCCUUCGACGGGGUUCGGAUAUGGGGUCGGGCUGUUGCUCAGCCAUUUUCUGGGGUGGGUUAGGCUCAGAGUUUGUUCAAAACGGAAAGGUGGUGGAGUUGUUACUUAUAUGUGAGAAAUUAUGACGCUGGGCACGUUAGUUUCGUGAUGGGUAGCAUGGUGAAUGUGGUAAGCUUCUUUAUCUUUUUCGUUUUUGUUUUAAAAAAAAAGAAUAUGUAUGACCAUUGCAACCCAUUUUUGUAAAUUCCAUAUAAAUGUGGAUAUACACACACACACGAAUAAUGUAAUGACCAAUAUUGCUAAUGUUAUAAUCUAUAACAUCAUCGUGUGAUGUUAAGUUGAUAAAUACUUUGUGUGAUGGUGUCAUGUAUGUUGAUAAUGCUCUAUAAGGUGAGCAAUCGUAUCAUGCCAGUGUAAUUAAAUUGAGGUAUAGGCUAAUACUAUCAUACCAUCGAUAUUUAACAGUAAUUUUGUAUGGUAUAAACUACAUAAAUGGCUAUUUAUGAAUAAAUCAAAGAACUUAUAUAUCUUCGUAUUGACGAGAUUAAAUCUUUGUGCUAUUGUCCAUGAUAUAUAUUAAUUAAUUAUAGUUUGUUUUUAUAUAUAUUUUUUUUCCUCUACAAAACGUGUAUCUAGCUAAUUAUCUUUAAAAUGUAAUUAUGAUAUCAGAAACAAGAGAGGGACAUUAUGGUUGGUGAGGGAGGGAGAGAUGGAAAUGGGAAGAGCCUGAGAGUGUGAUGGGCACGGGCAAAGGAGGUGUCGGUGGGUGGGUUAUGGGUUUAAUUAAUUAAUUAAUUACAGGUUUAAGAUGAGAAAAUUUGAAAAAUAAAAUAAUGAUGUUAAUAUUUAAGGUUAUUAGUUUGGAACAUGAAUCAUGAUACAUGAAGAAGGCUGGGUUGUCUUGAUGAGAAGGCACAAUAUUUGUGCUGCCCGUGGCGUGUGGGAUGCUUCACCUCCAACUCCAAGCUUGCUAAUGCUAACAGUAACAGAAGUUCCAGACACUUCCAGUAAUGCAUUUUGCACUCACCCUUUUUAACUUUCACUCCUCCUCGACAUCCCUACGCAACUUCACUACACAUCAUUUUUAAUUUGCAACAUUGCAUUCCAAAAUUGGGUCUCAAAGAUUAAGAAAAAUAUAUACUGGUCCAAGAAGACACAAGAUAAUUCUUCUCGUUAAACAUAUAGAGUAGGGUGAACUUGGGGUAAAUCUUGCAAUAGAUAGAUUCAAGUAUUCUCUGAAGGCAAGAUUCCAAAACAAGAAGUGCUGCCACAGUAACAUGGUAGGCCCUUUGGCCUGGCCCUAAUUUCCCCGUAGCUAAAAGCAAGCUCUUCACCUUCUUUUAUGUCUUUUGAAGCCAAGAAGCAGAGGCGAGGAAGUAUAGAUCCUGAGCUUCUCACCAGUGUUGUUGACAGGUCACCACCAUCGCAAGAAUGAUUAAUAAAUCGGGCAAUGUUUCCAAUUAUUGUGGCAUCAAUGUUCAUCCUCAAACAAGCCUUUCCAGAUGGAAGGUGCUCCCUUAUGACCAAAAGAGCAGAGGAAUUUCCGGGACUCGAUGCAAGUCCAUCAUAGAUUUGUUGCCGCCGCCUUGCUUCUUUUGUGGUCAAAAGUUCACCUAUUCAAGCAAACAUCAACUAAGACAAUUUCUAACAAAUGUCCACAGAAACAAACAAUAAUUAUUUCUUAAAUAUCCAAGUAAAUGAAAAUGUUUUACACACUAGACCAAUUCAAAGCAAUCAGUUAUUACCAUAAUGUUUCAUAAACCCCGUGAUGUGGGAAGAAUGGAAAGAAAGAUCAAAAACAUCACCCAAAGUGCCCAACAAUGGCUAGUUGAAUGGAGAAAAUACAAUAGAGAGUCAAAGCUAUAACUCAGGAAAAGUAAGCAGCUAUAUAAUGGUAGUCAUAAGAACUGGAAGAUAUGGCUAACGGCAAGCUAAACAGCCCUAUGGUAGAUGCAAAACAUAGUGGUUAUAGACUCUAUUCUACCACGUAGCAGAUGUAAAAUAUAAGCUGUAUUAGACGAACAAAAUUUGCCUACCAAUUAGGCAAAAUUAAUCCAAAUAAUAAGGGAUAAAAACUAUAAGAUUUGAAACAUGGGAUUCGAUAAUACUGCCAUUGAACUAGAAUUGUACGAACUGAAGGUGGUCUUCUUCUUGGUCAAAAUAAAUAAACAAAUGUAAUUCCUUCAUCCGCACAAUCCCAUUCUAAAACUAUGAACUUAUGAUUCCAUACUACCGUAACACAGCAGAAAUAUAAUUCCAACAACGGCACGCGCUAAAUCUAAUAAUAAGUCUUACUGUAUCAAAUAAUCAUCAAGCAGAUGCAACUAGGCAUAUGUAUAAUUAAAAUCACAAGCAUCAAAAACUCUAAACAAAUAUUACAAAAAUGCCAACAUACAUUUCCAUUUUGCCGAUACCUGCGUACUCACAGAUGAAUUGCCCUUGCUUUAUGAAUUGAUCGGCAUAUAAACCCCACCCUUUAUUCACACUCCUCACAAUCUUCAAUCUCACCGAUAUUCCUCUCUGAGUCAACCGAUUCCCGCACUCAGACCCGCACCCGCAACUCGGUCCGCACUCACUCACUAUGCCCACAUCCUCCAGACCCGAAAAACACGGACACCCAAAUACCCCAUCACCAAGUCCCACCUCAAAACACUCUUCACAGUCGCACCCAGAUUCACUUUCGUCUGACUCGCAGACAAGACUCACUGAGUCAAACCCGAGUGGACUCAGAGAAGAGUUUGAUUCAGCAUCAGCAGCAGCAUUGGUGGAGGCCCAAAAUUGGCGUGGUGGGAAUUGGGCAGGACAAGGAGGAGGGAUUAUCUGUGAUGGGGUGUAAAUGAAGUAGGCGUAGGGGGUUUUGUCGACGGCAUUGUGAAAUGGGAUCGGGAAAUUCUCGACGGACCUGGAGGCAUCGAGAGAGCGGGAGAGAGUGAUGGAUUUGGAGAUUUGGGAAAAGGUUCUGCAUGUAAGAGAUACGUUGGCGAGCUCCCCUGGGGUUAGCCAUGGGAGUAUUAAGCGAGCCCACUGAAGGAAUUGAUUCUGCUUUUGUUCUUCAUCUACCUCGAUGGUUCGUUUGUGACAGUUUAUCAGCUCCGUCGGUGCAUUGCUGAAUGCCAUCGAGUUUUCAAUGCUGUGUCGUCUGGAACUCGCAUAGUCGCAUCUCGUUUGUUGUGGUUUUUAAGUUUUAGCAUGAACAAAAUGUACACACGGAAAAUACGAUGUCGUUUCGACCACUUGCUCUAAAAGUCUUAAUUGUUAUCAUUAUUAAGCAGAAGCGAAACAAUUACAUGGGGGUUUCGUAGGGGUGUUCAAAAUCUAAUUCGAUCCGCUCAAUUCAUCCAAUUCGCUGAAUUUGAUCCGUAUAAAUUCGAUUCGUGGAUUGAAUAUGGAUUGAAAAUUUAAAAAUUCGUAGUCAAUGGAUUGGAUAUAGAUUUACUUCUGUAAAUCUGCAGAAAUCGGUGAAUCCAUAAAAAAAAAAAAAUUUAGCCAAGGCGGAUGUACGGUACAGCAGACUUUGGAUUAAUUUCUGAAAUUACAUUUGCAACAAAAUUAUUAUAUUACUCUUUACAUUUCAUGUGGCAAAAAAAGUUCAAAGACACCAAAAAAAAACACCUUACUACGUAUAUAUACACAUCUCAACACACACUAGCAACAUUCAAUACUGGUUGGAUACACUCUCGACACGGAUUUGAAGGACAUCAGCCGCGCGAUUCCGGCGAGAGCAAGCCAUCUUCUUUCCCAAGUCCAUCAAGCCACUUCACAUUCAUUGGUUCCAGCUGAACAAUUUCACUAUCACAACCUUCAAGAUCGCCACCCGUACGGCUUCUCCUGGUUCCUAUUGUAGAUGGUUCCGUAAUCACCACUUUUCGACAGGCGCAACAGCCCUGGUGAAGGAUCAGACUGUGUUUGGUUUCCAAAACUUCGUCAUUUCAAUUAAUUGUGGCUUUAUUUGAACAAUUAAUUUCGGUGUUAUAUUAACGUAUUAUUGUAACUUUAUUUGAACAAUUAAGCUUGGUGUGUUAUAUUUUGAAACUUUGAACGUAUUAUUGUAGCUUUAUUUGAAUAAUUAGUCUCGAUGUGUUAUAUUUUGAAACUUUAAAUGUAUUAUUUUAGCUUUAUUUAAACAAUUAAUUUAUUUAAAUUUUAUUCAAUUUUAAAUUUAAUUGGUAGCAAAAUUAUUUUAAUAUUAGAUUUUUUUAUUUCAUCAGUUGGAGAGAACUAAAAAUUUUUAAUUCGAAAACUAAUGGGCAAAAUGGUGGAUUGCAUAUGGAUUGAGUCAAAUCCGCAUCCGAUCCACAGACGUAUGGAUUGGAUAUGGAUUAAAUCAAAUCCGCAUCCGAUCCGCAGAUGUAUGGAUUGGAUUUAAAUUGAAUUUUAUCAAUCCGUGGAUUGGAUUGGAUUGAAAAAUUAUAAUCCGCAAAAUCAUGGAUCAGAUAUGGAUUGAUGUCCAAUCUAUAAAAUCCGAUCCGUGAACACCCCUAGGGUUUCGUGACAUAAAAUGUGGCAAAAGAGAGAUAUGUGAGACUGCUUUUAUAAUUAAUUUUUUGGUGACUUUUACAACCAAAGCAUCCCUGGAAGGCUGGAAGUGAAAAAAAUAGUGAGUUAAUUACAAGAUUGUAUACAGGUUGAAAAUGACUAUUUCUCUAAUGGCUCAAUUUUAUCAUUUUGGUUUGAAGGCAAAAAUUGGCUAUACUCUCGUGUAUUAACACUUCAAAAUGUGGUUACAAGACCUAUGCCUAGCUCUUCUGCAAGCUCAUCCCAUACUGGAAGGAGUGUGAACAGAACAAGGAAUAUGGCCACUGUAACAAUGGCUUUCCUCCACGUUCCCACCUCAGUCACAUCGUUUAGGCAUGGUUUUUCUGGAGUUCUCUGAAAAACAUAUAGUUGAAGCCGAAAUCAGAAAAGGAUUUGAAAGCAUGAAAAACAUAUAAUUCACCCUUAUUUAAUUUUGCCUAUCUGGGUACCUGGCAUAUUAUCACAUAUAGUCCCCAAGGAAGGGAUAAAGGCCCACCAAGCUGGAAGCAGAAAAAAAAAAAUUAGUUGAGAAUAUAAAUCACCUGUUCAAUGAUUUAAAAAACAAACUUAUCUGAAACGUUAAAGAUGCUAUAUCGAAUCAAAGUAAAUCAAAUAAAAUAGAAUGGAUGCAGCAUUGUAUUAUGUGCCAUCAGCACUAGAAUGACCAAACAAAGAAGCAUACCACUCCCAAUCCAAGCAUUGUGUAAGUUGUCAAGCCAAAACCAAUCAGUGCAUUUCUUCCAAAAGCACCCUAUAAGCACAUGCCAUCAGUUUGUGCUAAGGGAUUGAGAUUGUUUCCAGUCCAAAACUAUACCCCUUGAUUUAACAAAAUGGAUAUCCCAGUUCAAAUAGAAGAUAAAAAGGCUACCUGUACAGCUCUUCCACCAUCAAGGCACCCCACUGGAAGCAUAUUAAAAGCUGUUGUGGUCAAGCCACACCUGCAAUAGUAAAUUUUAUGCAUCAGCAUACCUCAUAAUGUUACAAGUAGAAUAAGAGAUUCAAGAAAUUGUGGGCUACCAGCCAGCAAUCACCAAAGGAUGAAUUGUAACUGUUGAAGCAUGCAUUGCUCUGCAAGUUAAUAAGAGCAACGUGUCAAUAAAAAUUUCCAUGAUGCAAGCAAGAAUUAUUAAGUUCAGAUUAGUCAUCUGCUAGAGUAAUCGAAAUAGGAAACAUAGCAGUGGCACCAGUGAAUUCAUAGUUUGCCAACUAAUACAGUUUUUUUUUUUUUUUAAACUAAGUCCAUGGAAGCAGAGAAGGGCUCACGUGUAACCAAGAGUGGCUCUGCUGAUGAGACCAAGAAGCAAUGAACCUUGAAACAAUGUGCUGGGAACCUGCACCAAAUCUCCAGCAGCAUCUGGAUUUGAUGAGAGCAAUAGGCCAACAACAAACAUUGAGAAAGAUAAAGCAGCACCAGCAAUAGGACCCGCGAGUGAAAUGUCGACUUUUGUACUCCGAUCUGGAAGAAUGGAUUUAAACUACAAAAAGAAAUAUGUUUUAGUCAUUCAACUUAGAUGAUUGAUUCUAAGAUGCAUUAGACUUGACAACAGAUAACUUGCAGAGUUGCAGUUAUUUUCCAGAGUUCUUUAUCUAUUGAAGAUCAAAAUCUGAGAACAAGAACACCUGAUAGGAACAAUGCAUUCAGACUUGAAAGUAAAAAUAGGCAUACGAUUUUUCCAACUUGUUUCAAAGUCUACAGACUAGAGUCACUGUCAGAUAGGUUUACCUGAGUGAUUGCACCAAAGCUGCCAAGAGUAAUGUUUGGAAUGAAAAAGGGAAUGCUUAGUUUUACUUUCUUCGGGAAAGCAGCUAAAAAGUGACCAACUUCCUGCAAACAUUCAUCCCACAUUUAGCAAGACAAACCACAGCAUCAGAAUUUAAUUAAUACAUAUAUGACCAACAUUUGAUCAUGUCACAUGGAGGAAAAACACUAACCAAGAAAUAGUUAGAAACAAAAUUAGACAAUGCAUAAUAAAAAUUCUGAUUACUGUUAUAUUCCAAUCACUAAUAUACAUGCUGUGUGAUUCUCUGACUGAAAAUCCUGAGCGUUGAAAAACACCAACAUUAAUAGUACAGUAAUCAAUGAACAAUAUCCAUGCAUCUGCCAGAGGUUCGGAAGUGUUCAAUACAGUGUCAAAAAUGGCAGUCAAACUAUCCAUACACAUGAAAAUGAAUUACCAAAACCAAUUUAUGCACACAAUCACCAUAAGAUAUUAAACUUCACUCCCCACUAUGAGGUUUUCACAUCAUAUAUAAAAUGCUUUAACAAGUUGACCAAGAUAAAGAAUGUCAAACCAAACGUGGUAGCAUUAGCACAAUCCCUGUGAUUUAUUUGAAGGAAGUUUGACUUCAUGACAAAGAAUGCUGAAUUCAAACUAUAAAUUAGGAUGCUAAGCAAUUAACUAUACCAGAAAUUUUGGUACUUUAAAAAACAAAUAGUUGAUUGUCUACCUCAAAAAAUUGUCAUGUUGUAGUAUCACAUAGAGCAGUUUCAGGUCCCAUCUGCUUAACUAUCACCCUAAACAUUGGCACCACUGAACAAACUAGAACUAACAGAAGUAGACUACAACGAGACGGACAUAUCAGAAAUUUGAGCACUUCAUAAAAACAUAUAAAAAUAGAGUGCAGAAAGUAGAUAAAUUUCUGCAUAUAACACAGCCCAAUAUAAUGUGGUAGGCAACCAAAAUGUCCCAUGUGCUUAUCUAGCCAAAACCAAAACAAAUGAAAUGUUGCUUACAUGAAAUACCAGAACGCCCAAGACACCAUAUGCUAGGGGCAAAGCAGACUCUACAAAAGGGUACAGCAGCUCCACAUCGGGGGGGUCAAUGGCAUUUGGAUCUGUGAAGUAUUUUACUAUCUCAGGAGGCAGUCUAUUUAUCUGUUUAAUUAACAGUAUGCAAUCAAUAUUACAAAUUUUCAAAUAAAAAAAAAAGUACAGAUUGACAAACAGUAGAUGAUGUCAACAAAUAUAAAGGAAAUGGGAAUGAAUAGAAAUAUCGACAGCUGCCAUGGGUCUGCCAAAGUGUAUUUGCAAUUAGCUAACCUGAGAUGCAAUUCCUAACUCAACAGAGGAGCCAAUGGUCAAAAGGAAUAACAAAAAAGCAAUCACAUAUUGCCAGAGUGUUGUUGGCCCCGGUUCAGAGACCUCUUUUCGCAGCAGACCAAAGCUAACACGUGGUCCACCACGGGGAUCUGGUCCUUCGGAAUUGGGUUCCUCAACCAUGAAAAAAUUGUAUUUAUCACCUGUGAUCUCAACUAACCGACUCUGAAGUUUGGCAUAUACAUCUUCUCUCUUUCCCCUUAGAUUUCCAAGAAAAAGAAUGCCCUCUCCCAAAUCUCCAAAGGGCUCUUCUUUGGUCACCCAAAAUGUUGAAUAGCCAAAUAGAUUUUCCUUAAUUAGCUUUACAUCAGCAGGGUCAACUUUUUCGGGUCCAAGAAGCUCCAUCAGUUUGAAAGAGUCAAUUUGAAAAUUAUUAUGGGCUGAUCCAACCGGAGAUAUAGUUGGCGGCUGAAAACAGGCGAAAAACAUCAGAACAAGAAUAGUUAUCUCAGGAUAUUACAUAACACAAAAACACAUUCAUAUCCUUUUCAGUCUUAUACUCUCCCAGACUCUAUCUUUAUACAUGUCAUUAGUAUACGUGUGUCUAGUUUUAUAUGUGAAAGAAGUGAACCAGCAUGACUCAUUGGUGGAAAGGGAUGUUGAAUAACACGACUACCAACCAGAAAUCAAGUACUUGGAUAAGGCAGGUUUUAGCAGAAGGCAACUAAAUUUUCAUUAAAAUUCUAAGGCAGAAAUGCUGGAGUUUGACAGAAAAUAUGUCGCUUGAACUGUAUAUUGUUUGCGAAUAAAUCAAGUUAAAAAACCAUGCAUUACCUUAUCUUGCAUCUGACUAGUUGUUAACAUUUUCUAUAUGCAGAGCUUGAUAUAAAAUAGAAUUGAAACUCUAUGGACUUAGAAAAACCUUGACCAUACAACAACUUUGUGCAGACUUGGUCUAGAGCAUCUUCAUUGAUUACUUAUUGCCAAUUCAUUAUAUAGCAACCAAAUCAAAGAUUUUUGCUUGAGAGCUCCAUUUCCAACUUGAAGACUCCAAUUCCGUAUAACCAAAGUAAUCACAAAGAUAUUGUAAAAAACUCACAAUGAUCAUUCUUGAUUGAGAUAUCCCUCUUUUACAUAGCAAUCACACAUCUCGUGCUUGAGCAAAUUACCGACCACUUAAAUAAGAAUUACAUGGUUUCAUGCAAGACCUUUAUACAAGAAUACCCAAUUCAUCAACCAUUUAUGCCAAGCAUAUGCAUAAAGCAUGUGAAGGGAUCACUCAUAACUUCCACAUUUUCAAUCUACAAAUUGCUUCCCAAGUUAUGAAAUAUUAUUAUAACAUCAUUCAAGUAGCAAAACUUUGAAAUGAAUGCGUAGAGACGCUGUUUGUUAUUGAGAUAUUGAGAUUGUGUAGCUGUAACUUUUAAACUACAGAACUAAAGUGUGCUUUAUAAAUUAAGUUGAUUUAAUCAAUUACUUUUAUAAUGAAAAAUCUAUAAUCUGUUCAUUAUUUUUAGCAUAAUAAUUAAUUAAAAAUCAUGUUAACUUUUAUACUACUAACUUUUAUUUUAUAAUCACGGCAGCUACUGCUUAAAAACUACUGCACCUAAAUAGCAAACAGGGCCAGAAGUACCCAGAAGAAAAUGAAAAGGAGAAAAAUGUACCGGUGAAGAAGCAGAAGUGGGGGUCUUGUCCGAAGUGAACUCAUUUGCAUUGCUACUGCUGCUGCUGCUGCUGCUGCUGCUGCUUUUCUCUUCUGUUUCGUCAAGCGCUGACGACGUCGUUGCGACACUCGAAUCAUUCGAUGCAUUAUCUUCAUUUUUCUCUGAAUUAUUGCUACUGUUAUUAGCACUACAAAAACACCUAAAGCUAUCAAAAGUUCUAAGACUCACGCGCCUAUACGAAACUCCUCCUUUGCUUUGCAAACAACAAGAAAAAGAACCCUUCUUCUUCUUCUUCUUCGAGCUCUUGAUUUUAAACACUUGAACUCUCUCAUUGUGAAGAGGAACCGAAUGGAGCCUGCCUCUGACGUUGACACAGCUAAAACUAAAAAUACAGCUGGCUAGAGUUCCCAUCCAAUCAAGAACACGAGAGCUGAAAAUGUUUGUUUCAGUCGAGCAUUUGGGUAUUUUUUUUAUUGAAUUUGAAAUUUUGAAGAAUGGAUUUUCGCGGAUUUGCUGUGGGGAGAGAGGUUGAGAAGAGGAACUAUUGUAUUAUUGAAUAAAGAAGAGGUCGUUUGGCUGAAACAACGUUACCAGCAUAUCUUCUUUUGCUCCGCCGGAUUUUUUUUUUUCACAAAAAAAUAAUAUCUUUUUUUUUUUAAAUUGAUUUUGUUGCCUUUUGAUUUUCUAUGGUCUCGCUAGGGUGACACGUGGCGAAGGGCCAAAUUCCAUUGUUCUUUUUACAUGUUUGAGCAAAUUAAACUAUUUUAAAUGAUCACGAAUUAGAUGCUAUAAAACUUUUCAUAAUGUUAAGAUAAAAUUAUUUUUAUUAUAUUUUAAAAUCGUAUUGUAUCUUUUUAUUAUAUUUUAAAAUCGUAUUGUAUCUUUUUUUUUUUUUUAAACUUCACCCACUAAACAUUAGUUCUUGUACUCAAUUAUUAGUUAAAUUGUGCAAAAUAUCUUUAUAACCAGUUAAGCUGUAUUAUUCAUGAUUUGUACCACAGCUGAAAUAAUUUUAUGACGACUCUCUGGUUAAGGAAUUUAUAAUGAGUAAUGAUAUAGCCGUAAACUCUUGUACAAACUUAUUUUGUACAAACUGAUGUGGCAUGAUAAGAUUGGUUGAAUUAAAUAUCACUUGGCCCACAUGAUUUGUUUUUAUUAUUUUAUAUUUUCAUUCAAUCAAUGAAUUAAUACCACGUCAGUUUGUACAAAAUAAGUUUAUACAAGAGUUUGUGGCUGUAUCAUUACUCAUUUAUAAUUGAGGAGUGAAUAACUUGUAUGUAUUAGCGGGAAAAAGCAAACCUAAAAGCACUGAAAUUCUAAGUCUUUUAAAUGAGUUUAGUUAGAAGAGGGGUCAUUUAAAAGACUUAUUUAACGCUGAUAACACUGAAAUUCUCGGUAAAAAGAGAGUUUGUUCUUGAAAGGACUUGAGGAUUUUGAAGGGUUAGCUGUGAAAUAGGAGUUAGAUAAAUUAUAAGCACUGAAAUUCUAAGUCUUUUAACAAGGGGUAGUUAUAAGAGGGGUUUCACAAGUGUUUUGGAGGGGUGUUAAUAGCUCAAAUCUUAUAAAAUCUGAUUGCGGCCGACCUUUUCUUUUUAAACCCAAAUCAAAUUUGGGUGCACGGUACCAGUGGACCACGAGCCCACUGGCUUUUUAGGCAGUACAACCGACUUGAAAUUUCAAAUAACAAGAAGCAAAUUGCAAGUUUCCUAUUUUAUAUUCUGAAAAAUUACCGCUUUGAACAAAAUGACGCCAAAUUAGUCGUUGCAAAAUGCUUACCAUCAACGCAACACGCACGACACUCGGCACGCAAGCGAAAAUACUACCAACACAGUAAAACACACAUUACAAUAUUAACAUAUUAUAAUAAUAAUAAUAAUCUUUUUUGAUAAAUUAUAAUAAUAAUAAUAUAAAUAAGGGCCAAAUCGCGCCUUUGGUUGUUUCAUUCUCUCCCUUGUGUUUCUGUCUGUCUUCACAAACGCAGAGAGAGAGAGAGAGAGAGAGAGAGAGACGCGAGAGUGAGUGAUAGUGAUGAAUGCGUCUUCGCUCCCUCUCUUCAUUUCACUCUGGUUAUUAAUCGUUUCGCGUGCCCACUUUGUGGCCCCUCUCAAAGGUCUCUUCUUUGUUCCUUCUUUUUAUUCAUUCGCCAGCAGCGUCUUUUGGGGACGUCAGCAAUGAAAAUAAUAAAUUCGACUUACUUGUUAGGAUUCGAUUAUGUUUAAUCUCUACGUAGAUAAAUUAAUUAAUUUACAUAAUUUUUCUCUCGAGGAAUCUCUGCUAGCCGUAUGAUUUAAUGGAUAUUGGUUUAUUCAAUGCUUCAGUACGUUUUUGCCCGAUAAUACUGAUCGAAGAAGGACUUACUGGAUAAUAACUGUGUUUUAGAAAUGGUUAAGGUUUAUGGAUAUUUUUGUUUGCUCAAAUUCAGUUGUUUAACCCAAAUUUUCUGAUCCAGGUGAUAAAUUUUACUAAAAUGACAAUGAUAGCGUAAACUUUUCGUUUUGCAGGUAUCGACAUUGGGAGUCCUUCUAUAGAUGUCACACCGUAUCCCCUUUCUGAGAAAUCCUCAGUUCAUGGGUCCCACGAUGUUUUAUCAUGUGAAAGAGUUCAAGUUUCUGGUUACUCAAGGAUGAAACUUGGGAGUUAUCCCAGUUCCUUCCGAGUCACUUUGGCUCCCUCUGUGGUGAUCCCAGAGAGAUUACAUCAUAAAAUUCAGGUUUGCUUUCACCGGUAAGUGACAUAUCUUGUUGAUGAAUUCUGUUUUUGCUUCUCUCUGCCUCUCCCUCGGGCAAUUUGGGAAAUAUUCAAAUUUAAUAGUUGUGGGUAGUUGUGUCUUACUGAAACUGUGUUUGCAGGAAUGCUUCACUUGGAUUAUGUCAGUGUGAGAAGGAUGAGUGGAAGGAUAUCCAGAAGGGGGGAAUUUGGAGCACUGUCAUGUCCCCAUAUGAGGAUAGAUAUGUUGAUGUCAAGUUUGUUGGCAGAGUAUCUGGUUCUGUUUCAGUUGCAGUCGAGGAAGGUGUGGCAUUCUCCUUUAUCCACUGCCUGGUUAUUUUGUUAAUGUCCUACAUGUUGUGAUUGUGGAUUUCUUAAUGCAUGUUACUUAUCUUCGUGUUUGUGCAGAUUUUCAGAGAUGGCGGCUCCUUUGUCUAGCUUUUGGAUUUUUUACGCUGCUGUUGGCACCAGUUGUCAGCAGUUGGGUUCCUUUUUACUAUAGCAGUUCAAUGGCUAUAGGAGUUUUUCUUGUCAUUCUAAUUAUUCUUUUUCAGGUAUUUGAUUCCUUUCUCUUCUUGUUUUUCAAUUUUCCACUUUUCCCUUUUAUGUCUGUUACUUUGGUCCCCACUGGGAAUAGUUAGUUAGUUACUGGAUGUUAAGCCGUACAUGAUCAGAAAGGAAGUUGGAGUUGCAAUUAAAGAAACUGAUCUACUGUUGUUUACACAUUGUUUCCACUCCCUAAGAAACUUUUGUUGAUUGGCUACUCUAGUAUCAAUUUUAGUGAAAGUUUACCCUUAGUUGCUGGAUAACAUGAUAUAUGUUUUUCAUAUUAGCUCAGUGUUGUUUAAGUUUAUGUUUCCCUAUUUUGUUUUUAAGUUCUAAUUUAUUAUUAUUCCUUUUUUUUUUUUUUUAAUUUCUUUUUGAUGUAGGGAAUGAAGUUGUUGCCAACUGGAAGGAAAAAUGUCUUGUAUCUUACCAUAUAUGGUUCAGUGGUAAGUCUGCUUUUAAUCUUUAGCCGAUAAGCUGGAUAUAUGUUUGUAAUGCAAUAUGAAUCUUACUAUUAACUAUACUUGCAGCUUGGUGCUGGAUCUUUCCUUUUACAUCAAUUCUCAGUGCUGGUGAACUCAAUUCUUAUCAAUUUUGGGUUCAGUGAGGAGAUGCACAAUCCAGUAAGUUUGUUUUUGUCUUUCUGCAAUCUUUAACUGCCCUGGUUGGCUUCCGUAGGUUCUCUUUGACUUAAUAUUACUAUUAUUUAGAUCUCUGCUCUAGUUGCUUUUCUAUGUAGAGUGAAUCACUACGGAAAUGAAAUAGAAGAAGUGACAAAUACCUAAAAACCAAUGAGGGGCUAAGGAAUGGCGACCUGUGUGAUGACUGAAACUGUUAACAGCGACCUUUAUGAAUCCUCGUGAUCUAUAAGUCAUGCAAUUGGACUUACUUUUUGAGCUGUCAUCUGGAGGAGAUAUAGUUGGCCAAAUGAGAUUUUGAAACGCUGGAUAAAAUUUUCACAGAUAGGAUGAGAAGAUGCAUAGAAGGCAUGUAAAAUAGAUAAGGGCAAAAGAUUGUGCGAUAUGGUUUAUUUUCCAGUCUAGAUGAUCUGAAAUAGGUUGCUGUGAUGGAUGAUUUUGGCCUCUUUGCAUAUGUAUGUAUCUUUUUCAGCUUUGCUUUUUGUUGGGACCUUCGGUUGUAAAUUUUAGCUUGCAUUUCCAUCUUUGGGGAUUAUGGAUUUUGCUUGAUUGUUGCUGGCCAUAUUGGUCUUUUGGGAACAUAUCCAUUAAAUGUCUUCGUUUUAUUUAUUCAUUUGUUAAAUUUCUAAUUAUCAUUGAUAUUUGUUUAGAUGUUCUGCUUGCUCUUUCCAAGUGAAGUAACUUAUUAACUACAAAACUGUCAUUCUUCUUACAGGUCGCUAUAUUUGUACUAGUGGGCAUUGUCCUUGCAGGAGCUGCUUUAGGGUACUGGAUUGUGAGGAAAUUUGUAAUUUCAAAAGAUGGAACUGUUGAUGUUGGUGUUGCUCAAUUUGUUAAAUGGGCUAUGCGCAUCAUUGCGAGUACAUCUAUAUUCCAGGUAUGUUGUUGCAUUAAUGUUGGUUGUGAUGUUGACUAGGAAAGGUUUCUGUUCAUUAUCUUGCUUAUAUUGGCUUUUCUGAAUUUUUCAAUGAUUGUAAUAGAACUUUCCCUUUCUCAUUGGUUGAAAGUUAAUAAUCAAUGAAUUUUCCUCUUUGGACAUUUUAAUUACUUUUUUCACUUUAUGAGGGCGUAAAUGGAUGGGUUGAGUAUGACCUGACAUGAGCCCUUGUGCGGUUGGACUAGCUUCCUGUUGGUGUUUGGACUUGGAUUAACAUGGAUCAACCUGUCUUCAGUUCGGGCUGAGUUCAUUGACCAUCUGAGCUAAUCUACAUUUGACCUCUUAUAUAAGCUUAUAAUGUCUGUGAUUUAUAUUUAUUAAAAAUAACUUGAUGGGUUAAAAAGUAGAUUCAAGUCAGUAUAAAGUAGAUAAGUUAAUAUGUUAAUGGCCCUUCUCAAACAGAUCUUCCUACUCUACUUUCCAAGACACAGAAUUGUAAACCGAAAGUUCUGACAUGGAAGUUCUGCCCCAUUCCUGUCAAGUGGUUGAAGCCCAUGAAGCAUGAAAAUGAUCAUCCCCUCCAAGGUUGGCUGUGAGGUCUAACCAACUAGGCGGUGAUGAAGACACCCUUUUAAGUUCAGCCUGAUACGACCUAACGAAAGUGAGACGUGAUUAAAUAGCUUUAGUGAGCUUUUGAAUUUGGAUAUGACCAGUGUGUUGCACCUUGUGAUUUAAGCUUGACUUCAACCAAAUCUGUCUCAUCCUGCCCAAGUUUCAUUUUUCAUGGAAAAGCAAUUACCUUACUGUGAUUACUCUUGAUUUUGUGUCCCGUGACUUUUGAGAUAAUCUGAACUGAUAUAGAAUGUUGACCUGAAACCAGAAUAGACUUUUGAGAUGGACUAAUUGGAAUUUUUUUUUUUUUACUAUUUGAUGUAAAGGGAUCUUUUUCCUGCCAAACGUCAUAUGCUAAUUUAGAUUCUAAGACUUUUGGUGCUGUAUUACUUUUAUAUUCUGGCAUGGGCUACUUUGCUGCACAUUUACUCACUUACAUCAUCAGUUUAUUUUGCUCUUAUGAUUUGACAUUUUGUAUUACUAUAUUUUCUGGUGUAUUCUUCUGCAGAGCACCCUGGAUGCUCCUUUAGCAUUGGGGGCGUUGAUCUCUUGCUGCAUUGUCUGCUCUCUCAUCACUUCUCCAAAGUGGGUUGCCAGUUGGCUGCAACAUUCGAGUCAGACAACAAACAAGCAUGGACGCGCUGAAUUUCUGAGCAGGUCACCUGUAGUUGGAUCCAGAGGAAAGUUGUGGUCGACCCCUAAGAGUACCAAGAGCCCGCCUUUGUGGUCAAACUCUCCUGUUAGAGGUAUUUAUUAUUUAUUUUUUGCGGUUUUGCCUUUGUAUGCACAUGUUAAUUGCCAUGUUGCGCAUUACUGAAUGCAGAUGAAAUUAAAAUUUUCUUGUUAACCCUGAAAGAUACACUAAAUUGGAUACACGAUCAAGUGAAGGUGUAAUUAUCAUUUUGUUUGAGGGAACAAAUUGCAGUAAUCUGUUUAGCACCAUGUUCAUAUAAUUUCAUAAUCAUCAAAUGGGGGAUUUUCCUAGUAAAAAGUAGAACCUAUUGACACACCAUCCUUCAUUGUUGAUGUUAUGAGCAUUUUUAAUUGGUUUUACAAAUAGCCUUUUGGAGUUGUUGCCUGAUUGACUGCCAAGCGUCCUUUCUAUUUUCCAACAAAUAUUUUCCUGGGUGAAAGCUAAAUUUGUAAAGAUUUGGUAAUUUUGCAUCUUUCUUUCUUUACAAGAUUCUUCACCCGCCUUUUAUCUGGAAAGCUAUUUAUUUCAGGAGUGCGGAUGAUUUCCUAUGCAUUUUCCCUUUCUAUGCUUGCAUUGUUGUUGCUUGAAGCAUACAUAUUUUGUCUUGCUUAAAUUAUUGUUACUGACAUCAACCUACUUCCACAGAGUCGGUAGGUGAUUAAUUAAUUGUCUUAUGAUUUGUCGCAGGUGUGGUUUCACCAUAUUCUGGUGAGAGGGUAAUAAAUCAGCGAGACUACUACUCAACCUUUCACGAGACAGGAAAACGAAAGAGGUUUACAGAGCAAGAGUGGGAGGAUUUCACCCGGGAUUCCACCCGGCAAGCAGUUGCAGAAUUGGCUGCAUCUCCAGAGUUUGCCGAUUGGAUCAUUGAGCAUGCUGACAGGAUUAAACUCCUUCCAAGUGAGAGUUCGGAAGAAGCACUGGGCAGUGAAUCUGAUUCUACAGAUGAGAAUGUUGCGGCCAGCUGCAGCGGGUUUAGGUUUUUCGGUUGGUAGAUUGAUGAAUUGUAUACAGAACAUGAUAUAAUGAAGACUCGCACCAUUCAUUAUUAACAUGUAAAUAGUGGUAGGAAAUUUUCCGGAUUUGAUUCAGGAGUAGCUUUAGCACGGCAGUUUUUCAGAAGUUAGCCAACCAUGUGGUAAUUGAAGUGCGUAAUUCUUUCUAAUCUAAUGUCUAUGCACACAUUAUAGUCUGGUAUUGACAGAUCAAAUGAGUAGAUUUAUUUUAUUGAUUUUAUUGACUUUUGUUGAUUUUUUUAUUUUAAUUUUAAAAAUUCAAGGUUUGCCAAGAAAGAUAAGUGGGUACAUACAGUACCGUCACAGUAUGACGAAUAAUACAUCACAAGGUGUCCAGUCCACCAAUAAAAAUAAAAGAAAAGAAAAUAAAUCAUAAGGGGGAAAAAAAUAACACAAUACAAGCUUUGAAGAAGAAAAGGUAGAAUGGAUGAUCAAAAAGGGCCUUCCUCCAAACUGUAGAGUCUAAACAGGAAAGAAAAUGCAAAACGCACCAUCUCCCUCCCCAUCGCCCACAACAACACCCCUGUCUUCGCCGACAUCAUCCCUCUCCCUGACCCAGACCAUCAACGGGUCCCAUCACUUCACCAUAAAGGGCUACUCCCUCUCCAAGGGCAUUGGCAUCGGCAAGCACAUCGCCAGCGAUAACUUCUCCGUCGGCGGCUACCAGUGGGCCAUCUAUUUCUACCCCGACGGCAAGAAUCCCGAAGACAACUCCACCUAUGUCUCCGUGUUCAUUGCCCUAGCCAGCGAGGGCACCGACGUAAGGGCGCUCUUCGAGCUCACCCUUGUUGAUCAGAGUGGCAAAGGGAAGCACAAGGUCCAUUCCCAUUUCGAUCGUUCCUUGGAGAGUGGGCCCUAUACCCUUAAAUACCGCGGCAGCAUGUGGUCAGUAGUCACAACAUUAAUUUUUUCCCUUCUUUUUUUUCCCGUCUUUUCUUUAGAUUUUGUCUGCUUUUCUUCAAGUGAAAAAAAAAAAAAAUUCAUAAUACGAUGACCAAAGUCUUUCUCUUUUAAUACAACUUAUGUGUUGACUUAAUAAUGUAUGUGCCACCACGGGACAUUUUGAAGAAAUUUGGAUUCUGUAUGUAUAAUCUUCUUUACAUGUUUUUUUUUUUCUUUCUUGUUUUGAAAUUUAGGAGAUAGGUGUAACCUAACAUUGGGAAUUUUUCAGUUUUGAUCUGGCUUUGUAUAAGUAGUACACGCUGCAGUUUCUUUUUUUACUUUAUUGAGGAUUGUUUUGUGUGGAUUUAGUGAACUAAGUUGGUAUUUCUUUUCUUUUUUCUUUUUUCUUUUUUGGUUAGGGGCUACAAGCGUUUUUUUAGGCGGGCUAUGCUUGAAACAUCGGAUUUUCUCAAGGAUGAUUGCUUGAAAAUUAAUUGCACAGUUGGUGUCGUGGUUUCUGCAAUAGAUUGCUCGAGAUUGCACUCCAUACAGGUUCCUGAAUCUGAUAUAGGAGAUCAUUUUGGUAUGUUAUUGGAAAAUGAGGAGAGUUCAGAUAUUACUUUUAAUGUUGCUGGUGAAAAGUUCCAUGCUCAUAAGUUGGUAUUGGCUGCUCGGUCUCCUGUAUUCGAAACUGAAUUUUUGGAUGCAAUGGAGGAAGAUAAUCACGAAAUAGUUGUUACAGAUAUGGAACCUAAGGUUUUUAAGGUAGUAACAUGCUUUCUUUUUCCUUUAAAGCAAAUAAGCAAUGUUUGAAUUUUGUGGCUUUAUAUGUUUUUUAAGGCAGUGGAGCAUAGUUACGGCUUUCGCCCUUGUUUUUCUAAUAUGUUAUAGCAUGUGAAUCGGCAGGCUUUGUUACACUUCAUAUACAAAGAUACUCUUAUUGAGGAUGGGGAGUGCUCCGCAUCAAGUUCAUCUUGUGUGCCAUCUGUAUCUGAUACAUUAGAAGCAAAAUUGUUAGCUGCAGCAGAAAAAUAUGUCUUGCCUAGACUUAGACUGAUGUGUGAGUCUGUGCUCUGCAAGGUUAUAUCAGUGAAUUCAGUUGCCCAUACGCUGGCACUGGCUGAUCGUCAUUGUGCUAUGGAUCUUAAAUCUGUUUGCCUCAAAUUUGCUGCUGAAAACCUCGUAGGUAUGUCCUUUCAGUUUGUUCUUUUCAUUCUCAGUUUUCUAUUUCACUUUUAUUGUAGAUUGGGGUUUACAUAACAAUUUGGACAAUGCUGGAAUGUGGUAUGCAGAAUAAGAUAUUAUUAUUUGCACCCCUUAAUGAAUUGCUCUUUGUUUAUUGCCCAAUUUUGUAUGGCCCCACACAUGCAAUGUAUAGUAUAUAUUAGUUGCAAUAUUUGAGUGAAUGUAAUAGGAGGCGGUUAUAUUCUCCUGGUCGAGCAGAGAUUGUUUUGCAGGUGAUACUUUUUAUUCUUGUCUUGUCUAUUGGGGCCAAAGUGAGUGAUCUAUGGAUGAGUAUCCAAUCAUUUGUUUCAUGCUUGUUUGAGUAGAAGUAAGUAGAUAUCCCAUAUUUUGCUAAGAGUGGCUAGUAUUUGCCAAACUAAUCACCUUCAGGGGUGGUCAGAUGUGAACUGCAAUCAUGAAAAGAGACUUGGCCCUUAUAAUGUCAAAUUUUUGGUGCAUAAAAGAGAUAGUUCUGAAGAAGUUUAAAUGUGUGAUGGCAGAAGUGUAAAUUAGUUAUGUCAAUAGAUUGUGAGGAGAUGCGGGUAGUUUUGUAUAUGACUGGACAGUGAUAGAAUCAGUGUAGUUCAAGAGUUAUUGUGGCAAUAAUGUAUUUCACAGUGUAAAUAGAUUGUUUAUUUAAGAAAAGGAGGAAGGAAAUGCUGAUGGUACUGUAUAGAAUGGGCCAAGGUUAAAAUUACUCUAAUUCUGGAUAUAUAAUAUAUAUAUAUAUAUAGGGUGCUGUUCCAAUUCGGGACUCCCGGAUUGGAACAGUGUGCGGAACAAAGGCUGGUGACCUUUGGAUUUAAAUCCAAAGGCACCAGGCCCCACCAUGUGCAGCCAACCAAAAAAAAUAAAAAAGAAGCCACCGCUGGCGGCUUCCCGGACAGUGAUACAAUCCGGGAGCCCCGGAUUGGAUCAAUGUCCUAUAUAUAUAUAGAUAUAGAUAUAGAUGAUUGCACUUGUGCCAAUUUAUGUUCAAAAUGGUGAUGGAGCAGGAGGGUAUAAAGUUUGAAUGAGUCCACUGGCAGUCUUUUGCAAGAGUCAGAUUUGUUGAUGAGAUUAACCUUUAAGAAAAGCAAUGUGAUCGAAAGUCUAUCGGAAGACUGAGGAUGAAUUCAUAGGGGCAACAUGGCACUGAUGAAGGUGAGAGGGGGCGGCAACAAGAGCAUUAGUUUAUUUGGUUUUGAAAGGAUGUGAAGUUCAUAGUGUUUCUACGAUGCCUUCCAAAAUAUGUAUGUGACGCAAAUGGGAGUUCUGUUGAUUUUUGUUAAUUCAUCAAACUGUUUCUGUGGCUUGUGACUUCAAUUAGGGUCAGAAUUCGAUUAGACAAAUUUCCUCUUGAGCAGUUGAGUUCUGAAGCAAAUUGUGAUUUCUUGUUAGUUUGUUACUUGGUUAUAUUUUCGUUCAGGCCCUAUUUCCCUCCUUCCUAUAUCCUAUCUGGUAUUUUCAUGUGGUUCUGAACCAAUUUAGUCAAUUUUCAUCACCAUUGGAAAUAUGAGAACAUCAUUGCUGUUUACCAUAUGCGUACCUCUUGAGACACCAUGGAUCAAGGAACGUUGACCAACAUAAAGGUCUAUUCAAAGCAGUCCGUUUGUUCUUGAACUGAAUUGGAUGAAUUGCUUCAAUUUGGGACCUUUUCUAUGUUGAUAGCUUGAAGGAUUUUUUUUUCUUCUGGGGGGGGGAAUAAGAUGUAGCUUGUGCACCCGUGGCACUUAACAGAAAUGAAAUCUAGAAAUACAAUGAACUCUUCUUGUUCUAUUCCCGCCCUUUGAAGGAAACAAAACAGACAGUUAUAAAAGGUAAGGUAACAUAGGUCGUCCAUUCCCUCUUAAAAUCAUGAAUGACAGGACAUUGAAGAGCUACUAAAAGGAUAUAUCAUUUGGUGUGUUUCUAUAUCUUCCUUUUUUGUCUAAAUGAUUUUUGCCUAUUUACUUGGGCAAAGUACUUCUGAUGAAAUUGUCUAGCUCAAUUGUGUGCUUAACCCUUCUUCAUCAACAACUUGAAACCAAGAAAAACAAGUUUGAAGGAAAAAUUAAAAAAAUUAUUGAGUUUGUGUUCCUGGUUAAUGUUGCUUUGGUGUAGUGGAUACUUGUUGUAUGAACUGAAAUGACACAAAUAUUAAAGUAGCCAUUGUAGGGCCAGUUUGGGAUUGCAAAUAAGCUGCUUUUGUUGUGUGGAUGGAAAAAGCUAUCGACUAACAAGCAGCUCAGUGUUUGGUAAAUUGUGUUUGUGUUGUUGCGGUUACUGUGAGUUUGAAAGUAGAGUAUAUGUGUUUUGGUGAACUUUGUGAUGUUAGUGUUGUUUUAUUAUACAACAACCAAAAUGGACAUAAGUUUGAUAUAUAUGUUUUUUCAUUUGUAUAUUAGAGUUUUGGAAAAGUAAGACAUGUCCUUUUGUUAGAAUAUUAAGAUUAUAUUAAGAACUUUAAAAAUAUAUGGUGGCCUAUUUAAUAAGUUGUUUAUAAAAAGUAACUCUCUAACUGCUUUUAAAAGCUACUGUCAAAAUGGAGAAACUUAUGAAAUCAACAGCUUUUAAAGGAUUUACUAAACACCAAUUUUGUCAAAACUUAUGUAAAAGGCUUACUUAUGGCAUUUCAACCGCAAUCCCAAACGGGACCUUUAACAUGAAAAACUUCUAAGUUGGGCAUGAAUGAAGUUGAGGAUUUCAUGUUUAAACAACUGCAGAGCCUUCUGUUUACGAAGUGUUUUGCUCUGCAGGAGGUCUGGGCAGUAUUGAAAACCUGGGAAUCAAGGCUGCAGCCUGAGGUUUUCGUUAUUUGUGAUGAGAUUUAUUCUUCCCACUCUAACUUGUAAUUUCUGAAUUCUCUGAUUGUCUUCAUUUGAUGCAGCUGUUAUGCGCUCAGAUGGUUUUCAAUAUCUCAAGGAAAACUGCCCGUUGCUGCAGUCUGAGCUACUAAAAACAGUAGCAGGAUGUGAUGAGGAAGUCAGCGGGUGGGGGAAAAGCCGAAGUGUGUGGGCACAGUUUUCAGAUGGUGAUGAUACGAAUGACCGGAGUGUGAGGCAACAAACGUGGGAAAACGGAGGAGAGAGAAAUGGAAGCUUGUGGGUACAGCUUGAUGGUGGCGACGCUGUUGGGAGUCCUAGGGAAGAAGAAGAUUGAAUACUGCUAACAGGGCCGAACUAGUUUCUCUAUUGCCAAUUUUGUUGGCAUCAAAUGGGAAGAAAAAAAAUGUGGAUUAAAAAAGGAUGAGAAGGGCAUAAAAGAUUUGCAGAGAACAGUGAGAAAAUAUGGCCUCCUUUCCUUUUUGCAUCCACAUUUAAACUGUUCUAGUGUUGUUGUAUGUUCAAUUAAUAACAGAUGCUAGUGGUGGCAAUAAACUGAAGGGUGUAACUUGGUGUUGUAUCAAAUAUGCUGUCAAUGGAAAUAAUGAUUCUUUAUGAUUCAAGCACAUUGGUCUGGUAGGUAGGAAAAUCAUUCAACUAAGGAUUGUGAUCGUACCCAAUUUGGUCUCUUUUUGGAAUUAUUGACAAAAUAGAGAGCUUUGAAAUGAUCCUUUAGCAUGUGGAAUUUGAUUGCAGGCUUGCGGCAAAGAAGAAAUAAUGGCCGAGGCUGAGGCAUAAUUAUGGUUGCCCAUACAUACAUUGGAUAAUUGUCUUGACAGUUGGCUUCCAACUUCUGAGAUAUCCUUUCUCUCAUAUUACAUAUUUAAUGUAUUUGAUCGUUCUCCCGUAAUGAAUUGCAUCUAAAUCCAAUUUGACCAAAGUUUUACUGAAUCAAAUCAAUUUUUUUUCUUUUUUCCAGCUUGUAUGAUUAAUUUUGUGGAUGUCACUGCUAGUUGAUUUAAUUGAUGUUGUAAUAUUGUCUGUUUGCAAUGAAAUCCAAUUUAUGUUAAAAAAAUCUAGAUUUAUUAUGGCGAAAGAUUAGCACAGAUCUAAAUCUAUGUAAAAUCUACUCCAUAUAAAGAAAUGGUAGAAUACAACUAAAAAAAAAAAAUUCUAAGUAAUUGCUGAAGAGCAAAUUAAUGUACAUUUCUCUGUCAGCUCAAAAUAUUGUCCAGAGUCAAAAAUUUAUACUGGGCACAAAACGCACCGUUCUGUGUUCAUUGUGGUUCUCACCUUGGUGAGAAUCUCAUUCUCCCGAACCAAACCCUCAUUUUUCCCAAAACCCUCAUUUUUCCCUCUUAACAAAGAAACAAGACUAAAAGCCACUUUCCCAAGAACCAAACAUACCCUUAGAUCUCCAAUUUCAUAAUGAGAGAAGAAGAAAUAGAGAAGCUUCGAGGAGUGGUUCGCGACUGUGUGAGCAAGCAUUUGUACUCGUCGGCCAUAUUUUUCGCCGAUAAGGUCGCCGCUUUGACCAGUGACCCUGCUGACGUGUACAUGCAGGCUCAGGCUCUGUUCCUUGGUCGCCACUACCGCCGUGCAUUUCACCUCCUUAACGCCUCGAAAAUUGUGCUCCGUGACCUCCGAUUUCGUUACUUGGCUGCUAAGUGUCUGGUAAACUUCUGUUUUUUGAUUGCAUUAGAAAAUUUGAAUUUCGGAUUUUGGGGUUCAUGCUUUUUGCGUUUUUGGGUUUUAUUGUGUUAUGAAAAAGGGAAAUUUUGAAAAUUUCAGCUUGAAAUUUGUGUUCUUUAUAUUACAUGACAAAAGAAUUUCAAUGAGAAAUAUGUGGAAAUUGAAUUGCUCCAGCAAAUUUGCGUGUCUUGUGUGUUUUAAGAAAAUGAAAACUAGAUUUUAGGCAAUUAAGAUGAAAUUAUCCACUUUGAGCUGAAUAACUUUGUUCAAUUUUUUCUUGAAUGUCUAUUUGUUAUACAGCUGGGCAGUUUUUCUUUUACUUAUUUAUUUCUGGCCUGUCCUUUGUAUAAUUAGGAGGAACUGAAGGAGUGGGACCAGUGUUUGUCGAUGCUCGGUGAUGCUAAGGUUGAUGAAGAUGGGAAUGUUUAUGACACAAAGGAUAGCAAUGUCAUGUACUUAGAUAAAGAUGGGGAAGACAGAGAAAUCAAUGUAAGUUUUUGUUUGCAAUCUCAUUUUAUUUGGCCUAUUAUUUUUUAAUUUGUUGCACAUUUGUUGUAUUCUUCGCCCAAUAUUUCUUUUUUCUAUUACAGAUCUCUUCAGCUAUAUGCUUUUUGAGAGGCAAAGCAUAUGAAGCCUUGGAAAAUCGUGCCCAAGCUCGGCUGUGGUUAGUUUUUUGCGAUCAAUUUACUGAAAAUCGUUCUGCUUAAUUGUAUAACGCUUUAUGUUAUUUUCCCUUAGUUUUUCAGUCAAAAUGAUACUAGCUUAUACUGUCUUAUGUUAUAGUAAAUUAGGUGCAGUAAUUUAACGUACUGUUAAAGAAAGGAAAUGACUUUAUUGAUUUAAUGAAAAAAUUUGAACAUUGUUAUAAACUUGUGUAAGUUGGGCAUAAGUAAAUUUAUCUUUGAUUUCAUUAGAGCAGAUUUUUUCUGAAUGCAUGAAUGUUUUAUAUAUGUGGUUAAUAACCAAGGAGUUUGUUUAGAUACUACUUGAAGAAAUAUCUAUAUAUAGAUUGGUUAGUCUAGACAACUUUCCUUGAUAUAAAUCAAUGCAAAAGUUUGAUAAGACAGUUUAAAAUGUUAACAUCCCAUGUCUUCUGGAGUCCAUUUGGUGACAGAGGAAUAGUAGUAUAUGCUGGGAUGAUUUAGUUCAAUAAGGCUAUUGGUUCUGUUCUGCUUUCUCAAAGAGGUUGAUUGCCGAAUUUGCUUUUUCAAAGAGGUUGAUUGUCAUGAUUGCCGAAUUUGCUUUUUCAAAGAGGUUGAUUGCCAAAUUAACUGCCACAUGAAUAAGAUUUUCUACAUUUUUUUUUUUUGGUAUCCUGAAUGGUUUUUGCUUCCAACCACAAUUCUGGUCUUCUAUUGGUUCACUCUUUCCUAGUCCUGAACUCGGAUGAACUUUUGGCUGCAAUACCUCAUUAUUUGCUUCCUCUUUCAUCUUGUUUCAUUACCAACUUUCAUAUGCAGCAUUUUUAGAACGUUAAGGAGUAAUAGUAUAGAAAGGUGGUUUUAAAUCAAAUGUAACAAGAUUCAAUUGGCAGAUCAGCUAUGCUUCACUCCAUGUGGUUACUUACACCUGGAUGUUUUGUUUUAGAGUUUUAUGCUGUCUGAAUUAGAGGCCUCAUUUUAUUAUCUGAUUGAAAGCUUGCAUGAAUUUCGGUAAGUUGGGUGCUUUCCUCAACUCUUUUUCUUUAGUAACUAUUAUGGUAUCGUUUUAUAGCCUUAAUUAGCUUUUCUUUGGUGUUUCGUUUGUCAGUAUAUCUGCUCUAUUCUGUUCAAUUCAUUUUGCUCUAUUCUCUCAGUUUUGUUGAAUUAAAACACUAUGGUUCAUACAAAGGCUUACUAUAUUUUUUUCAUAAUGAUUUAAGGUAUAAAGCAGCAAUCAAAGCUGAUCCUUUGUGUUAUGAGGUAUGCAUGACAUGUUAUCAAUGUUAUUGUUUUUUUUUCCCUGGAGAUAAGUUGGUGGGGGAAGCUUCCUCUUCUCAAAACUCCUUCCCUUGAAUUUUAUGGCUGCAUAAAGCUCAGAAAUGACUUUCUAAGCAAAAUAUUACAACCUCUGGAAACUAUUUUGCCUUCUCAAGGAUUAGAAAAUUACUCAAAAGAGGGCGAGGUUGAUUGCCAAAUUAACUGCCACAUGAAUAAGAUUUUCUACAUUUUUUUUUUUUGGUAUCCUGAAUGGUUUUUGCUUCCAACCACAAUUCUGGUCUUCUAUUGGUUCACUCUUUCCUAGUCCUGAACUCGGAUGAACUUUUGGCUGCAAUACCUCAUUAUUUGCUUCCUCUUUCAUCUUGUUUCAUUACCAACUUUCAUAUGCAGCAUUUUUAGAACGUUAAGGAGUAAUAGUAUAGAAAGGUGGUUUUAAAUCAAAUGUAACAAGAUUCAAUUGGCAGAUCAGCUAUGCUUCACUCCAUGUGGUUACUUACACCUGGAUGUUUUGUUUUAGAGUUUUAUGCUGUCUGAAUUAGAGGCCUCAUUUUAUUAUCUGAUUGAAAGCUUGCAUGUAUUUCAGUAAGUUGGGUGCUUUCCUCAACUCUUUUUCUUUAGUAACUAUUAUGGUAUCGUUUUAUAGCCUUAAUUAGCUUUUCUUUGGUGUUUCGUUUGUCAGUAUAUCUGCUCUAUUCUGUUCAAUUCAUUUUGCUCUAUUCUCUCAGUUUUGUUGAAUUAAAACACUAUGGUUCAUACAAAGGCUUACUAUAUUUUUUUCAUAAUGAUUUAAGGUAUAAAGCAGCAAUCAAAGCUGAUCCUUUGUGUUAUGAGGUAUGCAUGACAUGUUAUCAAUGUUAUUGUUUUUUUUUCCCUGGAGAUAAGUUGGUGGGGGAAGCUUCCUCUUCUCAAAACUCCUUCCCUUGAAUUUUAUGGCUGCAUAAAGCUCAGAAAUGACUUUCUAAGCAAAAUAUUACAACCUCUGGAAACUAUUUUGCCUUCUCAAGGAUUAGAAAAUUACUCAAAAGAGGGCCUAGAUUUUGAGCUAGGCUUGUCCUUUUUCUUUUUCUUUUUUUUAAUAAAAUUUUAAUCCGUUUCUUAUUAAAAUUUUAAUCCUUUUCUUUAAUUUGACCUCUGCUGAUCACAUAGAUUUCUCAUUUGGAUGUUCCGUAUAAGAUACACCGUUUCUCAUUCUUUAUGAUUUUUUUCUUUAUGGCUGUACCUUGAUUUCUUUUGCAGGCUUUGGAAUGCCUUAUUGAAAAUCACAUGCUCACAUGCGAGCAAGGUAAUGAUUUAGUUUUCUCCUAGUCAUCUGUUUAUUUCAUCUGAGAGAAGUGGAUUGUGACAAUGUUUACAGUUUGAAUUCUAGUUCUUACAUGCGCACGUGCGCUUGCGCACACACAUAAAGAAAAUUAUAAUCACACACGAACAUGUUGAUAUAAAUUUAAUUUGGUAAAACUUUCUUUGGCUGUGUUCUACUAGCAUUUGAUUUUUCAUGGAACAUGUUACAACAGGCUAAUGCUUUAAAUUAUUGGAUUUACUGUUGAAUUUCAGAAACAAGUUUACUUUCAUCAUUGGAAUUUGGCUCUGAAGAUGGAUGGCUUUCUUCAUUUUACUCAUGUUUGAUAAAAAAGGUGAACUGUAUGCAAGUUCAUUAUAUGCUCUUCCAAAUGUAAACAUCCCUUCUGUUUUCUGAUAUUGAUUCUUUUUGCUGUGUUUGAGUGCACUGAACAAUUUCUUUCUUUCUUCUUUCCUGUCUCCCUUUGUUUUAUCAGUAUGACAAGGAGAACGUUGUAGAAGCCAAAUUUAGAGAAAUUGAGAAAGAAAAAUGUGAUAGUGUCCAUUCGAGCCUGUCCUUCUCACACAGUCUAAAAAACAAUACUGAUCUUUUAGCCUGCAAAGCUGAGUACUAUCAUCAGUGUGGAGAAUACCAAAAAUGCUUUGAACUAACUUCUGUGUAAGUUGGUGAAGAAAUGAAGAAAAAAAAAAUAUGGCUGCAUUGUUCUUGAGAUGCUGUAUGACCUUUUUCCUUCCUUUUGUCUUUGUUUCCCCAGAUUACUUGAGAAAGACCCUUUCCAUCUGAAAUGUACCUUGGUGCACUUAGCUGCUGCUAUGGAACUUGGACAUUCAAAUGAACUAUAUCUGAUGGCAUGCAAUUUAGUGAAGGAUUAUCCUCAAAAGUAAGCAUUUCCUCUUUUCUUUCUUCUCUUUCUAGAAAACUUUGGAAGUGUGAAAUAAUGAAAGCAUUUUUGCUAUUAGAUUGACUGUUUUUUAUAUUAAUUUGAACUUCUAAUUUAAAGUACUCUUUGAGUAUUAUAUUGUUAGCUUAUGAAGACUUUUCAUUUUUUAGGGCUUUGUCAUGGUUUGCAGUUGGUUGCUACUACUAUUGUAUAAAAAAAUAUGAUCAAUCGCGCCGUUAUUUCAGGUAAGGAUUAUGCAUUAUUGAGUAAACUGAGGCCCUAUAAUUAAUCUAUCCAUCUUUUAUUGCCUCCGCUGAUUUCAAUAUUGAAGCUUGUAGGUAUAUGUUUUUUUCAUAUACCGAGAGAUCCUUAUAUUAUGAGAUUCUAUUAUGUCUUUUUUUCUUUGCAUUUUAGGGGCCUUGUUAUUCUGUCAACCUGCGAUGCUAGAUUUCAGAAAUCUUCUCUUCACACAGUGUUCUUGGCUCUGUAAUUGUCAAAAUGUUGAAAAGCCUCUUUUUGUGUGAUGCAUUAUAUAUGCAGUUUAAUAUUUGUGGAGUUCAGUAAUAUGGAUUACCUUUAUUAUAAUAUUUUCAAUUGUAUAGUUUUUGGGUUUCUUCUUGGUAGGGAAGAUUUUUGUCUUUUUUUUUUUUUGGGUUUGAUUCUUCUUCUUCUUCUUCAUCUUCAUUAUUAUUAUUAUUGUUACAGUUUCCAAUUAACCAAAAAAAAAUUUUUUUUGAGCUUGCUCCACCUUGCAAAAGUUUUAGGGUGCAUUUAAUUCUCGAAUUGGGGAAUCAUAAUGGGGAAUGGGGAUGAUUGAUAGUGUUUACUUGCUAAAAACAUGAAGGAAUUAGAAUUGAUUUUGGGUGGGGCCUAAAAAUUUGGGACUGGGGUAUUGGAAUCCCAUUGCCAUGGGAGAGGUGGGAAUGAGAAUGGGAAAUGAAUUGACACUUUUAUCCUUAAAGAAAAUUAAAUAUUCUUUUUUUAUCAAUAAAUAAUAUUAAUAAUAGUAGUAAUAUUAAUAAUAAUUAAUAAUAAUAAAAAUAAAUGUAAUAAUAACAGGAGUAGUAAUAAUAAAAAUAACAACAACAACUAAUUUAUUCUGAAAGUUAUAGUAUUAUGCUCAAUAUUAUAAUAAACAUGUAUAUAUUUUUCCUAGAAAUGUUUAUUUAUUUGUUUUGUUAGUGAAAAAUAUACAAUUUUAACUAAGGGCAUUAUGGUAACUUGCAAUAAUGCAUUCCGAUUACAAGGUAAAGUAAAUAAUAAAUGGGAAUGCAGCUCAUUCCGAUUCCGAUUCCGAUUUCGAUUCAUAUAGCUCAAGUAAACAACAUAUUCUAAUUCUCAUUCCCUAUUCAGAUUCCACAUUCCAGCCUAUUUCGAUUUCUGUCCAUUUAAUUCAUGGGAAGUAAAUGCACCAUUUGUCUGUUGCUCUUAUUAAAUAUAUCUUUUAUGGAUUUGAUACAAGAUUUGAAAUGUUAUUUAGAGAUAUGUAAUUACUUGUUGGCUCCAUUCACUACAGCAAGGCUACAAAUCUUGAUGGGACAUUCGCCCCUGCUUGGAUAGGUUAUGGAAAUGCUUUUGCUGCUCAAGAAGAGGGUGAUCAAGCAAUGUUGGGUUAUCGCACAGCUGCUCGUUUGUUUCCAGGGUAAUUUUUAGCAUUAUAUAUUCAUUUCUGUACCUUUCUAAUUUUUCUUUCCUUGGAUCAGCAUAUUCAUGCAAUGAGGACAAGGACAAAGCCACUAACUUGCUUUUGAGCAAGUUCCAGAACACUUUUGGAAUUUAAUUUUUGGCUUUCUUUUUCCUUUUUGGGUAUCUGAAAGAUAUCCUAAGGGUUGGGUUUGGUUAAUUGUGCUUAUCUUGAUAUCACUCAAUUCUCGUUCAAUUGAAGAACAGUGUGCUUUGGGUGUAUAAUCAUGUGGAUAAAAUAUUUUUUUGGUCCCCCACAUUUCUAUUAGGUUUCAUGUAAUCCUUGAAAUUUCAACUGCUUCAUCUUAAUCUGUUUCAAGAGCACUGUCGCUAAAAAAAUUGGGUUUCAUGGGUCGUCAACCAAGAUAUUUUUUUUUUUUCCCCUUUUGAUUUAGUAAAAGUUUUUUACUCAGAUUAUGCCCUACAUGUUUAAUAAACUGUUUUACCAAUAUGAACUUUUUAUGAAUGAUUCACAUUUGAAUUCCAUAUUUCUUCCUGAGAAACGUUGUAAGUUGACUAAAAUUAGUCUUAAAUGUAAUGUCUUUCUAUUUUGGUGAUAAACCACACUGUCAUGAGUAGUUAUAUGGUCGUAAAGAUCAACGAAUUUCAUUGUUUAUUGUUUAGUGAUGGUAUGCACUGUGUUGUGGGAGUACUCUUAUCACUAUGAAUUGUCUUUUUACAGGUUGAAUCUUGACGUUCUCUUAUUCCAGGUGCCAUUUACCAACUUUGUACAUUGGAAUGGAGUACAUGCGAACUCACAGCUUUAAGCUUGCCGAACAGGUGUAUUGCCUUCUCCUAAAUAUAGGCUGCUUUUCAUUUUUUUCUUUAGAUUUCAGUGAGAACUCUUAAGAGGUUGUUUGUUUUGCAAUAUGGAGUCUGAUUGUUGGAUAUUCAGAUGUUGGUCUAUGUGAUUUGCUAGUUGAUGUGAUCUCGCCGGUUUCAUUUUUCUCUCUGGAUCUUUGGAUUUAAUGUGAAUACAACUUCUUUCCUCUUUGUUUAAUUGUGACAACUUUUAACUGAUGCUAAUCACAAUAUUUAUUCAUGAUUCUGAGACCUGUGUAAUUAUAAUUUUGGUCAUAUCGUCCAUUUUCCUUUGUUGUUAAAACAGGGUCUCCUUCAUCUGAAUCUCUUAGUGAUAAUUCUUUGAAUAUCUUGUUGAAAUUCUGAAUAGUUGUCCUUUCUCCAGUUUUUCAUGCAGGCAAAGACCAUAUGCCCGUCAGAUCCACUUGUGUACAAUGAACUCGGGGUUGUUGCUUACCACAUGAAGGAGUAAGGAUGUUUGGUUCACUUGAGUUGCUUUUUUCCAGUGAUAUGUUUACCUUAUUAGUUUUUCUUUUUUAAUAAUAUUAUUACUUGGGGAUAUGAAAUUUUAUCCGAGUUAAACUUGGGUGCUGUUUGGUAUUGAGAUGCUGUAGCUUUUAGGCUACAGCAGCUGUGGAAAAAAAGCCGUAACUUUUAAAUAAAAGUUAAUAGUAUGUAGUAAAUAUAAUUUUUAAAUAAUAAUUUUAACAAAAUUAGUAAUGAUAUAAUAGAUUUUUCAUCAUAUAAGUGUAAAAUCAAAUCAAAUCAACUUUCAAGCUACUUCAACUAGUGUUUAUCAAACAUUUUAGUGCUUUAACUUUUAAGAUACAGUUGUCCAACACAAUCCCAAACCAUGCCUUACAAGAAUUGUGCUCUUUUUAUUGUUAUAUGUUAUGGCUUUUGUAUGAAUUUCCAUUCACUGGUUUGACCAGCAAGUAUUUGAAACACUUGUAGGUAUAACAAAGCUGUGUGGUGGUUUGAGAAGACCUUGGCACACAUUCCUUCCUCUUUAAGUGAAAUGUCGGAACCAACUGUGGUGAAUCUUGCACAUGCUUACAGGAAAUUAAAGUAUGUUUAAAUUUGUUGGAAUAGGCUGUCUCACUUGCGUCUUCUUGUUCUAUUGCCUAUUCAAGAUAUUUUUCCUUUAUUUUAUUGUGUUUUGGUUGAAUUGUACAUGAAAUAUCAUUCAGCUAUCUAGAUUUUUUUUUUUUUUUGGCUAAAUUUUCAAAUAAAAGAUCACCUUUAUCUUGAUAAAUGCAUUUUAUUUUAGGGAUUCGAGCGUAGUUUAAUAAUGUAAGAUUUUUCAGUUUGCAUCGUAUGAGAUCAUGAGCAGCAUGAAGAUAUAAGACAGAAGUAUAACCUUCCUUAUACUAUCAUGGCUGCUUAUGAUCAGCUUUGCCUAAUAAGCUCGAGAGACUACUAGGAGCCCUAGUAGUUGUAUCUAUAGCACUUCCUAAAAGGACUUGAUGCAAAUAGUUAAAUAAGGAUAUGCCAGAUUAUGGAUUGGUCUACUCUCUACUGGGUAGUUCAUAUGCUAUUAGUUUAUAUAUUAUUCUCUUGAUGGAAUAGUAAUUUUUUUAAUGUUUGUGCUUUUUUCCUUCUUAGUAGGUGGUGGAUUUAUGUUCACUUCUGGUAUUACUAAUCUAUAAACAUACAUUUGACUUACUGUUUAUUGAACCUGAUUUUAGAAUCUAUCAUGUUUCAGGAUGUAUCACGAGGCAAUAUCCUGUUAUGAGCGAGCGCUGACGUUGUCGAAUAGAAGCUUGAGCACCUAUGCAGGUCUUGCUUACACUUACCAUUUGCAGGUAUGGUGAAUUUGUUAUUAAUUCAUUUUUCAAUGAAAACUUGUGUACCUAUGAAUAUUCUGCUGUUGUGAGGAGUAGUUAGCCAAUUAAUCCAAGUGGUAUUUGUUACCAAAUACUAGUGGAGUAGUUAGCUAAUUAAUCUAAGUGGUAUUUGUUACCAAAUACUAGUUUAUUGGAUGCAUCUAGUGUCUACUGUUUAGAGUUUAAAAAACUAUUGUCGGAUCUUCACCCUUGCAUUUAGAAAACUGCUAGAGUCUACGAUAAUGAAUUUGUUUCUUUUGGCUCUCUCGUGCAGGAUAACUUUUCUGCUGCCAUUACAUAUUAUCACAAGGUAAACUAAAAAGUACUCUUGCUGUUUCCUUCAUGUGCAAUAAGCUUACUGUCUAUCGUAGUCAUCCACUGUUGAAAGGACAACUCUAACCUGCUGCAUUUUACGAAUCACUGAUUUGCUUUUUCAUUCUAAUCUGCAAAUCAGGCACUGUGGCUGAAGCCAGAUGAUCAGUUUUGUACCGAAAUGUUAAGUUUGGCUCUUGUUGAUGAAGGUCGCCAUGGCAUUGACCCCAAGAUCGAAUUUCACUGAUAAUAUCCUUUUCCUCACCGUUGUCAUGUAUAUGUAAUUUGUUAUUCGUGCCUAUAACAGUUUUAAUUAUUUUGGUUUCUGAUUCACCCAUGGUACUGGCGAAGGGCUUUAUUGUAUAAGCAUAGGUGCGACAUCUUCAUCUAUAUUCUACGUUUUACAUUAUUAAUUUAUAUCCUCAUUUGUUGAAUCUACUUGGCUUAGAAGUGAUUUAAACUGCUUUCUUUCGCGGAACCAUUUUAUUGUAGGAAGGGAUAUUCAUAUUAUCAUUUGAUACAUCUCUUUAUCAUCGAAGUUUUAUAAUAAUUAUAUUUUUUUUUACUUAAUGUUUCAAUUUUUAUUAUUUUAUCACUAAACAGUUAAGUCCAUUAAGAAAUUAUUGAUUUCACAUGAAUAUUGCAGGAAUUUUAGUUUAUUAAGCUAAGAGUUUUAUAAUUACGUUAAAAAAAUUAUAAUUACAGUUUUCGGAUGGUGAUGAUACGAAUGACCGGAGUGUGAGGCAACAAACGUGGGAAAAUGGAGGAGAGAGAAAUGGAAGCUUGUGGGUACAGCUUGAUGGUGGUAACGCUGUUGGGAGUCCUAGGGAAGAAGAAGAUUGAAUACUGCUGACGGUCGAACUAGUUUCUCUAUUGCCAUUUUUGUUGGCAUCAAAUAGGAAGAAAAAAAAAAUGUGGAUUAAAAAAGGAUGAGGAAGGGCAUAAAAGAUUUGCAGAGAACAGUGAGAAAAUAUGGCCUCCUUUCCUUUGUGCAUCCACAUUUUAACUGUUCUCUGUUGUAUGCUCCAAUUAAUAACAGAUGCUAUUGGGGGCAAUAAACUGAAGGGUGUAACUUGGUGUUGUAUCAAAUAUGCUGUCAAUGGAAAUAAUGAUUCUUUAUGAUUCAAGCACAUUGGUCUGGUAGGUAGGAAAAUCAUUCAACUAAGGAUUGUGAUCGUACCCACUUUGGUCUCUUUUUGGAAUUAUUGACCAAAUAAAGAGCUUUGAAACGAUCCUUUAGCACGUGGAAUUUGAUUGCAGGCUUGCGGCAAAUAAAAAAAUAAUGGCCGAGGUCCAGGCCGAGGCAUCAUUAUGGUUGCCCAUACAUACAUUGGAUAAUUUGAUUGCGGGAUCCGGUCUAGAACUCGGAUUUUAUUAAUAAAAUAUAUGUUAUUUUAAAUUUUUAUUUUUAUUUGACUCAUAAAAUUUUAAACACUUAAAAUUUAUAUUUUUAUUUAAAAUUUCAUUGAAAUAAAUUUAAAACUUAUAAAAUUUAAAAAAGAAAUACAUAUAUAAUAUUAAAAAUAUAAAAUCUUAGUACAAAAACCCGGAUCCGUGUCGGGCUUUUUAAGCCCGGCCGGGAUGUAAAUCAACUAGCAGUAGCAUCCGCAAAAUUAAUCAUAUAAGCUGGAAAAAUGAAGAAAAAAAAUAUUGAUUUGAUUUAGUAAAACUUUGGUCAAAUUGGAUUUAGAUGGAAGUCAUUAGAACUAGGGUUGGCAAAACACACAAGGGUUGGAAAAGGGGUUUGGUUUCCAUAUAUUUAAUAUUUUAUUCUUAAAAAUAUAUUAUAUAUCAGUAUAUUUAUUAGAAUUAAAUACAACAUUUUAUGAAUCUAAAAAUUUGUGGAAAUGGUCGAAUAUAUGCAUGGGGGACCAUUCAUAUAAAUUUAGAUAACUUUUUUUUCACUUCUCAUCUCUCUUAAUUAAGUUUCAAACAUAUGCGAAAUGAUUGUUGUAGCGAAGACGAUGAACUAGAGGAACAAAAAUGAUGACCCAAAAAAAAACAAAAAAACUAGAUAUUUGCUUAUAUAUUGCAAUGAUUUUUGACGCGCUCGUUGUAGGAUUAUUUUAAACAAAUUUAUUAACCACUUAUUUAUUGUAAUAAAUGCCCGGUAUGAGCUUGAUGUUGUAAUAUUAUCUAUUUGCAAUGAAAUGCAAUUUAUGUAAUAAUAAAAAAUCUAGAUUUAUUAUGGCGAAAGAUUAGCACAAAUCGAAAUCUAUGUAAAAUCUAUUCCAUAUAAAGAAAUGGGUAGAAUACAACUAACAAAAAAAAAAAAAUCUAAGUAAUUGCUUAAGAGCAAAUUAAUGUACAUUUCUAUGUCAACUCAAAAUAUUGUCCAAUUCAAAAAUUGAUUGCUUUCACGUAAUUAUCAUAUCAUCAUCUAAUAUUUACGUGACAAAACAAUUAACUAACUAUUUUAUUCGAUUGAAUUGGAGAUUUCUCAAUUCAACAAUAGAUUUUAUUUUAUUUUUAAAUAUUAAAAGAUGUUAAUAAUGUUACUUGUUGAUUACGUAUGUAAUUUAUGGUUAUAAUAUUGGUGGGAGUUGUGUCGUAAAUAAUAAAAGAGAAACGAAAAAGUCAAAUGUGAAUCUAUCAUAGAGUUAACAUAGCAAAUGAUAUUAAAACAAAUUUGCCCUUAUCAAUUGAAUCAUGCAUGCGUUUGUUUAAUAUUUGUUAUAAUGAUCAUCAAUCGGCAUUAGAAUCUUCUCCCCCCAUCAAAGAAUCUCGACCACUGAAUUCAACUGAUGGGAGGACACUUUUUCAGAAUUUCAUUUUCACAGAAUCAAUAAUAAAGGUCGGCUGGUGGGGGCUCUACAAUUAUUAGUGGCCUUUCAUUUUCAGAUGGGCCUUUUAAACUUCAAGAUUUGAUCUUCUUUUGCCCUCUUUACAAACGAAUGGCCGUUAUGCGGCGCGCAACGAAUACUUCAUGUCAAUUUUUGCCCAUUUAGGUGGCUAUCAUGUUACUGUUUAUACUUGACAAAUUCAAGCUUAUUUAUUAUUAAUUAGUAUUAGAGUCAUUAUAACACAUGCUUUUCGCAUUUUUGCCAAAAUUAAUAAUAUCUCAGUCUAUGUCCUCCUACUAUUUGGGUGCCACUUGCCUGACCAACGCGUGGUUUCGUUUUCAUGGGGCCGGCGGCCCGGAGAGGAUACUUCUUGGCAUUUUCCAUAUACGGUGACCCAAGAUUUACUUCUUUUAGGCAACAUGUCAAAUUGUUGCAUUUGUAUAGACCAUAAUUCACAGUUCUUUUUUUUUUAAAUCCAAAUGUGGAAGCUGAGUGGCUACUUUUUUCUGUUGUGAAGGUGACCAAAUCCAGAAAGGUAGAUGCAUUGGUGAAUACUGAAUACAACAAGUAAAAAGAUGUUGACGAGCCCAAGUUUGAUGUCAACGCAUUUACAAUUGUUCUCGACUUGUUUUCAAUUUUUUUAAAGUUACAUACUAUAAUAAAUUCAUUGUCAACUUGAUCAAUAAUUUGAAGUUUGAACAGUAGAUCGUUCUUUGUUGUUUUCAGGUAAUGACUUAAAUUAAUAUAAUUAUUUGACGCAAAGAUAAAAACCUACCAUAAAUAGUGAAGAAUUUUGGUUGAUCAAAUAACUAUAACUCAACUGAAUCUAUUCAAUUCAUUUGAGAAAAUCUUAAUAGUUUCUUUGUUCUUGAUUUGAAUGUGAAAAGAGAGCGUGCAAAAUUUAUUUUUGAAAAGGUGUUAAAAUCAGUUAAGAGCCGGUGACUUUUGGCUUGAAUUUUUGAAAAUUUAAGACUAUGAGAUAAAUAAUUAUGUCAAUUAAUUAAAUCAUGACUUGGGCACCACUUUUAAUUCUAAAAUACGUAUAACAAACAAAAAAAGAAAGAAAAAUGCCAAACAUAUAACAUAUAACGUAUUUAAAAAAAGAAAAUUUAUAAGACUAGAAGGGACUUUAAAUUUUUAAAUAAACUAAAUAAAUAUAUUAUUUUCAAAUAAAAUUUAAAGCGAAUGAGGCCGAGCGCAUGGCAAGGCAGUUCAGCCCAUGCUCAGGUCACAGUCAUUCAUUCAGACAGCAUAACAAACGAAACAUGCUAUAAAUACCCAACGGAAAUCUAAUUAAAAGCAAUAAAAGAAGAUUGUUAAUGUUGCGAGAGAGUAUCAAACUCCUCUUAAUAAGCGUAAACUAUACCUCCUCGUGAUAUUAAAUUAUGGGUUUAGCCAUUUGACUUACGGAAACUAAAUAAAACAAAUAAAUAAAUAAAUAAAUAAAACCACCAUGAACGAAUUUAGAGCGGAGAUCAAUAAAGAAUCAUAAAAUAAUAAUAAAGAAAUAUAUUAACAUAAAAUAAUUCUUCGGAUUGCGAAUGAGAUUCAACACCGUGGGCAUUUGCAGUUUUGAUAAUCCAAGAUCUCCGCCGCCCAUCAUCCGAAUCAAGAUAAGAAAUUCCACAACACCCCACCCAAUUCUAGGGAUGCAACUGCCAAGUAUACUGUGCAGGACACGCACCCCCCUUUCAAAGAUUCUGGGCCACCCUGAAUUUUUGGGACCCAUCACACAUACCCACUACGGCUAAUAGUAACACUUUUGUGGGUCCCACUGGAAUCCCUUACCCAGAUUCAUAUCAUCACUAUCAUUAUUAUCUCAUUGCUGUCUGCCGUCUGCUGACCAUUGAUUUUUUUUAAAAAAAAUAAAAAAACACAACCCCGGAAGCUUUUACCUUACCAUUUGGAGCUCGGGUCGAGCAGCGGGCAACGGGCAACGGGCAACGGGCUGAUCAACUGUACUUUAGAAGCUAACGAACAGAGUUUUAUCAUUCUUGCUCCUUGGAUUCUUUCUUAUUAAUAAAUUAAAAGGCUAUUAUUUUUAUUUCCAUAAAAUGGUCCCUACUUUUUCAUUUUGUUACAUUUUAAAGAGCAAUUAUCAUGCACAGCUGAAGAUAAUUUCUACCCUUGAAUUCUUGCUUUUAUUAGAUGAGAUCAAACCAAGCAACCUGUCCUUUACAAACAUUCGUUAUUCUAAUAAUUGAUUGAGUGGUGAAUAUUUCAAUAAGUGUGAGACAAUAUAUAUUUUUUUAACAAAUUCUUACAAGAUAUUAAUUGUUAAAUAUGUGAGUUGGACCAAAUAUAACAUUAACAUGGUAUUUAAAAAGUUCAAAUAUUAAGAAAAGUCUUGAUUAGAUUAUUUUAAUGAGAUAUUAUAACAUAAUCCAUCAAAUUCAAAUUCUAUGUGUGUGUCAAAUAAUUAUUAUAUAGUAAUAUUUAUUGAAGUCAAAUUUAUUUAGUCAUCUGAGACAACAUUACGAUGGUUCAAACCUAAUAAAAGUAAUAAAUAAUAAUAAUAAUAAUAAUCAUAAUCAUGUAGUUUGGACAAUAGUUAAUUAAUUAAUUAAGGAUCUAAUUAAUAUGGUGUGUCAAAGUAAGCGCUUAUUAAUUAAACGUAAGAAAUUAUAAGGAGCUAGGUGAUAAAAUUGCACUUCAACCUGGCCACCGCGCAAAUUUUGAUAAAACAAGAACAAUAAACACAACGAUCUUUUUUUCAGAAACACGUCAUUCCAAUUUCGUUUACUUUUCCUUUCUUUUCUCCUUCUCAGUUCAGAAUUUAGCGGGAGAACCCAAAAGAAUUUCUCUCCUGUCUGUCAAAUCUCUGUCCGCUUCCCUGUCCAUCAACCCCUUGAAACUUGAAUUUUUUUUUUCUCCGAAGGGGAUGCGGGCAGGUUGCUGAAUAUUUAAUUGUAAUAUAACGCAGUUUUAAGACUUUAGAGACAUUUUUUCGAGAGUGUUUAGAAGAAAACCCUUUUGGGACAUUACUACUUGUUGGAGUUUUCAAUUAAUUAUUAAAAAAGAUUUGGACUUUUGUUAUGGGUUUUCUUGUUGAUUCUCAAAGGGAUGGUGGCGGUGAUGGUGGUUAUGGAAUGUUUGGUUGUUGCGUGAGGACUUUGGUGAGAAGGAAACAGGUGGAUUCUGUGCAUACCAAGCCUGAGAGGAGCCAUCAAAAAUUGGCCAAGAAUUUGACUAUUCCUCACCUUGUUGCAAUUGGUAACUUAUCUAAUGUUUGGGAAAACCUGAUCUGGGCUUUUGGUGUUUACUUUAAUGGAUUUGUGUGAUUAUUAGACUUUUCCGCUCCCCCUUCCCCACCCCCCAAACCAAAUAGCUGAGUGUUUUUGAUAGAUUAUGCUCUUGUAGCUUGGAUUAGUUGCUUAUUUGGUUUUGCUUUGAAAAUUUUCAUUUUUGAUUGCAGCUCAUAUAUUCAAUAUUUCUUUAUUAGGUGGUGAUAUAAUAAAUUCCGGACUUUUUUUUUUUUUUUAAAAGCUGGAUCUCACUAUUUAUUUCUCGUACGAACUCUGGUUAGGUGUUGGCUCAACAAUUGGAGCUGGAGUAUAUAUUCUUGUUGGAACGGUUGCUAGGGAGCAUUCAGGACCGGCACUCGCCCUUUCGUUUCUUAUAGCUGGCAUAGCUUCUGCUUUUUCAGCAUUUUGCUAUGCUGAGCUUGCAAGUCGUUGCCCGUCUGCUGGGAGUGCGUAUCAUUAUUCAUACAUAUGUGUCGGAGAAGGGUAAAUCCUUAUUGCCUUUAAUAUUGGUACAACUCGUAAUAGUCAUUUCUUAUAGAUGUAGUUUAUUGAUUCAUAAUAGUGGAUCUUGUUUCUGAAGUGGGAUAAACUAGUGAUUAGCUGGGGUAUGGUAAUCCUUAUUAAUGUUUUGGUCUAUUAAAUUGAUUAACUUAGUUGAUGUUCUUCUCCCUUUAAAAUUGCUUUGAUAUGCCUGAAGUUGGUGAAUAUAUGUUGUAUUUUGGCAGUGUUGCGUGGUUGAUUGGCUGGGCCCUGAUACUUGAGUACACAAUUGGCGGGUCAGCUGUUGCUCGUGGCAUAUCCCCGAAUCUGGUCUGGUGAAUUUUAUUGAACUUUCAUUGAAUAUUUAUUUACUUUAGUUGUUACCAUUGAGUCAUUAUGUUUUGCACUAUCCAUUAAAUUGGAAUGGCUUAAUUGUAUUGUUUGUUCAUUUAGCAUGUUUACUUUUUCCUUUCAUGUAUUUUCUGUGUGUUACCUUUUUGACAACUAAUCAUCUUUGUAUUGAUUUGAAUUCAUCUAUUUUCUGAGGGAGGUUUACAGUUGCCAAUGCAUUUUAAAUGUUUCUGUUCUUAUUUUGUUGUCAUUAAUGAUUAUAGGCUAUGCUUUUUGGAAGUGCCGAUAGUCUUCCUUUCUUUUUGGCUCGUCAACAAAUUCCUGGGCUUGGCAUUAUUGUUGAUCCCUGUGCUGCAAUUCUUGUACUUAUUGUUACUGGGCUCCUGUGUGUCGGAAUCAAGGAGGUAUCCAUUUGUUCCUUUCAAUUCUAUUUAUAUUUCUUUUAUCACUUUUUUUAGCCCCUUUUUGAGUAUAGUUGGCUUCUUUUACUUAAAAGAUGAGAACUCUUAUGCAGAGUACCAUUGCACAAGCUAUUGUUACCACUGCCAAUGUACUUGCUAUGCUGUUUGUCAUAAUAGCCGGUAGUUAUCUGGGAUUCAAGGCAGGAUGGUCUGGAUAUGAACUUCCUACUGGGUAAGGGGAAUCUCAUAUUCUAUAUUACUGAGGUAAGAUGGUUUUCUUUAAAAUUAAUUGGAUAUCUUUGACUUGAUAGGUAUUUCCCCUUUGGGGUCAAUGGGAUGCUUGCUGGGUCUGCAACAGUCUUCUUUGCAUUCAUUGGUUUUGAUGCAGUUGCCAGCACUGCUGAGGAGGUAUAUAAAGUUUUUUCCCCCUUGCCCAACCCUUUAUCCUUUUCUGGUAGCUUGCAGUUACUUUUGUAGGAAUGCCUUGAUGGUUUAUAAAAGUUAAUUUUCACAUGUGAAUCAUUCUGUCAGGUGAAAAAUCCUCAACGAGAUUUGCCAUUGGGUAUAGGAACUGCACUGUCUAUUUGUUGUGCAUUAUACAUGCUGGUCUCCAUUGUCAUUGUUGGUCUGGUACCUUAUUAUGAAAUGGAUCCUGAUACUCCAAUCUCCUCUGCAUUUGCAAGCCAUGGGAUGCACUGGGCUUCGUGAGUUUAUAAUUCUGGUUAAAACCCACAAUGCAUUAUAUUUUGUUCCGUAAAAGUUCUUAUUAUUGUUAUUACUGUAUUUUCGGGUUGCAGAUAUGUGAUAACUAUUGGAGCUGUUACUGCACUUUGCUCAACAUUAAUGGGUUCAAUUCUUCCUCAGGUAAUGCUUAAGAUUUCCUUCUAUGGAAGCACAAUUGUUGUAUCUGCUUCAUGCUCCAUGCUCCAUGAAGCUUUUAAUGGGAUGAUGUUACUGCAAUGUUAAUGAUCCACAUCCAUGAUUGUUUUGAAACUUUGGGAAAUGGUCCAAGAUAUUUUUUUUUAUUUAUGUUGGAAGAAACAGUGCUUGAUAUAGAUGAGUCUUUUGGUUUAUCUACUUUCAAAGGGUUGUUCUCCUAUUUCUGUUCGUUUCAUGUCUGCUGGACUUCCUGACUGGUAAAUUGCUUGAAUAGAACUGGACAAUGUACACUAGACUGCUAUCUUAUUGUUUGCUGAUUCAUAAUGAUUUUAUUGAGAAGAUACUAUCUUAAAAAUAAUUUUCUUAUUGGAUAUACUAUCAUCUUCUUUUCCAUCAAUGAGUUAUAUGAUUUACUUUUCUUAGCUUUGUUAUGCUUGUACGAACCCCAAUUUUUUCUGCUUUUUACCCAGAAUUAAGUACUUGAUUUCUAUGUAACUAACAUGGAUGUCCUUCAUCUUUCAUCAUAUGUCCUUUUCAGCCACGAAUUCUGAUGGCAAUGGCUAGAGAUGGAUUGUUGCCACCAUUCUUUUCAGAUGUUAAUAAAACUACACAAGUUCCAGUCAAGAGUACUAUUGUGACUGGUAUUGUUGCCGCAGCAUUGGCAUUUUUCAUGGAUGUUUCAGCAUUGGCUGGAAUGGUGAGCGUACGGUUGUUGUAAUUAGGCUCUGAACUGUGUUGUUUGAUGGUCUUUUAUUAUUAUUUGAUUUUAGUGUUUUUUUACCCAGUGCCAGCUAAAUUUCAAUCAAAAACCUCUCCAUGGAUAUCUCUCAGCCAUAGUCCUGAUAUUUAACACCAUUUUUUGUCCAAAGUAACUAUUAUUCAUGGCUGUUUUGAGUAUCUAUCAGAAACCUCUCCAUGGAUAUUUUUCUUUUGUCCCCCUAUAAAAGCUUUUUUCAGUGUUUGUCUAAAUGAUGCACCUACUGUGGGUGCCAAUGUCAAUGAAGUACAUUUUAGUAUGCAAUAGGUUUUGCUGGCUAGAUUUCUGGGUCAUGUUACCGGCAGGCUGUUGAAUUAUUUGGUCAUAAACAGUACGCCAGACAGUCAAAUUAAUAUGGAUGCUGAGUUCUCAAUUGUUGCUCUUUGUGCAGGUCAGUGUGGGGACACUUCUUGCUUUUACUAUGGUGGCGAUUUCUGUAUUGAUUCUCAGAUAUGUCCCCCCCGAUGAGGUGCCAGUUCCAUCCACACUUCAGUCAUCAAUUGAUUCUGUAUCAUUGCAAUUUAGUCAGAGUUCUCUGUCUAUUAGUGGGAAAAGCCUUGUUGAUGAUGUUGGUACUUUGAGAGAAACUGAGCCUUUACUUGCCAAAAAGGGUGGAGCAGUCAGUUAUCCUCUUAUAAAACAAGUUCAAGGUAUUAUGCAACCUUCGUAUUUGGUUAUCUAGACCUUCACAAUAUGCAAUUUUUUUGUAAAUUUUCAAAUUAUUAGGUGCAGUUUAUUGUUGGUUGGUCAAUAGCUGCUCCGAUUGGGGUGACUGAAUGCACUGUGUGGUAUUUUCCUAAUUUCAAAAGUAAAUAUAUUCUUAACUUCCAUGUGCAAGUAUUAUUGAAAUGCUUAAGCAGAAUAUGAAAAGCUGUGUUUUCCAAUGUAAAUUACAUCCGUUUGGAGUGUGUUUGAACUAUGAUACGUUCACCCAUCAUAUUUAAACUUAUGGAGGUUGGAUGGUGCUGGACUCUUGGAUAUAUUACUCUCCAGAUUCCCUUGAUUAUCUUCUGGGUUCUGCUUAAGUGUUUAAUUAUGUUUUAUUUGACUAUUGCAGACAUUUUAAAUGAAGAGAACAGGCGAACAGUUGCUGGAUGGACUAUAAUGUUUACAUGCAUUGGGGUGUUUGUUCUUACAUAUGCAGCUUCAGAUUUGAGCCUUCCAAGGUGAGUCUAUCUUGAGAGCCUUUGUCAAGCUGCUCUCAUACUGAUGGUUUUGUAUUACAAGCUUAUAUAUUCUCACGCAUGUCUCCGUGUUUAGCUUAAAAAUGAGAAUUAAAGGAAAAUGAUUGUAUUUUUUAUAAAUGAUUUUAUGGAUUGAUUAUGAAAAUUCACAAUCUAAGCUCAAGGAAAAUAAGCUUUAUGAAGAAUUUCUCAGUCUUGACGGAUCGAGUCCACCAGUAAACAUACUCAGAAAGAGGACAGAGGAAGAGAGCAAUGUGUCUUAUAGCAGAAAAGAUACUCCCUUCACUAUUUCUUCAGGCUGAGUUAAACCUCUAGUAUUGUACUUAAGUUUAGAGGGAAAUUUUGUGCCUCCAUACCUGAAAGACCAUUCCUAUUUUAAUAUGUUUUCUGUCAUCCUUCUGUAGACGUUUAUUUGAAGCAGUUUUGCAGUUCAGUAUUUUGGUUGUCUUUCAAAUUGUUUAUUUUUCUUCCAGGCUUCUCCAGUUGACUUUGUGUGGAAUAGGUGGUGCUCUUCUUCUAUGUGGUCUGAUUGUUCUGACCUCUAUAAAUCAAGAUGAGGCCAGACAUAAUUUUGGGCAUGCAGGAGGUAUGGUAUUUAUUCCAAAUUUUGAGUUAUUCAUGAUAAAUUUGGUUUAACUUGACCAAAAACUAACUUGCAUCGCGCGCAUCCACCAGCCAUUGCUGUGAGAAGGAUGCAAACAUGCUAUAAAUGAAUAAUAUUUUGAGUCAUCUAAGGAUAUUCACUAGCAAUUUCUUCUAAACUGUUUUAGAAUGAUAGAAUUUUCUGGUAUAAUCUCUAAUCACUAUGAGCUUCCAAAUUAUUUCAGUUGUGAUUUUAGAGAUUCAGUUCAUCUGGUUCUUGCGGCACUUAUUUGCUCCAAAAAGACAAGCCAGAACUUUUCUUGGGUCACAACAUAUACAGGCUGUAACUGUGUUCAAUCUAGGAACAAGUCGAUUAAGCUAACUAUAUAUUUGUGUUCACUGUCGGUUUCUUAAGCCAAUAUGGUAUCUGCAUGCAUGUAAAAUCAUAUUACAAUAGAUUAAUUCUAUCUAUUCAGUACUUGGUUUCUUUUAACUUAUAUGGGUUUAAUUUGGUAAGAGAUUGUCUUCAUUUAUGGUUAAUCAACAUGGAAUAUUGUUAUCUUUUCAGGUUUCAUGUGCCCAUUUGUUCCACUGCUGCCUAUUGCCUGCAUACUUAUCAAUGUCUACUUACUCAUUAAUCUGGGGUGAGUUUCCAGUAAAUCAAUUUGCUGUUUGUGUAUUCUUUAGACCUUAAGAAUUUAAAUGGUAUUUUGGUUUAUGGAUGAAUGCUUUUGAAUUUUGAUUAGACUUUUUUACAUUGUGCCUGGUUGUUUCAUUGUCCAACUGCGGCUCAGUUUUGCAAAGUAUUACUCCAUUUUAUUCUUUUGCCUAAUGUGUCCUGUUAACUUUCAGAUCUGCCACCUGGGCACGUGUUUCAGUUUGGCUUAUCAUUGGAGUUCUUGUUUAUGUAUUUUAUGGCCGCACCCACAGCUCAUUGCUGGAUGCAGUCUAUGUCCCUGCGGCUCAUGUUGAUGAAAUAUACCGUAGUUCUCGAGAUUCUUUCCCUGCAACUCAUGUGGAUGGAACUUACUGCAGGUCUCGAGAUACUUUGCUGGCUUAGGUGGUUUAGGUAGCCUGUAAGCUAAACUAGCUUUACAGAAGAUCUCCCCUGAAACUUCCCUUGCAAAUACUUGUAAUAUUAUUGUGGCUGGGCUGAUGAGUUGAAUUCAGCCUCGCGUUUGUAUAGUAUCCAUUGGUGGUCAUCAUUAGUUUAAUGGCCUGUGGACCAGAAACAGUGUAAAUAAUUUUCCAAUUGAAUGAUAAAUUUCUUUCUCCAGCAGUUCCAACAGUUUGCCUUUUUGGUAUUUUACUGGUUAUUCACCAAAAGCUGGGUUUCCUACACAAUCUGAUAAUUUUGACUUAACCGAAGCAUGUCAGUUAGCAGUAGUAAUCUGAUGAAUAGUAUGAGACCAGAGCGAAAAUUGCUUUUAUUAUGGAAAAAAGUUAUUAUGCAAGCAUAUACAGCUAUUUCGCAGGUUGAACGUCCAUUAACCAGCCCAAGAAAAAGGCUGUAUGCAUUAUGCCAUUAUCAUAUUACUAAACACAAAUAUUCAUCAGAAUAUUACAACAGAUAUUACAUGGAUGAGUUAAUAAACAAUAUCAAUCUAGGAAGGUUCUCAAGAGCAAUUGUUAAUAUUGCACCAAGCAUGAACAUUAGAAUGAAAGCUAACAAUAUUUUUGCAAUAUACAGAGAGCUGAUUCCCGGUUUUGAAACUCUCUUUGUUGGAUGUGUGCCACCAGAACUCUGCAAAAAUGUCAAUAAAAUAUUUUAGUUACCAAGGGUCGUGCUAGGAAGAAAAUGUCAACAUACCAAGACAAUGCAAAAAAUUACACGAAUUAUAUGCAAAUACUGGGCUCAAGGUCAAGGAGCAGAAGUUUCCAAGAUACUGAGCAAAAAUUCAACCACAUCGGUAUGGCAGCCAAAAAAUAAUUACUAAAAGUAGAGAUCCUUCUAAACUGACACUUCUGGUUGUACAUGUUUCAGAUUUUGUCAUUUGAUACACUUACAACAUACACACAACGGUAUUGACUACAGAAGCGAUAAGUAGGAAAAUUAAGAAAAUUAGCUUAAGAAUGUAUCAUUGUGCAGCUUAACUCAGCUACAGGGUGCUAAGAAGAGAAGAGGAAGACCGAAAGUUACAGCUUGUUGAGUCUAUGGAAAAGGAAAGAAUGAACCUUGAUUAAAAAAUUACAUCUUAAAGACAUUUAAAUGAAAACAAAUAAAAUUACAACCAGACAACUGCAACAGAGCUUCACCAUGGAUUUCCACAGAUAGGAUUCUGAUUUCAUGUAGAUUAUUCAUAGUUCUCUUCAUUACUGUUAAUUACCAUUUAACCGUAGCACCAAGGCGAGAGCAUUUCAAUUAAAAGAAACCAAAAAUCUAUAACAACAUAGUGCAUAAGAGUUUAACAUCAAAUUACAAAAACAAUGAUGCAAAGCAACUUAUAAGAGUUUAACAUCAAAUUACAAAAACAAUGAUGUAAAGCAACUUAUGAUAACAUGGAUAAGAAUCAAGUCUAACUGGUGGUACAGUCCAAAAAGCUACAAUAUCAUUAAGAUUCUCAUGUUCUAUAAAUUAGAACUUAAGAGGAUAAAUAAAAUUGUCUAGGUUAAGUGUUCUAAGGGACAUGAAGAGUAUAUAUACAUAUAUAUCCUGGGCGCUUAGUGGUAUUUAGUAGUAAGAAAUGUAAAUUUACAUGGACCUGGACAUAUGAGCUGAAGCAUUCAAAAAGAUCUAGUGGAUUUGUAUGUUUUAACAAAAAUCUAAUGACUGAUAUAUCACCUUUCAACUUAGAAUCUUGAAACCCUUAAUUAAGAAAAACCAACUUGAAAAAUAAAUGGCAGAUAACAAUUGGAUUCAUACCUCUAUCUGUGCCGGAAUCCCUUCUCCUUUUGUAACACCUUCUUCAAGAAGGAAAUAAAAUCAGUCUAAGCAAACUUAAAAGUAAUCAAACUAUACAUUCAACCAACAAUAACAUAAAAAGGGGGGAAAAAAAUUUCAAGCUCAAAAAAAUAAACUUUACCAGCAUAAUCUACUUCAGUAACUGUUCGCAACUUCCAGCCAGUGCCAUAAUCCACAAGAACGGCAUCAGGGCCAAAAUUGACCGGCUCCUCACCUUCUUUGACUGCUUCAAUAUGCAAAGCAAGAGGGCUCCCAAGAUCCAACUUCCUAUUGAUCAAAUUCACUGCAAAACUCGAUUUUGUCCCAGCUGCAUAGCGGGUUUUCUUACCGGAACUUCUGCAUGUAACCUCCAGAAACUGGUUCAAAUAAUAAAUUAACAUCACCAUGCAAUCAAUAGAACGUCCCACUAGCUAUAUCCAUAUUGCUAGUGAAUGUACAUCGGAUUAUUAUUAGCUUGUGGUUGAAUAUUCAUCUGAACAAAAUGGACCCAUAUGUGAUCAAAACAAAUAAAUAAAUAACAAAAAAAUGCAGGAGCACGAACAGAAAAUUUUACAUUUUUCCAAAAAAAAAUAAAAAAUGAAAGAGAUAAAGAUAGAGAGGGAAUCACAGGCGGAGGCAAUGGAAGAUUGGCUUUUGAUGACUCUUCAUCCGCCAUUAGUGAAUGGCUGCAACUGAAUUGUGUUUUUCACUUCAAAUAUUAUUGUUAGUAUUAAUAAUUAAUUAAUUACACUUUUUUCAUUUUUCAAUAGUAGUUCCCUUUGUCAACCCCGGGAGUUGUAUCGGGCUGGGCCUUUGGAUAGACCCCACGCAUUUACCUUGUAGCCAUCUACGCUUUUGUUUAGAACUGAAUCGUGCUGCACAAAUCCGGAUAAAUUUUUGAGUAACAUUUAGAGAAUACAAACUCUUAUACAAAUUAUUUUUAUACAAAUUUGUGGUAUGAUAUGAUCGGUUAAAUAAAAAUAUAAAAUAAUAAAAACAUAUCAUAGACCAAGUGCUAUCUUCAUUCAAUUUCUCAUGUCAUUUCACAUCAAUUUGUAUAAAAUAAUUUUAUAGUUACAUCAUUGCUCAAAUUUUAAAAUUUGGGAUGAAAUUUUAGAAUAUGUAAUCUGCACAUGCAAUGAGGAUCCUAAUUUGCCUAAACGGAAUGUUAUUUGAAAUAGUUACAAAUGAAAUAUAAAUGUUUGAAUCUAAUUUACAUAUGAGGCUAAAAAUUUUAUUAGAACCUUGUUUGCAUCUAAGGUUUUAAAUUAUAUCCUGGUAAAUCAAACACUCCCGAAAUGAUUUAAUAAUUCAAUGCCAUUGAAACAUGAAAUUUAAUUAAGAGAGGCAUAAAUUGCUAAUUCUACAUGCACUUUGAGACAAUAUGAAGAGCAAAGUCCCACCACUAAAGCAAUUGAUUCCCCAUGGAUCAGUGAUUCCCUUGUUUUUUUCUUCAAAAGGCCGGAGCUAUGAACAUGGAUCCUCAUUUAAAAAUACUUUUGAAGCUUGCAUUGCUUUUAGGGAAAGACAUCAGACAAACGAAGAAGAUAGAAUAACUCAUCAAUAAACUAUUUCAAAAGCCCAAGAAAGAAAACUAUAUUGCCUGCAUACAUAUACAACUAUAUUUUUCCUCUGGUUAAAUGGCAAAUAAAGCAGAUUCAUCCUUAAAAGUCUGGAAAAUGGAUGCCUUCAACAAGUGCUUGACAAUGCAUGUAAAUUUAGCGGGUCUCCCAAUCUUUCAACUUCUUGCUUCCUUGGGGUUUCGCUAUAGGUGCAUUCAUCCCUGCCAUUUUCGCAUUGUACUUGGCCCGAAGAGGAUCAUUGUACGUCCACCUGAAGAAUGCACAAAGAUACAGUCAAAGAUUGCAAUGAUUGUUAAGAAACUAAAAUCAAAACUGAAACCAAAUAUGGUGACAAAAUUACUCUUCCAUUUUUCUGUUCUUUACUGAUGCUAAACAGAACAGCACAAAUGUAAACCAAAACAGCGGCGAAAAAAACUUAAAAGGAAAAUAGACCAAAAUUACUAAGCAUAUCUACACAUUCCAGUGGAAUUACAACCUAAUAAGCAGUUAACAUAUAAAAGGUUUAACAUACUACUUCAUGAAAAUAAAGGAGCAAACAUAUUCAUCAACUCUAGAAGGAUUUGCUCCAUAGAAUUGAAACACAAGUGAGGACAAGGAAAAUAAUUCAUCAGCAAUCAGAAAAAUCAAAAUUAACCAAGAAUUAUACAAGUUUUAGUGCAAUCAAUAUCAGCAAGAUCCCUUGCCAUUAAUAAAAUCAUUUCUUUCUGUCGAUACAGAAUUAAGUUUCUUUUGGAUAAGGAAAAAUCAUUAUUUCAGGGGAAAAAAAAAAGUUUUAAGUAUUGUGCACAAUAUUUGUUAAUUCCUAUCAUGUUCUUCAGCCAAUAAAAUGUUUUCGCAAUCUUCAAGAAGUUAUAAGCCAGCAUAGUCAGCAGCUAAAAGUUAACUAUCUGGAAGCCUACACCAGUUUUAUUCAAUUGCAGAGCCGAAAACUAAAAGUAAAUGCUUAUUAAAUCAAACAAGGCAGAAUAUCAACAUUGGUCAAGUGGAUGCUUAGAGUUAGUGAAUAGGAGAUGAAACCAAAGAAAAAAUAAAAUCCAAAAGAGAAUUGAACUUACGGAUUGUUCCAAUCAGUGGUAUCCUCAUUGACAAGAUGGGUCCAUUUGGUCCUCCCGCUACGACCAAAGUGCUUGACCUGCAUGACCUUGGGCAAUAUGGUCUUGUCCAUCUUAUCUUCUCCAGUGGGGGCAGAGAAAUCGCGGUGGUAAAUCUCGUCAGUUCUAACAGUUGCAGCAGUAUCAGCUGCAUCUGAUUGAAAGAAAGCACCCUUGUGGUAAUAUUUCUGCAUAAACCUCCACUUCUGCUUUGGUGGUGGAGCAGGUUUCGGGUUCCUUCUCUCCCACUCCCUUCUCUCUUCCUCUGUCAUGUUUCUCACCUUCUCAAUCUCUUCCUUCUCCUUCAACAUUGCCUCCCUGGCCUCCCGGUCCCUCUUGAUCCUCGCAAUCUCUCUCACCUUCCAAGCCUCAUAUUCCUCCGCCUCAUUAACUUCAUCAUCAGUAUCAACAUCAGCAAUAUUAGCUUCCAUUUCCAAAUUCUUCUGAAUUUCUUCAUCUUUGCGGACCUCCUCAACCAGUAUCUUCUUUGUUUCCACUUUCCUCUCCUCCAAUUUCCUCUUGGCCAAUUCUUCGAGUGCCUGUUCUUCAGCCUCAAGCCGCUCACGCUCUGCUAUGGUAUCUCUUUCCGACUUUGGCACAAACACAGGCUUCAACAUUGCAAUACCCAUUUGUUCUUCUUCUGAGUCAGUCUCAUACUCAGAUUCCUCUUCCUCCUCUUCUUCUACUGCCUCCUCCUCUUCUUCUGGGAGAAGAGCAGCCUCCUCUUGCUCCCUCUGAAGCAACUUCUCUCUGAUCCUUCUCCUCCUCUCCUCCAAUGCUUCCUCGUCCUCUUCCUCCAUAUCUAGUCCUUCUUGCCUCGUUUCCUCUUCCUCGGUUGAAACAAUCUCAGCUUGUCGAAUACGUCUAUGAUCAGCUCUAAUCUCAUCCCGAUUAUCUAUCCUACUCUCAGCCAAACGGCGUAACCUAGGAUCAUCCUUCCUGCCAAUAUCUGAAUCUUCUUUCCUCGGAAAAGCUUUAUCAAGGGCAGCUGCCCUUGACAUCCUAAUAUCAUUGUCCUCUUCGAUAUCAUCUGCCCACUCAGGGGCUUUACCAGGCCAAUACCUUUUUACCUUUGUUUGCCCGAUUUUUCCUCUAAGCUUAUCUCUAAUGGCAAUUAUAGUAUCACUAACACCAGCCGUGACCGACAUUGUUGCAAGCAGUUCAAAACAAACUCACAGAAAAGGCAAAACCUCAAAGGCAAAAGACCAAACAAAUCAAACCCUUCUGGGUCAAAACUUGAAAAGAUUACAGCUUCAAGUCCUAUAGGCUUUACCUAAGCACCCUGAAACCAAAAUAAAAAUGAUACUUAGCAGGAAUAAGCUUGAAUUCAUCACCAGCCGAGCUAUAAAGUACACAACAAUAAAAAAUUUACACUCGAUAUACGUGAAGCACUACUGACAAAAGUAAAAUUAUAUAAACAUAAAUAAAAAGUGAAGAAAACUGCACCAGUUCUAGAGCCCUCCGUCGUUUGAGCUUCAACCAAUCGAGAAAUGAAGAAUACUGAAAAUUGGAGGUUGGAAAAAAAUAAAAUAGAAAGGUGUUGUCGUUUUUCUUUUUUUAAUACCCAGUGAUGAUGAUGAUGAUCGGAAGAUCGUACGGCUGAAAUUGAUUUGAAAAUUAGGGUUUGUAAGUGAAAGUUAGGGUUCUGCGAUGGAAUCGCAAGGAGUGGCAGAAAAUUUUGCAACUAACGAAAAGAAGAACCGAGGAAAAAAAAAAAAAGAAACAGACGAUUUUAUAUUUGCUCUGGUAUUUAUAUUAUUACAAGUUUGCGGGGGGAGCAGCAAUUUAUGUAAAAAAUAAAAAUAUAUUUUGCUUGAAGGAAAUUAUAUUUUACCUAUAUUCUUGAUUUCUUGUAGAGUUAUCUACUAGAAUUUGUUCUGUUAAUUAAAUAUAUUUGUAUUAUUUGAAUUCAUUAUCUCAGUUUUCGUGGUGCUAAAAUUUAAAUAUAUGCAACCGCUUAUAAAUCAAAUAUAUACAACAAAUCAAGCUAAAAAAUUUUGUUCACCUUGGUUAAGUUGGGCAUGCAACUUUAUGUAUAGAAAAUUUAAUGAAUUAGUAGUCGUGAAAAAAAUUAUAAAUCCGAGAUAAAUUUUAACAAUAAAAGCAUUAAAGCAAUAAAAUUAUUAAAAAUAGGUUUUUGUUUCAUAAUUUACGUGUCCAAUCUAUUAAGAUACUGUGUAGUAAUUGCUUGUUAUUGAUACGAGUUAAGAAGGAUCUAAUAGACAUGAGGGUCAAAUGUGUUGCUAAUUGUUGCCUUCAAAAGGCAUCAUUGGUAAAAUGCUCAAUUCUUUAAAAAGGCUAUAUUUGACAAUUAAUUAGGUAUUAUAUAGAGUAAAAUUGAAAUAGAAUUUAAAUUUUAGUACUGGAUUUAUUGAGUAAACAGACUUUGAGGGGAGCACUCUGGUGAGUCUACUUAUUUAUUCAAAAGAAAUCAAAACUAAACAAAAGAAGAAAAAUGCCAAAAGCAAUCAUAUGUCAAAAAGAUAUAAAAUUUAAAGAUUCCUUGACAUCUAUCUCAGUCAAACAAAAUUAGUCCACCAACAGAGAUGAAAAAACACUUUUCACAGGACAUUUAGGAGAGACUGAUGAACACUAAAACCGAGUAGAAUGAAAUUAACUGGCUCUGACACAAAUGUGAUGCUAAGCUCGUCUUCAGCCAAAUGUUGCGACAAGGAAACCCUUGUAAAUACUCAUGAACUUGGCCACGAAUGCUGCAAAAAUUUAUCACCAGCAGCACCGUUAGAGAGCUUAUUUGAUUCAUCUCAAAAGCAAUAUAUAUACCAGAUCAUCUAUCUAAAUUUUUAUUACAACUAGUGAAUUUCUAGUUCAGUAAAUAAAGCAUCGAUGAGAUCGGGAGGAGUUGUGUUUUGACAAAAGAAACAUUCAAGCUCAAGAGGAGAGAUCAUGCCCACAAAAGGAAAAUUUCAAGCCUGUGAAGUUCAAUUAUAAUGCUGUCAAUUGGUGGUCACACAGUACUUGGUAGCAGUAGAUUAUAUCAUGACAGUCUCCAGAAAGAUGAAGUACCUUCAAGGUGAAAUAUGGCUUUAUUUCCACGACGCAUCUUAUGUUCCUGCAAAAACAUAAUAAGCUAAGACCCGGGUAAAGAAUACAAAAUAAAGCCAGAGAGAACAUUAUUAUCCCUGGUGAGAACCAAGAAGCUAGGCCUAGAUAACUCAGAGAAUAGUCACUACGGCUACUUUUGAAGCGCCACUGCCAUUCACUUUCCAGCAAUUUUGAGUACUUCUAUAAAAGGGAUGCUAACCACAAGCACUACUGGUGAGACCAGGAUACCAACAUCCCAACUAGAUAUCUAAACUUUUGAAUAAAUCUAGCUCAUGCAUGUAAUCAGCCUAAUAUGAAGUCAAAUAAUGACAUGAUUGACUUGCUGAGUUUUCCUUUAUUCUUUUUCUUCUGUUUUGGAAUUUUUUGGUAGUGUUUAGGUAAGAAGUAGGUACCCAAAUUGAGAUAAAAAGAUAAAGGUUCUUCAUUUAAGUAUGCAGCACAUAACGACUCUUCAUUCAUCAGCUAUGCAGGGCAACAGGAUCAGAGUUGGCACGAAUCAGAGGAGGUUGGAUGUAGGCAGCUUGAGCAGAGCACUCCAAUGGAGAAGGAAAAUCAACAAGAGGAACAAUGAAUAGGAUUUGAAAACUGAUACUCACGUAAUAUGCAGCCCAGUGACAGACCUCAUGCUUUAUUUCAGCAUCCAAUCUCUUCAAUAAUUCAUAUAGCAGCCUCUGCAAAAACAAGUAGUAAAUGAAUAUUCCAUCAAGCUGGGGCGACAACGCCAAGACCAACAUCGAAUGGUUAUGUCUUUACCUUCAAUACAACCACUGGAGGAACACAAUUUAGAAGCAGUUCAUACAACUUCCCUCGAACCUGAAACAGCCUAAAGCAAAUAGAAAGUUUGUUGAUGAUAAGACAUAUAACAGGAUGAACAAAAAGACAUUAUGCAAUUUCAUUUUAUCGAAAUCUGAAAAGGUAGACAACUGACUUUUCGACUGAAAAAUCUGGAUCUCAAAUAUCCUGAUAGGUUCUGUAAAAAUACUUAAUCAUAUAAAUCUCCACAAUUCUGUCUGGAGAAAAUUUCAUGUACAACCAUGGGAUUUGGGCCGUUAACAAGUAAUUCUCUUUUCCGUUUUAAGUUAAGACCAUGGCCACCAGAGGCAGCAAGUCACAGAAUGAUCUUAAAUCUCCAUACUGUUUGAUUUAUAUGAUCACUAAGAUGAGAAUAAUAAGCAACUUAAAUUUCAAAAUGCUUGAUGAUCAGGCUCGUUGCUUUAAGGCAAAAAUGAAAGAACGAUCUAUUAUCUCGUGGCCAUCUAGUUUGUGGACAUCCAACACUGCAAGUACCAUAAAAUUUUUGGGCAUCUGCUUAGUUUGGAAGUUCCUUAGAGGUUUAAAGUCAUCAUUAAGAUUAUCAUAAGAAAAUUCUGAAAUAUGUUGAAGCAAAUUUUAUAGUACAGAGGAGGAUACAUAUAGUCUUGACAAAAGACAUUAUCCUUAAGUAAACAUAAUUACUAAUGAUAAAUAAAAUAGAGAAUUAAUAUUCUAGAUAACUUAAAUGGUUACAAUUAUCAAAGAGCCAACACUAUUAGAACAUUGAAGCAAAGUCAGAAGCAUGAAAUUAAACCUUUUUGGGCUCUGCUCCUGCAUUAUGUCCGAUGCUAUUUCAAAAACAAAUUCCUCCCAGUCCAUAGCAGGUAUUGCUUGAUUGUCUUUAAAAGGAUACCUUUAGUCACAGCAUGGUGCAAAUAUAUCAGGAACAAUACAAUUCUAUACUUUGAAACAGAGCAAUGGAGAGAAGGGGACGAACUGUAGAGAACUUCACUAAUCUACAGAAGGCAUUGUAAAUCUUAACUGUUGGACACGGCAAGUUUCAAAUGACAAUAUAGCCCUCCUUAAACUCCGAUUCGAUUUUUCUGCUAAACGAGUGGCAAAUCCAGAUGGAAGUUGCAGUCCCUCUUUCUUUGCAAUAAACUCCAGUACCUUAACAAUCUGGCAUAAGGAAUUUUAAAGAUACAUUAUAUGGCAUAACAGAAAUAACAUUGACAGUCUCAGCCAAAAAGCCUUCUAGUAUUUCACAAAACUGGGCACAUGAUCGAAGAAUUCCAGGGAACAAGAUUGUUGCAUAAAUUGUCAACUUGGCAGCUUUGUUAUAUAUUCUUUCCAAUGUGUGCAAGCCAUUUACUAUGAUCAUACAUCUCUUUCAAUUUAUUUUAUAAAGGUUUUCUCUACUUACUCAGCAGAUUUUACCCUGACCGUGUUUUUUUUUUUUUUGGGGGGGGGUGGAAGAGAACAAAAAAUGGACAUACCAUCCAACCAAAUGAUGUUUUGAAUUUUAGUUUAACUUAUAGUAAAUGUAUUGGUUAAUAUUCAUAGUGCUGGAUGCCAUGUAUCAUGGCAUCUUCCAAACAGACAUUUCAGAAUAUGGUGUUUCAAAACAAGUACAAAGCAGAUAACAGAACUUCCCACCUGUUCUUCUGUUGGUGAAUUGAUUCGUAUAUUCAAGCAACGAGACCGGAUUGCUUCAGUGACUUUUGAAGAACUGUUGCAGCAUAAAAUUAGUCGGCAAGAAGCACUAUAUUUCUCCAUUGUUCUCCGAAGAGAAUGCUGGGCUUCCCUAGAAAGCUUGUCAACCUCGUUCAGUACUAACACUAAAAUUCGACAAGAACGCACAAUCAGGAUCAUAAACUCAAAGAUAAAGCAACAGCAUAAGCAAAGAGCAACCAAUUGUUUGCAAUAAUUACCCCAGUUGCUUCUUAAAGUUUUGUGGCACUGCUAGACCAGUUAAAUAUUUUCAUCCAAUAGAAAAAUAACAAGAUUAUAGUUAAAGAAGAAAGACCAAAGAAAACUCACGAAUCAGUCAUUAAUUUAUACAAAAAAAGAAAAAAUUGAAAACUAAAAAUGAGGAUGGACAGGUAAACAUAUUAACCAUCAUGAGCCAAACCAGAAUUCAUGAAAUUCAAAGAAUAAAGGUCCAAUAAUGAAAUACUCAAAAAGAAUAUAAAUAUGUAUUGUAUUCACUGCUUGUCAAUAGAUGAUCUAUUCUCAGGCAUCUUUUAGUUAUAAUAUUUUCAAUGGGAACUCCUCCCACAAGAUAAAAUAUAUCACAGUAAUUGUUAUCAUCAUCAUCAUCUGGAAAAGGAUGUUCACUCAUAAAUUAUAGCAUAACAAAUCAUUCAAAAAAAAUUACCUUUGAAUCCUCUUUUCCCUUUUGUGUCAAUAGGUCUAUUCUUAGCCAUCUCUUUAAUUACCUCUCGAACUACAUAUCUGUCCUGAAAGCCUGCAUCACUAGGACUCAAUUCCACAUGAUUUGCACUUGACAAUGUGGUCAGCUCCAGGUCAAUAUUUCUACUCCCAGCCUGAAACAAAAUAAAUUUCAAAACAAAUCAGCAGAGAGAAAAUAGCACUUAAGUUAUUAAGGAAACAAAAAUGAAACAUCAAAUAAACAAGGUGGAGCUUACAUCAAUUUUCCAUGUCUUGUUUUCCACUUUCACCUGCAAUCAAAAUACAAAAUUUUCUUGGAGUUCUCACACUAGAAAUUCAUAAAACAACAACACGUAGUGUAGUUACAGGUAAAAAUCACAAAAACUCAAAAAAAUAGAAGAAAUCAAAUCCCCUUUCUAUAUAAGUUGUAAUUUUGUGGUCAAAUCCAUGUAUAAAUUUUCUUUUUUAACAUUAAAUUUAUUUUCUUUCAUGAUGUUUUUACUGUAAACAAACAGGAUUUAAACCCACUUGUCAAAUCAUCAAUUAUCAGUAAAUUAGUCAUCUUGAACUGAAAAAAAAAAAAAUUGUUCCUUUCACCUCUCCCAGAAAAAAAAAAAUCUCACAAACCCAUAAUUUCUUAUUGCAUAAAAAUAAGAAAUACAGAUAGAGAAACCUUUUCAGCGCCAGGGCCGAAAACUUGACGGAGCAAGGCCAUGAUUAGGGUUUUCUUGCCAGACCCAGGUGGGCCAUAGAAGAGUAAGUGCGGGCAAUCUUGUUCUGUCACCUAAAGUUUACAGAUACAAAAUUAAAAACCCUAGAAUUGAAUUACAGAAAGCAUGCAAUUGAUAUGAGUAAAUAACGUAUGUAAUACUGGAGGGGUGAAUAAAAAAGAAAGAGAGGGGUGUACGAGUUUCUUGAGAUUUUGGGCGAUGUCUUGAUGGACGAUAACUUGGUCUAGGGUUUUGGGUCUGUACUUGUCUACCCACAACAUCUUCUUCUUCUUCUUUCUGCUGAGUUCAGAGAUUGAGUCGCUCGCUCUCUCACUCACUCGGAGAGAAAGCAAAGCCAAGGCAGAAGUGGCGGGAAAGAUGAGGUAAUUGCAGCAGAUACACCUUGAUACUUUCAAAAUUAUCUCAAUACCCUAAAAUCAGAAUUUACCAAAAUUUUCAUCAAUAUCCUCUAAAAAGUCACAUGAAAUUACUAAACUAUCCUUAUCUUAAAACACUUACACACCUCAAACAAAACAUGGCUCAAACCGUCAAACAGGGUUUUUAAUUAAAUACCCUUUAAUAGUUUCAAAAUUAUUUAAAUACCCCAUCCCUUUUUAUUUUUCAUAGAUACCCUAACAAAUGUGAGUAAAGUCUGAAAUGUCCUUAAUAAAUGCAUCAAAUUCACUCAACUUCAUUGCUUCAUAUUUUUUUUGCCCAAAUUUCUUCUUGACGUCGAAAUUCUCUCAAAAUCUCCUAGAAUCUCUCAAAAUCUCUCAUAACUUCUUGCAAAAAUGCAAUUAUGUAUUCAUUUAUUUAACAUCCACUCUUUCUUUAACUGAUAUGAGGUGUAUUGCUUAUUAAACAACCCAAUAAGGUAUGUUAAUGUUGUUGGGUUUUAAGUUUUUUAAUUUUUAGGAAAAUUUAGAAAUUUUCGUCACAUUAAUGUUUUAUUUUCACCAUUUUUUCUUAUAUGUAGAAAUAUAUGCAAUGUAGGUUGUUUUAUUAUUUUUUUCAGCAAUAUAACUUAUUUAUGGUGAAAAUGUUUCACGUCGUGCAUUUCUUUUGAUACUGUGUACGUCAUAUAAUCACUCAUGUAGAUCGUGUAAGUAAUAUAGUCGUGUAAAUCGUGUAGGUCAUGUAAGUAAUAUAGUCAUAUAGGCCGUGUAAGUCAUAUAAGUAAUGUAGUCGUGUAGGUCGUGUAGGUCGUGUAGUUACUUGUAUAUGAAAUUUGAUAUUAUUAUUUUUAUUGUAUCAUCAUAUAUGGUUUUGGUACGUGUGUCUAUUCUCUUCAAUUGUGAAUAGAUUGAGAAAAAUGACGAGUAUAAGUUCAAAUGUUCUAAGGCUAAAGGGAUAAUGAUACCACGAUUGACAACAUAUGUCGAUUUGGUGGAGAAGAUAGCUCAAGUUAUUGAUAUAGAUACUUCAGAAUUCGAAAUCACAAUGAAGUUCAAGCUUAAGACAUCUGAUCCUAUGCCACCAGUUACAAUUCAAACCAAUGAUUAUGUGGAGUUUUUCUUAGAGGAAGUAGCUAGUGGAAUGAAGUUUAGAAACCCGCUCUGUAUUACUUUUAAACGUAGAUCAAUUUCGGCAGUUCCGGUGGAUAGACAACCUUCACCUCGUCCUUCGUGGGAAGAGAGUCAUGUUUUCUCCAGCCACGUGCCUUUAUGAUUUCCUAUUCUCAGUUCAAACAAUUUUACUGUUGCAGAUGAAUCACCAAUUGAGUGUUUGCCUACUACGCAACCGACUGACGAACAAGAAGCAGUUAAUGAAUUUGUGACUGGAGUUGAUUGUUUGGAUGAGCCAUCAUUAGCUGUUGAUUCAGCAUUAUGAGAUAAUACUCCAGCCACUAUAGGUUCAAGAAUCUCAAACAAUGCACAUGUGCCCAUAAUAUAAUUUACUUGCUAGUAGCAGUAAUUUUAUGCAUAGCAACAAAUAUAAAUUCUUAGCAAAAAUUAAGUCUUUAAACAACUAAGUUAUUAUAAUGAAUUAACAACAAUGAAAAAAGUCGUGUAAUUUUGAGGUCGUGUAAUACAUUAAGUUCAUGUAAUCGUGCAAUACAUUAAGUUUAUGUAAUCGUGCAAUACAUUAAGUUCAUGUAAUCGUGCAAUACAUGAAGUCGUGUAAUCGUGCAAUACAUGAAGGUCGUGUAAUACACAACCUUGAAUCUUACAUAACCUUACACGACCAAAUCGUGUGUUACAUGACAAAAUUAUAAUCGGCACAAUCCAUAAAUUUUUCCACAAUUUGCAUGCAGCAAAACAGCUAGAAAUUUGUUUUCGAACAUGUUAUGAGAGACCCGCAACUAAUUAAUUUAUUUUUUCAAUAUAAAACCGUAACUUUUUGUUUUUUUCCUUGAAUAUCAACAAUAAAAGUAAUUACAGGGAAUUACUUACCUCAACUAGUUACAUUCUGACCAUUUUACAGUAAAGGAUCAGCUCUCGCCGGCGAUUUAGCGAUGAACUAGGCUUCUCUUUCUCAGUUGUGGCAGCUUCCCCUUCUCAGGCUCAAUUUGCUUGUGUUGAAGUUCGAUUUAGCAUGUAUGGAGAAUGAAUGUUUGUUUGAGUAGAGGUGAUGCGGUGAGGGAAUUGCAAAGGUGAUGCUGGUUGAUAUUCGAUUUAGCAUGUAUGAGAAUGGAGGAUGAAUGUUUGUUUGUUUGAGUAAAGGUAAUGAAGGGAAUUGCAGCAGAUAUGAGUGUUUGUUUGUUUGAGUAGAGGGAGGGAGGGGUGUUGUCGGUUGAGUUGAAGUGUUUUAAAAUGAGGAUAAUUUAGUAAUUUUCUAUCAGCUUUUAAAGGGUAUUGAUGAAAAUUUUGGCAAAAUCAAAUUUUAGGGUAUUGAGAUAAUUUUUAAAGUAUGAAGGUGUAUCUGCUGCAAUUCCCUUGGCUCAAACAAACACUUAUACAUGUUGAACUAGACAUCAACGCAUGAGCAAACCGAGUUUGAGAAGGGAAAUCUGCUACAACUGAGAAAAAGAAAUUUGGUUCGUCGCUGCACAAUCGACAACGAAAGCUGAUUCUUUGCUACAAAAUUGUUGGAAUCUAACUACUUUAGGAAAGUAUUAACUUUCUUUUUUAUAUUUAAAAAAAAUUUAGGAUCUUCUAUUGUAAAAAUGGAUUAAAUUAGUUGUAGAUCUCUCAUAACAUAUAAAUUUCUAAAUGCUUGCUCCAUGUAAAUGGUGAAAAAUUGAUGGAUUGUGCCGAUUAUAAUUCGGUUGUGUAAGAUCAUGUAACACAUGAUUUGGUCGUGUAAGGUCAUGUAACACAAGAUUCAAGGUCGUGUAAUACACUCAUAUAAUACAUGACCCUCAGUCAUAGAUGACAUGACUUUUUGUAUUAUUACGUGAUCUUGAAUAAUGUAUCACGACCUUCAUGUAUUACACGACUUCAUAUAUUACGCGAUUGCACGACCUUAAUGUAUUACACGACUUUUUCAUUAUUCAUUAAAAUAAUUUAGUUUUUUAAAGACUUAAUUUGUGCUAAGAAUUUAUAUUUGUUGAUGUGUAGAAAAUGUCAACGAAAAUUAUUAAAAAAAAAAAAAAGUGAACACAUAGUUGUAUUUGUGUAAGAGGUUAUAAGAGAUUUUGAGAAUUUCGACAAGAAUAGACUUGAGUGUAAGAAUUAGGAAGACAAUAAAAAAUAGUAGAUUUUAUGCAUUCAUUAAGGGUAUUUUAGAUUUCAUACACAUUUGUUAGAAUAUUUAUGAAAAUAAAAAAGGGAAGAGGUAUUUAAAUAAUUUUACAACUGGCUAUUUAAUUAAAAACCCCGGAAAAGAUUUGGAGAGUUUGUGGAAUUGGAAACUGGGGGAAAGAAGGCUUUAUUUUAUGUUAAGAGAGUCUGGAACGUACACGUGUCUUUGAUGGUUUUCCAACGAUGGCAUAAAAUAAUGAAAAUUAUAUAAGAGAUUAUGAAAGGAAAUACGAGCAUGUUAUUUAGAUAAUCACACAUCCCGACCCACCUUUUUCUGUAAUCCAGAGUUUUUCAGUAAGACUUUUUAUUACAUUAAUUGUGAUAGACAUUGGUAGUUCAUUAGUCCCAUUGUGCAUUUUAGUAAAUCAAUAAAGUUACCUAUGGUUACAUAGGCAAAAUUAUCAACUAGGAGAGUCUAAAUGUCCAAACUUAAACGAUUAGAGAUUUUAAUUAUACAUUGUUUAAAUUGCAAGAAUUCAACCAGCUGCCAUUGUUCUUAUUUCAUCUACAAUUUUUCAGCAUUUGUUGGAUUAGGCAAAAAAAUCUUGAGUUUAUCUUUCGCGUAGAAAGGCUAAUUUCUGGAUUAGGCAAAUGUAUUUGCAAUCACAUCAUAGAAGUCCAAAAAAUGACCUACCACGAAUCUUAGCAAUGUUUGCAUUGAAUCUAAAGUAAAUGCUUUUCUGGAUCUUGAAUUAUGAAUUUAAAGAAACCUGAGAAUAUAUACGCCUCCAAAAGAGUUUAUGCAAAGGCCUUCCGUGUUGAAAUGGACAACACUGCAUCUUUAUGAAUAUUGCCAGAGCAACAUAAUAAAAGAACCAAUGACAUGAACCACUUUGAUCCUUUCACUUCUCAGAAGCACCAGAGAAAAUAGCCCGAGUAAGGAAUUAGCAUUGUAAUAAAUCAUGAUGCUUUAAUGAUAAGGCUCAAUGAUACGACAAAAAUUUCUACAUAUUCUAGCAAGAUGUUUUUCCCCACACCGAAGUUAUUUUUGUGGUAUGCAAUUUUCUUCAUAACAUCUGCAACACGUCUGUCGCGGUGUCGCAUUAGGUUCCUUUCUCUCCCGAACAAUCUUUUAUGAGCACAAGUACCGGCUUUCACGCAUAUGUCACUGUGCAGUCCCUUCUCACUCCUAAACACACAGCAAAGUACCCAAAAACCGAUCAGGAUCACUUAUUAUGAGGAAUAAAAUUUGUAAAGUCAAUUAGAACCAAGUUGUGUUUCAAUCAAAUCAGGCUUUCAUGUACAUGUCAUUGUGCAGCCCUUCUCAUUCCUAAUUGCACAGCGACAUAAGCAAAAAUGAAGGGGAUAAGCUCACAUGCACGUGUCGAACAAUCCAAAUGACUUUUUGAUCCUCGUACCCUAAGAAAAGUUCUCAAUGCAUAAGUGGGAUGUGCAUGCAAGUAUCACCAACACAUAUGUGCACAGAGACACAGAGUGCAUACAGCAUACAUGUUGCAUGGAAAGAGAUGUGCAAACACACAAGACCAAGAGAGUAGGUCAUACCAAUAUCAUCAUGGAGGCUCUAUCAAUUAUCAUUUGCACCAUAAACUAAGGGGACCAAAUGAUUCCUUGUGACUAAAACUUGAUAUAAUAAACUCCUGAUCCGACUGAAGCCUCCAUCAACUAUUGACUGCUGACUGCUUUACCACUGCUCUUUUUUGUCCUGUCUUUGUUACUAUAGGGCCUGUCUUUUGCAGGGCUAGCUGGUCUCUUGAAGACCUUGACCUUCUUGUGUGGAAGUACGGUGUCCUCUGAAGAGCUACCUUUUGGUUUUGGGGAGCCUACAAGUUUAUCUGAAGCUGCAGCAUCUUUGGUGGGAUCACCCGUAGGCAGCUUUACAGGGGGAUUCUCUGCAUCUGCUUCAGGAAGCAGUGCUUUGCGGCUCAGGCGAAGUUGUCCCUUAUCAUUUACCUGUCUCACAUACCAAUACAGAAAUUCUUAAUAAAUUAAAGCAACUUCCACAAGAAUGAUAUGUGAGGAACAAAGAAAAGCAGGAGAUGCUAGAUCCAAGAUCAUAGAUAAAGAUUUCUACGUUAACCUUGUAUUAAACUUUGCAAGUUUUACAUCUAACUCAGAUUUCAUAACUGAUGUGGAAGGCAAUAAACAGGAAGGGAAGAUUCCGAAAACUAGGUGUUAUUCCAUAGAUUUAAAUCGUUGUCACAGCAAUAGGGAUAAAAACUGGCCUACUGAUUAUUAUUCAGCAUAUGAAAGAGGACAACUAUUGGUGGAGACGAACUACAUACAUUUCAAUACAUAUCCUCAGAGGUUUAACUGGUAGCCACAAAUUUGGAAGGCUAGGAAAUAGGAUUUAAAUAAAUAUUGAGCCUUUCCCUUUUUGCUCUUGUUCAUUUUCAGUUUCUUCCAUUUGUCUUUUAUGAAUUCUGGAUGCACAUCUUUAUCAGGAAAGUAUCAAGUGGUCAAAUGAUUGGAAUAAGCUCACACAAGGGUAAUCUUCAAACUGGAGAGCAAAAAAUAAAACCUUAAAUAUGGAAAAAGAAAUGUUCAUGCAAUAAUGAUCCAUUCUACAUCAUAGCUAUAAUUUAUGAUUGUACUUUUGUGAAUCUGAGCAGAUAAGAGACAGAAACUGCCAAACCUCAAUAAGUUUAACAUCAACAAGGUCACCAACUUUCACAACCUGUAAUUGAAAAAAUAACAAAAUAAUCAAUGUGAUUUAUAGAUCUUUCUUAGCUAAAUACAGAAAUCAUUAUUAUUUCAAUAAUGGAUGUGAUAGAUAUUGUUCUAAAAAAAUUGACGUGGAUAGAUAGACAAAUUAAUAAAAAUUAAAAAAAAAAAGGAAGAAGCAAGGGGAGGAGGAAAGAACACUGCUUACAUCUUCCGCCUUUGCAAGCCAAUUUGAGCUCAGCUCACUAAUAUGGCAAAGUCCCUGCAGGAUCAAAACAUGAGAAUCUUUGAAUUUCUCCUUAGUUUUCUCAUACUCCGUUAUUAGAUUACUUCAUACUUGCAUUUAUACUUGUUAAUAUAACAUGUUCACUUGACACAUUUAAUGCAUACAACCAAGGUGUUUGGUUCAGAUUAUUCAGAAAAGCCAAAAGAAGUAAUGCAGCCUCUAUUUGACAAUGCCUCAUGAAAAAUUAAAAACAGAAUAACAGGAAUAAUAUGAUGAUUGAUCAAAAGCUUUUGAAUCUCAACUUCUAUUCUUCUAAUAAUUUGAAUCCUGCCAACUAGCAGAAUGUAUUUUGUUCCGAAAACAGAAUUUCAGAAUGAUUGUGAAACGCUGCAAGACAAAACAGGGACCAAUUUUUUACCACCAAAAAUUGCAAAAAAGGGGGAACAGGAAAAUUGUUUUCAACUUGUGAUCAAAAUAAUACCUCACGCCCAGGGGCUAUCUCAACAAAAACUCCAUAAGGAGCAAUUGAUUUGAUCUCGCAGUUCCUGAUUUAAUCAACCAAUCAAAAUAAUAAAUAUGAAAAGCAUAAAGUUUCCAGAAACAAAAUACAUAAAUGAAAAUAAGAAAGUCCCCUUUCCAAUCUUCAAGCAAAGCGGUUGUAUUUUUAUAAUGUUUGAGCAUGACACCCUUCAUUAUGAAGCAUAUCUAAUCCAAAGGUUGUAAAAACUUUUGCUUAAUAAUGAAAUUGCAUCAUUUAAAUAUGUAUGUUGGACAAUUUCCUGGCAACUUGAACUCUCCGGAUUAAUGGUUACUCAACAAAAUAUCAAGUUAACAAAGUUUACUCAAAAUAACAUCAGCUUGUGUUUGUAUCUGCCAUCUAUUCAUCAAACUACAAAACAAAGAUGGGUUUGUGUUGGGGUUCAUGUCUGUUUGGUGUGUAGGAACUUUGACAGGUAUACAAAGGGAGGUGAAAAAGUUUAAUCACUAUUGUUAUGUUUUAUCUUACCACCUAGGCUUUUAGGAACAAUGACUACCGAACACCAGGACAUUCAAGUUGGGAAAACGAGAAAGGUCACCAGAAAAGAAAAGAAAUACCUAUAAAUAUCACCAACAGUUGGGACCAUUGUUAGAUUACUAAUAAUGGCUUUGGACUUCUCUAGACUUGACAAAUCCUUUGCAGUAAUUUUUACCUGAGAACAGCAUAUAUUUCAGAAAGUGCAGAAAUGAAAAGAUCAAAUAAAAAAAUCUCAAGGAAAGAUGGGGACCAUAAUCUGAUCUUACAGUUCCGUCAUCUUCAGUGUCAAU
rnacentral:lncRNA from 1 species